GAAGUUACUUCCUCGCAGCAAGUCCCGACCCCUCGCAGAUGGAUCGAGAAAUGGAAGCACCGGCUGAGCGCCCAGGAACUGACCUGCAUUGAUUGAGUGAGGCCUCUUAGAGCUCGCUGAUCGAUGAAACAAACAGAAGAGAGGGAGGCAAGGGACCUACUUACGAAGUCGGCGAUGAGCAAGCCAUUGCAGAAGCGGCCAGUCGGGACUCUGUUCUGCGUGUCGAUGCCAUUCGGGAAGAAGUUUGCUCGGGCGAUGGAGAGGAUGUAGUCAUUGUUCCCCGAGUCGACGAGCGAGUCGCCGAAGAUGAACUGCGCAACCUGCUGAGCCUGUGCUGCGUGAAACGAGAGGAUGAAACACAGGAGGAGCAGUGCGGCUGCCUUCAUGGCUGCGUUACGCUGCUCGCUGCUAUACCUGCGAGCGAGACCACUGGAAUCUGAGCCAAGCUGAAGACAAAUCGGAGCUUAGACACUGACUACCUUAAGAUCUUCUCGCGAGAAGGCCUCCUCGAAGGGAAUGGCUUUCCGCCUCGUCUACAACAACUAAGAGAGCACGCUGUGAGGCAUGUGUGACAAGUAAAACACAGCGCACUACGAGCGCAUUCAAGCCAAGGACGUCUGCGCGACGCGGAGGAAGAAUCAUUCACAUGCAACGCAGCAAGAAAACAAAAGAAUGCAAGAAAAUGCUCUAUGAAUGCACGCAAGUCGGUGACAAACAAAGCCUGAAAACAUCUACGCGCUCCGCUAAACUCACCGCCUUUUGUCCUUGGAAAGAUUUCAGGAUUUCUUAGUGUUUGUUCUCAGCCAGAUCUCCUCUCCAUCUUCCUGCGUAGAAACACUCUCUGAGAAAAAAAAAAACAGGCUGGAAACCAUAAAUGUGGAGCAAAGUGGCAUUGUGGCAGGGGGCGGUAACUUAAUGUUUGGUACCUAUGAGUGAGCUCUACAGGAUUGAUUGAUUGACUUGUAUACCUUACCUGAAUAUUCGUCCAUAUUUUUACUGUGUGGACGUUUCCCACAGAUGGAAUCAAUGGCAUGGCUCCUUCAUUUCUCUCCUCGGUUUCGAUCAAAGAAAACCAACCACGAUUUUAUCCUUGGUUCCUGUUUUCCACCACCAGGACAAAGACAAUUAGCUUUCGAAGUUCACUACCUCCCACAAACGAGAAUUGAAGAGGUUGCUAAGAUCCGAACACGGAACAAUGUUUGUCGUCGCUCGCUGGCUGCUGCUGCUGCUGCCUGAGAGGAAACGAGUGUUGGUGACGAGUCAAAUAGAACAUUAAGGUGAGCUCUUACAGUGUCCAGCCAGAAAAUUUUGGCGCUGUCGAAGGCCAGGGGCCAGAAGUACCGUCAACAACGAAACAAACUACUUAUCAACAAGGAUAUGAGCUCUAGUACUGUCAACAACGACUAGAAUGAAACUAUACAAGCUUUAAAAAUAGUUGGAAACUUACCAGUCUCCCUCCAGUUCUGAGUUACACAGUAGUAAAACAGUUGUAUUCAACAUCAAAAGGAAUGCCGGAUCGUGACACCAUAAAAGCCAGUACCUUUGAGUUGGGAACUUUUAGCUCCUCACCAAGUUCCUGUUCUUGAAGCAACAAAGAUAAAAGACCCAAAAACAAAGAAGGCGAUUUGUAACUUCAAAACUUAACCCAUGCUCUUACAAAAUGCCACCUUCCCUCUCGAAGCUGUCCUAGAGGUAUUGCACAGCCAAGCCUGGAAAAGAAAGAAAAGAUUAAUGAGUGACAUAGAAGAAGGGGCAAAAUGUCCACCUUGUCCGAGUCAAAGCCACUAGAGGUACUUCACGCUUGACGACUUCCGGAGUUAUUCCUCACUGUCCUUUAUAUCUGCUCGGCUGCAAGAACGAAUCAGUAAAAGGAAGAGGAUCGACCACGCUAAUACCUCAAGCUCGCUCUCACAAACUCCUCGCAUCUUCAUAGUCUACUGCAACCACAAACUGCCUCAUUUUCUGCAAGACUGGAAUAUCUUUUCCAUGGCCUCCUCCAUCGCUGCUGCUCUUAUAAUCCUGCCAUCCUGUGAGUGGAUACGUCUCUUUGGGAACGCACGACCACAAGUUAUACGAGUUCUUCUUCAACACAGCAUCGACCUUCUCCAAACCGCUGGCUUUGACAUCGCGUUUCUUAAACACCUGAACCAAUAUGUUGUCAUCCAUGGCACAUGGAAGCGUCUCGGACGUUGGUUUCACGUACUUGCCUUUCCCCAUUUUCGCUUUGAGAUCCACAGCUGAGUUUGCCUCUUCCAUCACAUGUGGUGCAACAGCGAUCGAAGUCUCCGCUGGGCGUCUCCCGUCCUCAAACACCUCCUUCACUCUGAAGUUGCCACCACGGGACAGAAGCCUAUGAACAAGUGACUCGUAGAGUUUCCCCCACAGACCCCCCACCCAAGGACAGCUGAAUGUAUGUUUCAGAAACUUCACCAUCGCUGCAACUCCAGCCUGGAUGUACUGCUCUCCCAGCUCUUUCAUCAGAGCCUCGCUUGCAAACCUCCGGCUCUUGACUUCCAAGUGAUCAUCACUUGCUACUAUGUGAAGAACACAAUCGCUCACGUUCUUGAAGUGCCCAGCACACAAAACAAGCCUGGCAUCCUGGACGCUUGAUCCUAGACGCUGGACAGCAUCUCUAACCCUGUCCCUGCCAUCCUUCAACUUCCAUUUAGUUAGAAUGUACCUCGCAACACCUCCCAAGUAAUCGAAUGCCUGGAGCGCUGUGGUUUUGUCCACCACCUUCAUGCUUUCAAACUGACUUCUGUGAACCUCGAAGUCGCUAAAGAAUGCCUCGACUUCCUCCCUGGACCACACCGAUAUGUAAAGCUUGAGGCAGUCUCCCGACUUCCCGAAUUCUCCAUAGUUGCUCUUCUGAGUCGAGCAAGUCAAGAGUAUUUUGCACACGCCCUCCACCGCAGCCUUCUGCUUGCCAUCAAUCACUAGCCACAAUGACGGGUCGUCCAACAUAUCAGUGAUAACCUUGUCAUCCAUAUCGUAAGCACCUUCAACGCAAUGCCUUCGCAGAUUGAGAACGUAGACAGUAGCACCUUCCUUCUUGUACAAAACGCGUUCGUGACCCAUUUGUCCCAGCCUAGUAAUCCAGUGGUAGCCGAAGAAAGUUUUUCCCGUUCCUGCAGUGCCGAGAACAAUGAAAAUGCGAGCCGUCUCCGUCAGCAGUUUGGUUUCCAGACUCGUAUAUGCCUUUCGUUUCCACAGCAGGAAAGGCCGGACAAAGUUCCCCAGCGGAUCACGGUCUAGAAUCCAGAACUUCUGAUGGUCAGUCUCGCCAGCCCGCGCAAGUGACGCCACACCAGCUGUGAAGCAAACCAAAUCAGACUAAAAAGCCAGAAACGAGAUCACAAAAGCCGAGAGGCAAACAGCAACAGCAACAGCAUCAUGAACAGUAGAUGAGAAAAGCUUCAAACAAACAUUGCACGCACCACUACUUGAAAGUUAUCAGCAAAAACUAUGCCAGAUCAAACGCAAAACACAACCAGAAGUGAGCAUGCUUACCUGGCACACCUUUCACCUUUGUUGGUAGCACUGCAACAAAAAAAAAAAAAAAACAAAAAUUAAAAAAAUGUCAGCACAACAAGAGAAGAAAAGAAAACUUUAAAAAACAAUAGAAACUCCGCAGGCAAGUGCAUACUGACACAAAGAUACAUCACAGGGACUGAAACAAAGAUCAACCCCCAGAAACACAAGAUCCACACGAAAGUUAUGGUUAGCCAGCACCCAAGUCAAGCAAAGACGUAAAGAUCAACCAAAGACUCUCGAAGCACCACCAUUAAAGCUCACGGAUUCACACACACACACACGAGAAACCCAUCUCAAAGCCACAGCUACUCCAAAAGUCCCGGUGCCAGCAAACGAAUUCACAGAGAGGGGCUUACCUGGGCGAGUCACUCUGAAGAAAAGCUCGUCCCCUUUCUGGCAGACAUAGCCAGAAACUUGAGGAGUGAGCGCAACCCACGCAGGCUUGGGCUUGAAUCGAAGACGGUGGACUUCAUCCCCGCCCUUUGCUCCUGCCGCUUCCUGGACAGCCUCAAGCGCACCAGAGAAUGUGGUGCCUGCUGCCACCCCCGUGCAGGUUCCCCUCCUCCGAACCACAUGCCCGCUUGGCUCUACUUCUUCCGCGCUUACAAUGCAGUAGAAAAGCAGAACAUCCCACUCCACAUCCAUGGCGUCUAUGGCCGCCAUUCAGAAUUCAAAGCAAAACCCUAUUCGCCCACACCAUGGCAUGAAUCAAAAUAAAUAUUUCAAAUCUACAUUCUACUUAGUGGGAAGUGAGCGACGAUCUGGACGUCACCAUAAAUCAGCUGGAUCACUGCGACAAGAAUGGAGGGGCAUAGGCCUAUGCACUCAGAAACAAAGAGACAGAGCAGAGGACUAUCACAUCCUUGGCGUGAGGGAAUAAUCGUUACCCAGCAGUUCUGUUACGGGUAUAUUUUCUAUUGACAAAACUAUCUAAUUAUAUAUGUUUGUUUGAUCUUCAAUAGCAAAUCUGGUGUUUCGCAUUGCAUCGAAUUGAGCAAUGACAGAGCUAUCUAAUUUAUUCAUUUUUUCAUAAACAAGAUUAUAACUAGGUUUGUUUAUCAUGUUAAGCAUUAUCAGCAUCUUAAGUUUAUGGCCUAGUAUCAAGCAAGUGGGUUAAAAAGUAAAACAUUUUAAGAUUUUCAAAUGACAUCUCAACAUCAUUUCUUUGAAGUGGCAGACAAAUUUUCUGGGUGAUGCAUUUCCAAGGACAUUGAUACCUAUACUGGAGAGUGGAGGAGACACCUACCUAGAAAUCGAACUGUUUAUUUAUGUGAUUUUUAGGGUUCAGGAUGGCACUGCAAUUGGGCAUGUCUAUACUCAUGCUUAACAGAGAGCAUUCUUGGCAGCAAAGAAUGGACCUUGAACAUGAUCAUAAGGAUGAUGGCUCAUUCUUGCUCAAGACUUGACACUCGAGGAAUAGAAGAUAGGGAGGAUAACUUUCCAUUUCUUUUGUACCUUUUAGCAUUUUAUUUAGUGACUAAUCUUGAUAAUCCAUGUGGCAAGCAAUAGAACCAAAAUAUGACCCAACCACUAAUUGAGUUAUGAGUUAGUAAAAUCUUGCACUCUUUGGGGUAAAGACAAGUAAAAUGAGUAAGGAAGGGGAUCAUGUCUUAACAACCUUUUUUGUUAUUCAAUCCAAUCUAGGUAUUCUUGUUUUCUCAAGUCAAAAAAAAAAACAACUUGAAAGGUCUAUUGAAGAUAGGGAAAUGACAUAUAAAUAUAAGUACACUACUUUUUCUAAUUAAUUGAGAAUUUUGGGAUACAUAAAGUAAACAUGAGUUUGAGUUAAGGAAUUUAUAUAUGGUAUCAAAGAUGUCUCAAAUUCAAUUUUGUUGAUUGACUAAAAGAAUUGCAUUAUAAAUUAACAUUGAUAUUUGUCUAAAAAUCAAGUUUUCUCACUGGAUUAAACUUGUGGGGUAAAAUGUCAAAAGAGUGGGGCUUUUAACUUUUAUUCACAAAAGCAUGAACUUGCAAGGAAAUAUAAUAAAUUACAAGUAUGAAAUUGUUUGAGGGGUUUUAAGCAAUUAAGGUUUAUUAAGAUUCAAAGAAAAAAGAAAAAAACUCAUCAAUAAAAGUGCACCUCAUGUUCUAAUGGGAAGUCCACAAUAAAAAAGUUAUAAACCUUUUACCUAUCAAAGCAUAUUUUGGCAUCAUUUGCCUCUUCAAGCUCCACUUUCUAUUAACACUACUGGCUCUUUCGAAAGUGUAAAACAAAAAAGAAAAGAUAAAAAAAAAAGGGAGACAAAGAAAAGAGGAAUUAGGUAAAGUGGAAAGAUAAUUGGGUUUCUUAUUAUUUAUAUCAAAGUUAAUAUUGAGAAUAAAUUUAAGAUAAAAAUAUAGAAUUGCAAAAGUUUUGAAAAGUUUGUAGUUGUGUGUUUUGAUUUUGACAAAAAUAAUACCUCUCAAUAAAACAACAAAUCUAGAAAACUAGAUGGAAGAUUAAAUCAAAAGCAAUGGAACUAAUGUCAUUGUUUUUAAGGGAACCAAAAUCUCUAUCAUCUAGCAAUCUUCAAGCAGACACUAGCAAAUAACCAAUUAUCAAAGGGACUAUCAAAUAUGACAAACUAGUGUUAGUAAUUCAUUAGAAAAUAUUUGUUAUAAAAAGAUUAAGAUUCAAGUGUUUUUGUCAAAAUAAUGAAGGUUAUACAUGAAAGAUGAUUUACUAUAUAGAUUAUUCAUUAAAGAUCCAAAAGAUGCAAAAAUCUUUUGACACUCUUAUUAACAAACUUUGAAUUGAAAUAACUCUUGUUAUGUUUCUUCCUUUGAUUAUUCAACUUCACUUGCUCUGUUUAUUAGUUUUAUAAAAUUCUCUGAAUUCAAAAUAGUGCCAUAUUAGUAAAACUUUUAAUCUAUGUGGCAUUGUUUUAAAUGCAAUGAAAUAAGGGUUAUUCUAAAUUCUAUGGUAAUUUAUUUCAAUUGCUAAAACAUGAGAAACAUUGCUACCAUAAAUUUUACUAUUUCUUAUUUAGAAUCUAUAUAUACUUUACAUUAAUGUUUUUUAAAACCUAGUUAAAAACCAAAAAAAAAAACAUGAUUACUACAUUCUACUUUAGUUUUUUCUCCAAAAAUGAGAAAUGUUUCUUUUGUCAAUAGUUUUUUUUGUGCUUCUUAUUAUUAGCUUUCCCUCUCACGUCAUGAUUUAAGGAGGUGCAUGCCUCUAAGUGUUAUUCAUACCAUAGGGAGAGUUUGGGCGGCAAAAGGAAUAUUCAUUUAUUUAUUCAUUAACUGUUUAUAAGGUCUUGUGGUACCCACCAAGAAGCAUGAGACUGACUGAUUAUAGUAAGUUGUUUUGAUUAUCUCAUGAGCCAUUUGUUCGUUGAACUCCUCCAGGUCUUCUACCACCACCUUUGGCUUUAUUGGCCUGCCUAUUGCCCCUGCUGAUGCCUCUUGGGUUGGAACCUCAAUAUGAUCCUCACCUAGCCAUUAACAUUUGUAAUGAAAAGUGUUGUCACCUUGUUUUGAUUCUGACUCAAUUGCAAUAUGUCACAAGCAUGGCAUCAAUGACUAAGGAUUGGUGCUUGAUCUCCAUUUCUCAUAAAAAUUCACAGAUGCCCUUGGAUCAAUGUUCACCUGUGAGAAUUACACAUAGAAUUGCACCUCAAAGGACCCAUGGUUGACAUAGUGGAGCAUAGGUUGAGCACAUGUUCACCAGAUCUCCACAUCUUCAACUUCUUUAUAACAUGAGGGGCAGAGGCAAAUAUCAUAUAGUAGCAAUGGUCUCAAGUGACAUUUGAGUUUUAUUAUCAAUCUAUGAUGCUUUGUUCUAUAGCCAGGAUUCUCUAAUUGUAGGGGUGAGCUUAUUGUAGAUUGUGAAACUAAAUUAGUGCCUUAGGUUGAUAGUGUUCACAUAAAUUCUAAAGGGGACACUAUCUUUCAUCUGAGCAUUUGUAGCGACUGUGACUUCGGGUAUCAAAAGUUACCUGUCAACCAGUCCUUACGGACACUCUUACCUUAUUGCCACAAUGGCAGGAAGUCGGUAUUGCUGGACCCUUUAUUAGCCCCUCUUGUUCAAGUGUUAAUAAACUGAACUUUGCAUCUGUACUUGGCCGGAUGAGCAUAAGAACGGAAUUCCUAAGUGUCUAUUUAGCUAAGCAUACUUGGCUUGGCUUUUUAGUUCUCUUUUGCUCUGUCUUGCACUGGCUUGACAAGAACCCUCACGUGUUGAGAUUGGUCCCUUAAUAUCGCUACAUGAUAGUUUACCAUGUUUGCCAAACACCCUCGCUAUCAUGCCCUUUGUGUUGGUCUCAUUUUGGUCCCAAAUACUAUUUAUGGAAAGUGUCUAGAUUUGCUCAUUUGGCAUAUCUACGGAAUGUAGAGGUCGUCCUGAACACAAUGGUGUUCGUCCAGUGUCCAAAUUCGUAAUCUAGGGACAUUCCAUAUUUAGUAAGUUUUGAGUUUGUCCCAGAGACUAACUCCUGAUACUAAGGGAGGCUUGGGGUGAAAGCCCAAAGCGUGUGUUCCUCAAAGGAAGGGGGGGUUGUAGGGGGUUCCAAAUGUAUAGUAGGGAUAGUGAGUAGGUCAGGCAUGGCUGACUAACCUGAGACAUAGUCUAGUUUCCGCUUGCGUGCCCGUCCUUGUUCUGCAUCUGGCUUGGGUCUAAGCCCAAGUUCCACACCAUGCUAGCUGGUGGAGUACCCAUAUCCUCGCGUUAGGCCACCGGUAUGCCGAAAUAGCGCAAAACUCUAUUUGGCUCCGUUUGGCUCCGUUUUGCGUGCUAGUCCUGGCAUUAGGAUGCUAGUUGCUCCAGGACUGUCCCAAGUUGCUCCGGGCUCCUGUCCCUUCACUCUUUGGGCUUUAUGCUCAGGAGUUGCUUUGUGGUUCGGUUCCGUCACUUUUUGGCUUCGUGCUUGGGAGUUUGGCACUGUUCCUUCGUUCAGUGGCCCAAGGCCCUAAACCUCGGGUUUCUAUGGACACGUGGCAUGGACACGUGGCAUAUGACACGUGGCAUCUGUCACGUGGCACAUAGAGAGUUUAGGUUCCGCUUCGUAGUGUUAUUUUAUGGUAAAUCACCAUAGGAUAAAGGGUCAAAACCACGUGUGCUACAUUUGGUAUCAGAGGAUGAGUCUUAAUGACUACUAUUCAAUGAGAUUGGGCAACUCGUCUCGUUGCAUACGCAGAGAUGAAAACGAUGAUUCGAGUGGGUACACGUUUGGUGCAAAAGGCUUUGCAAUUGUUCCUUGGGUAUGGAUUCGGUUACCUUGUUGUACCAUAUUUUGUGAGCUUGACCUUGGGCUCACAAGUGGGAUUGAGUUGUUCCUUGUAGCAUAAGUGAAAGUAAGCCUUCCCUAGGUUUGUUAUGAGUGGCAAAUAGGUUGGUCCGUAGCUGUUUAGCACGGCACUAGUGGAUCCUUCCUAGGCAUGGUUACAAGUGGAUCAAUCAAGGUUGUAGGGAUUAGUCUAUUAGUUCAAGUAGUCAUUGUUGUGCUCUCUCAUAAACUUUUCUUGAAUUGGACUGAAGGUAGUGCGAAAGCAAGCUUGAGGUUUAGUCAAAAAUGAGACCGAAAAGAGAGUUGUCAGAGACGGAGGAUCAAACACGUAAAUCAUUUUCUCUCCUUAGAGAUAUGAUUUGCAACAAGGUGUAACUCAUUGCUCGUGUUCACAAUAUGCAAUCAAGAGUCCCUACCUUGAUGCAUGUUGGAGAUGAUGGUCUUACAAAUGGUGAGUUAUGGGAUAGAUAGUAGUGAAGCGCUAAACCAUUUUGUCUAGACUUGUGUAAGCGACUAAAUUUUCCAUUCUACUUUAGUCACUUAACCACACCUCCGACCACUUGGAGGAGUCUCAUUCACAACCUCCAUAAGUCCAAUCCAGGACUUGGGACUUGCUAGCCCCGAGAAUGGCAUCCAUGCCACUCAACAUUUGCACUUGGUCCAAGUGCUCCAUGUGUCCGAUCCCAUGACCGACACUCAAAGGUACCACCGACAUGGCAGCCCGUUACGCUAAGGCCAUGCCCAAUCACCUUUGACACACUGGUAGUCCAAUACCACUUGCAUCACAGUCUUGGCUCUCCAAGACUAGGCAAACCAUCCGUGAGUGGUCAUCUCAAAUCCACUCCUUAGCAUCCUUAGGAUGCCUACCGACAAGGGGAAUAGCCUUCCCCAAUGUCCCUCUAUCAAUCCCCACUAAGUCCCUUUCUGCCCCUGGCCGUGUUUGCCAACACUGCCACUGGAUCGAGACCCACAGGCCCGACCACUAAGUCCCACGGUCCUCUAGGACUUCCUCACCACACGACUGUGUCCUUGGUCACUACCCCAGAGGACUGCUCCUCUUCCUUUCCACAGUCUGGGCCUUUGGGACAACAUUUCGGAACACCGUGGCCUUACGCAAGCCACCUGGGUACUCUCCUCGCCUUCUGCCCUUGGGUGCUCUAGCCAUGGGCUUAGAGCGGGGUUCCGUUGAGCCACAGCUCACGGUAUCCAAGUAGGUAGUGCCACCCACACUUGGACUGGGAGCAUCGGCCAGUCGAUCUCCCGGGGGAACUAGAGCNNNNNNNNNNNNNNNNNNNNNNNNNNNNNNNNNNNNNNNNNNNNNNNNNNNNNNNNNNNNNNNNNNNNNNNNNNNNNNNNNNNNNNNNNNNNNNNNNNNNNNNNNNNNNNNNNNNNNNNNNNNNNNNNNNNNAAACUGGCUCCACUGCAGUCCUCCCCCUACUAUACUUUUGGAGCUCACCAAACCCCCCAGGGUCUGGGAGACGAACGCUUUGGGCUUUCACCCUCUCAGGCUCCGGACUUGGACUCGGACUCGGACUCGGACUCGGACUCGGACUCGGACUCGGGCUCGGGCUCGGUCUCGGUCUCGGUCUUGGUCCCGGUCCCGGUCUCGGUUCCAUCUCGGACUCCAUCUCGGACUCCAUCUCGGGUCCAUCUCGGACUCCACCUCGGGUCCAUCUUGGACUCCAUCUCGGGUCCAUCUCGAACUCCAUCUCGGGUCCAUCUCGGACUCCAUCUCGGGUCCAUCUCGGACUCCAUCUCGGGUCCAUCUCGGACUCCAUCUUGGUCCAUCUCGGACUCCAUCUCGGGUCCAUCUCGAACUCCAUCUCGGUCCAUCUCAGACUCCAUCUCGGGUCCAUCUCGGACUCCAUCUUGGGUCCCAUCUCGGACUCCAUCUUGGGUCCCAUCUCGGACUCCAUCUCGGACUCCAUCUCGGACUCCAUCUUGGGUCCAUCUCGGGUCCACCUCGGAUUCCAUCUCGGACUCCAUCUCGGGUCCCAUCUCAGAUUCUAUCUCGGACACUUCCACGUGUCAUGUGUUGGUCCUUUUUGGGUCCCCUUUUGGAGCCUUGCUUAUUGCUCGCUUCGUGCUUGCUCCUUGAGCACUUUGUUGGGAGUUCCACUCCCGCUCUCGACCUUCCAAGUCAGAGCUUUUAGUCCAAACGUGUUACACUCGUUUGGCUUUCGCUUCGGCCACUACCACGUGGCAUCCUUUCCGGCUCCACUUUGGGGCCUAGGGAUUUUGUGUCUCACAACUCCACCACCCAUAGACGAAGUUUGAUGUCCUCAUCGAACGGUAAACCAUUUUAUAAAGUAACACCCACAUGUGUUACCAUUUCCAUCUUUGGCACCUAGCCAAUAUUUGUCAAUGGUCUGACAUUGAAGGCUCACCAUGCCUUCUCUGUAUUCGUCAAUGGUUUAAUAUUGAAGGCUCACCAUGCCUUCUGCAUAUUCAUCAAUGGUUUGACACUAAAGGCUCACCAUGCCUUGCCCAUCCUCUAAGGAGGGUAAUCUCUCCAACUUAGAGACUAAUUGGACCAUAUGUAGUGGUUCUCUCCUUUUAUUUGGUUUAGUUCUCGCUAAACCUUUUAGAGACCCUUCUCUAAGUCAAUCCUACUACUCCUUCUUGAGUAGUCUCAAUUUCCAUCUAUGGAACGUUUGCACCUUGGAACUUUUACUCUUUGACCUCUGGAAGUCAAUUUCCUAGGUGUCUCCAACACCUUGCAUUGCACAUUUUGUGCAACUCCACUUCCCCAUCUUAGGAAGUUCUUUACUUGAGGGCACCAUCAUCCUCUCUUCUAUUUCGUGCCACCUUGGGCACUAAGUUCCAUUUAUCAUACUUUGUGCUAGGGCUGUCCAUGGCUCUAUCAUUUGGCUACCUUACCGCUCCCUCCCUUGGAGCUUCCACUUUCGCCAAAUCGGAGCAAUUCGGAAUCCAUCCUUGGAAACACACUUCCUUUCCCACAAGUCGUUAGCAUCAAACACAUUAGUGUUCCUUGGCUAACUUUGCCAUUUGGAUCCCUUCCAUUAAAUUCCAUGGCCCAAUCUUGGCCACUAGUCCAUUGCUCCUAUCCUUGAUUGUUGCACCCAGCAACAUAGGAUUGCUACCUUCAUUUUUGAGGUAUCCUUUCGGUUCCAUAGCAAAGACUCUUCUUUGCCAAGUCCGGAGGAUGUUCACCCCUAGUACGUUUCUUUAGCAUCUUCUGCUAUGGGCUCUAUCCACGGCCCAACUUCGUGACCCUCCCAUGGGUUUCUUAUAGAGACUACCUUCCUCGGACUCACUAUACCAUCGCACGGACAUAGUUUAUUUCCCUUAGGUGCUCUUCCCACUUGGUCAUCAUGACCAAGCCACACCACCUUAAACAAUUCAAUUUCAACAUUUUGAACCAGGAACUUCAUUCCUUAGCCAACCAAGGACCUCGUCCUUAUUUGGCCAUAAGAUCACCUAGUGAUCUCACCUUGGCACCUUAACAGAGUUGCCAAGAGGUACUUGGUCUUCUAGACCUUCAAGUGGUUGACUAUAACCCCGGGGGCAUCCCCCACACUUGGCGGUGCACCCAAGCUAGCCCUUACGGCCAAGGGUUCAUAGCAACUGAGAUUAGGUGUCCCUAUCUCACUCACCACGUCCUUGGUGCCACUUGCACCAAAGUGUUCAAAUUAGAUAUGCCAAGCUUUCACACUAAGCAAUCUAACCGUGCAUCACGACUCCGAAGCAUCCCUCGCUUGGCAGUGUGCCCAAACCAGUCUCCCCACUGAGAGUCCAUGACCACCGAAAUAUGAGUGUCCUCAUAUUCCAAACCAUAGUGAUUUGGGACUCGAACCCAAGCACUAGAGGGUCGGGACUCGAACCCAACCUCCGUAUAUGCAUCUACGGAUGGCAUCACACCGGAUGCCUGGCGUGACUCCCCACGCCGGUGCACCAACCUAUAUUUAAAGCGCGCUACAGAUCACAGCUUAGGAACCUAAUUCCUCCGCACUGCCAAGUCCUCUCACUUGACAUGUCUGUGAUCAUGCAUGGACUCCUCCAUGCUCGCCCCCAUGGCCCACCCUUUUUGAAGUUAUCACCUUCAAUUAGGGUAUUUGUUCCCCCGACGUGCCAAUCUCGCUUGGCAAGUCCUCCGACCACUGUAACAUGGUUCAUGCAUAAGCGUGAAAGUCCUUGACCAUCGUCUUUUGUUCAAAGCCCUCUCUUUGAACACUCGGGAACUAUUUCCCUAACCUUGAUAGCCUUGCCUCAUGGCAAGCUUCAAGACCACACUUCUGCUGUGCCACUUUGAUUUCGCGCGUUCCAUGAACCAUUUACACUUGGCCUUUCUAGGUACUAAGCUACCUAGAAUUGUCUUUGGGAACCUUGAAGGAACUCUGUCCCUCAGCUUGCUAAGGCCUCCCUUUUCGCAAGCUUUAUAGUUGCCAUAUAGUCUAACAUGGACAAUUCCAUAUUUUAGACUCUCCAUGGCAUCAUGGUUGCUAGCAACAACAUCCUCGAGCACCCUCUUCAUUCUCCACUCCCAACUUGCAUAACCACUGUGGGAUAUGCCCUUUGAUUUCUAUAGUUCAGUUCCAUCCCAAUACUACUUGCCUUUUGGCCUCAUAUGUUUCCUUUAGUUAUUCUCCUCCAGACUAGGAGGAUAGCUUUGCACAUUUUACUAUGCCUUAGCAAGUAUUCUUAGGGAUGAACCUACCCGAUAGCAUAGGGAGUGGUUCCUCAAUCUUGGGCAUGCUCACUUUAUAAUCCCACAUAUCGGGAUUAACGUUGUUGCUUAUGGGCCUUUACAUGCCCAUCAGUAGCCUUGCCAAAAUUCCAUUUUUGGUUUUGUUCAAUUCGGGUAGACAGUCUUCUCCUGUCUCCACAACCUUGGACAUUUGGAUAGCACCUACUAUCCAUCAUUCGCUAGGGACUUAGUCCCUUGGGCCUUAUCUAUUGCCCUUGCGACAUGAAACACCACCUCCUGGUGUUCUAGAGUGUUUGGGUGUCCCAAUGAUGGCUUCCUGACAAUGAGCAUUCCCGUUUACGACAUUGACUUACUAUAUUGCAACAUAAGCAAUUUAUCCCCCGUAAGGGUAUAUCUAACUUCCUUAUGCCAUUAAGAAGUCUUGGGUAGCUACCUUCUACCCAUUUAACCAAUUAUCUUGCGCCUCUUGCUUAGUUGCCCCAUAAUUGUCAAGUCCUACAACUCAUUGCUUGGUGCUUCCACACCUCCAUCAUUAUCCGGGUCACCACACUCUAACCGCAUGCCUUCCAGCUUAGGCUAUGUCAUUCCCAUUUCCAUUGGGAUUCCUUUGGACGGGGUUCUCAUGAACCCGCCAACUUGACCUCAAGGCAGCACGCCUUGGCACCUUCGGUGUCUCCACACCAUCGGCUCCACGAACCUAUCCUUAUAACACUACUUAUUAGUGUUUAGGUCUUUGCCAAGACCAAUAUAAUUGUUCCUCAUGCUAACUAUCCGUUAGCACCACACCAUAGUGUUUGCACCCAACCCUGGGCCAAAGUUGCUUUCUUCUGGGAACAUCUUUCCCACGACUUUAAUAUGGCACAUUCUAUCAUCAAUGAGAUACUCACUGUUCUCAUACUUGGAUCUUAUGAUCCUCCCCAUACCUCAUGGGGCACCAUACACCUCCGUCCAAAUGCUUCAACCAAUCCCUUAGGACCAUUCCCUGACUCCACUUGAGUCAUCCAGCAUUUUAGACUUUACUAAUCCAAUGACCUGCGAGGUCUUAGUCUUCGAGGUGUCAACUCGCUGGAAUACAACUUCUUGUAUUCGGGUCCUACUCACAAGGACCAUCUUGGCAAAUGUUACUCUGACACUUGAUUUGUUCUCUUGGGGCAACCUUUUGCCCCUUAAGACCAUUUGUCCAUGUGAUGAGAAUACCAACUCAUCCUCUAAAUACACCCCCAACUCCUUGGGUUGUUCCAGCAUUUAUUAGAGGUAGCCCCAGCUACCACUUCAAGGACUCAUGUCCUCACCCCUGCUUGACCUCUCAUGGUCAUCCAUUCUGGUCUCACCUUCAUGAGCACCAGCCUCAACUAUGUGAGGAUAAUCUUGUGACUCCUUUAUUGUUUUGGAGUCUCUAUCUUUCCCGUGAUCCCAACUAUAGUUGUUUACCACAACUACCUUAGCCAAUUUGCUGAGACAAAUGCUCAUCCGGAUCACAUCCUCAACUCAAUGAGGAAAACCUUACACUGUUCCCAAGAUCCCAAAGUCGUUCCAUUAUUGGCCCUUUUCUAUCCACCACCUCGCCUACAAGUUCACACAUGAACUGUACUGGAGAGCCAUGCCUUCCCGACUUGCUACUCCUCAAGGAUAGGCCCACUCCUCGGACCUUCCGAUGCCAACACUAGUGGUGAUAUACUUGAGCACCAAUAAAAGUCAGACUAAGGAACAGCUCCGAUACCAAAUUGUAAGCGACUAAAUUUUCCAUUCUACUUUAGUCAAUUAACCACACCUCCGACCACUUGGAGGAGUCUCAUUCACGACCUCCAUAAGUCCAAUCCAGGACUUGGGACUUGCUAGCCCCGAGAAUGGCAUCCAUGCCACUCAACAUUUGCACUUGGUCCAAGUGCUCCACGUGUCCGAUCCCAUGACCGACACUCAAAGGUACCACUGACAUGGCAGCCCAUUACGCUAAGGCCAUGCCCAAUCACCUUUGACACACUGGUAGUCCAAUACCACUUGCAUCACAGUCUUGGCUCUCCAAGACUAGGCAAACCAUCCGUGAGUGGUCAUCUCAGAUCCACUCCUUAGCAUCCUUAGGAUGCCCACCGACAAGGGGAAUAGCCUUCCCCAAUGUCCCUCUAUCAGUCCCCACUAAGUCCCUUUCUGCCCCUGGCCGUGUUUGCCAACACUGCCACUGGAUCGAGACCCACAGGCCCGACCACUAAGUCCCACGGUCCUCUGGGACUUCCUCACCACACGACUGUGUCCUUGGUCACUACCCCAGAGGACUGCUCCUCUUCCUUUCCACAGUCUGGGCCUUUGGGACAACAUUUCGGAACACCGUGGCCUUACGCAAGCCACCUGGGUACUCUCCUCGCCUUCUGCCCUUGGGUGCUCUAGCCAUGGGCUUAGAGCGGGGUUCCGUUGAGCCACACCAGGUAUCCAAGUAGGUAGUGCCACCCACAUUUGGACUGGGAGCAUCGGCCAGUCGAUCUCCCGGGGGAACUAGAGCCGGCUCUUGAACACUUCACCAAGCUACCCCGCUUGUCAGUCCGUGUUCACUCCAGUCUUGGACUUCACAGUGGGCAUCUCAUCACCCAACACUGGGUCCGGCCUUCCUGGGCCAAACUGGCCUUUCCUGGCCAAACUGGCUCCACUGCAGUCCUCCCCCUACUAUACUUUUGGAGCUCACCAAACCCCCCAGGGUCUGGGAGACAAACGCUUUGGGCUUUCACCCUCUCAGACUCGAACUUGGACUCGGACUCGGACUCGGACUCGGACUCGAACUCGGACUCGGACUCGAACUCGGCCUCGGCCUCGGUCUCGGUCUCGGUCCCGAUCUCGGUCUCGGUCUCGGCCCCGAUCUCGGUCUCGGUCUCGACUUCGGACUCCAACUCGGGUCCAUCUCGGGUCCAUCUCGGACUCCAUCUCGGACUCCAUUUUGGGUCCAUCUUGGGUCCAUCUCGGACUCCAUCUCAGAUCCCAUCUCGGACUCCAUCUCGGACUCCAUUUUGGGUCCAUCUCGGGUCCACCUCGGACUCCAUCUCGGACUCCAUAUCGGGUCCCAUCUCGGACUCCAUCUUGGACACUUCCACGUGUCAUGUGUUGGUCCUUUUUGGGUCCCCUUUUGGAGCUUUGCUUAUUGCUCGCUUCGUGCUCACUCCUUGAGCACUUUGUUGGGAGUUCCACUCCCGCUCUCGACCUUCCAAGUCAGAGCUUUUAGUCCAAACGUGUUACACUCGUUUGGCUUUCGCUUUGGCCACUACCACGUGGCAUCCUUUCCGGCUCCACUUUGGGGCCUAGGGAUUUUGUGUCUCACAACUUGCUAUUGGAAGAUUUGGGUUGCAAUGCUCAAUUCUUUUCCGGGGAACUUUGCUAUUGCUCCUUGAGUAGCUUAGUGUUGGAUUAAGUUUUGAGUUUGGUCAAAUAGCGAGUGGCAUGAGCUUGUCCAUGUUGUGAACAAAAGUUAGUGGUGUUGGGUGUUGUAAAUCUCUAUCAGUGGAGUAUGGCAUUUAUGUUGCAUUUUGUUGAAUUGAGUUAGCACUUGAUAUUCACAUAAACCUUUGAAGUAGUGACAUAGGUAUUGCUUGUGAUAUUACUCAAUUGAUGAUUAAGUCAUUGUGAUACUUAUAUCAUAUCCAUGUGACAAUGAGCAAUAUGUUUACAAAGUUGCUUGGUUAAAUGAUCAUCAACCCCAAAGUGGUUGAUGGUGAAGCUAGUCUACUUGCACAAAGUAACAUUAUAGUAGCUUUGACUGGAUUCUCGAUAGUGGUCCAUUAUGCUAAACUUAAGUUGGUACCUUGUUUCCAUGAGGGUUUGUCCAUAAGGUGUUGGAAAGGGUUGUAGCAUUCAUUUGCUAUAGCUCAUCGAUUGAUCUAUUAACACUUGGAGAAGAUUGUUGAAUUGAGAAGGUGUGUAGUUGAGGCAUUGACAGCACUAGCACUUGUGUUAGUGGAGAUGACAUUGUCAUGUUGAGUGAUGAGGAAUUUUCUUUAGAGCUUGAUUUUCCAUGUCAUUUUUCUUGUUAGUGUUUAAGCUUCACAUUGGAUCUUGAAGGUGGUUGAAAAAAAGUGUUAAGUGCAAUAUAGAUAUCCGAAGAUGUGGUCUUCGUGAUCAAGCCUUGGAUAUUCACUUUGCAUUUUGCAGAUGUCGGAGUUAGACAUCAAAAGUAUGGGCAAAAAGAUGUUCGAGGCUUAAGCAUACUAUGGGUCAUGAGAAUUUGUGUUAAGGUGAACUUUUAUGAAGUUGUUAGUAGGAGGAAGUUGGUUGAGUCUUGGAAGUUUGUAUUCCUAGACCGAGAAUCAUUCUUUCUCUAGGAUUGGAAAAUUUUCCAAGCUUUGUCUAAGUGGAGGUUGUGUACUGAUAUGAGUCCAUCUCAUGGUCUUCACUUUAGCUUCGACUAAGUGUUGAUCAUGCAUAACUAGCCUUUUCUAAGGCAUGCUCAGAGCUAAUGGCUAAAUGUUUUGGUGAGCUUAUUGCGGUUGAGUUGGAGUCAAGUGGUCAUUUAGUUCGUGCUUGUCCAUAAACCUUUAUCUCGACCUAGGGUAUCACGUUCAUGUUGGACAAGUGUGUAACUCAAUGGCAUGAGUUAGUGUUUGGGUUUUGUGAAAGGCAAGACAAGUGAUUGUUGAUUGCUUUGCAACUAGUGAUUGCUUGUAGACUUUGUCAAGGGCUUUUAACACUUGCUUCACUCGAUGAUAAUUUAGCAGUGAUGGGUUUGCUUUACCGGAUGGGGUUGCGGAGGAUCAUGUCAUUAGAUUUACAUGGUUUUCCAUAUUGGCAUGUUGACUCUACCUCUAUUGAUAUCAUUUAGUUGUGUUUAGUUCAUAGUGUUGGAUUUCAUUGAGUCUUGGACGUGAUGAAUCACUCCUUGAGGAAGUGUUAUCUGUAAUUGAGUUUUGCUAAAGGAUUGGUCUCGGAUACUAACUAAAGUAUCUUUGACCUUGGUUAGCUUGGUUGCUAGAGAGCUUUGAGUGGUAAUACACUCGUGCUUUCUUCUAGCCUUGUUUUAGUGUUGAUGGCAUUGAAGUGAUGCCUUGUUGUUGACAUUGUUGAUGUUGAAAUUUUAGUGAAAUGAGAUGUUUCUCCGCAAGAUUGAUGUCGAGUUUCAUUAGUUUUGAUGAAGAUAGUGUUGAUGAUUUGGCUAUAGCUUUGUGUUAUUAGCAUUCGUGCAUUUGCUAGUUAGCAACUGUGUUGACGUUUAAAUGAACUAAGUGGCAAGUUUGAGUUAGUUGUGUUCUAGACGAGAUUAUUUAGUAGGGGUUAAGAUUUGGCUUUUCCUUGAAAAGUGAUUCAGUUGUGGACUAUGCUAACUCUACAAGCGGAAGAGUUAGUGAUUGAUAUUGGAAUGUUUGAAUCCUUAUUGGAUUUGAGUUAGAAUAUAUCGAUCAUUGAUGAUUCUUUUUGUGCUUGUUAUGAAGUGAGUUACGUCUUGCUAUAAAUGGAUUCAUGGAGGAUCAUUUGGUGAUCACUUGUUGAGCAUAGCUUCGUUAUACUUAGCUUUUGGAUUGAUGCACACAUGCUCUUCAUUAGCUUUGGCAUUACAAAGUUUAGUUUAUAGAUGUGUUGAGGAAGAUAUUGUGGGUUAUACUAUGAUUUCUUCUUUAACAUUGAAGUUAGUUUAUGUGAGACUCGUGAUUAUUGCUAGGCACAUGGCUAUAGGCUUCUUCGAACUUUUGGUUCUUUGAGUUUUAUGCUCAUUGUUCCAUUUGUUAGAAGUCGUUGGGGAAGACAUUUUUGGCUCUUUAGCUUCAAUGUUGAAGUUAGUAUUUGCAUCUGGCAAUCAUUGGUUAUGAUUGAUUAUCAUUUGGGAUAGUUGAUUAUCCUUGUCAAAAGGAUUUUGCUUGAUUAUUGUUAAUAUAGACUGAGUUGCCAUUCUUCAAGAUGGUAGAUUCUUUCUUCAAUGAUGAUUAUACAUCUCUUUAUUGGUGGGAUAGUUGAUGAUCUUUCAUGAUGGUUAAUUGUUCUCCUUGAUGGCUUUUGGCUUUUCGCAAUACCAUAUGUUCUUUGUGGUUUACUCUGGAUUGGUCUGUUGAGUUUGAGACAUCAAAAGGAUGUUGCUGACACUUGCUUAAGCAACUCUGGUUCCUUCGUAUUGUUAACCAGGAUCUAUUCCGAUUGCCUAGUGUGAUAGUUGACAUGAAUGAGUGUUUGUUGGUCUUGCCACCUUCAUUUUGUUCUGUUGAUUAUUAUUCGAGUUAGUUCUGAUAGGUUGGGAUGUUAUUACUUUUGGGUGAUACAUUCGCGAGCAUUUUGCUUGCCAGUCAAUACCUUGAGUUCUUUGAGUUAUUUUUCAUAAAUUGUUUAGCAUACUAUCUGCCAUCUUUAGUAGUUAAGUUUUGUCAUUGAGUUUUCUCGAUGAUACGCUUGCUAUUGAAUUUUGUUAGAUGGUGAUUCUUAUGUUUACCAAUUAUGAUGAUCUUGGUGGUUUCUAUCCUAUAAUACUAGUUUAUCGGAUGAUAACUUACUUGGAAUACUUUUGUAUUCUAAUCUAAGCUUUAUUCAUUGAUGAUUAAAUCUCUAAGAUAUCAUUAUUUAUGACUUUGAUAUUGUCCAUCUCUUGUUCUUUGAGUUUGGGCUAGUAUAGGCAGACUGGCUUCGGCACUUCGUGUGCAUGGUGAAAUCUUUAGUCAUGGGGUAGUUACUGUCAACUGGUCACAUAACUCACCUCUCUGUCGAUGUUCCUUAUUCUGUUAAAAGGGCGUGACCGUGUAAACAACUCUAAUUGCUUGUUUACAGUAGUCUAUCUAAACUUUACAGAUGGCAGAAGGGUUGGGGCCUCUAGCUUCUCUCUCUAUGUCCCUGCAGGCAUGGGCGUAUCACACUUUUGUAAGCUGGGUGACUCCCAGAGUAGCAAAGGUGGCUAACUCCCUUAGUCAUUUCCUUGUUGGCGACGGUCGGAAGGUGUCUGAGCUGGUAGCGCAUCUGCGUUAGACAAAGAGGUUGCCUCCUAACUCAUUUAAGUUGGUGCAUUUCUCACAUAGUGUGAAUACCGUGAAUGCCUCGGCUAACCGAGGCCGUGUCGCGGAAGCCGAGCUUGAUCGAGGCCACCGAGCCCGACUCGACGCAAGGAACCGGACUAUCUUGGCAAGCUGGAGUUGUUUCCUUAGUGGUAUUCUAGACUCGAGUGUGCAUCGACGAGGACGUCGAUCUUCCCUAGGGGGGGGAGAGUGUUGCGACUAUGACUUCGGGUAUCGAAAGUUACCUGUUAACCAGUCCUUACGGACACUCUUACCUUACUGCCACGAUGGCAGGAGGUCGGUAUUGCAGCCCCUCUUGUUCAAGUGUUAGUAAACUAGACUUUGCAUUUGUACUUGGUUGGAUGAGCAUAAGGACGGAAUUCCUAAGUGUCUAUUCAGUCAAGCAUACUUGGCCUAGCUUUUUAGUUCUCUUUUGCUCUAUCUUGCACUGGCUUGACAAGAACCCUCACAUGUUGAGAUUGGUCCCUCAAUAUCACUACAUGAUAAUUUACCGUGUCUGCCAAACACCCUCGUUAUCAUGCCCUUUGUGUUUGUCUCAUUUCGGUCCCAAAUACUAUUUAUGGAAAGUGUCCAGAUUUGCUCAUUUGGCAUAUCUACGAAAUGUAGAGAUCGUCCUGAACACAAUGGUGUUCGUCCCAUAUCCAAAUUCAUAAUCUAGGGAUAUUCCAUAUUUAAUAAGUUUCGAGCUUGUCCCAGAGACUAACUCCUGAUACUAAGGGAGGCUUGCCCAAAGCGUGUGUUCCUCAAAAGGAGGGGGGGUUGUGGGGGGUUCCAAAUGUAUAAUAGGGAUAGUGGGUAGGUCAGGCAUGGCCAACCAAUCUGAGGCAUAGUCUAGCUUCCACUUGCGUGCCCGUCCUUGUUCUAUGUCCGGCUUGGGUCUAAGCCCAAGUUCCACACCAUGCUAGUUGGUGGAGUACCCAUGUCCUUGCAUUAGGCCACCAGUAUGCCGAAAUAGCGCCAGACUCUAUUUGGCUCCGUUUGGCUCCGUUUUGCGUGCUGGUCUUGGCAUUGGGAUGUUGGUUGUUCUAGGACUGUCCCAAGUCGCUCCGGGCUCCUGUCCCUUCACUCCUUAGGCUUUAUGCUCGGGAGUUGUUAUGUGGUUCAGUUCCGUCACUCCUUGGCUUCGUGCUUGGGAGUUUGGCACCGUUCCUUCAUUCAGUGGCCCAAGGCCUUGAACCUCGGGUUCCUAUGGACACGUGGCAUAGACAUUUGGCAUAUGACACGUGGCAUUUGUCACGUGGCACAUAGAGGGUUUAGGUUCCGCUUUGUGGUGUUAUCCUAUGGUAAAUCACCAUAGGAUAAAAGGUCAAAACCACAUGCGCUACAGCAUUGCACCAAUAUUGGAGAGAUUGCCAUGUCCAAAACUUUAAUUGUUCAAUCAAUUCCAUCAUCAGAGUGAAGAGGUCAUAGCCAAGGGUGGUUGUCCAUACCUCAAGAGUGUGUCACCAACCUUAUCUAAAAGCUUGAUUCAACAAUAGCUGCAUUUACAAGUUUUUGUUUGUAGAGAAAGUAUGCACUUUGCACAUACAUGAUGUAAUGUCACCUAGUGAGAAUCUUCAUUGGGAGUUAAGUCUGUCUUUAGAACUAUGAUUGGGUAUAGAGCCUUGUAUACCCUAAAUUUUCCUGAGAUGAAACAUUUAUUGAUUGUCUUAAGCUUGUUUCACAUAGUCUUGCUUAAUCCUAAACCCCAACUUUUUGCUCCAUCCGAGGCCACUAUUGUUACCUUGUCAUGUAUUAGGUGUGUUUGCUUUAUGGUAAUUUGAUUAGAGGAGUGCACUAGCCCUUGCCACUAACAUGAUAUACUCUUCUACUCAAAUUUUCCAUGGUAGGCAUUAAUCAAUGGUGUAUCUUAGGUAUUAUAUUUUUUUAUAGCAAACGUGGCUUUCACCCUUUAUCUUAUAGUGAAUUACUAUAGGAUAACCAUAAAGUGGAACCUAAAUCCUCCAUAUGCCACAUGUAACAUGCGAUGUACCACAUGCCACGUGUUGAAGGAUAGUAGAGCAAAACCCAACUUUCAAGGCCUUGGGCCACUAAAUUAAAAAACGAAGCCAAACUUCUAAUCAUGGAGCUAAGGAGUGAUGGCACUAGAGUAUAGAGCAAUAGCACUGGAGCACAGAGCAAUGGCACUGGAGGAUAGAGCAACUCUUGAGCAUAUAACCCAAGCAAUGAAGAGACAAGAGCAUAGAGUUACUUAGAACAAUCCUAAAACAUUUAACAUCCUAAUGCUAGAACCAACACCAAAACAGAGCUAAAUGGAGUUUAACACUAUUUUAACAUACUAGUAAACUAAACUAAUGUGAGGAUAUGAGUAUUCCACCAACUAACAUGGAAUGGAACUUGGGCUUAGACCCAAGCUAAAUGCAGAAUAAAAACAAGCAUGCAAAUACAAGCUACAUUGUGCCUUAAGUUAGUUGGCCAUGUUCAACCUACCACUAUCCUUAUUAUAUAUUUGGACCCUUUAUAUCCCCCCGUAUCUUAGGUAUUAUAUUUCUUUAUAACAAACAUGGCUUUCACCCUUUAUCCUAUAGUGAAUUACUACAGGAUAACCACGAAGCAGAACCUAAUCCCUCCAUAUGCCAUAUGUAACAUGCCAUGUGUUAAUGGACAGUAAAGCAAAACCCAAGUUUCAUGGCCUUGGGCCACUAAAUGAAGAAACAAAGCCAAACUUCUAAUCAUGGAGCUAAGGAGUGACGGCGCUAGAGCAUAGAGCGACAACACUGGAGGAUAAAAUGACUCUUGAGCAUAUAACCCAAGGAAUGAAGAAACAAAAGCAUGGAGUGACUUAGAACAAUCUUAAAACAUCUAACAUCCCAAUGCUAAAACCAACAUAUAAAACAAAGCUAAAUGAAGUUUAACACUAUUUUAACAUACUAGUAAACUAAUAUGAGGCUAUGAGUAUUCCACCAGCUAACAUGGAAUAGAAUUUGGGCUUAGACCCAAGCCAGAUGCAAAAUAAAAACAAGCAUGCAAAUACAAGCUACACUGUGCCUUAGGUUGGUUGGCCAUACUUAACCUACCACUAUCCUUAUUAUAUAUUUGAAACCAUUUAUAUCCCCCCGUAUACCAGGUAUAAUAUUUCUUAAUAGCAAAUGUGGCUUUCACCCUUUAUCUUAUAGUGAAUUACCAUAGGAUAAUCACAAAGCAGAACCUAAUUCUUCCAUAUGCCAUGUGCAAAACCCAAGUUUCAUGGCCUUAGGCCACUGAAUGAAGAAACAAAGCCAAACUUCUAGUCAUGGAACUAAGGAGUGAUGGUAUUAGAGCAUAGAGAAACAACACUAGAGCACAAAGCAACGGCACUAGAGCACAGAGCAAUGGCACUGGAGGAUAAAGUAACUCUUAAGCAUAUAACCCAAGGAAUGAAGAGACAAGAGCACGGAGUGACUUGGAACAAUCUUAGAACAUUUAACAUCCUAGUGCUAGGACUAACAUACAAAAUGGAGCUAAAUGGAAUUUAACACUAUUUUAGCAUACUAAUGUGAGGAUAUAAUUAAUAUGGAAUGGAAUUUAGGCUUAAACCCAAGCCAAAUGCAGAAUAAAAAUAGACAUGCAAGUAUAAACUACAUUAUGCCUUAGGUUAAUUGACCAUGCUCAACCUACCACUACCCUUAUUAUAAAUUUAGAACCCUUUAUAUCCCCCCAUUCCUUUUGGUAGUAGGGAAAAAAAAUUCAAAAGGAUUAGCUGACAAAUAAUUUUUGAUACCUGCAGUUACAUUUAUGACAUUUUUCGUGUGCUCAAUCAUAUAAACAAUCAAAGAUAAUGAUUGAAGGAAAAUUGUCCAUUAACAAAAAUGCACUUUUAUUUCCAAUCAAAGGAUUUUUGGUAAUCCCCCUAAAAGUCCAAAUUCAAACGCUUAUAAAUCAUUUCCCCCUUGUAACUUGCUAGGGAAGUCCAAAUUCAAAAACUUACAAAUCCAUUCCCUUUUAUACUAGAAUUUAUUUGUUGUGUUUGGGCCAAAAACCAUUAUCUUUGUCUUACUCAUAUGUUUAACAACAAAUCCAUUCCCCCUUCUAGUGGAAGUUGUUUGCUAUAUCUAGGCUAGAAACCAUCAUCUUUGUCUUAGUUGCAUUGAAGUUCCAGUUGUGAGGGGACCAAUAUCCACAUUUAUGAGCAACUACAGAAUCAUCCCAGGAAGCAAGAUUGAGGAGGGAGUGUGCCCUGCCAUAAGCAUUUCUAGCCCAUUGAUGAAUAGGCAUAAAGAGUGGGGCAACCUGUGUCAUAGUCAGUCUUAGUAUGCUGUAGGAUGUCCACUUUCACGUUUUCGUAAAGCCUCUAAAUGAGCUUGAUGAGCUCUGGUUGGGACAUUUAUCUCUUGAAGCUGUGUGCUUGUCAAAGGCUUUUACUAUGUCGAUGUAGCAUACAUGAACUGAAGUAGGUCCACAGAAGUGGCUACCCGCCGCAUCAUUAAGUGGUCAAUGCAACUAUAAUGCAGUUGGAACCCAGCCUGCCCUCUCACUCUACAUCUUUUGUCUUCUGUCCAGCACACAAGACACCUUUGGCUAGAAGCUUCGCAAAGAUUGUUGAGAUCAAGGGUUUCUUAAAGCAUGAGAACAUGAUAUCUCAAUCUAUAAGUGUCAGAAACUCAGUAGAUUGUCCCCUUGUCCAUCAUAAAUAUUCUAUAGACUCUAGAAAGUAUCCAUCUACACCUGGGUUCUUAAAGACCACCAAGAAAUUUUUUGUUUAUCCUGAGAAAGCACAAUAUUAUGAGUUGAGGAUAAUGAACAAAAAACAGUUGUGCAACUAGUUCUUCAGAGGGUUUAACUUAAACCAUAAACCCGAAAUGUAGAUCCUUUCUCAGGCACUCUUCAAGGCUGUUGUGCGGGAUCUCGUGAUCAAGAAUACGCCCCUAUAAAUUGCAGAUCUCGUAAUCAAUGGCUAUCAAGAAGAAACUCAUUGUUACCAGCAGACAGCAGCCAAGUUGUGGAAGAGGACUCGGAAUUGGAUCGGCAUGUACGUGUAAUUGAUCCAGCCAACAAGCGGCCACACCUGCGCAUGUAAAUCAAACCAAGCAGUCACUAAUCUUCCCACUGAAUCCAGUAAAGUUUAGUACCCUCCAAGCAUUUAGUUGCACAGAAGGAUAGUCAUUGCGAAGUUUUCUCUUGACAAACGACCAUGACUUUCCUGCGUAGAAAUAAUAACACGCACGGAGCUUAAUGAUCAAACUCUCGACGAUCAAACACGCAAAGAGCCUUACCUUCGAUCACGGAAGUGAGGUACACCAUGAAAACAAAAUUGUUCCAAGGCCCCGAUGUGAGCUGCUCGACAAUAACCUGGAAAUCCAAAUGCAAGGUAAGAGAGAAGUUCCCCUUUUCUUUCUCUCAAGCAAACCUUCUUAGUGACCGUCUUUUGGUCGCGUUUACCAGCGAAGACGUAGUCCAUGAGCUUGUGGAAAAAGUGUCCAAAUGGACCCCCAUACAACAAGCCAUAGAGCUUGACAAAGAAAAAACAAAGUAAAUUAAGAUCUAGGACGAAGAACACGAAGAAUUUCUUACCGCAAUGAGAAGGGCGCGCCUCAGCUGGAGCUUCUUGACCCCCAUGAGCUUCUGCGCGACGAGAUCACUGCAUCCAGCCAGCGUCCCGGCCGUGAGCGCCUGGAAAUCGAUCAAAUGGAGGGAGGAAUUCCAUGAAAUCGAGCAAAAAGAAUCGAUCUCCGGCCUACCUUGGUGGGCAAAGGAUUCUUCUGCAAGGAAGUAAGGUACUUGCGCCAAGCGAGCUUGACGAUCUCCAUCCCUCCCCUCCAAAAUUCCCCACUCUCUUCUAGUUAUAGUUUUGCGCCUAUCUUUCCCUAAAAGGUUUCGAGCCUUAGCCUUUCUUAAACAUCGGGGAUAAACCAAGAAUAUGCUAGUAGUUUUUGACAGGAGAAUCGAACCCGAGAAUUACCCUAGGGCGCUCUAGGGUUUUGGCGGCGGCUGGAGAUCGAUCGAUUGCGCCAGGGAUUCCGCGAUGGUAAGCUCUUCCUUCUCAGAUUGCAGCUGGGCCUAGGGGAUUGAUUCGUCUCUCGGCGCGUGCUAUCAGCCGAAGCAGAUCAGCGAGAUCAAGGAUUUCUUGCUGACGGUGAGGCGGAAGGACGCGCGCUCCGUCAAGAUCAAGAGGAGCAAGAAUGUCGUCAAGUUUAAGGUCCGCUGCAAGAAGUACCUCUACACCCUGUGCGUCUUCGACUCGGACAAGGCCGACAAGCUCAAGCAAUCGCUUCCGCCUGGUGGGAUUUUUCAUCGUUUCGCCCCUUCUUCUUCGCUAAUCCGUUCUUUGUUUUUCUUUUCCAGGCUUGACUGUGCAAGAUCUCUAGGACAGCUUCGAGAAGGAAGCUCGCAUUUUGUAAGAGAAUGGCUUAAGUUGAAUUGACGUUGUUGCGAAGGCUUUGGGUCUUUGAUCUGUGUUGUUUCGAAGAAAGCUUAGCUCUGGAACUUGGUGAGCUCAAAGUUGCCGAGUUUUCCCAACUCCAAGGUGCUGCCGAUUAUGCUUUCAUCAUCCGCCAGCCAGUUCUUUCGAUUCCCAACACCAGAAUUGAGAAAUAUCAACCUGGAUAGCAUUCGUCAUGAAGAGGAAAAAUAGAUGGAAGUGUACCUGCGGACCAUGCUCCGCUUCCGAAAUUCGUCAUGGACAGAACAAGCUCAAGGCGAGCCACGAGACAAAGUGUGGGAGCAUGUUGGAUGCUCGCAGCAUUUUACAGGGGCGAUCAGGAGAUCGAAGAGAGCCUCAAACACAAAAGACUAUACACAAGACUCCCAAAUCUGAAACAUUCUUACGUUCUUAGAGGUGCUCGUCUACGAUUUUGGUGACAACUUGGACACCAUGCUGGGAAAGCAGCUAGUUAGCCAUGACAAAGAGAGCUAGCUCGCUUACAUUGUGUAUGAAAAACUCGUCUUUUUCCACCAGUGAAGGCUUGUCCCACUGAGCAGUGAAGACGCGAGCUCCUGACGCCGCCUGGGGCGGCGGCUGAAGGAAAAGUCUGUGCGUCACAAAUCUCUGCUUUCUUUAUUUUCUCAGAGGUUAGUCCACAAGUGAAAAGAACACAAGAUACCUGCCAAGCUGCCGGCAUGUACUCGCGGUACUGGAUGCGAGAAGCGAUGGCUUUCCUCUUGGGAGGUGCAUAAAGGAGAGCCUUCGUUGCCAGAACCAAGAAAAGCUUGGUGUUGCGAAGGUUACGUAGCUCUUGGACAAUCAGCUCGGAAAAACGCUGGACACCGAGCGUUCUGCAAACGAGAUGAUAUCCUUUGCUUUCAAAAGAAAGAGGUCCCUUAUUCUUACCUUCGACUGGUGUAAGCAGCAGCACAGCUAGACAUCCAAUCCAGCCAAUAAAACGAGCCAAUACUGCAAAAGGACACCAAAGUUACACACCAUUUCUCGACAUUGUCUGAGUAAAUUGGAAGAGAACCCGUCGAUAAGAACUAGCUGUACUGCUUUGCCGUGGUGCUCUUGAGAUAUCCUGCUUGACUGGAUGUGAAGGCUCUGGGAAGCAAGAAAAGAGACAAGAUCGACCGAGGACUUGAAUGAAAACUGCCGGUUCCUUACCUUGAGAGAUGCCAGGAAUUCAAAGCUCUUGAAACACCUCAAGCAAUAAAAGCGUCUCAGGCUGGCCCUCAAAACCUCCUCUCCUUGCUCUUCCAAGCAAAUCGAAUUCGAAGCUGUAUCAUCCUUAUGUGCCGCUAAAGUGUUCUAAACGUCAGAACUUUGCUCUCUAAGAAACUGAUAGAAAAGUUUACCAUUAAUACGAGCUUUGAGCACGCUGGUCAGACGCGCUAUGUCGAAUCUCCCAUCCAGAUCAAACAUGAGAACCACAGCUUCCGAUCCUCCGUAAGAAACUCCGUUAAAACUUGCUGGAAGAAUACACGAAACAGCAGCCUGGAAAAAGAAAAGACGAUCGAAUUCACAAAGUCUAGAAAAAGAACGAGCGAAUGAACGAACGAAAGCGCGAACCUGGAUAAGCAAUUCAGUCUUUCCAGACCCACUAGGCCCAGCAAUCUCCAAGACAUGCCCCGGCCUGAGCGCAGCUCGAUCCAGAGGAGGAGCAAUCGAAACAACCGGAGGCCGCCUCAAAUCUCCUGCUCUUCCAAUCCCACAUUCUCUCCUGCUCUCGCUCCUCUUGCUCGCCCAGCCCUGGAACGCGUCCACAGCGGUCUCGUCCGUGGCACACCACCCGCAAACUUGAUCCGGCGUCACAGUCACGCUCUCCACAUCCAAUUCUCUCUUCCUGCUGGAGCUGGAAUCGCCUGCUUGCGACCUCCGGCGCCAUCGCGGCGCUACUGGAGCACGGCGCUUGCGUAUCCAUCCCUCGCUUUUCUUCCUUCUCGGCAUUCCAACCUAAGUAUAUGAAAAGAAUUAAACGUAAAGUUUAUAGAUCCAAUUGUCCUGGAGAAAGCAUGAAUUCAGCGAUAGUUCCAAGUAGAUGAGAGAAAAAAAGUUUUGGCUUACCAGUUUUACAAAAGCUUCAAUUGUCUUGUCACCGAAUCAACGAGAGGUUUGGGUCCUGCGGAUGAAAUGCAAGUUACGCAAAAUCGAACGAGGGAAAAUGUGUGAAACCUGGUCCAAUCACCAGCACCGUCUUCGAGCCUGCUGCUACCUGUUUGAAUCAAACACAAGUAUUUUUGUUUCUUUCAGUAGCAAGCCUGAGAACAAAAGAAGAACGAAAGAAAAAAAAGUGGAAGACGAACUAUAGAUUUUAAAAGAGAUCACCAUACCUGAGUGCGACCUGCAUCGGCGAUUGUAAAAGUUGGCAGUCCGGCUCUCUCGGCUUUUGCUUUCAGAUCAUUCCUGUUAAGAUUUAUGAUGAGCGAGCGAUGAUCUUUCUGGGAAUGGUUUUAAGUCUCACAUUUCUGGUUCGUGCUUGCAGCUGACAACGAUCUUGGGUUGGCCGCAAGAUUCCCACUUGCUCAGCAGCGAUCGAUUGCUGGAUGAAAAAAACGUGUGAGGAAGUUUUGCGAUAAACCGAGAACGUACCUUUGCAUGAGAUCGCUGUAUAUGCCCACUGCUGCAUCUGGAGGAAAGAAUUCACAAAAUCGUCAGGAAAAGCAAAGGAGAAAAGAAAGAAGCAAACACUUUGGGAAGAAAAACUCACGAGCACACUGAGAGGCAAUCUUUCCUCCUCCCAUCUUCAAAUCCAUUCGCACAACAAACACCUGCGCAAACAAAAGAAAGAGCUCAGAUAUUCAAAGGUCGAGGAGAGACAACAGUACCAUUUUGAGCUCGCCAGUUUGAUCCGAGUUGAUAACGCUGCUACCGCUAGAGCUGGACGAUCCAGACGCAGCAGCAUUGCCUCUUCUAGCCUUGCUACCAGAACGAGGAGCAGCGGGGGUAAAAAGAGCCUUGCCGGCAUUCUUUGGAAGCUCUGUCCACAAUCCCAGCGUGAAUCCCAGUAUGAGCCCCGGCAAGAAGUAGGAGAUUUUGAGCGCAAUCGUCAGCCAGGUCUCCCUGCCGCUGGCGCUGGCGCUGGCGCCGAUUUCCUGCCGGAAAAGAAAAGAAUCGAAUCGAUUCGAUCGAUACGGCGAAGGAAUGCGCUCGAUUGACGAGAUUAGGGCGAGGAAAUACCUGACGAGCUCGGGGCGAGCGCUGCAGUGGCUGCUUGUGGCUUCGCCAAUGCGGCUUCUCCUCGCGCUUCAUCAUCCCUCUCUCUCCUCCACCAAAAUUGUGGGGUUCGAAUCUCUUCAAGUAUAGUCUAGGGUUCGAAUCUCGACACAAAGUUUUGAGGUUCGAAUCUCCUGAAUUACACAUUAAAAUUCGAAGGUUCGAAUCUCUUCAAGUAAAGAAAGUUUAAGGAAGUUCUAAGCCAGCGAUGGCGGCAUCGCUUGGCGCAGCAUUUCCAGGGAUUUCCAGCUCCUUCUCGAGGGAUCGCGAGCAUCAUCGCCGGCGUGGCCAUGGAGGAGUCCCUGUUGCGGCUAACAGCAGUGGAGGCGGGGGUGGGAUCAAGACUUCGACGUCCCCAGUGGGGGAUUUCGGGCUCAAUCUGGCGGAAUACGAGGCGCUGCCAUCGAUUCAAGCUCCCAAGCGUGUUGUUCUUGUCCGCCAUGGCCAGAGUACGUGGAAUGAGGUAGGACGCAUCCAAGGCAGCUCCGAUUUCGCUGUUCUCACGCCCAAAGGUGAGAUUCAAGCCGAGACUUCCAGGCAGAUGUUGAUUGGGGACUCCUUUGAUGCCUGCUUUCACAGGUUCUUCUCAUUCUUUUCUUACAUUGUAGGAAUUUCGUUUCGUUUCUCCAUGAUCAGGCGAUCACAAUUUCAUACUUUUCUUUUCCUCUUUGCAGCCCACUCGCAAGGGCCAAACGAACAGCGGAGAUAAUAUGGGCUGCGAGACCACGUCCAAUGUUGUCAGUGGAUGACCUUCGUGAGAUUGAUCUCUAUGCUUUUCAGGUGCGUGAAAAAAUAUUCUGUUUGGUCGAUGUUCCUAUCAUUCUUUCUCCUUUGCAGGGUCUAAUGAAGAAUGAAGGAAAACAGCGUUAUGGUGAUGCAUAUAGGAAAUGGCAAAUCGAUGCUCCCAACUUUGUCAUUGAUGGUCACUUUCCAGUCCGAGAACUUUGGGUCCGGGCACAGAAUUGUUGGAGCAGGAUUUUAAGCUCCCAAGGCUCUUCAAUUCUUGUGGUGGCUCACAAUGCUGUGAACCAGGCACUUGUUGCCACUGCCGCUGGUAUACCAGGAGCUCCUUUUUUCUUUUUUCUUUCUCUCACCUUUUAUGUGGUGAUUGACAGGAUUGGGACCACAUUACUUUAGACAACUUUUGCAGAGCAACUGUGGAGUGACCGUGCUUGAUUUUACACCACGUUUUAGUGGUGAUGGGCCUCCAUACACUUGUCUCGACAGACUUAAUCAGGUAUAUUCUAUAGUUGCUUCUAUUUUCUUUUGCUGAUUCCAGUUCUGUAAUAGACUCCAAGUCCACCAGUUGCUGCGGGUGGAGGAAGAAAAGCACGGUGCUGCCUUGUUCUUGUUUGCCACGGAGCUACUGAAAGUACUGUUCAGGUAACAGACUUGAGAAUCAUGCGUGCGUUUUAUUUGUUGUUCGUGAUUGUGUUCGUCUCUGCAAAACUUGACAGAAAAAAUUAAGCUGCGAGGAUAUGUGACAUGGGAUUAAAAAGUUGAGAGACUGCGGUAAGCGCUUGUGUUUGAAAAGUGAUGCUAAUAGAUGCGAAAAUUGCAUUGCGUAUGUCUUCUAGUACUAGACUUGAUCGAAUAUUUUUGUGCUUGCAGAAGCGAUUUCCAUCCUCGGACAAGGAAACCAUGAACAUGCUGGGAGUUAUUCAGGUUUGGUAGUUUUUUACACAAGCUCAUGUAUUGAUAGGAUGCACUGUUUGACAGUCACGUAAGACAGCAGAAUUACUGCUUGAUGUUAGAGCAGGAAACAUUUUUUCCGGUCCGCAACCUUGCUCUGUGAGCACGGCAGCUUCAAUCGCCGAGGUUUCUUUCAUAUGCUCUGAAAUUCUUUUUCAAGCUAAACGUUUUCUUUUUUUUUUUCCUUUUUCUCGCAGGUUCAAGAGGCUGCUGAUUGUCUGGGAGCUGACUGCGUUCCCAGAUACGUAGAGGUUCAAACACUACCUGAAUUAGACGACAUGAAUUGGGGAGCUUGGCAGGCAAGUUUUUCCCAUUCUCGACUCACUCUUUGUCUUAAACUGUGUAUUUUCUCAUGGGACAUUCCAGGGGAAACUGAAAGAAGAAGUCGCCCAUCAUGAACGAUGGCAGGACUUUCUCCAGCACGAGACCGUCGAGGGAGCCGAAAGCUUGUCACACCUGUGGGAGCGAGCUGGAAACGCCUGGAAGAAACUCACGCUCAGCCUCAAGGAUCUGGAAGGCACAGAAAACAGCACGGCUGUGGUGGUGGCUCACGAGACGGUUCUCACGGCUUUGCUCGCCCACUGCCUCGAUCUCUCGCAGGCCUUCCUCGGAUCCUUUCGAUUGGACACCGCUGGAGUGUGCGUGAUCGAUUUUCCCGAUGGAUACUCCGGCAAGGGCGUGGUUCGCUGCUGGAACUACACGGCCCAUCUCGGGCGAUGGGCGGUCCCGGUUACGCGCCCAACGCUGGGAGACGAGGAGUUCUAAGGAGACGCGCGAAAGCAAAGAUUUUAAAUUUGAAGCUGGUCGGGGGUUCGAAACCCGGCAUAAGGGAACAAAAUCUAGUCUCCAAUUUAGGGUUCUUCGUUUGUUCCAUGGCGACGGUGGCAGCGCAGAUAUCCUCGCGCGGGGCGAAUCUCAUUGCUGUGAUUGCGGACGAGGUGUGUGUCGUCGCAGGCACUGGCGAGAAUCCGGGCUGAAUGAUUUUGGGGUUUUCCAGGACACCGUGACGGGAUUCUUGCUGGCAGGAGUAGGGAAUGUGGAUCUGCGCCGCAAGACGAACUAUCUCCUCGUGGAUUCCAGUAAUGCCCAGCUCCCCUUUGUUUGCUAAGAAUCUGUGAUCUCUUCCUCCGCAGAGACGACUGUCAAGACGAUUGAGGAGACAUUCCGGGAUUUCACCACCAGGGAGGACAUUGCCGUCAUCUUGAUCUCGCAAUACGUGAGUUUCUUCGCAAAUCCAAUCCUCCAACAACAUAUCUCUUGCUUGUUCUUGGCAGAUCGCAAACAUGAUUCGCCUCACGAUCGACGCCUACAGCAAUCCCAUACCCGCGAUUCUGGAGAUCCCGUCCAAGGAUCACCCCUACGAUCCAUCGCAAGACUCCAUCUUGUCUCGUGUCAAGCACAUGUUCUCCGGCGAGCCCGCGAGCGCUUCCAGACAAUAGGAAAGAUCUCUUCGCGAAUAAUAAACCCUAGCUGAGAUUUUAGGGUUCUUCGCGGCUAUGGAUACCAAGCAAUGGAUCGAGGCUGGGCUGAGGAAAUUCCAGGAAGUGAGGAGCCGGCGCCAGCAGCUCCGGAGCGAGGCUGCCGCGGAGGUGAUGGUGGAUCCUCGCGUCAUUCUCACCAGGAAGGCAAUCUACGCGCUCGCAAUCGGCUGGAUGGGCGCCUUGGGGUAUCUCUACACGAUCAAUCGAUCCUGGGACAAGGCCGCUGAGAAGUCCGCCGCCGCCGCCGCCGCCGCGAACAGCCGCCAGCGCGAUGGGAUCUAAUCGAUCGCUCUUUCUUUCCUCGCGAAAAUGCAGGUAGUGUUCUUCCAAUUUCUCUCUAGUUUGCUAAGAAAGGGAUCCUCUAGAAUAAAUCCGGCAGCUGGACGAUCUAAUCUCUAGAAUCUCCUCAUCGAUUGAGCGAGGACAAUCUCCUCGACUGGGCUGCGAUGAUCUGGGCAGUGGAGGGGCUUUGUGAGACGAAGAUUUGGAAGCCAUCGUCCCAGGCGGGGCUCAUCCCAUCCGCGAAGAGCUGCCACACGAGAGAUCCCGCCGCGGCGCCGCCGGUCCUGGCCGAUGCGUAGACAGUGGAGUAGAGUGUGCUGAGGAAUCGAUCGCGCUGCCCCACGACAUAGCCGGGGAGCCGGUCGGAUUUGCCAAACUCCGCGAAGAGCACGGGCUUUUGGAGCACCGUCGUGGCAUCGUCGAUGUGUUCUUGGACCCAGGAGGAGAGGAACUGGAGCUGGGCAUCGAUGCUCGCUCCCGGAAGCCUGGGAGAAGAAAGAUCGUCACUCUCACUUGAUCAAGGUGGGAUUUUUGUCAUACCAGAGAUCGGGAUAGCUGUGGACAGUGGCAAAAUCGAUGCUGGGGAUUUGGUUGUGCCGCAGGAAAUCACUGCCCAGAUUGCUACUCCAGCUUCCAGGGCUUGUUCUUGCGGGAUCUUUGUAAAAGCCUUCCAUUCCAACGUCGACGAGGUGGUUAACGUCGAGAGAUUUGAUAAAGGAUGACAUCUCUUUGAUCCAGGCCUGGAAAAAAAGUGUUUUUUAGUGAUCGAGAGAGUUAUAGAUGCUUGCCUCGAGGGUGUUGCCGGAUGGAUCGCUGGGGAUUCUUGGCUCGUUCAUGAGCUCCCAUGCAAAGAUUGUUGGGUCGUCGCGGUACGCGAUCUUGGUGAUGGUGUUCACUCUCGUCACCACUGUCUGCAAAAGAAAAUAGAGGAUUUUGAGCAAUCUUGUUAUGUUCUUCCAUUUUACUUCCAAUGAAAGAAAGCUUUCAUUUUUCUAUGGAAUCCCCGUGACCCUCGAGUCAAGAUGAAACAGAGGUCUUAAGUUUAAAGACAAACUUCACUGUAUAAUCAAUCUCAAAAUAAGAUUGACUAUGUGGCUUUGGCUUUUCAAGCGGUUCCUAAUCUCUAUCACUCUUGAGUUCUUCCCAAACUUCUCCCACCAAGAAAGAAGUAGAGCUUGAAAGCUAUUUCCUUGAUGGGAGAAGUUUACAAAGAUCUCCCUCCUCGCAAAGAAAAAAAACAUAACUUUUCGAUCGAGCUACUGACCUGGAUGUAGUUCCGAAAGUAAGAUUUGAUGGUGGGCUCGCUGAAGAACGCAUCGUCGGAGCUGCAAGCAAUGCCUGCUUGCCGAGCCCAUUUCACGUACUGGCUCUUCCCUCCCAGCGAAUCGUAGUUGUCGCUCAAGCUUAGCAGCAGCCUCACACCCUGACUCCUCGCUUCAGCGAUGACAAAGUCGAGCGCCUUCAAAGUCCAGACAAGAUCACAAAAACAAAGUGUGAGUUUAUACAUCUCUAAACAAAGAACUAAGAUAUGACAAUGAGCAAAGACAAAGAGUUUUGUUGUUUCACCUGAAGCGAUUGCUCGCUGUAAACUCCGGGGCGGAGCUGGAUGGCGUUGUAGCCACCGUCAUUGAAAGCCCAAGUUCGUGCCACGGUGAGGCCCAGACUCGAGGCUUGCCGGAGGAAGCCGCUGACUUGAUCUCUCGACUCGCAGGCCACUCGGGUCAUCCAGUAGGCGUUGAAGCCAUUGACGUAGAACAAGCGGCCGUCGAGAGUGAAUCGCGUGCCGCUUCGUGUCACGAAUCCUCCCCCGAUCGGUCGUGGGCUGAUCUUCUCUGAGUCGAAGUUGCUACUUUGAGCUAGACUAGAACUAGCUACUGAGCUUCUAAGAGUCGAGACUAUCAGAAGAAGUAGAGCAACCUGUGCUCGUGACUGUGAUGAUCUUGAUCUAGCUAAGUGCAUUGUCUUGGAAACGCAAGAAUCUCAAGGAGGGAGUGGAAGAACUUGGAGUCUUUCACUGUUUUACCAGGCAAGGGCUUGUUAAGAAAUGUUACAGGUUUGCUCUUGAGGGAACUUAUAUAAGUCAUGUGUUCUAGGAUCUGGCAGCAAAACGGCCCAAACAGUUUCCACAAUGCAGGCCAGAAAACCGACACAGACUAACGUGUGUGAGCUCGUUUCACAGUUUUUUAAGAUCUUUGGUGUUUCUUCCUCCUGGACUCCGAACAGAACGAAGCCAAUGAGAUAAAAGAGGAAAACGUUUCUCUGAGCAAAGCUUUGCGGCUCAAUGCAGGGGACGAAUUGUCAAGGAGGAGUGAUCGCCAUUUCCUUAAAAAAUACUUUUGAAUGGGAGUGAUUUAAAAGCGUGGGAGAGCGAAUUGAGCUCCCCCUCUGUUACAUUGCAGUGAUCACUCGAGCAAAAUUGGUCAAAAUCCAUCCCCCCUUUGAUUCGGUUCGUAACGAACGAACGUGGUGCAUGUUACGACCGUUGGCGACCGGGUAAAAGAAUAUCCCACGCCUUUGCUUGCAUUAAUAUGCUACUCCCAAGGAACAAAGGAUUGAUUAAUCGGAAUGAACGUAAACAAAACAAAGCUUGGCUCUUUGCAUGCUUCCAAGCGCAAACAUCAGACUUUUGUGGCUUUACGACAUGGUAACAUGAUUGCUAAGAUUCUUGGGAACAAUGUAAAAAUUUCAUAGAGAUAAGUUUUUCUAGGGUUCUACGAUGCUUGUUGGGCGUCGUUCUGGAGAACGUGAAUUUAGACAGGGAGCUCCUUGACAAGUUUGGCGAGCUCAGUGCACAAGGAGGUAUUCUUGGAUGGGCUGAUCGAUUUAAUUCUUGAUAAGGCCAUGCCACUCAAAGCAUGGCAUUUUCACAAUCUCACGGGAACGAGGUGCCAUGGCAAGAUGAUUAAGAGGAUUCUUGACGAAGGGUUUCUAGCUGUGGCUCUAGAUUUGCUGAACGAGAAGUGUGAUCAAGAGACCUUCACAAGUGUGAUCCUGGAAUGCAUAGCUGAUAAACCUGGAUGGUGGACGGAGAAACUAGCGCAGAAAAUGGACACGAUGAAGAGUCUAGGAUACAAGCGUGAGAUGGUCCUGUUUGAGGAUUAUUUGCUCCUCUAUUCAGAACCAGGGCAUAUCUUCCUUGAAAUGGUGAACGAACAUCCUAAUCUUGCUGCAAAACCAGAGGUUUACCAAAAGGUUUUUGACAGUUCGCCAUCCGCUCACUCGGUCUUCAAGGAGGCAAGAGCUAAAGGCGUGGAGCUGGACUCAAAAAGUUUGAGCAAUCUGCAUUUGAGAGCAUCUGAUGAUAUGAGUUUGGUACUGGACAUGGUUGAGGAACCAGCAACAGCUUAUAAGUUGGCGUUGAACAGUGCUCAAAACUUACAUGACGUUGUCUCCAUUGUUAGAAAAGCUUGUGAGAAGGGAGUGGUGCUUGAUCCAACUGAAAAGAAACUCAAACUUCGUCUUAAGCAGAGAGCGGAAGAGUGGGAAGACUUAAAUUGGAGGAACGACGCUGUGGGAUGAUCCUAAGAAUGGAAUCCUUCUUUUCCCUAAAGUGCUUAAGCCCAAGAACCAAGAGACAAUUCAAAACAUAAAAAUCAAUCUAAAACAAAUCCUAAGCGCAUCCAGAGAAAGUACAUCGCUUCCACAUGGGGCAGCAAACGGCUUUCCAGGAAAAGCAACACGGAAUGCCUGUGAAGCCGCAGUGAAUUCUCUUGUAGCACGGAACUGGGGGUGAUGGCGGUGGAGAUGGUCGCGGUCGUGGCGGCGGGGGCGGAGAUGGUGGUGGUGGAGAUGGCGGAGACGGUACCUUCGCUUUGACAGGAAAGUAGACGAAGCCAUUUACUCCACAUCGACCCAGUGGAAGGCCAUGGUUUCCACGCUGCAGCCUCAUGUAGCCUUUCUCUCCCCAGCUUGUCCCCGCCGAGUUUUUGAUGAUCCAAUAGUCUUGGCCGUUUUCGGAUCCAUAGCCGACGAUGAGCACUGCUAGAUACGGAGUUGCCUGGUCGUCUUUGCACGGGCCCUUGUAAAUCCCCUGCAUUUUUAGAACUUUGGGCUUGAGCGAGUUUUCCUUCAAAAAAGAAUGAUUUUUCUCAUACCCCUUUGUAGCGAAGGAACUCCGGCGCAUUGCCAUCGAUUAGAGCUGUCACUGGCUGCUUGGCAACCUGCUUGACGAUCUCAGUGUCGUCGCUGGAGCUGUAGAAAUUGUCGUAAUUGUCAAUGCCUACGGAGUUGCGGUUCUGGAAGAGCACAACUUUUAGUAAAAAACAAUGGAAACACAAGAGCACGCACGCACUUACGUGUUUUCGGCAGGUGCCAUUGAAUCCUGUGAAGCGGUAAUCCGAUGCGGUGGAGAGGCCAUUCCCUGUGUCGACGAGGUAUUCAAAUGCGUUCUGGGGAAACCCGCUGUGGCAGCCAUCGGUGCCGUAGCUCCGGGAGCAAUCCAGCAGCUGCUGCGCCGACAGCUCCACCAACACUCCAGUCGCAAUCUUGUUGAUUCCCUCGAUGGCUUCUGCCGCCGCAAAAGCCCAGCUACCAUCUGUAUCGUGAUAUACCACUAAAGUGCGAAAAAAGGAUUAAAGAUUUAUACUCUGGCAUCCUUUGCGAUCUUUCACAGGUGUGACGGCCCCCAAACGUCUCCAGUCCAUGGACUUGGGGGGACCAGAGCCAACGUCGCCAAACAUUCUGAUGCCUGCAUUACCAUUCGGAUUAGUAUCACUUGCGGCAUUUGGAUCUGCAGCAAGCAGUAAUAGGAGGAUGGAAAUCGAGACCAAGGGAUGCAGAGACAUUCUUAGGGAGUUUCUUAUCUCGAGAGAACGAAGGGUUAUAUAGCAGGUCACAACACCCCACGAGACUCAUGCGGGUGAACACACUGUCCAUCACACUAACACAUUGAUAGAGACUUGGUUGACUUGAACAGAUUUACUACUGAGAAUGAAGUCAAGGAUAGACAACGCACGAGGCUGGCUUAGAAAUGGCAUGGCAAGUAAACAAUUGGGAACCUCUGAAGUGCUUGAAUGAAUAUUGGCGGCUCGUCCAAUCCACAGCUUGAAUAUUUCGCCAACUCGCAUCUCUGGAAUAUCAUUUAUCAGAACUCCGCGUUUGCAGCCUCGCAAUAGAGAAGACAUCGAAUCUUACACGAAAGCGCUGAGAUUUCAACCCAGCCGUACGGAACAUGGUCAAAUGUGUGAUCACCUCCACCUCCAUCUGAAUGGAAACACCGAGUAAGAACCAAAACAAGAAAACUCUCUCGAGAACCUUAAAGUCGUAGUUGUGAAUCUGGAUCCAGCGUGUAUGAAAAAUGAAAAACUUGGGCUGAAUCCGCCCAUGAGCUGGAAGACGAGCUCCAGGGGCAGCGGUGCUGGCGGCUGUGCAUGUGCCAAUCCCGAGAUAUGGAUCCCAAAUUGUCCUCGUAACCCACCCUGUUCUUCCACGAUGAUCUCAGUAGCUUUACAAUCGCCAUGGCGGGAUUGAUCACUGUCACCCGGAUAUCGAUAUGGCCUUUGGAAAAGUUACCUUGGCUAAUAUCCAUACCUAUUACUAAAAGUUCCAAAAGGGAUGAGGGCGAGGGAGGUCUUGGCUGUGGUGAUAGAGAAUCAGGAGCUGGACACGGAUUUCUGCAGUGCGCUUGGCAAACUCUACUUAGAAUUCGAGGAGCUCUUCCCGGACGAGGUAAUCAACGUGAUUUUGGAUAGGGCAAUGCCACUGCAUGCAUGGGGAUUCCACAAGGUGACCAACAAGAGAUGUCACAGCAGGAUGGUGCAGAGGGUUCUUGAUGGCGGUUUUAUGAUGCUGGCUCUAGACAUGCUGGACGAAACUUGCGACCAGGAGACGUUUACAAGAGUUCUUGCGCACCCGCACCAAUAUAAUCACAGGGAAUACACUGGAGUGCUGAAGCACAAGGUGUCCUCUGCCAUGGAAAAGAUGAGGAAACUGAAUCUGAGGAGGGAGAUUCUGGUGUUUGAGAAUCUGGUCCAUUUGCACUUUGCUCCUGAGGAUUUGGAGAGGCUGUUUCGAGAGAUGAUCAAUGAGCAUCCUUGUAUAACAGCAGAGCUAAGUGUCUACCAGAAAGUUUUCGAUUCCUCGCACAAGCUAAGUUUCAAACACUUGGUUGCAAAGGAGGCCAGGGCCAAGGGCGUCAAGCUGGUGGUAAGCUCAAACCUCUUAGAAAGUAGCAGUGGUUAUAGUGAUGAUGAUUGGAGGAAGAUAAUGGGUCUAGUACUUGAGAUUGUCGAGGAGCCAGUGCAAGCUUAUCAGAUCAUGCUGAACAAAUCCCAGGACGCUGAUGUUGUCACGUCUAUCAUCAGAGAAGCCAUCUGCAUGGGAAUGGCACUGGAUGUUACACCCAAGCUGGUCAAGAAGCAUUUGUAUUUUGAUCUCCAGGAAAGGCUGGGGAAGCAUUUUCUCGUCACAAACUUAAAGAAGGGGCUGAUUAAGCUAAACGACGAGGCACUAGCCAAGAGUUUAGACGAUCACAACUCCAGUGCCGGUGUGGUGUUUGAGCUCGCAACAAGAGCAACAAGUCAGGGCUUCCCUCGGGUUUUGGAGGAGAUUCUUUGCACCGAGAAGAAUCCCGAAGUUGCUCGUUUGAUGUUCCAGUUCGAGGCCUUCUGUAACCUGGUGGAGCCAAAUGAAAAGACAUGCAAGCUUCUGGCUAAUAAACUCUUGAAAAAGGAUAUGGUAAUUGAAGCCCAGUUUGUGAUAGAUACGUGCUGCAGAACUCACCCCAAAUCGCUGAUUGAGAAAAACUUUGGUGAUGAGGAGAAUGAGGAAAACUUUGGUGAUGAGGAGAGUGACUAGCUUUUAAACAUGUUUAAAAGAUAUGACAGAAAAAUACAUACAUGUUUAAGGAGAGCAUCCAUAUGCAGUACAUUUAUUUGUUCCACCAGGGGCCGGGACGAAACAAAGCUGCAGCUAAUCCUCUUGUAGCACGGAACUGGGGGUGAUGGCGGAGAGAGAUAGUCGAGGAGAGGGCGGCGGUGGAGAUGGCGGUGGUGGUGGAGACGAUCAUGCAGAUGGUUCUCUGAUGGGAAGUAGACAAUGGCGUUCACCCUGCAUCGAACCAGUGGGAGGCAAUGGGCUCCAUGCUGCAACCUCAUGUAUUCGCUGUUGUUGGAUCUAUAGCCGACGAUGAGCACUGCUAGAUAUAGACUUGCCUGGUCGUCUUUGCACGGGCCUUGCAUUUUUAGGGUCUCCUUCACAAAAGAAGAAAAGAAUGAUUUUUCUCAUACCCCUUUGUUAGUUAAAUUCAUCUGUUACGGCCUGAGGAUGUCCAUGUCAUUGCUGGAGCUGUAGAUAUUGUCAUAGUUGUACCAAUUCCAAAAGAGAUGCUGACAUGCAAAGUUUAAAACCAUGGAAGUUUUCUCUGCAAGUCUGGUGGCUUAAGGGCACAUGCUUACACAACAACCUCUAUAAAUUUGGACGUUAAAACCAUUAUUCAGUCGUUGGUCUGGAGGCAAACUUUUAACGACGUAUUUCACCAAAUGCUAUGCAAGUCCAUGGUGGGAUGGGAUCAAAUGAACGCUAAUUUGAGUUUCUUUUAAACAAGUUUGAAGUUUGGAAUUCGUGACAUCUAAGGGAAUUUAGUCAUGUUUAAAGAGAGUAGCUCAUUUUAACGCGAAGUGUGGAACGGCAAAAUAAAACUGCAGCUAACCCACGGAAGGUCGAGGAGAGGGUGGCGGCAAAGAUGACGGUGGUGGUGGUGGCUAUGGAGAUGGUCGUACCUUCUUUUUGACAGGAAAGUAGACGGAGCCAUUUACUCCACAUCGACCCAGUGGAAGGCCAUGGUUUCCACGCUGCAGCCUCAUGUAGCCUUUCUCUCCCCAGCUUGUCCCCGCCGAGUUUUUGAUGAUCCAAUAGUCUUGGCCGUUUUCGGAUCCAUAGCCGACGAUGAGCACUGCUAGAUACGGAGUUGCCUGGUCGUCUUUGCACGGGCCCUUGUAAAUCCCCUGCAUUUUUAGAACUUUGGGCUUGAGCGAGUUUUCCUUCAAAAACGAAUGAUUUUUCUCAUACCCCUUUGUAGCGAAGGAACUCCGGCGCGUUGCCAUCGAUGAGAGCUGUCACUGGCUGCUUGGCAACCUGCUUGACGAUCUCAGUGUCGUCGCUGGAGCCGUAGAAAUUGUCGUAAUUGUCAAUGCUUACGGAGUAGCGGUUCUGGAAGAGCACAACUUUAGUGAAAAACAAUGGAAACACAAGAGCACGCACGCACUUACGUGUUUUCGGCAGGUGCCAUUGAAUCCUGUGAAGCGGUAAUCUGAUGCGGUGGAGAGGCCAUUCCUUGUGUCGUCAAGAUAUGCAAAUGCGUUCUGGGGAAACCCGCUGUGGCAGCCAUCGCUGCCGUAGCUGCGGGAGCAAUCCAGCAGCUGCUGCGCCGACAGCUCCACCAACACUCCAGUCGCAAUCUUGUUGAUUCCCUCGAUGGCUUCUGCCGCCGCAAAAGCCCAGCUACCAUCUGUAUCGUGAUAUACCACUAAAGUGCGAAAAAAGGAUUAAAGAUUUAUACUCUGGCAUCCUUUGCGAUCUUUCACAGGUGUGACGGCCCCCAAACGUCUCCAGUCCAUGGACUUGGGGGGAUCAGAGCCAACGUCGCCAAACAUUCUGAUGCCUGCAUUACCAUUCGGAUUAGUAUCACUUGCGGCAUUUGCAUUUGCAGCAAGCAGUAAUAGGAGGAUGGAAAGCGAGACCAAGGGAUGCAGAGACAUUCUUAGGGUGUUUCUUAUCUCGAGAGAACGAAGGGUUAUAUUAGCAGGUCACAACACCCCACGAGACUCAUGCGGGUGAACAGUGUUGGUUGACGUGAACAGAUUUGCUACUGAGAAUGAGUCAAGGAUAGACAAUGCACGAGGCUGGCUAAGAACUGGCAUGGCAAGUAAACAAUCUGGCAUCCUUUACGAUCUUUCACAGUGUGACGGCUCCCAAAGUUCUCCAGUCGAUGGAUUUGGGAGGAUCAGAGCCAACGUGGCCAAACAUUCUGAUGCGUGCAUCACCAUCCAGAUUACUAUCACUGGCGGCAUUUGCAUUUGCAGCAAGCAGUAGGAGAAACGAAAGCGAGACCAAGAGGCGAGGAGACAUUCUUAGAGAGUGGCUUAUCUCGUUAAAACGAAGGGUUAUUACAGCAGUUACAGCAUCCCACGAGACUCAUGCGGUCGCACUACUGUCGAUCUUAUGGCUGGGACAAAUAAACGUGCAUUGCAUGAAACUGAAGACUCUUUGCAAGUUGGCAAAGGAUAUACAAUGCAAAUGAGGAUCCUUGGCUCAAGACAAAAUGGCAUCGCAAAAACAAACAGGGGAGAGAGAGAGAGAGAGAGAGAGAAUUUAAACUCUACCUCUGAAAUGUUUGUACGGCUCCUCGAAUCCAGACUUUCAGUCUAGCUUGAGCUCCGCAUCUCUGGAAUACCAUUCAUCAGCACUCGCGUACUUGCAAUCUUGCAAAAGCUUGCCUGUCGGCAUUUGAUAGAUACGAAAGCGCUGAGAUUUCAACCCAGCCGUUCGAACUAUGGUCGAAUGUGUGAUCACCUCCACCUGCAUCUGGAUCAAACACACCGAGUAAGAACCAAAACACAACAAAAAAAUAAGAAAGAAAGAAAAAAAAAACACUCUCGGGUACCUUAAAGUCGUAGUUGUGGAUCUCCGGAUCCGGAUCUCCCACAGAGGCAAAGGCACACCCAUAGAACCUAUGAAAAACUCGGGCUGAAUCCAAGAAGACCGCGGGUGAAAAACGUCCUCCACAAUCGCAUAGCCAGUAGGCAGACCUCACCUCGGUAUCUCGAGAUCCGCAUGGUAGAAAUCCACGCUCUUGCUUGGAUUGGUGGUGUUGAGGAUGCAAAACAUGACGAACCUCAGCGUGUAAGCGUAGUGGUUUCCUUUCCCUUCUAGCUGCUGCUGCUCCACAAGCUCUGGAUCCACUGGGAUCACCUGUCCAUACAUCAUCUCCAUGAACUGGACGGCCGGGCGAGGAUGGUGGUAGAGCUGGAAAUCCAAGAGGACCAAGUAGUAAACGAGCCCAGCAGCCACGGAGAGGAUUCCAAUGACCAGGAGCAAUCGAAAGAGCUUGGAAACUCGGCCUCGGAGAUCUCCCUAAAGUGCCCGGAAUCCAUGAGCAAGGGCAGCGGUGGAGCUGCCGGCUUUGUGCCAAUCCCGAGAUAUGGAUCCCCAUUCCCAUUCUCUUCGUCGGCCUCGUAACUCUGACCCCGUUCUUCCACGAUGCCUUCCAGCCCCUCGCCGCGUCAUUCUCGCCAUGGCGAUCGAUGUCCCGGGACGGAAGGUUGAUCGGAGCGCAGUAAUGCCAUAUUUCAGGGAUUUCGCGCGCUGGAAAGCUACUGCGCGAUCGGGCUCGGCCCCGACCUAAGGGCCGAUUUCUUAAGGCGAUCGCUGUUACCCUCACCUGGAGGAGCUGAUGUCGAUAGCUCGGCGCUGCUGUUAUCGAUCGAGGAAGUAGGCGGCAGCGCCGUUGCCAUACAUGAUCCAGCCCAGGCGAGAGCGCAUUGCUCCUGGCGCCCAUCCAUAGGCAUUAGGGCUGACACCACUCAACAAUUUUAUUUUUAGAGAAAUGGCGGGAAGUUUUUGAAUUUGAAUUUAAAACAUUAAAACUUUACGCGCGAGACGAGUGUUAGGAGUUCUUCUCGCUCGCCCACUUCUCGUCUGUCCCAGCGGCAAGGCUCGCUAGAUUUAAAGUGUAGAGGGCCUGAGCUUCCGGAUCCCCGGUUUCCUCGAUGGUUUUGCCCAGAGAUUCGGUCAUCUCCGACACGAGCUCGCUGUUGUCUUGCAUCAACACCUCCACCGCGCUCUGGAUCGUGCUCUUGCCGCUGCUGCUGGCGCCCUCUAGCAUUCGGGAGCUCAGCGUUCGCACGGCUUCGAUCGCGUCGUCCAGCCUCUUGAGGUAUAUGUACGUGAUCAUGACUUUGAGAAUGGUGUAGGAGUUUGGAGGGAUGUUGCGGUCUUUCAUGUCGUCUAUCAAGAACUCGAUCAUGUCGAUACGACCCUGAGAAGAGAAUUUAGACUAGAAAAGGUAAACCCGCAAACGAAAGGCAAGAUAGCUCACCCGGACUGCCGCAGCACCUAUGAUUGUGUUAAACGAGUAGAUAUCCGCCUCUAUGCCCGUUCUAUCCAUUGUCUGGAUAACUUCCAGUGCCGAUUCUAGCUCGUUUGCAGCACAAAGAACCUGGAUGUAUCAGCCGAAUCAGAAUAGAAUAGAAGGAAAAACUAAACAGGUUGGCUGCUGACCUUGAUGAGCGAAUUGUAUGUAACCGAAUCCGGACUAAGGCCGUUGUCUUGUAGCCGCUUUAAAAGCUCGUUGGCAUAAGUUACAUCUUUAGACCGCAGGCAUCCAUAGAUCAUAAUGUUGUACGAGUGAAGAUUUGGCUUGAGAUUCUUUGCAGACAUCCUGGUAAAGAGUUCCUUGGCUUCUGAAAACUGUGAAGGGUUAGACCGACGUAUAGAGCAGCCAAACUCUAAAGAUGGGACGUGCAAACCUGGUCGAACAUAAUGCAUGAGUACAUUGCAGUAUUGUAUGCAAAAGCGUCCAAGAAUGGAGCUCCAUCCUCUGCAGAGAAAGCUUCUGCGUUUAAUAGCCGCUUGAGAGCAGGACCAAGCAUUCCUUCUGAUCCUAAUCCUCGCAUCUAGUUGAAGGAUGAAAAGAAGGAACCAAUUAGCCGCUAUGAACAUAAGGUUUUACAUACCAGAGCCGUCAGAGACUGACGUGAAUGCUGAAUGCCAGAGGCCAGCAUAUCUGCUUCAAGCGCUCCCAGUCUGCUAGUCAAGUCCUCGUGAGACGACUGAUCACCCCCUGCAUAUGGGACGCUAACGCUACCAAAAUUGCAAAAAAGGGCCGUGUACGUGCAGAUGUCCGGAGGUACACGCGCGGUUUUCAUUGUUCUCAGUACACGCAGGGCACGAUCUUGUUCAUUCUGUUAGAGAAAAAGUAAGGUCAGAGUACUCCUAGUAUCUUUCAUACCGUCAGUGAGCACGCCUGAAAAAUGAAGUUGAACGCAUGAGCAGUGGGCCGUUGACUAGGCUUGGCUUUCAGCAUUUGUUCCAACAGGUUCUCAGCUUUAUCUAGCUCUGAGUUUCUGCAGUAGCAUUCCACGAUAGCACCAUAGAUUGCACUAUCAGGUUCUAUUCCUCUGGACUCCAUGUUCUGAACCUGGUAAAAUGCAGGGACAAUGUCAUAACGAUUCAGGAAAUUCAGAACUGCUGCUUACAAGCUUAAGUCCAUAUUCUACACCUCUCCCUUUUACAACAGCUCGAAUGACAGCGUCGUAAGUGACGAUCGUUACAGGUAUUUCCAUCCGAUUCAUCUGUAGUAAUCAAAUAAUUAAUAUGGAGUAUCGAAACCAAAUUUGCAUUACCUUACCUCCGAAAACAUCAUCUCUGCUAGUUGAUACUGACCCGUUUUGCCUGCUGUGCUGAUGAUUGCGUUGAAAACCUCAGUAACCGCCGGAGGAAUACUUUCGGAAAGCUUCAUUUCUUCAGCAAUAUGAUCCAGCAUCUCUUGCAAAAUGAUUAGUGCCUCACCAAGAUCACUUCCCCGGCAAAGCGAUAUGAUGUAAGUGCGAUAAGAGUUAAACGAAGGGGAAUAAAUACUUUUCAGCUCGAUCCACAAGCUCUUUGUCAAACUAAGAUCUUGCUUUUUUCCUGCAAGCUGCGAAAAGAGUUACAGCGGUCGAAAUUAAGCCAAAAUCUAUCUCGACUUACCCUGAGAAGUUCAAUGUAAGUCUGUUGAUUUUUCUCCACCUUUCUACUGGUCAUCAACUUGAGACACUUAUCUGCAUGAAUGCUGCUGCCAGCGGAUGCGCAACCGUUCAACACACUGUUAAACAUGAAGACGUAAUCCACACCAUCACCCCCAGUCGCAGAUUCCAGCAUUUCCAUGGCCUGAGAGGACCAUGAGAACAGUGUAAUGACCUUCCAGGCAUUAAUGAAGCUUUUGAUACCUCGUCCAGAUUUCCAGCACGGCUCAUAGCACCAAGAAGAUGAGUGUCGCACCGCUCGUUGGUUUCCAUGCCAAGCUCUUUCAUGAAUCUAAUUAUCUGCCUCGCUAGCUGGAGAGACUUGUCUCUGUGAGUGAUCCCAGGAUCAAGAGAUGACAAACUUACCUGAAAGUUUCCAGCCAGGGAGCACUGAUAGAGAAACUCGUUACAGCUUGUAGCAGUCAGCAUCUCAUACUUACUUAGAUCCGGAAGGAGCUCCAUUGCCUUGUCAUUCUGCCCGGCCCUGAUGGCCUCGACGAGCCGCGACAUCAAAUUCCAAUUUUUGAGCUUCUCAAAGCCAUCAAUCUGCGACUCCCCAUCUCCACACGGUUCUUUUGCUUCAUGAUCCUCCGCAUUGUGUUUCUGAGAAUCAGGAACGCCAUGCGCGGUCGAUUUCGGACCUUCCGGCUUGCUUCCUGGCCGGAAAUGUGUGUAAGAAAAAGCAAGAUCGCGAUCCUAGAGACGAAUUUCACCUGGAUUGAGGCAGAAACUCCGGCGAUUUAGCACUCCAAGCCUCGCCGCGGCCCUCCAUCGCAGCAGCAUUUCCUCAUGAAUGACACGAUAAACCCUAAACCCGGUGUAGACCUAAUUCUUCUAGAGUAAGAAUAUUUGGUAGCUGGAACCUUUGAUGGUACUCGCGAUCAAACUUACCUUAGACCUUGGCUUGGAGGACAAAGUAAAUUUGAUAAUAUGUCAAGGUAGCGAUAGACAUCGCGCAACCAACGACUACAGUGAUGGCAGCUUGACCUCCCAACAGCCCGCCAAUCGCCAGCCGUCCAUUUCAAAUCAAGCCGUCGAUCUCUGACGCAUAUUCUUAUCAGCCUUGGGAAUAUUUAAACUUUGAAAAAGGGGGAAUACUUUGGGGAGAGGCGAGAAGGGGGCGAAGUCUACCCGCAUUGAGUGUAGCGCUGUGCGAUGAGGAUCCAUUCCCUUCUCCUCGCCGCUCUCGCCGCCUGGAUUUCGAUCUACGCCACUAGGGCAGCGGCGAAAACGUUCAACAUCACGAAGGAGCUCGAGGGUCACCCCAAUUUCUCGGAAUUCAACGAUGCGCUCACGGAAUCCGGCCUCGCGCGCAGCAUCAACGCGCGGCGAUCCAUCACGGUGUGCGUCCUCACGAAUUCGCAGAUGAAGAGCUUGAAGGCGACCUUGGGCAAUGGCUCGACGGACAUCAAGCGCGUGGCGGCCUUCAUCCGCCCGCUGAUUCUCCUCACAUUCAUCGAUCCAUCCAACCCUCACACCGCGCGGAGCAUCAACGGCAGCCAGCAAGUGAGCUCCAUGUACCAGGCCGCCGGGACUGCCAUCUCCGACCAAGGCAUCGCCAAUCUCACGCGGACCAAGAAGGGCAGUGGGCUCGAAAUCGUGACCGCCGGUGGCUCCAACACGACCAUCACAAAGGCCGUCAGGACCAUUGGAUUCGACCUCAGCAUUGUCCAGGUCAGCAACUACGUGGCUCCGGAUGGUGUCGUGGAGGCUGAGGAUAGGCCGGUGGUUCCUGACGGGGCGCUCGCGCCUGCCGUGGCGGCCAAAGCCCCGCCGCCCCCAGUCUCCACCGACGAGGAUUCCUCCUCCACGGACGAUGAGAACGUGGACAGCCCUCCAUCUCUAGCCAAUCGGCUGAGCUCCACCGCGAUUUGGGGCGCAUUGGGCGCCUUGGGUUGCGCAAUCGUGAUCGUUCUCUAGUUUAGGGUUAGAUCGGUUGGGCUCCAUUGUCGCUUAGAUCCAGUGUGUGUGUGUCUGUGUGUGUAAAAGAUUGCAUUUGAAACUUGUACGAAUUUGUACGAACUUCGGUGCGUGUACGAUAUUGUAAAACCCUGGCCCAAAACAUCGGUGUACGGUAGCGCCACUUAAGAGCCCUAAACCCUGGAAGCGAUGAGACCUUCUUGUUGCGUGUUGGAGCGGCCAUUCCUGGGUGCCUUGGCGGGCGGGAGCGGCAGCGGCACCAAGAUUCACAAAUUCGAGGUCGCAUGUAAGCCCCGAUCGUGAGGGAUUUGCAGGGAGUGUAGGAUUUCGCUGUGGAUUUUCUAGCCGCUGUGCUCUAGGGCUCAUCGUGACUAAUGCGUCGUGCUCUUGCAGCGGAGAUUUAGGUGCUGCCUCGGCGCCAUGCAGGACAAUGCGGCUGCUCCAGCGCUGGUAAAUUGGCUUUGCUGCGUCUUGUGAUUUCUUACGGUGCACUCCAUCAAUUUUUGUCUUACAGGAGAUUAGAUUCGACACUAUCAGGCAGGAGCUCUCAAAGAUAGCAAGGGAGUCUUUUCAGACUACUCUUGGGGAAUGGGGAAACGUGGAGCCUGCCGUCGCCGUGUGUGCGAAUCCAAACUUUGGAGACUACCAAAUGUAAUGAUCGAGCUUUCUUUUCUUUCUCUUUCUUAAGAAUUUCAUUACAGCAACAACGCAAUGGGGAUAUGGUCCACCAUCAAAGGCAAAGAAACGGAGUUUAGGAAUCCAAGAGAGAUUGCUCAGGUGACCAUCUUGUGACGCGUUCCUUCGGCUGUCAUUCAUGCUUUGCGUUUAAUCUUUUCAGAGCAUUACGAGAAACUUCCCUCAAACUGGAUUUGUGGAGACAACUAGCGUCGCUGGACCUGGUUUCAUAAAUGUCAAGCUCUCAUCUGUCUACAUUGCGAAGGUAAGACAGUGUUCAUUAUCUUUUUUUGUUAACUGUGCUUUUGUAGAGAUUGAACGAGCUGUUGCUUCAUGGGAUUGAUACUUGGGCACCAGUGUUGCCUGUGAAAAGAGCGAUCGUGGAUUUCUCGUCACCGAACAUAGCAAAAGAGAUGCAUGUUGGGCAUCUGCGCUCGACGAUCAUUGGAGAUUGCCUUGCAAACAUGAUCGAGUACUGCAAAGUAGAGGUUCUUCGGCGAAAUCAUGUUGGUGACUGGGGAACUCAGGUACUGUGUUCUGGUAUUUGUUGUUGUGACUAAAGUAUUUAUACGUUUUUGUGUAUGUAGUUUGGAAUGCUGAUAGAAUACCUCUUUGAAAUGUUUCCGAAUUGGGAGGACAUUGGAGAUCAAGCAAUUGGAGAUUUACAGGUUUUUUCCUUAGUUUAUACCAGCACAUUGUUUGAUACUGUGCUUCGCAGGCGUUCUACAAGGAAUCUAAAGUGAGAUUCGACGCUGACGAGGAGUUUAAGGCGAAGGCACAGCAAGCCGUGGUCAAGCUGCAGGUAGAAUAUGCACGCUUCAUUUGAUUGUUUUUGACGUUGCCCACGUCUUCAGAGUGGUGAUGCCAAGUAUCGUGCUGCGUGGAAGAUACUUUGCAACAUUAGCAGGAACGAGUUCCAGCAAGUCUAUGACAGAUUGAAAGUUUCCCUGGAGGAAAAGGUUUGAACCUUUUGAGUUUUGUGCGGCAACGUUAAACUUCUUGGCACAGGGCGAGAGUUUCUACAACCCUUACAUUCCCGAUGCGAUUCAAAUUCUCCGUGACAAGGGAAUUCUGGAAGAAAGCGAUGGCGCAACAGUUAUUUUCGUUGAUGGGCACAAGAUACCGCUUAUUGCAAUCAAGCGGGAUGGGGGCUUCAAUUAUGCCAGCACAGAUUUGGCAGCGUUGUGGUACGUGCAUCCAGAUAUUUGGUUUCAUGUUGUUUUCCCACAUUUUCUUUUUUCUUUCAAUUCAGGUAUCGGCUGAACGUAGAGAAGGUGGAAUGGAUAAUAUAUGUUACUGACGUUGGACAACACCAACAUUUUGACAUGUUCUUUAAGGUUUGGUGUGCUUCUUAUUUUGUUAUCAAGGCUGAACAAUUUCAAAUUAGGCUGCCAAGCGAGCAGAGUGGCUUCCCAAAGAGGGCUAUCCUCGAACUCAACAUGUUGGUUUUGGUUUGGUCUUAGGCACAGAUGGAAAGCGAUUUCGAACCAGACAAGGUACCGGUCUUGUGCGGCUUGUGGACUUGUUGGAUGAAGCCAAGUCUCGAAGCAAAACUGCUCUGAUUGAGCGCGGUAAAGCUAACUCUUCCUCUCUUGUCUUUCUUUCUUUCCUUAACUUUUUAAUCUCCUUGUUUUUACAGGAAGAGACGACGAAUGGAGUCCAGAGGACCUGGAUGCUGCUGCGGAAUCAGUGGGCUACGGAGCAGUCAAGUAAAAAUUUGUGCUGUUUUUUUUUCCUUUCAGAACGUCACCGUGGGUUGCACAGAUAUGCCGACUUGAAAAACAAUCGGGAAACCAACUAUACGUUUAGCUUUGAGCAGAUGCUGGAUGUUAGAGUAAGUUGGAUGUUUGUCUCCAUCAUUUAUCUUCUGUAAUCCUUUUAACAGGGCAACACCGCGGUGUACCUUCUGUACGCGUACGCCCGAAUUCGCUCCAUUAUCAGAAAGUCGGGGAAAAGCAUCGAUGAGCUCAAAGAGGUUUGCGAGUGUCUCAAUCUUUCUAAGCUGUAUGCGUUUUUUUUUUUUUUUUAUCUUUUUCCAGAAUGGUGCGAUUGUACUGACUCAUCCAGACGAGAGAGCUCUCGGUCUCUUCCUCAUCCAAUUCUCCGAAGUCGUCGAGGACGCUGUCACACGGCUCCUUCCAAACACGCUGUGCGAGUACCUGUACAACCUCUCGGAGAACUUCACGAGGUUUUACACGAGCUGCAAGGUGGGAAGAAAUCAAUGGUUUGAUCAUCGAAGCUCAUGGUUGUGUUUCGUGUAGGUGAAUGGGAGCCCCGAAGAGACGAGUAGAUUGCUGCUGUGUGAAGCGACUGCCAUUGUCAUGAAGCAGUGCUUCAAGCUCCUCGGGAUCACUCCAUUGGAACGUCUAUGAUGAUUCGGUAUAUUCGAUUUUUGAUUCGAACGAGUUUUGUUUAACCUCAAAGUAAAAAGAUUAUGUUACUGUUAAACAUUUUGUCAUUGUUCUUUAACCCUUAUUUGCCCUAAAGUGGAAAUGGGGAGUUUGGCAUUUCGCGUGGCGCUGGCGCCGCCUCUCGUCGGUCGAUCAUCGAGGCACGCGAGGAUUUCAGGGGCGCGCUAUCGAUUGUCACGCUGCUGCUUCUCCUCGCAAUCGGCUAUGGCUAGCGCCGCGCUGGAGAUUGAGCUGGUAAGCAAAACGAAAAUCGUAGAAGAGCUAUAGAAAUUUCUUUCCAGAUUCCUUGCUUGAAGGACAAUUAUGCGUAUUUGCUGCGUGAUGCGAGCUCCGGCGCGAUUGGAGUGGUGGAUCCAUCGACGGCCCAGCCUGUGAUUGAAGCUCUCGAGCGGCGGGGCCUCAAGCUCACGCACAUUAUAAACACGCACCAUCACUGGGAUCACACAGGUGGUAAUGCCGAUCUUAAGAAACGCUAUGGUGCACAGGCACGAGAAUUUUUCUUUUUCUUUCUCUUGUCCUCUUUUCUUUUGCGAAGAACUAAACUAUACUUGGUUGGUCGUGUAGAUUGUUGCUCCUCCUGGCGAUGGAAUCCCCGGCAUUGACGUUCCAUUAAAAGAUGGAGAUACGUGGAUGCUUGGAGAGCAUGCCAUGAAAGUUAUUGGAACUCCUGGUCACACACGGGGUAGCUCUUUCUCUGCUUAGUUUCACAAGUUUUGUUUCAUGAUUCUUAUAUCUGGAGAUUGCGUUUCAGGUCACGUCAGUUACUAUUUCGCGGAUUCGAGAGCUGUGUUUACUGGUGACACGCUCUUUUCAAUCGGCUGUGGAAGACUAUUUGAAGGUUCUGCUCAACAGGUGGAGCUUUGAAUUUAGCUUAUUGACACGUAUUUUUUUUACAACUUUUUCUUCUUCAUAGAUGUGGUCCUCUCUUUCAAAGCUCGCGGCUUUACCGGAUGAAACUCGGGUCUUUUGUGGUCAUGAGUAUACCUUGGUAUGGACAAAUCGUUUUUUCUCUAUUAAGGUGGUUCAUUUCUCUUCACGGUUGCUUCUUACAGUCGAACGCGAAGUUCGCAAUGACGAUUGAACCGAACAACCCGGCCUUAAAUUCGCAUUUUGAGAAAGUCAAGCAGCUCCGAGACAGCGGCCUUGCCACGGUACUGCUUAGGAAAACAAGUACUUUCAGUGACGACUGCUUGGUUUGUAUGUGUAGAUACCGUCCUCAGUGGGAGAAGAAAAGAAGUUUAAUCCAUUUCUGAGGCCAGCUAGUCGGGAGAUCCGGAGGAGCUUGAACCUCUCCGAUGAUGCUAGUGAUAGCGAUGUCUUCACAGCCGUGAGGAAAGCCAAAGAUAGAGCCUAAUACGUAAGGAAUACGCUGGCUAAGAGAUCUUACAUCAGCUAGCUAUAGAGAAGCGAGGUAAGAGUUGAUGAAGUCCCAUCUUUAGAGAUCACAAGUUUAUUUUUUUACAGUAAGAACAGUAGCUUCCUUCGACUCAGUGCUUGAGAUCAUUGAGCCCCUCAUCGCGCAUUCGGAUCAUCACCACUUUCUGGUUUCCUAGAGACAGCGAGAACAGCGCCUUGGCACAAACGUCCCUCAUCUUCUUCCAGGCCGAGAGAAAUCCAAUCCUUACGCCUGGACGCUUGAUCCUCCACGCUCUCAUUUUCCUCCGGUGAGGCCUGCUCUUCAUCCUGGAUCCUCCCUUUGCUGCUUGCUGCUGCUGUUGCUGCUUUCCAGAACACUUGUCAGUGCCAUCGAUUCUGCUGUAGCUCCUCGCCGAUUGCCUCGUCUUCAAUCUCCUGUAAGCAACAGGGAGAAGUCCAGUAUAGCUCUCCAUUUCUUUACUGUUCGCCUCUACAGAUCUAGUGGAAGAAUUCGAGAAAAGAGGAGGAGAUCUUUUCCUUUCUUGCCAAAGUCGCGCUUUCUCUUUGCGAAGAAUUAAGUGGCGAGGAAAGCAAAGCAAACUCCUUUUGCUGCUACGAGAGGAAAAUUGCGCGAAACAAGACGAAAUCUUCAAAGUCGUUCCUGCUGGCCAGUGAAGUCUGACUCGAGAAAAAUAAAAAUAAAAAUAAAAAAACAAAAAAGGAAGAAGAAAAGAAAUGAUAGAACAAAACCACUUGCAAGCGAGAAUGAGUCUACACUCGGGCAGCUUGGAGGAGUUCAGUUCUUCAUGGUUUAUGUACAGGGCCCAUGAAAACCAUCUUUUUCUCGCACCAAAUUCGUGUCAGAUUCGUUCCCCUGCGUGUUGCGAAAAGAGAAAAAACUUCGAAUAAAUCGUCAAAAGGCCAGGCUUUGGAAUGAAGUGACAAUUAUUUUUUCUUUCCUUUAGGUAGGAGGUUCCAAGUUCCCACCGACGACAAAAUUGCCUUCCAGAACGCUUUGACCGGAAUGCCAAGAUUUGAAUGCAAAGCAUAUACCAAAAAUCCGCAUAUUUACAGAAUAUGCUUUUUUCGCUUAGCGAGCUAAACUAAACCAAAAGUUAAGUGGGAAACACUUUCACCUUGCUUCCACGAUGGAGUUCUCUUCCUGGUAGCUCAAAGGCGCUUGCGAGGCUUGCGAGCUAAAAACGUAUGAGGUGUUGGCGCUGCUGCUGCUGGGCUGAUCGACGCUAUCGACGCUGCGGCUUCGAUCCUUUCCACCGGAGUCCGAGAAGAAUCCCGGGGCCGCGUCCUUGAGAGCGGAGUAGCCUGGGCGGAGGGAGCUCACGUCCACCGGGGACGUCCCGACGAGCAUCGCUACGACGUGAGACAUCGCCGGACGCGAGGAAGCCACGGCGUGGCUGCACAAGAGGGCCACCUUGAUCACUCUCGCCGCUUCCUCUUGAGAAACGUCUGUGAGCUCUUUGUCUACCAUGUCCAUUUCCUGCUUCCUCUCGUACAAGUUCCAUGCCUGUUUGGAAACAACUUAAAAGAUCAAACCGAUGUUUUCCUCGUUUUGGCUUACCCAUUCAAGCAAGUAGACCAUGUCUGCUGGCAAGCUUGUGUCCAAGUUGCUCCUCCCGCUCACGAUUUCCAGAGCCAGGACUCCGAAGCUGUAGACAUCUGCUUUCUCUGUAAGUUGGCCCCUCAUUGCGUAUUCAGGAGAAAGGUAGCCUCUGGAAAACAAAAACAAGAGUUAGCAGACUCGAUGGAACUUACAUCCUCUUACGCACAUUGUGCCGGCAACUCGAGUGCUAACGUGAGUUUCGUGAUCUUGGAACAGCUUUGCCAAGCCAAAGUCUGCAAUCUUUGGAGUCAUGUUUCUGUCCAGGAGAACAUUGUGGGCUUUGAUGUCCCGGUGUACGAUCUUGGGCUUUGAAUCCUCGUGCAAGUAUGAGAGUCCUCGAGCAAUCCCCAGACAAAUGCUGAACCGUGUUGGCCAGUUAAGAAGAUCGGGCUUUGUGCGCCUUGAAGCUGGAUCAAGAGAAUCAGUUCAUCAAACUCGAUAAGCAUUUUGAAACAGCUUACACAGCAAGACGUGGUGAAGGCUGUUGUUCUCCAAAAACUCAUAGACCAAGAGCCUGUGAUCGCCAUCAAUGCAGCACCCGUGCAACUUCACCAGGUUUCUAUGUUGCACAGACGAGAUAACUGUCACCUCGUUCAGGAACUCGCGAGAGCCUUGCUGAGAUUUGGACGAAAGCUCCUUGAUUGCAACCACUGUGCCAUUAGGCAAUACACCCUUGUAGACUGCGCCAAAACCUCCCUGUCCCAGCUUGUUUUCCGAGGAGAAAUUCCGUGCUGCGUUCUUUAACUCAUUGUAUGUGAAAAGGUCCGGCUUGCCUUCGAGAUGCUUCAAAUCUGCAACAAAAGCUUGAGUAUUUUGCCACAAGGCGUUUUAAAAUGUACGUACCCUCGUCUUCCAAUAAAGCUUUAAGCCGUCUCUGCUGUCGCUUCACUAUCAGAAACACAGCAAAGAGAAUAACGAAAAGAACGGCCGCUCCUAUCCCUACGCCCAUAGCGACAGCUUUCGAACUCUUUGAUUUGGAUCCUGGUGCUUCCAGACCAGCAGUGCUAAAGACUGGAACAUAAAAAAUCCAACUUAUUCGAGCCUGGAAAGUAGACAAAAACAAUUAAGUGCGUACCUGGUGUCACCCGAAUUGCAGCCACCAGAGGACCGUAGCAACAGGUACCUUUACCCCUCCAUACAAAGUGCAUAUCGAGAACAUUAUUCGUCACCUCGACAUUUCUGAAGGUUCUCACUAGAGCUCUGGAGGAACCACCAGCUUCAUUUUGUAUGUUAAAGUCCUUCACCCUUUGCGUUCCCUGCAAGAGUGUGUGUGAAUAAGAAAAACGCCUACCAUAAGAGAUAACAGAAUUACCUGAAGAUAAAUAUCAAACAAUCUCCUAGUUAUACCGAGCCAAGUGGUGCUGUUGUCCAGCUGAAUCUCCGCAAAAUGGAACUCCAGAGUGUAUGCACCAUUUACCAUCCCAAGGCCUAUGUAUCUUAGCGAGCUGGGAGCACUUCUUGAAGUUUGGUAGAGCCCCCGAUCAACUGUCCCCAGCACCGGCACAGUGGUGUUCUCAAAAGCCCUCACAAAGCCAUCCGAAUAGCCUGUACUGCCUACUACCCAUGCUUGAUCGUUUGAAGUAAACGUUCCCAUAGUAAACAUUGCUGUAUCCUCGCUAAACAUCGUCCCUGAAGACGAUGUUAUUUGUGGACCUCCACAAUUGAUAGCAAAUUGAUAACCUAUAUCCAUUUUAAUCAGAGAACGAAAAGCGAAAAGCUUUCUAGCUUACUUCGUCCAUCUCUCACUCUGCUGCAGUUUGCUCUCGACUGCAGACAAUUUGAAGCUGCUGCUCUAAUGCUGCACGCAAAUGUGAAAAUCACAUGAUGUUCUCAGGAAAAUAGAAUACUUCAAAACAUACUCUGGAUUAAGAUUAAAUUGGUUCCAUAUGGUGUUCCUAAAAUCAACAAAAAAUGCAAAUCAGAAAAAUGAAUGUGAAAAUGUUAGUGACGUACGCUUGAGCGAUUCUACUUAUCCAGCUUGGCAUGGGUCCAGACAGUUCGUUAAACGAGACAUCCCUGCAAUAAAAUGUCAACCAACUAGAAUAAAUAAGCUGAAGAAAAACGCAGUACAGGCGCUGGAGACUUCUUGAUGCAAGUUGAGAAGGGAGCGGUCCAGUGAGGCGGUUGCUUCCAAGGAGACUUUACAACAAAAUGACAAAUUCAGCCGACAUACAAGUCACAAGAAAAAAAAACCAAAAUCGUACAGAUUUUGUAGAGAAGGAAACGCCCACAAGGAUGACGGGAUGACGCCGGUCAAAUUAUUGAAGCUCAGGUCUCUGGGAAAUAUUAAACGUGUAAGCUAGUUUCUGAAACUAGAUCGUAGUUCUUACAGGUGUGCCAAUGUACUUAGAUUUCCAAGAUCAGGAAUGGAACCAGACAACUCGCAGUUUCGCAACAUCCUGAAGAUUAAACAGAAAGUUUAAAACUAACAAAAUCAGGGAAAACUCACAGCUUGUUUAUCCCGCUCAACAUGUUGAGACUCGAUGGAAUUGCACCUCCUGAUGUUAUGUCUCCCAGGUCUCUAAAGAUUGAACACAAGAACAUAACUGUCAGUCAUAACGCAAGAACAAUACUUCACUCACAAUGUCUUUAUGUUGCGAAGGUUUCCUAAACUGGAGGGAAUCGGUCCCUGGAAAUUAUUCCCAUGCAUUUUCCUGCAACACGUUUCUUAACAUUUACAUCUCACGGAUCACGGCUCAGCUUACAAAUCUUGAAGAGCGACCAGUCUUCCAAUGAACUCCGGAAAUGUCCCAUUGAAAUUGUUUCCAGCCAUCCACCUGGCUUCCAGCCAACUGUAAGAGAAGGAAAAACGUGGAAAGCUUACAGUAUUACAGAAUUUCAAGGCUUGUCAGAUUUCCAAAUUCUUCGGGUAGCUCCCCGCCUAGGUUGCACGCAUCCAUGUAUCUGAAACAGCCCCACGAUUCAUUUUUUCCGAAGAAAGAAGAAGACGAAAAAAAAACAACGCUUUAAAAGCUUACAUUUUGCGCAAAGACUGUAAGUUUCCAAUCUCCCUUGGUAGUGUUCCGGAGAAAUCAUUCGAUCCAAAACCUCUGAGAAACAGAGGAAUAAGUGAGAAGAGACUAGGCCCACGUACCGACUCAAUUUCUUACAUGCUGACCAGAUUUGUAAGCCGCCCCAAGCUAGAUGGCAAUGGUCCGCUCAACUUGUUAAUUCCCACCGUCCUAUACGAGCAAAAAAGUAAGCAGGAUCAACUGAACCGCCUUAGAGCUGAGACAGAAUUCGCCUACAGAUACUGCAAGUUGGAUAGCGAGCCAAUUUCGUCCGGCAGCCGUCCCGUGAGCACGUUUUGUGCCAAGUUCCUGAAAGCCCCAAAGGAAUGAUGCAUUGAACGAUUACCGGAAUCAAACUUACAAGUCGUUCAGUUGGGGGAAAUUCCCAAUCUCAGGAGGGAUCUGUCCAGCUGCGUUCAUGCUCACCACCACUCUGAAAACGAGAAAACAAAGAGCAAAACGAGUUAAGAAGAAAGCCGAAAGGUCUCUUACAUCCUGGUGACAUGACAGAGCGAGGAGUUUCCCCUGCCGCAGUUGCACUCGAUUCCAGUGAUCGGGUUGUUGAAAGAAUUUGCGGUGGCUGUGUUGUUCCAUCCGUUCAAGCCGCUGCAAGGGUCCACGCUAAAGUUCCAGAACUUUGAAAUGCGCAAACUAUCUGCGAGGAUUCUCAGAGCCGCCACUGUAGACAAGCACGACAUAGAGAGUGAGAUAUCAGUUCUACUAAGACUCGAAAUGAAUCUUACACUCGUCAGGAUCUGUUGUUGUUGUUGCUUGUGCUGCUGCUCGACCAUGGAAGGCAAUGAAGAAAAGUAGCACCCAAAGCGCUGCUGCGCCAAGAGAAACCCCCAUAGAGCUAGAAGAGAUAGAAAAAACACAUUUUGAUCAACAGUGGGAUGGGAUGAGAUCGUCUCCGUACUAUAAGUAGCGAAAAAUGACGAAUUCGGUCAACUGGGCUGGCACCGAGUAUGAAAACGGUGGCUGGCAUAAAAAAGAAAAAGGUGCGCUACUUGCACUCGUAGCACAAAAUUGACCGAAAGCACAAGUGCUUACUGUUCAUCGUUUUGUCGGAGCUUCUUUCUGGCCUCAUCUUUCCUUUCCCCGUCUGGAAGAGCUGCAGCCGCUUCGCGACGCUCUCUUUUUAAGCCCUUCAUUUUCUUCAGCGCGAUCUCUCCAACCUGUAAAUAGUCUCGUUUCACGUCCGUGGCAAAGAGAUGCACGGCAUCGUACCUCCUGUUUAGGCAUGUAGAUCCUUCCAACUUUGCCGUCCAUCAUGUCGGAGCUUACGUUUUUAAUCUAGCAACACACACAGUAAAGGGAUCAGACGCGACUAUUUCCACAAGUGAUAAAGCGACAGUACCUUCUUCUGUGGUGCCUUUGAAACGGUUCUCAUAGCCUCCUUUCUUAACUCCUCGCCAGGAGUUUGAUUUCGUCGAAACACCAUGUCUAACGAUGGACCGACAUCUACGAGCACAAUCUGUGGAACCUUGGUACCCGAUUUCAUCAAACGUAUGGCGCAGUGUCUAAACAACACCUGCUUGAUUCCUGUCGUGAGUACCAUGGAUAGAAUGAAAGAAAAAAUAGAUAGAAAUCACCUUAGUUGCUGUAGCAACACAAACAAACACACGAUCCAGACCAGCAAGAUUGAUCCUGUCCACCUCCUGCAGAAACAAAAGACAAAAAAACCAAGUUAGCAAGGUAGUGACUUGGAAAGGAUCAUACCUCUCCCCUAAAGAAAUCUAGCAUCAUCUCCUUGAACUGCCUGCAUUUCUCAUCCGACUCAAAUGCUUCACCGAUGAAGGCAAAGCACGGUUUAGAUCCAACUUGUGGAGAGAACUUUCGAGCACCUCCAUGAUCUUUGACCGAUUUAUACCGCUCAACUCCAAGCUCCAUGAAAUCAUAGACAUGGUUGUCAUAGAACCUCCCAAACACGAUGUUGUUUGGCCGUUUCUUCGAGUGAGAUCCAAACUGCAGCAAAAAUUCACGUCAGGAGAGCUCGAUCGAGAAGGGAAAAAAAGAAAGAAAGAAAGGAAUGCUCACCACUACCAAGCUGCAAUCUGUUUUCUUGGAGAAGAAUUCCAGAGGAGCAGCGCCCGCUGGCUCGAAAGGCCGGAUGUUCUCGUUUUUCCGGGUCCAAUGCACGGCAUUGCCGCCGUCCUUCUUGAUGUGGUGUAGAUCGCUAAGAACUCCCUUCACAACCGCUGAGGUCGAGGUGCCGUGGAGCAAGAGCGCCUUCUUUACAUUCUCCUUCUGCGGCGACGGAAUCAGACCUAUGGAUCGGCGAUGGAGAAACAGAACUUACAAUCUUUGGAGCGCGCUUCUCCAGCACCCGCCUCGCUUGCUUCGUCUUGGGCUUCACAACGCGCAGCAUCUUCUCAAGAACCCUAGCAAAAUAUUUAGGGUUUAUCAAAACAUGGACAAGGCGCUAUGGCUGUGCGCGGGAGCGGUGUUUGGAUCCGUCGCGUGCAUCGCUGUGAAUCGCUACUGGGAUUCCUUUUCCGAUCCGAAAUCAAGGUGUGUACGCGGUUUUUCUGGACUGGUCGGAUGAUUUUGGCAGAGAAUGGAUUUUCUUUCGGCGAGAGACGAAGGUUACAGUAGCAUUGGACACAAGCAAAGGUAUGUCAUCCUUCUUUAGCUCUUUUUUCUCUUCACAGAAGAACUUUCAUUGCGCAGUCGAUGACAUUCUUCCUGAUUUAAGUGAUGAGAUUCUAGUCGAGCAAUUUACACGGUAUGUUCCACGCUGCUUUUUUUUUUUUUCCCAUUGUUUGGGACUAGGAAGGAACUUCUCUCUCGUCCAGGAAUGUCCAAUUUUUUGGCUUGGAAGGACAGAAAAGAGUCCAAGCUUCGUUCGUGAUCGUCGUUGGACUUGGAGGAGUGGGCAGCCAUGCCGCCGCGAUGCUCCUCCGGUCUGGAGUUGGAAAACUUCGCUUGAUCGAUUUUGAUCAGGUUGGUUUCCUUCCAUCGUUUUUUUGGUUUUUCCUCCUUUCAUUCAGUGUGAGAAUGCUUUGUUACUCGCGCAGGUCUCUUUGUCUUCGCUUAAUCGCCAUGCUGUGGCGACGAGAGACGAUGUUGGGACUCCUAAAGCAGUUUGUCUAAAGGAACAUUUUUCUCGCAUUUAUCCUGAAUGCGUUAUUGAGGCUUGCAGCGAGCUUUUUGACGAGUCGUCGGCGGAGGAUUUACUUUCGGGGUCACCAGAUUUUGUUUUAGACUGCAUUGACAACAUCGACACUAAGGUGAGAUGUUUCUACUCUAACUUUGCAACUUAUAUCAUGAGUUCGUGGCGCAGGUUUUUUUGAUCGCUACGUGUAAGAAAAAAUCGCUUCGAGUUUUGUCCGCGACGGGUGCUGGGGCCAGAGCUGACCCGACUCGUGUUCGUAUUGCGGACAUUUGUGAAUCAUCGAUCGAUCCUCUUUCUCGCGCGGUAUGCUCGUCUAAAUUUCUUCUUCUUCCUCUUAGAAUAAAUACUAGGUGAGGCAUCGCUUAAGACGCUUGCAUGGCAUAGAAAGUGGAGUUCCGGUGGUGUUUUCCAUGGAGAGGCCGAAAGCAAAGCUGCUACCUGUGAAUGGCGUCGAUGGACAGGAAGGAAAUCCUUCAGAUUAUCAAGUAAGUAGUUAGUGGUAAGUAGCUUGUAUGCUAUGUGAAUAUCGAGCUGACGAUGAGCAGAUAGUUCCAGGUUUUCGAGUUCGAAUAAUUCCCGUGCUCGGAACAAUCCCAGCCAUUUUUGGCCAAGUCAUGGCCUCUUACACAAUUGCGAAGCUUGCAGGGCUUCAAGUUGAAACAGAGCCCGUGGUUAAUCUAGACGUGGAGCACUAUGCUGUUCUUCAUCGACGUCUGAUUGAACGGGAAGAGCUGCUUUAUGGAACAGCCGACGCUGUUGAGGUGAGCAGUUUCAUGGCUUCUUGGCGCUGUUUCCUCCAAAGCUUGCAUUUGAAGGUGGACAAGGAGGAAGUUGCCUAUGUUGUCCGAGAGCUAUGGCGUGGUAAAAGCGCAAGGAACCAGGAUUCUCACGAUGUUGGCAGAGGGAUGUGGCGAUCGGUGAAUAAACUGACACUAACGAGGUUUGCAUUUCGGUUCCAGUCUUACAGUUCCUUCAGCUCUUUGUGCAGAUGGGAUCACAAACAGCCUCCCAGUGUUUCGAACUUAAUCCUGCUCACAUUUCAAGAGGUACGGCGAAACUCGAGAGAUUUUCUUUCUUUAUUCAUGUUUGUCCUUGCCUCAGGCCGAAAAACAUGAGGCUUCAAGCGUUGAAGAAAUCAAAGAGCAGGAACCAGCUUUCUACGCUAUGGUGACAGAAACCCUUAAUUGUGGAAAGAAAGAGUUUUAAAGGCAAAGCUGGCAUUCUUUUUCUCGUGAUGGAGAAACCUUCAUUUAUAGUAAAUUUAAGGUGGAAAACUCAACUCUAGAAAAUAAAUUAGCAUGCAGAAGUUUAAACCUUGCAAAAAAACAAUUCCUCUAGUCCUUGCAUGGCAAUACUCUUUGACCCCAUAGCUUCCAUUUCUGUAGGAGAAAGUACAUUAGAACUCAUGAACUUCAUAGAUGACUGAACCUGGCUCAAAACUAUCAUUGUUUGCAGAGGAAUGGCAAAGAUCUACCUGAGAGGAGGGUCUGCAAGCGAAAGCAGACGACUCAGAUGGACGAGGAAACUCUGGUAUGAGUUUUUGGUAAUUGCCUGCAAAUGUUAGUUGGCUUACCUACUUUGAGCAGGACAUAUGUGAGGCAUGAUUGGGCUUGGAGUCAUGUCCUCCAUGUCACUCUCGAGCAUUUGAAACUUCACCUUGUACUGAGGAAGAUCUGGCAGUAUCAACAGAUCUUCAUGCUCCCCUGUGGUCUUAUUCACUUUCCUCCAUGUAUGGUAGUCAAAGCGAGCACAGUUGGCCUCUGAUGUGACAAAAUACAACCCUGCGACCUGUAUCUGGUUUCGGUGAAGGGUACUUACCAGCAUAUAAACUGGGUGCCACACGACCAGGUCCUUCUUUGCCAAAGUUGAAUGGAGGAGGUACGCAACUUUCCGCUUGAAGUCAAUAUACAAACUGUGGAUGGCCGCCUCCGUUUGCAACCUCGGCCAGAAAUAAGCUGACUUGGCUCGUUCCCUGGUAUAUUCCUCCACCUUGGCUGUCAGGUCCGUAAAAUCCGAGUAGAAACAGACGUGAAGAUCCUCCUCCUCAUCGACCACCAGGUUUUGGACGGUGUUUGAAGCUCGAGCACGCUGGGUCCAAGGCACAAUCUGCUCACAGUCCGUGAGGAACUUCGGAAACGUGAGGUGCAUCAACAAUUCCAUGAUUUCUCCUCGAAAGCCCCUGACUCGUCCCACCUCUCUAUAGGAGAUAACCAUGCGGCGCCAGUGCUGGACGUCAAGUCUCAGAAGCAGCUGCUCCUUUAUAAAGGUCGAACCAAUCACCAUGCAGUUUUUAAUCGAUUCUUCACCCCUAUCUAAGUGGAUGAUCUUGUGGGAUUUGCCUGUGCACCGUCCGACUAGGGUGAACAUGUCAAGUAGAUUUUUCUGGCUAGAGAUCUCAUCCUUUAAGCUGUGCAGAAUAGAAGAAAACUGCCAUCGUUUUACAAAUACAAGCCUUGGAAUGUAGCCAACAUAAUAAACAUGGUGCCGAACAUUAGACCAAGUAAGUUCAUCCAGGAACACAUGUGCGUGGCACUGCUUGAGUUCUUCUUCGCUCCACAAACGUCUAUAAAAAAAUUUAUAGCCACUGGUAAUCUUGGUAAACUCCUUAUACACAGUCUUAUCCGGGCUUGUGAUGAAUAGCGUGUUGGGAUCCAGGAAAAACGUUGUGAUGGGCUCACUGUCGUUUAUGAAAAUUGUCCGCUGGUCCAUCAAGUACCUGUCAACCUCGGCUCUAUCCCCCACAGAAUCAAACUUUUUCUCUUUAAAGACUGCAUAGCCGGUUCCCAUUUUCUUUUCGUGGUACACAACAGUGUAACCCUUCUUCAUGAAGGUGAACAGCAGCUGCAAGCCGAUAACCGUCUUUCCUGUUCCUGGCUGUCCUAUGAAGAGCGUCCAAAACGGGACAGGUGCCCCAAGUCCACGUCGGCCUUCCGCUUGCAGCUCACGAAGCUCAUGAAGCUCACGAAGCUCGUCCUCUAAUUCGUGAAAAAGCUCCACACAGUCCUGCCGAACAUACAGAAGAUUACUCCUUGGGACAUCCCAGUAAGUCGUGUCCCCCAAGGUCGGUACGAAGAAACAGCCUGCUACGGGCUCGUCUCCAAUACGUUUCAUCCCGCCUGGGGUGUGCUCCACAAACUCCGACUUGUGAAAGUUCGCAAACAGCCUAACCAGAGCUGGAACACAUAGCAAUCAGGACGCAGUUCGAGAAAACUGUUAAGCGCUUACCAUCGUCAUUCGACAUCUCUAGAGCCCUAAAAGAAAUUUGGAAUCUAAGGCAAAUUUUGUCGGGGACGACGCUCCUCGUCCGCUGUGGCAUGGUGGGACGUGCUGGAGAUCUUCCAUGAACUGCGACGAUAUACCGCCCGACGACGUCACAUUCCUGGGAAUUCCGGAUCCCGGCGCUUGAAAUCCGGAUUCUUCUUCCCCAUCCCUCUGCAAGACAAUGGUGUUGAUAAAUUUCCACCGGCAGCCACGAAUCGCGAAGAGAUCGCCGACGCCGUGAGAGGAUGCGUCGGCAUGAAAAGCACCAAUCUCUUCUCCUGGACAUCACGAGCUCUUGCACAGCGGGCAUCUAGAAGAAGCCAGGACCGCGUCCGAUCAAAUGCAACGCCGUGAUCGCGGCGAUGCCAGAGAGAGACACCAGCCUGAUCCAAAGAUAUCUUCCACGACAGAUGCCGAAGUGCCCACAAUGCUUCAGUGUUCUCACAAAGCAAAGGUUUCAACAGUGCUAAGACGUGAUGCCCGAGCAGAACAUAGUCGCAUGGAAUGCGAUCAUCGCAACACUUUCCCGAUGUGGGCAUUUGGAGAAAGAAAUGAUUGCUUUUGACAAGAUGCCCGUCUGGCAGCACUUUAGCUGCAAUGCACCCAGCACUGCAUACGCAGAAAAAGGAUUUACUCGAAGCGAAAAUAAUGUUUGCGAGAAUGCCACAGCAAGGAGUCGUCUCGUGGAAUGUUCUCCUUGCAGAGCUCGAAAUCCCAAGCGAUUGUGGAAUCGAUGCCGGUGAGGAACAUUGCUUCUAGGGAUCCAAGAUGAGACAAGUCUUUGCAGUGGAUCGCAAGAAAGAAAGUUUACUUCUGUUUUGCAGGGGAGCUUAAACAGUGGUUUGACUUGACACGCUGAAUCAGUAAUCGAGGUCUUCUCGACGUUUGACUAGGUGGAUCACAGUCCACAACACGGUAAAACAGGUCAGUCGUGUUGUCACAAACUAAAGAAGAAUGUUUGAUCAGUUCCGGGAACCUUCACUGAGACAUAUUUCUACAGGGGAAUUGCAAAAAAAGAUAGAUUGUCUGACCGCGAUGGUGGGCGGUGGUGGUGGUGGUAGUGGCGUGACCGCGCUCGUCACGCGGCAACACGGGCCGGUUCUAAGAAAGGUCAAGAUUUUCACACCUUAUUGUUGUUGAGUUUUCCAUCUCCCCGCGUCCUUCUAAGCAUCUAUAUAGGCUCCCUCGUUUCCUCCUGAUUCUAACAUCACUCAUAGUCCGAAAACGUUUCGGUUUGUUUCUUCUCUGCGAACUUAGCAGCAGGAAGAUCAAAGAUGGCUUCAAAGAGUCUUCUCGCAGCACUGGCAUUGCUAUCGCUCCUACAUUUUUCCUCUGCGGUGGAGUUCACAGUCGGCGAUAGCAACGGAUGGACUUUCCAAGUUAACUACACACAAUGGGCUUCGUCGCAAACUUUUCGAGUAGGAGACAUUCUCGGUAAGUGAUAGUCCUCGUUUUCUAGUUCUCGAGCUAAAAUUCUAUCGACCGUGUCCUUGCAGUGUUUCCUUACACAUCAAUCCACGACGUUCGCGAAGUGAGUCAAGCCGACUACGAUAGCUGCGAUGGAUCCAACGCCGUCACUACUUAUGCCACCGCCAGUCCCAUUCGCGUCACGCUCUCGAGGCCAGGAGCUCACUGGUUCCUGUGUGGAAUUCCCGGCCACUGCGCAGCGGGGAUGAGAGUUCCAAUCAAUGUUACUUUCACUGCUACUGCUCCAGCUCCAUCGCCAUCCGCGCGAUCUGGCGGCAGGGCUCUCUCUCCAAGGAGCUCGCUCGCGACGUCACCCUCUCCAUCGCCAACGAGCUCGCUCCCGGCUUCACCGUCACCGUCAUCUCCAUCGCCAAGCAUCUCACUCGCACCUUCACCGUCACCAUCACCACGGAGCUCGUCGGCAUCAUCGCCCUCACCGUCACCGUCAUCUCCAUCGCCAAGCAUCUCACUCGCACCUUCACCGUCACCGUCACCACGGAGCUCGUUGGCAUCAUCGCCCUCACCGUCACCGUCAGCAUCAUCGUCUCCAGCGCCAUCGACGACCGUGAUCCCAGCUCCAGAUCUUCCACCAUCGCCACCAAGCUCUGAUCUUCUUCCACCGGCGAGUAUUCCAACCAAUGCGCUUCCUCCGGCCUCUCCGCCCUCGAGCUCCGUGCAGCUGGUUUCCAUCGGCUGGGGCCUCACCAUAGCUGGAUUGCUUCUUGCUCUCUAGAAUAGAACCAUUCCGUUUCAAAUCCAAUCGCUUUCCUUUUAUUCCUUGUAUUUUUUAUAAUUUUUUUGUAGCUACUAGUGAACGCAGAGAUCUCGGACGAUCAUGUAUACAAAGAAGUUUCUUCUUUCAUGAUUCAUGGCGAGCUUCUAAGAUCAUCCAUCACUAUUGAUAAAAUAUAUUCUCAUUCUUUUCUUGCACCAGGAGGCGUUCUUUCAUACAAGAACUACUAGGAAUUGGACACUGACGAGCAGAACUAAGGAAAGGAGGAGAUAAAAACGAGGAAAAGAGGAAGGGGGUUGUAUAUCUUUAUUUGGUAGCGCAAAUCUUGGUUACAUUCGCGGCCGUCCCUAUGAUCACCUGCAGCUCCUCCAAUUCACCACCAGGGCUUAAACGCAAAAGCUAUUGAAUGAUUGUUUAGUGCCUUGACACUGCUUGAGAGCGAUGGAGUAUGGCGUCCAGCCCCUGCUGGCAUCCUUCUAGAAUAUUCUCCAGAUGCCCAUAUGGUAUAAAAAACGUAUGGCAAGAGCCGUCUGAUUUCAACAUGUACAUAUGAAUGACAUUAUAGAUGGAUUUCUAUAAUCCCACAGCGUUUUGAUAUAAGUUACGAAGAAAAAUUCGGCGUAGAAAGCUUCUAAAACACCCAGUUUACAUCCUAAAAAGCCUUCUUAGUAACUAAUCCAUGGUGAAACAUGACGUUUUUUUCCCACAACGAAAUGCACAAGACCAUUGAGUUGGUUUAAUCAUGCCUUUUGAACCAUCGUGAAAUGAGGGGUGUCGAUCACAAUUGAUGGCUCCAUCUUCUGUGGAUUCCACCGUGAAAAUGGAGCUAACACAUCGGACUUGCAAAAAAACUUGAAGUGUUGAUGGGUUAACAGCCUCCACCACAAGCUCAAGAAGCAAGAGGACAAUGAGCCAUAAGCAGCUUUCUUCUUGUCUGGCAAGUAGGUGGGAGCUUGAGGCUGUCACAGUGUAGCAAACUGCUAGGGUUUGUGGCAUGAUGGGACUAGGAGCUCAAGAGGUAUGUUCGACAAUUUGUCUUCAAAGGGAGAUUAUUCUUUCUCCCCAACAUGGAAUUUGCAGCACUCCCUUCCACAGGAUCUCAUGAUACCACUCCAGCUCUGGCUCGGUGAGACAGCAGCUGCUGGGGACGGCAGGAGUGCCUCAGGAGCUCAUGGAUGGACCCUUUGCUGACGACACCACCCUCUUUCUGGUUGCUAAGAACCUGGAUGGAAAUUGGAAAUAUUGGAACAAGUCCGUUGGGAUCAAUUGGGGAAAGCUAGGGAUUGAAUCAUGGGGCUGAAGUGAGUUUCUACCUGAAUCCCCAGGUAUUGGUGCUCUCGCACUGCAGGAUGAAAUGCUGCUCAAGAGGUUAGAAUGGCAAUCCAGAAAUGGUCAUCUAGGAAGCUUGGACUUCCAACAGCUAAGUGCAUCAUUCUCCCCAGUAUAUGGUACCACAUUUCUAUCUGGCCACCACACUUAGAAAAGUAAAAAGCAUGGUGCACACUUAUGUUGUAGGGUGGACAAAGGUACUGUGGCAUUCUUGCAGCAUGUCCAUAAGUGUUGGGAGGGUACCCAUCAUUGACUUAAAGUUAAAAGCUAUCAGCUCAAUCUCUGAAAGAAAUUAGCAACUAAGACACUAAAAGGAGAAAAUAAUUGUUUUUGGCUUAAAAAGAAGGAAAACUCAAAAAGUCCUUAAAAUUCAAGCAUAACAUUUAGAAUUUUGCAUUUGGGCACACAUGUUUUUGCUUUUAGGAUCUUUCUAAUACUGGUGUUAUCACCACAAUGUAAAUCUUUCACAAAUUCACCCCAAAACCCAAGAAACUAAAGAAUAAAGGGGAGGAUUGAUUAGAAAGUAAUCCUCCUUAGUGGAGUCACCAAAUGUUGACAGCGGAUUUUUUCAACAAAUGAGGAAAACACUUUCUUAUGCUCUAAAAUCAAGUUUAAACAUCUCUUUUUGAACUUUGGAGAAAGGGGUAUAUCCCCCAUUAGAAUAUCCUCACAGCCUCAACAAUAGAAUAUUCUAAAGAAUCUCACUCUUUUGUUAUAUAUAUUCUAAUGUUAGAGUUUAAAAGCCUUUCCACUAGGUCCCAUUAACCUCUAGGACUUCAAAGGCCUUUCCACUAGGUCCCAUUAACCUCUAGGACUUCUUCACCAUGUAACUAUAUAUUUAUUAUUCAAUCUUGGAUUUGAUCUUAUAUUUAGUCUCAAACACAGUCUUGGACUUAAUCUUGAACUCAUUCUCAAACUUGGUCUCAAAUUAGAUCUCAGACUUUAUCAUAAAUUCAAUCUUGAACUCGAUUUUAGACUUGGUCUUGGACUUAACACUUCCAUAGGUUACAACACUUGCCAUGUAUUAAUUCUUUUUUUAUCCCUUUCUAGAAACUCAUUUAUCAAUCACUUCAUGCUUGUUUUUCAAACACUUCUUUGCACUUUUGAUUUUUUGAGUUGGAGUUUUGUAUUACGCUCAUUAAACUUCCAUUUUGGCCACUAUCACAUUGUUCACCUUUGGCUCUACUUUAGGACUUAAGGAUUUGUGUCUUACAAAUCACCCAUAGAUGAAAUUUAAUAUCUUUAUUAAAUGAUAACUUAUUUUCUAAAGUAAGUCCAUUAUAAAUUACUAUUUGUUAAUGGUUCAACACCAAAGGCUCAUCAUACCUUGCAUAUCCUUUAAAGAGCAUAGACCCCUUAAUUUAGGGACUCAUUGAAUCACUUGUGAUGGUUUUUUCACUUUCUUAGUUUAGAUCCCGCUAAACUUAUUAGAAACACCUUUUAUAUCUUAAUCUUGUUACUCAUUCUAGAGUAAUCUUAAACUAUAUCAAUGUAUGGAUUGUCAUUUGGAAUUUUAAUAUAGACUUUUUAUCCCAAUUUGUAAGUGUCUUCAACACUUCCAUUAGACAUUUUUGUUGUGCAAACUCUACUUUCUUAUCCUAAGGAGUUUUUUACUUGAGGACAUCAUAUUUUUUCUUUUAUCUCGUAAGUUCCACUUAUCCAUAAUUUAUAUUAGAGCUACUCAUGGCUCUAUCAUUUAGCUAUAUUGCCACUUCAUCUUUGGAGUUUUCAAAUUUCACAAAAUUAAAGGACUUGGGAAUGCCAUCCCUUAAAAUUCUAUUACCUUUCCUAAUCCAUUAGCAUCCAUCUUAUGUUGGUUGUUUGCCUAACUCAUAAUUUAGAAUCACUUUAACAAUUCCCAAAGUUUUAUUGGCCAUUGGUAUUUUGCUCCUAUCUUUUAAUUGUUGCAUCAAAUAAUAUAGGAUUGCUACUUCCAUAUUUGGGGUAUCAUUUUUAUUUCAUAACAAAGGCUCUACUUUGGCAUAUUCACCCCUAGUAACUCUUAUCAUCAUUUUCCAUUGUGGAUAUAAUUAUAGCCCAAUUUUGUAACCAAGAACCUUAAUCAAUUGAGCUUCUAGGUAGAUAGGUAGGAAAUAUUUUCAUGGUGGAGCUGCAUAGCCACGCCUUCCAUGCAGAUUCCUUAGUGGCUAAGCAUGUCACAAUUAGGCUUCCAUUCCUUGCCAUUGUAGCAUUCACAAUUCUUGUGAUUGGGCAUCUUGUGAAAUGGAGAAAUCCCGGUAGGCAUUCUUGCCCUCUUUUCCUUCUCACUUCCUCCUUUAUGCAUGCCUUAAAUCUUCUCCUUAACGUGUGGCCUACGACAUGCUAGUGAAGAAUGCCGAUAGCCUCUAACUCUUCUUAGUGAUUAAGCUUGUGGAAUUUUCCUUGAAGAUUAUUUUCUUGGACUCAUAAUACCAUUAUAUUGUCAUAGAUCAUUUCACCUUAGGUCCACUUAAUCACCAACCAUUACCAAUUGUUCAAAUCAUUACUAUAAAUUAGAAAAUAUGUUCCUUAACCUAAUAAAGAACUUAUUCUUGAUUAGCAAUAAGAUCAUCUAGUGAUCCCAUAUAGAUUUCUCAUGAGUUGUUGACUAACUACAAGAGCAUCCCCCAUACUUAGCAAGUCAACCCUUUUAACCAAAGGUUUGUAACAACCAGGAUUGUGUGUCUCCAUCCUAUUUACCACAUUUUUCUAUUGAACUUUCAUACUAAAUAUAUUAACUAUGUCCUUUAUUUUUAAGGUAGCCUCUUUAUUAAGAAUCGUGUUAUUAUAUUCCAAACUAAAUGCCUUCCAAGCAUUAAAAGGUUGAGAUUUUAAACCCAACCUCCACAUAUGCCUCUACAAAAUAUCACACAAGAUGGUUAGUGUAACUCUUUAUAUCAGUGUACCAAACUUAUAUCAAUACUAAUUAAUGUUUCUUUCAUAUACCCAGACUCUAGGGGGUCCCUGUAGAAUAAGGACUCUAGCAAAACCAAUAUGACUAGGGAAUGCUAGUGUGACCGAAAAAGGCUAUAUUCAUAUGGUGGAUGAUGAUACAAAUAUUUAAGAGUUUAAUAUAGAUAACAAAUGAAAUGAUUUAAUAAAAUGUUUAAAAGCCAAUUAUAGCUCCUCCAAAAGAUGAAAUAGUCCAAGUGUGGGUAACAUUACCUAUUUGGAUACUUUAAUAGUUUAUUAAAACCCCACUCUAGCCAUAUAGCCAACUCUCAAUGCAAAGAGAUCUUGCUAUUGUCUAGCCAGUGUUGGAAGACCAAGUAGUUGUCAUUGGCAAGGACAGCACAAGCACUUGGUGCUGACUUUACUCUUGGCUCAGUAUUCACCACCUAGGACAGAACGUCAUGGGCAUCUGGGAACACUACAGCUUCUUUGCCUUCACUCUCAUGUUCCUGCUCACGUCCACCAGUGAGUCACUGCCGAUGUUUCUUGUGGAGCACCAGGUCCUCAAGUGUGAAACUUCUAGGGGAACAUACAGGGUCUCGUCAUAUGUGAUUGCCAACAUGGUCAUGUUCUGCUUAUGCUUUCUUCUUUCGUCUUCUCGCUCCUGUAUACAUACAGUACUGGCCGAGUCUGGCCUAGAGCAUUUCAGCAAGUGGAUGAACCUGGGCGUUACGGCAAUUUUCGUUAUCGUCUACAGACUUCAUGCUUACCUUGUACUUCGGUUUAAGCACCGGCAUGAACAACAGUAGUUAAGUCAAUAAGAAUGAAGUACUUCCAACGUACCUGUUAGUAACGGAUCUUCUCUGUUUAAUUGUUUAUCUGUCAAGCAAGGAGCAAGUGUCCGAAACUUUCAAAGUUCAUGAUGGCAUAAUCCCACGAUCCCAGGCUUUUGCUUUCUCACUCAACCCCAGAAACACCUGUUAGAGAUGCAUUGAAGAAACAGUUGCUGUCAGGCUGCCUUAAAUUAACUGCAGUUAACACAAAGAUUGCCUGAUCAGAGAAUGUCCGUAAUGAAAAAACUAAAUUUGCCGUACAGCAGGAGCAGCCGAAACUCGAUCAACCAAAUGCUCGAGCAAUUAUAUAACUUUUCAUCCGGAAACUUUAUUUAACCUGGAACGGUUACUGUACAAAGAGCAACGUCUACACGAUGGCAUCUCCCGUUCAAUAAUCAUUGCCCUUGGACAAUACCUCUUUGCACGUUGGCCGAAGUAGGACCGUGUGCUCAAAUUGAGCAACGUAGCUACCCUUGAUAUCGCAUACGGGUGGACAUGGCUGUAAGAAAUCACGUACUUAGUGACAGCAUAACCAUAAGGAAAACGUCGACUUACCUGGACAAUGCCAGCGUCACACAGAUUUUUCAAAGCCAUCAAGUAUUUCGUCUCACCCAGCCUAUCCAGAUACCGACGACAAAAAGCCAGCGUUGAAAAGUUUUUGUCGAUGGUUGCCAGCAGCUGCUUUGCCCGUGGCAGCCUCAAAGGAACAUGACCGACGUCAAAAUCCUUCAUGUAGUGACUGCAUUCUAAAUCUUCUCUCACAUAGCCUUUCCCUGCAAAAACAGUUGUCGACAAAGUACGGCAACCAACUAAAAUUGCAAACCAGUGGAGCCAAAAGUCUCGAUGGCAUAAAAUUCUCCUUCCAUUUUUGUUUGUUCUCCUCCUUUGACAGUAGGAACAGAUUUAGCUGCAUGUAUUUGAUAUUGUCCUAUGCUGUGACCAUUCAAAUUUCUUAUACUUUUCACUGUACAUUCAAAAUAAAAUUGUUAUACGAAACAUAAGACAUGAACGUUUACCUUGAAAAGUUUUGCCAUUUAUCUCAACUUCAUAAGACUCCAUUACCUCUUGAAUAGCAGCGCCAACGUCACAAAGCCUCACAUCGAUACCCGUUUCCUAGAAAUGCACGUUAAAUGAAGGAUAAAUUUGCAAAUACGUACCCGAAUACCAGUGUUCGUUGCUUCUCGCGCAGCCUCCAAAAGAGGAUCGAACAUGGGAUUGAAGGCAAGUGUAAAUGCGGAAUCGAUUAUACGCCCUGAAUAAUACAUUUGAAAACUUAGGUUUUGCAAAAAGAAAAACAAAAAGAAACAAACCUUCGAUAUGCGUUCCGAAAUCCAGCUUCAUAACAUCAUCGUACUGAAGUACUGUUUUGUCUCCAGCAUUUGGUGUCCAGUGCGCAGCUACCCUGAGCCACAAAAAUAUUUACAAAAUUUUAUCAAGAUAAUAUGCGCAGUACCAAUUUAAAGAGCAGCCAGUUGGAAAUGCAAUUCCCGCAUGCAAUCCAUUUUCAGAUAUAAGUUUUCGCACCAUGUUUUCUAGUGUUUCGCAAAUAUCGACCAUUGCAACUCCGGGCUUUGCGUACUUGCGAAUGUAAUUCCGCACCUAGCAUAUGGAAGGGAAGAAAUUUUAAAAUUUUGCAUCGCAUUUUUAUUUUUUUUUUAAAAAAAAGGUACCUGACGAUGAACUUCUGCGGCUUGACGAACUUCAUUAUAUAUGGGCUUCUCUAGCCUUUCCAAUUCUCUUUUUUCUUCCGAUGUUUCUCUCCAGAGGUUGCUGUCACGUAGAAGAACACGAAGACCGCAUAAAUCAUUAGUGAGGAAGUCAGUCGAUUGUCUUACUCAUCCUUGUAGUGCUGUAUCUCUCCGACUGGAAACUCUCCGGAUGGGAAGAGAUCAGCUACAGCCACUGAUGGAGGAUCUGCCUGCUCAGUCGCUGCUUUCUUCUUCCUGAUAAAAUGUUUAAGCAUCAGUAAACAAACACCCCAGUGUAGUGAUUUAACGUACUUGGAUUUCUUCUUCUUCUUCUUUGUUGCUUCAGCUGAAAGCGAAGAGAAAGUGAAAAAGGAGUGAGCUCGGAGCUUUCCUUACCGGAUUCAUUUUCGGGCUGAUUCUCAUCUUCGUCGUCUUCCUUAUCACCAGCUAGAGCAGCGACAACGGCAGCAGCACCGCUCUUCUUCUUCUUCUUCUUCUUUUUCUUGGCUGCGACGGCAUCCUGCGCCAAAAUAUCGCAUCAAAAUCCAAGAAACAACGCACAGGAUUUGGCAUACCGGUCCAGCGCCUGGAUCCACGACCUCCUCAGCAGCAUCGUCUGGCGCAUUCUCAUCCCCCAUUGCCGGCCUAAAACCUAAGAUUGAGGUCAACAAAAUAAGGUGUUUAUAUGAGCCACGGCAAAGCACCCGCAUUUCUCUCUCAUGACCGUUGCCAUUAGAAUUGACGAAAGAAGGCAUCAACGGCCGGGAUUCGGUUCUUUCCACUCGACGGACCGCCGCGAUGCUGCCAAGUCGACAAAAGCGACGAAGAGCCAGAAAGGGCAUGGUCACACGAAGCUCUUAGCGAGGGAUUAGGGUAUUGGCGCAGGGCUAGCGUGGGAGCGCCGAGGCUUCGGUACCGCCGGAGCUCUGUUUUUUCGUCGGCAUUCCAUUGCCAGAUCUCGAGCGAUCACUCGCUGGAACAAGAAAUGGCUCCGAUCGUCUGCUUGCGCAUCGAAAGUACUCUAUGAGUCUCACAUUGCCCGAUUCAGGGUUUUGCUUGAUCCUGGGGGGGAUUUUAAUGGGACAUGGCAAUGCUGGUGCGCUGGAGCUUGAAAAGCAGGCAGGAUUCUGGGGAAGAUAGUUCUCGGCGAUUUUAGGACAGGUGUAAUCUUGCAGCCAUGGACGAUGUUGCGAUCAUUCGGGAGAUUUUGACUGUCACCCAUGUACCAGUCGUAGCGCAGUUGCAGUGGAGAAGUCUUUUGCGAUCUGUCUGCGAUCGACUCACAGCUCAUGUAAGUUGUAGCUCCAUUGAGAACAGAGGAGAGAAAUUGAUUUUAACCAUCGCUACCACAGACAGCACGGCUUGAGAAAGCUGAGGAGCUCGCCAAAAAUUUUCAAGCUUUCAAGGAGGGGAUUUACGAAGUCUGGUAUGAAAUUUGACCCGUUUUCUUUUCUGUUUUUUCUUUCCCUGACGCGACGCAAUGCAGUAAAAACACGGCUAAAGAGUGCAAAGAUUUCACCGAGGUCGAGGUCCAAAAGCAGGCUGAGAAGCUCGAUACGCAUGCUAAAGUCACUGGAGAUCGUAUCAACGCUGUUCAAAAAGGCUAUGCUUCGUACUUGGUGAGUGGAACUUGACAGAAGCUUUCAUUGCAAAAUGGAAGAAAAUUCCGUAAGCAUCAAGACAGUGACUGGGGAUUUGGCAGAAUUGAAGGCAGCCGUCGAGUCUCUUCCCAAAAGAGUUGAAGAUUUAGAGGGAGGAGUCCAGAACUUGACUGCGGUCAGUUCAGAGCUGCAAACCAAAGUCAAGGAGCAGGACGAAACAAUAAGGAAACUGGGUGAAAACUUCCAGUCACAGUUUGAGCAGCAUGUAGUGGAAAUGACAGGGGCAGUGCGAGUUAUGACAGAAGAAAUAGAGUCUUUACAAGCUGAUGUUCUGGACCAGUGGAAGGCUGCAAAGUUUGGAAAAUCAAGUAUUCACGGGUACAACGGGGUUACUGCUUCAGGUAAACUGUGUUGUUGCGGGUAAACUAUGUUGUUGUUGGGCAGGCAGGCCUAAUCGAGGAGGACCUGGUUGUGCUUGAUCCUGCCGCUGCCCCUGUCGGUUCGGGUUGUAAGUGGGGCGAUAGUAUUGGUAUCCACCUUGGUUGUAGCCGCCUUGUCGAUUGUAGAAAUCACGAUUGUUGUAAUUGUAGUCGUGGUUGUUGUAGUAGUUGUAAUCGCGAGGAGGUCUGUUGUAGCGAUCAUCCUGAUAGUAGUCGCGACGAGGUGGGCCAUUCCAUGGACGUGGAUAGUAGUUUUGCCGAGGUGGUGGUCCUCUCCUCUCGUUCUUGUACGGCGGUGGUGGACCUGCUGGUAAUACAUGCAACGGUCGUUGAAACCCAUUUGUCGAGGUGGUCGAGGAGGAGGAGGUUGAAAAGUAGAAACUAGAUUAACUUGAGGGGCUGGGUUAGAACGGUAUGCCUUUGCAUCAUGACCAUUUGUCCUGCAAAGUUGACAUGUAGCAAGUUGAAGCUUGCAUUGAUGAGCUGAGUGUCCCUCAUUCUUGCAAGUUGUGCACCAUACGCCUGUGCGUAGAUUGGAUUCGUCAGCAAGAGCUUCGGCAUUGAGCUUCUUGACAAGCCUGUCCUGUUUAGUGUUCUCCUUCAACCGUCUGUGUGAGGGAGUGUCAUCAUCAUCACUACUGGUGUCGCCAUCGCCAAAGCUGGCGUUUUUCUUGCGGAGUUCCACCGUCGUCAUACGGUCAGCGACAUCGGUGUACUUGGUUUCCGCAAGGAAGGCUGCCGCCUUGCGAAGACUCUUGCGAAGGCCUUGAAUGUACCAUCGUGUAAGAAGACUAUCGAUUGGUUUCGUUGGAAGUUUGUUGACGUAUUUGGUGUAGCGAAUGCUGUAGUCGGAAACGUCUUCAUUCGAUUUCUGCCUGAUAGUCUGCAGUUUGUCGAGGUACUGCUCCUCUGUGGUAGCUGACUUGAACUCGGUUUGAAAGUCUUGGUAGAGUUCAUCAAUGAUCCUGGAUGAUGGUUGCUGGCUGUACCAGUCCAAGGCACGUCCUUUGAGUGUGUAGCCGAAAAUGUUGCGGGCGUUGUGUUCAUCGCCAUUGGUGACGACAACUCCUUUGAAGAAAUGUGCGUGUUUCUCUGGACUUUCCUCCCGAAGACCACUGAAUGCGGGGUAGGAGAUGACUGUGCCAAUGGCAGUACCGGGUAUAUAGAGUGUCAUCGUGCCUAAUCGUGGGGAAGGAGGUUGUAUUUCACCAAAAAGAGCUGCUAGAUCGCUGCCUGAAACUUGUGUGUCGAGGCCAGAAGAAUGAGUCUUGGCCUGAUGUUGAAGGUGUGCCUGAUUGUUGUCAGGCAAAGGUUGAUUGUCAGGCGAGUCUUGAAUGUAGAGCAAAGGUCGUAAAUCAGGCGCUGCUUGAUAGUCGCCAAAGAUAUUGUCUGGCUCGGGUGUUGAUGGAGAAUUGUGGUGAUGAUCUAAUGUAAAUGUUGUUGGCGAUUCGUGGUCGCGAUGAUUGAAGAAGUCCAAUGCUAUGUCGGAAGUGGUCUGGUUGCUGGGGUUGCCUAAGAGUUGUGUCCUCCAAUUGCUGAUGACGUUACUCCACUCAAUACUAUGAGCGAAGCGAUUUUGUUGUAAUUCAGCGUCGGCAGUAACAGGUGCUGAUGAAGGUGUUGAGUAGGCAGAAGGCUGUGCUGGUGCACUCAGCGAAGGAUGAAUUGCCGAUUGUGGUGUGUGCCAGGUCGAAGUCUCUGGCUGUCGUUGCUCUUGAUGAAUUGUUUGCUGGGGCGGCGGUGUAGUAACCGUCACGGAGUCAAACGGGCUCGGUGGAGUCUCUCUUGGAGGAGCGAAGUAACUGUUGAUCAAGUCUUUGAUGUGUGCAGCAUUGUCGGUUGUUAGUUGCCACCGUAAAAGCUGCCUGAUUUCAAGUUCUCAUUGGGUCGGGGGUAUGUUUCGUCCCUCUAACCGUUGUUGUUGCUCCCGCGUGUGCUCGAGGUUGCGGAGCUCCCGGGCAAAGUAUCUCUGGGAACGCUCUAUGUUCUGUAUCCUCUUUGUCUGGAUGUCGUGUCCAUACAUACGAUCAUGUGUCGCAUGCUGCUUGUCAACGGUUGAUGAUUGUUAGUGAUGUAAAUUCAAGUAUUAAUUAAAAGAAAAACAAAUCAGGGAAAAUCAGGCAGAGGAAGGAAUUCCUGCUUGACAUCCUGGCAAGAUGGAGUAGAAACUGAUGCAUUCGUUGCAGAGGAGGCGCUAGUGGGAGUCCAUGGGAAGACUGGGCUACAAACUCGCCACAUCAAGCCUGAGCAUCGUCAGCAAGUGCAGCUUGUUGCAGACAUAUUGGAGCUCCGCGUUUCUCACAUACUUCUGCUAGUAUGAUCUUGUCAGUUAUGUACGUCGAGCUCAACAACAACAAACCCCCUAAACCUCGCAGCGUAUCUUCACACCAAGCUUCAUGUUACGCUUUGCGAGCUCUACAACAAGUAGAAGGAUCGCAAGCCUGCUUCAACUCGAAUUUUUCCGAUUCUGCAGCGACUUCAUCAAUACAAUCUUCUGCAAAAUCUCGUUUUGCAUCGACUGCCUCUACAGACUGCUGUUGUGAAUCCCGAUGGCAGCUUUACCGUCGUUGCCCCUUCGCCAUCAUCUUCGACACGUCGCCGCAAGGAGCGCGCGAAGAAGGCACAGGAAGAUCCUCUGCUAUCAAAAGCCCGCGAAGCCAGGCAGCACCGACGACCAACGUCUCCAGUUGUCAUCGAGCACGAUGGCUCCGACAGCGAACCAAUUCCUGCGUCUUCAUCACAGCUUCACGUGCACCCGAGCAGCAUUCCUUCUGCCCCAACAAUUCGUCAGGCAGCGCCAGCGCAGGCGCAGCAGCAUCAGGCGCCUUGCCUAACGCCUGACCCAACGCCCACUCCGUCAUCGACUCAUCAGGCGCUCCAUCAGGCCGUGCCACUGCCACCUAAUUAUCCAACUGCUCUGGCAGGGGGAUGGUCCAAAGUUGAGUUGAGCUCACGAGUUGAGCUCAAUUCAGCUCAAGUCAAUGCUAGUCAACAUAGUCAACCAUAAGUUUUAUAAGGAAAUAUUAAGUCAGAAAAAUGUUAUUCUUUGGUGAACUUGAAAUUUAUGAGUUUAAGUAUCAAUGGUUCAGAGAGAUUUUUAUUUUUUGAAUCUUUCUAAUGCAGUUUAUACAAUUUCUAGAAUUAGAAGUUCGUCUAAACCCAUAGAAAUUUUUGGGCUUUAUUGGUCCCAAAUAAAAUGGAAAUAUUGAAGUUCGAAUGAACCGGAAAAUUUCUAUUGUACAUUUCAACAUUUUAACAUUUCAACAAUUGACCAGAAAUAUAUAAAUAAUUCGAAACACUGAUUCACUUGUUCAUUCUUUAGGGUUUACAGAGAUGGGAAGCAAGGAAGACAAAAAAUCUGUAAGUAGUUCUAGUAUACAGAAAUGUGAGAAUGUGAAUUUUGUUUCACUACCACAAUCUCCAUAUUACACGCCUGGUCCUUAUUACCCAUCCAGGAAUGUGGAGACCACUGUCACUAUUGAUAAAAAUGCUCCUGUUACUUCCGAAACAACAAUCCAGAGCAAGAGAAAAGAAGAAAUGGACAGCACAGCGGAAAGCACUAAUAAAUCCACUCUAUAAACCUUUCAAUGGCUUUUGUAAUUCACUAAAAUAUUAUAAAAAAAUGUAAGUUUUUUAUAUAUAUCUUAUUCCUUUUGAUAUGUUUUGUCUUUGCAAAGAUAUAUGAUGUAGACAAAUCAAAGAAUUAAAUCUAUAUAUGAUUUUGGGAUUGAAAGGUAAUCUUGCAAAAAGGCAUACUCGCGUGCCUGUGUAUAUUCGCUAUUAUUAUAUAUGGCAGGCCAACUAUAUAAAAUAAAGCUACAUAUUAAUUAUAUGCUAGUUUUUAGCUUCUGAAACCCUAUAGCCACUUGUUUCUCAUAGUAGGUUGUAAUUACUAAGACUGACAAUUAUCAUUCACUAUAGUGUCAUGUCAUAAUAAAACAUCAUUCCCGAGAUUGAAAUAUAGUAUAUUAAUGAGAGAAUUCUUAUUGCUAGGAAAUUUAAUUCUUCUUGUGUGUUGCAAUGGUUAGGAAGAAGUUUACUUUUGGUCCCGAAGGCCUCUCAUAUGAGUCUCCACCUCCAUCUCCAAUCUCAACCAAUAAUCCACCUUCACCUCUACGCAACAAUCCUCCUUUUCAUUUUGAGGGCUGUUGUGAGGCUUUUCCAUUUGCGACCUCGAGUGCAACUGAACAAAAACUCCUUCCUUAUGAUGUUGUUAAAAAAGUUGGAUUGCCUCCAAUGCUUCAAGAGCGAUGUCAAUAUUUUCUUCAAGAUCUUGCUCCAGAUAUGGCAGGGGAGCUUAAUGUAGAUACAUAUUAUCUUCAGUGUCCUAUAUGCAACUUUUAUUUAAACAAGACAGAUGGUUGCAUGGGUUUGGUAAAUUUUAUUAAGCAUUGUCGCAAAUGCCCAAGAGCGGGUUUGGAAGGUGUGCACACGUGGAUGUAUAAGAAAAUCAAGAAAAAAUUAAAAACACACAGCUAUUAUGAUUUCAUGGUGGAGAACAAUAUUCCAUUGGUGAACACUGCAUCAGUAAAUGCUGAAUAUGGGAUAUUUAGGCCACCCUUUAAUGUAAUGUGAAAGUCAUGCAUAGUUUUUCAAAAGGUUAAUUCUUUAUGAGUAAAGUGGAGAAUCUUAUAUUUUCGAGAAUGAUAUUAUUCUAGCAUGUAUAAAGAUAUUAUUAUAUAUACAAGUGGUUCUGACAUUGUUAUAAUUCUGAAGUCCCAUUUUUGAGAUUGACAAUUUAAACUUUCAAGAACCCCUAGAUCUUUUCUUAGUAUAAAUACCAACAAGGGGUGCUUUCAACAUUGAAAUUUCAGUUUGUUUAGAGUGUAGGAAUGGCUAGGGAAAAUGCUAUUGCUACUCGCACUUGGCCCCCAUGCAUUUCAUAUGAGUCUCCACCUCCGUCUCCAACUUCUACCAACAUUCCACCCUUCCCUCCAUACAUCAAUCGUUGUGAGGCCUUUUCUUUUGUAGCCCCAAGUGUGACUGAACAAGAGAUCCCUCUUCCAGAUAAUGUUCUAGAUGUUGCUACUAAAGAUGGAUUGCCUCAUGUGCUUCAAGAGCGAUGCCAAAUGUUUCUUCAAGAUCUUGCUCCCGAUAUGGUUGAAACUUUUGAAAGAAUGAACACAUAUUAUCUCCAGUGUCCCAUCUGCUACUUUUAUUUAGAUAAAACGGAAGGCUGUAUGGGUCUAGAAACUUUUCUAGAACACUGUCACAACUGCCCAAGAACUAGUGUGGAAGGUGUGCAUAAAUGGAUGUAUAAGAAAAUCAAGAAAGAGUUAAGAACACACAAUCAUUAUCAUUUCAUGGUGAGGAACAAUAUUCCGUUAGUAAAUCCUACACCCACAAGUGCUGAAUAUGGUAUUUUUAGGCCAUCCUACUGAAAAUUCCAGCCACUAAUAAUUCUUACACUAUGAUAUUAUUCAUGCCCCCCCCCCCCCCUCUCGCCUUUUUUUUAUUAACAAAAUUGUAUUACCUAUAGAUAAUAAACUGAUAAUACUAGUAAUUAUGAAAUUUGACAGACUGACACUGUAACUUUGUCAUCUCUGACACUGACACUGUCUCUGUCACUGACACUAUCACUGUCGCUAUCUGCUACACUGACACUGUCAGUGUCACAAUCAUUAUCACAUUGACAUGUGACACAUCUUUCUCAUUGCAUUCAAUUGUCUUUUAAUGUAUCAUUAAUAAAUAGAUUUUUCAUACCACUCCUCAAUUUACUCCACAUGCAUAUGAUGUGCCAUGCAUACCUAGGAAGACUUGAGAGACUCCAGAGUCGUGUGAAUGGCCUUCUUUUUAGUUCUCAAAACUGUCUCUUGGAAGCGCUUGUCGACAAUGUGUUCAGGUAGCUCCACUUCUCUUUCAGCUUCAGCUACACCUCCAGUAGCACCAUUAUCAGAUCUAGCCCCCGACUCGGGCCCAACACCGCCAUCAGGCGCUACUACGGAGCUACUUGGGCACUGCUCCGUUUCUGCCAUAUUUUGUGAAUAUGUUAAGAGUAGUGGCAUUUGUGGUUGUGGCAGCAAUGGUAGUGAUGACAAUGGUUGUGCUAGUGGUGGUGAUGAUGGUGGUGGUGGUGGUGGUAAUGGUGGUGAUGACGGUGGUGGUGGUAAUGGUGGUGAUGACGGUGGUGGUAAUAGUGGUGAUGAAGGUAAAGGUGGCGGUGGUGGUAAUGGUGGUGGCGGUGGUGGCGGUGGUAAUGGUGGUGGUGGCAUCGAUGGCGGUGGUGGGGGUGCAUGUGGACUGGAGCUAUGUGGUUGGGAAGACGGUAGAGUUGUCGCUGUGGAAAUCUCUAUCUGAAGGUUAACUUGAUUGUCGUCCUGGAUCUCAUCUUCCUCAUGUCUUCUCUUUGAUCCAACAUCCCUCUCCUUUUGUAGUUGCUUCCGUUUCUGAAAAUAAAAAAAACUCAUUAUAAAUUACAAAUGCAUAAGAAGAGGGGAAUAGGGCGUGGGCUCGGUGCAAGCCUCCCCGAAGCACCUUGGCUGGCCCGCGCUAAGGCCAACCGCCCGAGAUCCUUGCCUUGGCACUUGGAGGAGGGCUGGUUCGCUGGCGAACCGGCCCUCCUCCAAGCGCCGCCGGCGAACCGGCCCGCCUCCAAGUGCCAAGGCCAGUGCGCACCAAGUGCCGGGCCCGGGCAUUUGGCCCGAGCCGGCCUUGGCACUUGGAGGCGGACUGGCGCCCGCACCAAGCGCCAAGGCCAACCGCCCGCGAGCCAGCCUUGGCGCUUGGACUUAGCUGGCUCGCACCAAAUGCCCAGCGUGGGCAUUUGGCACAAGCACUUGGCGCCUUUGCCAGCCAAGCGCCUUGGCCAGCCUGCGUGGACUUGGCCGGCCUAGGCGGAGUGCCCAGCCAAAUGCCCGGCCUGGGCACUUGGCAGCAGUGGUGCUGGGCAGCAGUGGCCCUAGGCAGCGCGGCACUGGCGUGGCGUGGCGUGGCGUGGCGUGGGCGAUUCUGGGCAGCGGCGGCACAGCAGCGGCGGCAUGGCAGUGGCGGUGCUAGGCAGCGGCGGCACGGCAGCGGCGGCAUGGUGCUGGGCAAGCAGCACUGCGCUGGGCGUGGCAUGGCAGUGGGCGGCGCUCGGCAGCCUGGGCAGUGGCGGUGCUGAGCAUGGCGUGGUGUGUGCAGCGUGGUGGCGCUGGGCAUGGCGUGGGCGCAGGGGCGCUGGGCGCGGUGGCACUGGGCGCGGCGGCACUGGGCGCGGCGGCACUGGGCGGGGAGGAGAGGGAGUGGAGGAGGAGGAAAAACUUACUCUUGGCGGCAUUCUGUUCCCGCAGUCACUCCCAAUCUCCCGCGAUACUUUCUGUAAAACCCUAACGCCGGCAGCUGCCCUAACCCUAACCUAACUUUCAUCACAGCCGUUCAUCAUGGAUGCAGUAAAUCUUCACUGUACAAUAAAUAAUAAAUCUAGCACUGUACAAUUUCUAUUCCGCCCUAGAUUUGAAAGUCCUUUUGAAUUGUAAUUUAAUAAUGGAGGUGUGCUCUAAUAUGACUAUGUCAUAAUGUGAAAUAAUGUCACAGACGCAUGUGUUGAAUUGAUCACAGUACGAAAUUGUUAGAAAAUAUAAGAUUAUUAAAUUGUAUGGUGUUAUUUCCAAAGCAAUGUAUAUAGAUAAUUUACUAUAGGUGAUAGAUAGAUGGUAGUACAAAGAUGGAAUAUAUUUAAAUGAGUUCAGAAGAAUGUGAUGAUUUCUAGCUUUAAUGAAGUACUGAAAAUAUGUACAAUAUUUAAUUUAUUUGGCAAAAAUUGGUUGAUGGUAGAUCCUAGAAUAAAAUCAUUCCUAUCUUUCAUAUUAUGGCACAUGCUUGAGGUGAUAUUUCUUUCCGUUCUACCAAAAGUUAGUGCAUAUAAUAAAUUUGAGUAUGUCUUUGAAUUCAAUGUAUAUAGACUUUUAAUAUUGUACAACAUAGUCCUAUAUACUUCAUACAGAAUUUAUUAUAACAACAUUAUUCGAUGUUAGAUCCUAGAAUAAAAUCGCCCUAUCUUUUCACAUAAUGGCAUAGCACAUGUGAGGUGACAUUUCGUUAUAAAAGUUUAGAGUUCCAAAACCUAAAGGCAACAAAAUGGAGGGCUUCCUUUUGCAUUACCAAGAUCACCCACCGCUUUCUAUCUCCCAGAGUCUUAUUUCAGAAAGUUUUCUUUGCCGACGUUUCAAUCUUUCUCUCGGUUCUAUUUCAUUGGAAGCUGUGAUUCGCAACAACAUUGGUGUAGUUGAACGAUCGGAGUUUCUUCUUUCGGGUGUAGGUGAAGGUGGACAACAUUGGGAUUUGCAACAUUCCAAGUCAAAAGAGAUUCAAGUUUUUGGAUCUCCAAUCAAAGUGCGAGGCUGUGAUCCUGCUAAAGUGAAUGUCAAGCAAGAGUCGGUCGUCAUCAUUUCUUCCUCUUCUAGUUCUAGUGGAGAUGUUAGUCCAGUGCGAGCCAAGAAUUUCCAAACUCCAACUUCACUGAUAUUCCAAGUUGUUUGCAACGCUUUCCAGUUUUCCCGCCUCUCUAUUGACGUGCGUUCCUUUCUGCAUAGGCUCGUUAGCGAGCUCCCAUCUACAUACAAUGGCAAUAUCUUCUUUGAACUACCACCUCUUGUCAGCUCAAAACGAAAGGGGAUGGAGACGAAGCAGGAUGUCCACAACUGGUGCAAGAUCAAGACCACACAUUUCCAGCAUUUCGAAGGCACAGUGUCCAUGGUUCAUUGUGGUGGGUAUUUGGAUUGUGUGAAUAAAGCAUGCAAUCAAGAGCGUGGUAAAAACUCCAUAUUUUUUGAAGGAUCUGCAACCAAUCCUCCCCUCUGUGACACCAUUGGUGUUGGAUUCAAGUGUCGGUUUUGCAAGAAUGCUCCAUUGUGUCGUGCCAUCUGCAGGGCCAAGAUGUACUAUUUUCUUCCACGGGAUGGAGAGGUUGGUAGAGCUGCAGUACAUAUUGGCACGCACACACAUCCAAUGCAAGAAGGGAUACAAAGGAGUUCAGUCAACCAUUUCAAAGAUGCAGUGUAGAUAGAGACUAUGAGAAACUCAUCUGCAACUCCGAAGCAUGUUCAGAAGAUAGUGCUCAAGGAUUUUAUCGCAAAUACUUUACUUGAUCCGGACUACAAGAAUACUCAACUGGAUGAGGCUAGCUUGCGGGAGUUAUUACGACAUGUGCAACCUGCAACUAGCCUUAAAAGGUAUGAAAAUAUUAUUACAUACUUUUCAAUAAUAUCUCUCUUACAUUUUGUUUUAUUUAGGAUAAAGUCUUGGAUGUGUGAAUCUCGAGAGGGGAAACUCCAAUCAAAAAUCGACUCAAUCCUUGAACUAAAACGGACUUGUCCCUAUAAGUUUAUCCAUGGGAGUUUAUUUCCAGAUCAAGUCGUUAGUGAGCAAGAGCGCCCCUUCGUUUUCAAAAUGUCUACCAUGGGCCCUGCUUCUAGUGUGGAUCUUGUUUCCCGAAUGGAUAUGUCUGGGUCGAGUGACCUUGCUAAUGCAUGGGUACAUUUUGACCAUAUGGAGCGGGUGGCAGGUUGGACAACCAUGGGAGCUCAUGUGUAUGAUCCAAGGUAGUUUUUUUUCUCAUUAUCUUAAAAUGGUUUUAAACAUUGCACUUUUCACAGGCUACGUUGUAACUUGACAAUUGCAACGGCAGAGUUUAAAGUACAAGACCAGAUGGCUCAAGAAAUAUUUUGGAAGUCCCUCUUCGACAUUGUAUUGAAGCGGACUGGUAAGCCUGCCAACUUUCGCGGUUUCAUGGCAGAUGGGGCUGGGGCUAAUUGGAAUGGUGUCCGGGCAGUCUUUGGGAAUGGUCUACCCCUAGAAGGUCGUGAGAGGACAUGUGAGUUCCAUUGGGCUCAGAGCCUAAACCAACACUGCCACCUUAUCAAGCCAGAUUUCCAAUUAGCAUUUAAGGAGUUGUGCAAACAAUGGCAGGUUGCACCUUCUGAAGAAGAGCAUGAGGCAAAAGCAAACGAGAUCCGAAUGUGGUGGCGUGAAGAUGGCCAUACUGACGUAAGUUGUCUACCACAACUUGAGUCGUGGUUGGGGUGGUGGGAAGUUAGAAUGUUCCAAUGGGGACAUCACUCUUUUCAGGUUGGUUUUUCUUUUUUUCCUCUCUUUUUAUUGCUUUUUAUUAUCAUCUUUUUAUAAGGAUCAACCACUUGAGGAUCUUGCAUACACCCCAACUGUGAAUCUCUCAGAGAGUAAACAUUGGAGCUGGCGUUCCUCUGAGGCAGGGAAAGGGAAGAUGAGUCUAUAUGAAGCAUGUCUAUCAGAUUUGAUACGCGCUGUAGAGCAGUCUUCAAAAGCCUUGGCAUUUGAGGAAGGAAGAUACAUGGGAACAGGACCUUCGGUUGAGAUGUUACACGAUCGGAUGAAGAAGAAAGUGACUCCACCAGCACGAACAAUGGCAACUGCAGUGGAGGAAGUGGUCCGCGGCACAUCUAUGGAGUACACUCCUCGGGCUUCUAUUGGUGAUAUGAAGACCGUCCGCUCAAAGCGUCGAUUUUCCUUUGCUGGUGAAGAUGUUGGCACGGAUCUUGGAGCAAAAAGCUCUCACAGGCCUGAUGUUGAGUAUUAUUCUGCUCCAAGACAUCGCCCCAGAACCGAACCACCUCAAGUGGCUGAUGAAGAAAGUGCAUCACAACAGGUUGAAAUUGCUUAUCGUAGUGUGGAGCCGAAGCAAUGGGCAAUCCGUCGAGUGCCAGCGAAAUCAAAUGUAAAGUGUGUGGGGAUGCUUCCAAGGGGCAAGUGUUGGGCUUGGAUCCAUGGUGAUAAGUCUGCUUCUGUUCCAGCCCCAUGUUUCCAUGGGGAACGAAAGCAAGCAGGAUUUUCAAGAUGGUGUUGGUUAUAUUGCUGCAACUCUGAUGUCAACCAUACAAAGCGGCUUGAAGACACUAUAGUGACUAAACCUGAUGCAGUACCUAAAGAAUGGCCGGUUGCUAAUGGGGUUGCGCUCACCUCGGAUGAGAUUGAAAACCUUGAGAAAUCUGGUUUCAAUCUUGAGAGGAGAGUUAGAGAUAUGAGUGACAGAACCAAGACUAUUUCUACAGAGAUGCACAGAAGGCCAGCACGAAAAGGUAAGGUAGUUAAAUUUAUUGGUACCGUCUCCAAGCAGAAGCAAGGUAAAAUAAACUUGGCUCAAACACUUGAGUGUGAAAUUCUCUCCACGAAGUACAUCACUGCGCUCGCAAAGGAGUACACAGUCAAAACAAAAGGUGGAGAGUACACAAUUGCCAUUCAAAACUUUCCUUCUUGCACAUGUCCAGACUUUACGAAGCGCGAGGAACAUGGGAAGGCAUAUGCUCCUUGCAAGCAUAUGUACUACAUCUUCAUCAACAUCUUGCACCAGGAUCCUAAAGUGGAUAUUCAUAUACACCAAGCAAGCCUUACUAUUGCUGAGUUGCAGAAAACUUUUGGAGCUAAUUAGAUUUUCCAGCACUAUCGAUGUUUAUUCUCUAUCAAUAAUAUAAACUAAUUAUACCUUAUAUAAUUAAUAAAAAUAUUUUAUUAUUUCACUUUUCAUUUCAUAUACUUGUAAGGUUUUUUUCGCAAUAAUACCCAUAGUAUUUGUGAGUCUCCAUUUUUGUCUUUACCUUCUCAAAAAAUAUUUCGUGAUAGUCUUUCAGGUGUAUGAUGUUACAAUGUAUUGUGAGAGCAUAUGUACCAUCACAGUUUUUUUUUUUCCUUUCAAAUGGUUAUAUGGCCUUAUAUAGAAUCUUAAUUCAAAUUUAAUAAUUUAAAAAUUCUGAUGAACCUGACAUUUACUAGCUAGAAAGCACAGAGUACAAAUUUAAGAAGUGAUAAGAAUACUCUUUUUGCAAAUAUUUAAUUUUAUAUUCUAACAAACGUCUCUAUUAUUGCAUGUAGUAAAUAUUUAAAUUAUUAGAACAAGAAGUGUCCUUUAGAAAAUUUUUAUCUAUAUAAUAUAUAGAGAGUUAUAAAAUUAUUAAGUUCACCAUAACUUUAAAAUUUUAAAGUUUAUAAUGUUUGUACUAAAUUACAAUUGAAAAUUGAGCUCAACUCGUGAGCUCAACUCUUCAGCUCGUGAACUCAAGUAUGGUCCACGCUCCUCUGGCAGUUACAAAGCUUCAUGUUCCCAGCAACCCAACCAUACAAAAUACCACACAAAACAAGGAUAAUAUCUGAGGGAAUUCGGGAGGCACAGAAGAUACUUCCUGCUUGAUUUACACAAGUUUCACUACACAAAGAAGUAACAAAAUUGACUGACAACAUUGGUGUGAAACCUAUUUCAUAUUCUAUAUUCAACAAAAUAUGGAACAAAUAAAUCAAGGAGGUUAGCAUUGUUAAGAAAUCCGAUUUUUCGAAAUACAACAUUUGUCUUGAAUUAAAAGAACAAAUGGCUGCAUCAAGAAAUCAGGAGGACCAAAAACAUUUUUAAGGUUUAUUUAAGAAACAUCAAAUUGAACAACGCAAAUACAGAACACAGUAUUAUGGAAACAAAAUGCUGGCAUGUCACCUUCGAAAUACUUAUUCAUCAUUCACGAUGUCAUGGAUUACGCAAAAACUUAUGUUCCAAGGCUCAUGCAUGUUCCAAAAUGCAGUUCCAACUCGAUGGUUCUUCAUAUCAAUUUGCUUGGAGUCCUGACUCAUGGACAUGGGGAUGAAAGCUACGGUCAUUUUUGUCUUCCACACUGGCCGAAAGAUCCGAAUCUUACUGUUGCAUUCCUUGCAAGAGUAUUUCACAAUUUGGAGGAAUAAAAAAAAGAUUACACUGGUGAUUUACGAGUAAAAAGAAAUGAUCAGCAGUCACUUAAUGAAGCACUGAUGGAUACAACAUCUGUAUUACACGAUGUGUAUUUGGAUCAAGCCUCUGUCUAAGAUACAACAGAGUUCACUCCAUUACCAAGGAAAUUUACUUUUGCAAAUGGACAACUGUGUGUCAGAAAACAAAAACAGGUUAACAUUUCCGUAUUUAGUUGUUUAUUCAAAUUUACCCACUAUCAUGGAUUUAAAAAAAAAGCAUUGCAUAUUAUUAACACUUCUGGAACAUGCAAUUGAAUCAGCCACAUGUCAAUUGGAAAAAAAUUCAGAAACAUGAAUCAAAAUCUGAUAAUUAUAUUACCAACUAGUGUUUAUCUUAGUAUUGAUUGUCAUUGCAAACAAAUAAUUUGUUAGCUAAAGAAUAAUUAAAACUAACUAUAUAAUAAUUAACAAUAAUAUGCUAAUUAAUACAUGCUUAAGUUGACCAGAUAAUUAGGAAUAGUUAAUUAAAUCCUGGUUAAUUAGUUAAUCAGUGAAAAUGAGAAAAAUAUUUUCUUAUUUUUAUUCGGAUUAGGACUUUAUCUCAGAGUCCUAAUAAAACUCAGUCAAAGGGUGACGAGCGUGGUCAUCAAUAUAAGGAUCAUCAUGACGGUUGUAGCCGUAGGAAUUUCAAGGACCAGAAGCUGGCGCUUUGCGAACCAAUACAAGAGAAAUUUCUUCCAGGAUAAGUUCAGGAAGGAUAAGUCUCAGGCUUCACAGGAGAAAACAGGUUCUGGUUCGGCUCCGAAGUGCUAUGAUUGCGGUGAACGUGGACACUUUGCGCGGGAUUGUCCAAAUCCAGGUUCUCGUGAUCAUGGAGCUAAAGGUGAAGCUUCAGGUUCAAGGCUGAAGUCUGAAGUUCGUGUUGAUCCUAACUCAGUCUGAACUGUUGAGAAGCGUUAUCCGUCUCCAAGCCCGUCUCGGAAGCGUAAGGCACUUUCCGUCAUCGCUUGUGAGUUGAGUGUUACUUGGUGUCGUGUGUCCAUGGCCAAGCGUCCUGGUCAAGUGAUCAAGUUCGAGGCUCAUGUGUCCGGUAAGCCUGUUCUGGUUCUACUUGAUCCAGGUAGUAGCGACAACUUCAUUUCACCGGCCAAGUAUGUGAGGCAGCAAGGCGUAACUACGACUGAGACGUCUCAAUACAAGAUUGAAGGGGCUGCAACAGCUUUACAGGAGUGGAAUCAGCAGCUCUGUGUGGACAUCAGUGACUCUUUGUGUGUCAAAAAGGACUUUUAUCUUGCUGAUCUUCAUCGUUAUGAUUUAAUGCUUGGCUUGACUUUUAACCCGGAUGUUAACUGGAAGACCAAGGAGGUGUUUCAUCGUGAGAGUGGAACUCUGCUGCUUAAAGGUGAAGGGUGUACUCCACCUAUUCUUCAAUUGUUAGAGGUUAAACGGCAGAUUGAAGAGCUUCUUGCACUUGGUUUUAUUCAGUAAGUCUCCUUAUGGUGCACUGGUUCUGUUGGUUUGCAAGGACAGUUCUCUUUGCAUGUGUAUAGACUAUCAUGCUCUGAACAAACGGACGAUAGCCAACCAUUCUCCUAUGCCUCGUGUGGACGAGAUAAUGGAUCGGUUGGGUGGUGUGAAGUACUUCACAAAGCUGGAUUUGAGAAAUGGGUACGACCAAAUCAAGAUGCGGGAUUUUGAUAUUUCAAAGACUGUGUUUAACACUCCUUUUUGGCCAUUAUGAGUUUACGGUUAUGCCCUUUGGGUUAACCAAUGCUCCAGCUACCUUCAUGCAGUUGAUGAACGAGCGGGAGUUUCGUGGUAGCUUUGUCGAAGUGUUCCUGAACGAUAUUCUCAUCUAUAGUUGAACUCUUGAGAAACAUUGUGAACACUUGUGGAAGGUGUUACACAUUCUUCGUGACAACAAGCUCUAUGCAAAGAAGUCGAAGUGUGAACUUGUUAAGGAACAUGUAGAGUACCUUGGCCAUAUUGUUUUUUCGCAUGGCAUUGAAGUGGAUCUAAAAAAGGUGGAUACCGUUGUCAACUGGCCAGUCCCUGCUUGUCUAGUACCUUGUUGGAUGUUGCAGAUUAAUCUUGUUUAUUAUUUUGAUGGAUGUUGCCGACUAAGCUUGUUUAGUACUUUGCUGGCUGGAAAAUAUUCCUUCACUAGCUAAGCUUACCUUGCUUGUUGGACCGGUGCUCGUUAGCUUGGUUAGUUCCUCGUUCCUCAACAUAGUCUCAUCAGACCAGCUUGGAGAAGUCCUUAGUCAUUGCAGGAUGUAUCCCCUCACUGGCUAGCUGGUUAAGUUUCUUAUUCGCUGCAGGAUGUGUUCCCCCGCUCACUAGCUGGCUGGUUCGCUGCAAGACUUGUUCUCUCGCUCGCUAGCUAGGCUAAGUCCCUUGUUUUGUUCCAUUGCUAGCUAUCUGGGCUAAGUCACUUGUUCGUUGCAGGAGGUGUUCCCUCACUCGCUAGCUGGGCUAAGUUCCUUGAUCGCUGCAGGAGGUGUUUGCUCGCCUGUUAGCUGUGCUAAAUUCGGAGUUCGUUGCAGGAUGUAUGCCCUUCCCUGCUAGCUGGGUAACCUGGGUUAGACGCUUGUUUGCUGAAUGUUGGUGUUUCUUUCCCACUAAGUAUGGAGAGAUCCUCGCUGACUCCUUAUACUGAACAGGCAGAGUGCCUGAGCAACCAAUCCCCUUAGGUUGUUCAGCAAACACAAAAGUGUUGGCAGCAGUUCACGUAUCUAGUAUUCACCGAUGGGUAACACAUAGUGAUGUACCUCCAAUACCCUGUUCUUCUGCCUAUAUUGAGCUUGGGUAGGUUUUGAGCUCAUGAGCUCACGAGCUGAGCUCAUGAGUUGAGUUCACAACUUCUCAAACACAAGGAAAACAUUGGUUAGUCCCGAAUUAACAUUUUUUCAUUUUUCAAAUUUUGAUUUUAUCUAUAUUUCUAAGUAAAUUCGAUCAAUAAAAUACAAAUAUAAAUAUAGAUCUGAACACUAAAAGCGGUCUAGAAACACUUUUCAAGCUUUGCAAUUGUAAGGUUUGCCUGAUGGAUGUAAUGGUUGACUUUAGAAAUCUUGAUUUAGUUCCUGCAUAAAAAUGUAAUAGAUAUACUUGCAGGCUAAAUAUACCUUUCCCUUGUUUUCCCUUUGUUAAACGGGGCUUUUUAUUUUCCAGUAAAAAACCAAAAAGACUGGGCAUGGUUUCGUUGGGCACAAAACCAGCAAAGAGCCUUUAUCUAGAGGAGCCUACAAUGGAAGUACCAGCAGAAAGGGGGGUUGCUCGUGAACUGGCGCCUGAAGGUCUUCCGAGAUGCGUCACUUGGAACCAUUCAUCCGGCGGUGUCCACAUCCAUUCCCGAGUACCUGCCUCCCCUUGCUUCCACAAAAAAUGCCAGAUCUGCGCUUCUUUUUUUGCUUUUUCUGGGCCAUUUCUUCCUCCUCUCUUUUCCAGUUGUAGGACCCGGGCUGCUGCUGCAGUUAUCAUUCUAGACCACACCACCUUGUUUUCCCUUUGUGUAAAAUCUGGAAAGGUACAGAAUGGAUUUUUGCAGAUUCUGAUAGUGUAGCUCAUACCCUUUGAUGACUUAGUCACAACAACAAACUCUUUAGCCACGGCACUGAUAUAGUUUAUCCUUGUGAUUGUGCAUUUCAAUGCCUUUGCUAGCUUGAUUUUCUCUUGUGCACCUUUUGAAAUAGGUACAACCUUCUCAUUUCUAGUUGGUUGUGUAUGUCAGUCUAGUGUUGACAUUGGUGGCAUAGUAGUAUCAAUAGUAACAUUUAAGAAAGUUUUCAGCUUGAAACCAGCUCUUUCCAGACUUUCAAUCUCUUUUUUCAAAAGAUUGUAGCUUCACUCAACUGGCCACUCCUCUGGCAUAGAAUCUAGCUUUGAGAUAAUUGAGUUGUGGAUCUAGUUUGUAUAAGUAACAUCAAUCCCAUAAUAGUAAAUCCAACUUGACUGGUGGCCAUUUACCCCUAGAUCUCAACAGCCCCAAAAACAUGGUAUUGUUGAAGAACUUGAACUUGAGUGUACACAUGCAAGACAUUGGCCUCGACUCCUAAUCAUUUUGGAGUAACGCACAUUACUCUUGGCACUGACUCUUUGAAUUGCCCAGUUGAUAUGAGAAACUGGCUUACGAGCAAUAAUCUUCUUAACUUCUAGCAUUGGAUUUACUUGUGUAACAAUUAGCACCUCCUCCACUCCAUGUUCCUUAGUUCUUCUUCGGUCUCAUGGAACAGAAUGGUAAUCAAACUCUGGAUAGUGAGAGCUAGAAGGAGUGAUGUUGGGCCCAUCAAAUGUCUGUUAAUGCUUCAAAUGUCUAUUGACACUUUAAAUGUCUGUUGACGCUCCUCAUGUCCCUAAGUGGUUCAUAACUUGAUUCCAUAGGAGUUCCAAUAACAACUUCCCCCACCAUCUUAGAUAUUGACCUUGUUACUGGUGUUGUCCUUCUACCAACCUACUCUCAAAGCUUGUCUAAGUUUGGACUUGUAGUAGCAAACCUUGCUUCUUGUGCAGCCAAAGCUUUUGAUAACUGCUCAAGAGAUCUAGUGAAGUUAGAGAGUGUAGCUUCAUAGAGGGACACUUUUCCUUUCUCUACUUUGGAAGCUCUCCAACUCUAAUGUUUGCUCUCAGAGAGAUUAAUUGUUGGUGUAAGUGCAAUGUUGUCAAGUGGUUGAUCCUAGGAAAAAUGCAACAUUUAAAUGUGACAAAAAAAGAAAAUGAGAGAAAACUUAUAUAGAGAAUAUAAUGGCCCUACUGAAACAUUUGAACUUCCCACCAUACAAGCCAACACUCUAUUUGUGAAAGGUGUUCAAUUGGCACUUUGUCUCCUUCAUGCCACCAUAUGUGCAUUUCAUUUGCUUUUGCUUCAUGUUCCUCUUUAGUUGGUGCAUCCAUCCAUUCUUGACAAAGCUGCUUAAACUCAUGAUAGAAAUUAGACUUGAUGCAUAAGCAAUGUUUAUUGAUGCUCUUUGCCCAUUGAAACUCACAACUCUUCUCUCUACCUUGUAAUGGUUGACUUUUAUCACCUCUAAAUACUUGUUGUAUAGCCAAUCAGUUAGCAUUAGCAGCAUUUGCCAUGAAACCACGGAAGUUGGGUUUCUUCCCAGUUCGCUGUUCAACAAAAAGACAAUUUGUGCUGGGAAAUCUUGAACCUUGAAUUCGGCUAUAACUAUAGUCAAGUUACACUACAACCUAUAGAAAGAAUGGUUAUAAUGUAAAUCAGUAUGGAAUCCUUAAAAAUGAAUAACCACUUACUUGUGAUCAUAAACAUGAGCUCCCAUUGUUGACCAGCCUAUAACUCAUUCCAUAUAGUCGAAAUGGAUCCAGGAAUUAACCAAGUGCCCAUCUCCAUCCAUAUCCAUUCAUUGUACAAGGUCCACACUAGAAGUAGGACGAAGGGUGGACAUCUUAAAGAUGAAAGGGCGUUGACUGUUCAAAGUCACUUGGCCAACGAUCAAACUCCCAUGAAUAAAUUCAUAAGGACAUUUUCUUUUUAACUCCAAAAUUGCAUCCAAUCUAGAUUGAAGUUUUCCAUCUCGCCCUUCUCGCAUCUAGUUCUUUAUUCUGCAAAAAAAAAAGAGCAUUUCUAGUGACAAAGUAGAGUUAGUAUUAACUUAUACUUGUUUAAAUUUGUCAUGGGUUUUAUAUUUUGAAGCAAGUCCUUCAAGUUGUUCUCCAUGAACUCUUUUUCACUAUCAACUUGUAGCAACGUGUCUACCACAUAGUCCUUUAGUACAGACUGUUGAACACACUUUGGAGUUGUGGCACUUUUCUUCCCAACCUCUAUAGUAACAGUAGCCUUCAAAUUACGAAAAAAAUCACGGUGGAUUCCUUCCUCUAUUGCGUGUUGGUGGUAUCCAACAUGCACUGCUACUCUGCGUAAACAUCCAUCCCAUAGAAGAAAAUAAUACAUUUUCGCAUCGCAACAUGCUUGACAUACAGGUGUUGCCCCACAUUUGCGAUAUCUAAACCCUGUAGCAACCUCAUCAUGCCUAGGGGGAUUGAUUGAUGAGCUUUCAAAGAAACACAUAUUUUUGCCAUGAUCAAAAAUGCAUUUCUCAACAACACACUGAAGCUAUCUACCACAAUGGACUAUGGACACAGAUUUGUUAAAAUGGGAGAAGUGAGUCGUCUUUAUUUUGCACCAAUUAUGUGGAUCAAGACGCGUCUCCAUGCCCCUCUUUCUGCUUGACAAAUUGGCAGGUGGAAAUUUAAAGAAUAUAUUCCCAUUAUAGGAAGAUGGAAGCUCCUCAUCUUUCAUGUAUUGGAACUCCUUCAAUUCCAACUGUAAUGAUCGAGAUUGCUAAAAUGCUUUAUCCACCACUUCAAAAACUGGUCCAGAAAGAAUGCACCUACUUGUUUGAGAAGUUAUGUCGGGAAGCUCAUGUUCUUCACUUUUGUCAUUAGAGAGAAUAACAACUUUAUCUUUCACUCCUUGCAUAGUUGGUUGUGAAAUUGGCACUCUCCUUUGCUUGCUUCGGAGAUCUUGUAACUAGAAUCUCUUGACCUAUACAUCUAUCAAAAUCCCAUUGAAUCCCAUUCUCUCCCACACCACUGUUGAGAAGAAUGGAUUUUUCUAUUUGAUUACCCUUAUCCCGACAUACAUUCUCUAAACUAAUUGAUUUUGGCUUCAACUUGAAUUUUCUACAGAGGAAGCUCUCUCUUAUAACAUUCUUAGAAAAAACAAUUAGAGGCUCUUGAUUGAACUUCAAGUAAAAUUCUCUCAUAUCUUUUCCUUGCUCGAGCAUUUAGAAAACAUUUGGGGAGAAAUUGACAAGAAAGAACAAAGAUAUUUUUCUGUAUUAUGAACUUUAAUUAGUUGUGUCCUUGCAAAGGACAAGUUAAAUAUUUCAACAAAAUAUACAACCAUUUAGAAUCUAGAGAUAUAUGAGAAUGUUAAAGAGCCACCCAUAUUAAUUGUAUAAUUGAUUGUGAGAGAAAUAAUACUGUUGAAAUGAAUGGGGUUAUGCGCGAGAGGUGUUGAUUAAUCACGAGAGUUGUAGCAUUAAUUACUUGUUCUCCUUCUCAUCUCCAUUCUCUUUUCCCUUCAAAAGAGUUUCAUUCUUUUGUGAUAAGUGAGAGAGACUCAAGCUCAAAAAGGUUGGUUCGUGUGCGGUUUUUUUAAUAAUACAAUUAAUAUCUAAAGCAUUGAAUGAUUGUCUCCUUGGAAAGAACACGUGAAAUUUAUGUUUAUAGUGGAUAUGUCCUAUAAAUAUAUCCAAGUACUAUUAAAAAAUUGAUUGUGACCGUUGAUCAUGACCAUUGAUUGUGACUAUUAAUUUUUAGGGUUUUACUGCUAGGGUUUGAGCAAAUUUUGAACUCGAAGAAAUCAAAGGUGAAGAAGCUACUUGCAAUUGCAGACAUUUGACAUGAUAAAGACUCGCUAGAUUGCAUUGCAAAGAUAUAUUCUCGUGGCAGUAAGUUAGUCCCUUUUAUCUUUCUCAUUCCACUUUGAAAUCCUUGUCUUUGUAAGAUAAAGCACCUGAAGAAUUAAUUUAUAACAUCACAAAAAGCAAGCUCUCCUUCAAUGAACAAACCUUUUGUUUGGAGCUCUUUAACACUUGGCAUCGUAACAAUGAUAAGCGGUUGAAGAGCAGGUUUGAGAAUAUGAUGAACGAGAAGCUCUAUAUCACUCAAAGUAUUGUAGUUGCUGAGGAGCUACUUCAAGUAUGGGAUACGAAGUUCCUUACUAGUGCCCGCACCAGCAUAACACUUCCAGAAUAUGUCCGAGCUUCCCUUCAAGAGCUUGGGGAUGGAUGGCUUUUUGAUAGCAGCUCAAGCUCUAUGGAUUUCAAGAACCAGCUGGGCCAACCAUUUUUCUCGCGCCACAUGGCAUAUAGGUAUAUUGCAAGAAAUUGAUUUGUUUAUUUAAUCAUGGCUCUUUUGUAGAUAUUUAAAUCAUUGCUUAGGUGCUCCAGUGUACAUAGCAAGUGUUUUUCUCAAGCUCUUAAUUGGUGGGAAGAAACUUGGCAUGUAUGAGCCAAAGUUCCAUUGUCCCACUGUGCAAGAGUGAGAACUUUGUCCAUGGUACUUAGAGUUGUGGAGGCAAAUGCCAUCGUCACCUUUUAAGCUUGAUCUCUACCUCAAGUGUCAUCCAGGUUUGAUGAGUAAAAUUUCCUAAUAGUAACUUAUGUUUCUACUUUAUUGUAGAGGCACUUUUGGAGGGAGUGGAGAUGCCUCAAGAUAGGGACAAGAUUCAUAUUGAGUAGACUGAAGACGAAUGAAUGGAGAACCCGGCUGAAAACUCUCUUGCCCCAUCUCAUCCUACAGCAGUUGCUCAUUCCCCAGAUCCUACUGCCACUGCUCAUCCAACCCUGACUGCUCGAAAUGUACAAAGGCAACUCCAUAGUGAGGAUGUCCAAGAGAGUAAGAACUUGAUUUUCAAUGACCUUGCUUAUUGUAAUUUGGUUGUAGAUGUUGGAGAAACCAACUAGCACUCUAUACGCCGAUGUACAAAUGCAUUCUUUCCAUCCCUCCCCAUUGCUACAGAGGAUGACCUCCAAGAGUUAUCUUCAUCGGCUUCACAUAAACAAGUAUGAAAAAAAACAUGUAUUAACUUUAAUAUUUCCCAUUUUUGAACACUAUUCAGGUUUGCCCUCUUUCUUCUACGGGAAGUGUUGGCAACGUGGAAAUAAUUAUUGGGGACUACUUUCAACUUUUCAACAACGUGAGCCGAGAGUCUUCUAUGUUCCAUCGAUGGAUGUGAGGAUUGGGAAUGAACAAUACUUUUGGCAUCAACCUCACAUUCUUCGACCUACUUGAUGGGUUACCACCUUUACAAGGCGACACUCCAUCCUAGAACAUCCUUCGACUGGACCAUAUGUUUCAAGCAGUGGAUGUGGCAUCCAAGGUGUUGCGAUACGAGAGCAUUAGGCUAGUCAUUCUUCCCCAUUCUUUAUUUUGGGGAGGUCUUCUUGCAACGUUGGUGGAGAAUGAUGACUCUAGAUUGGUUGAGUUUGCAUCAGGCUACCUACUUUCAAACAUCCUGGUUAAAACAAAAGGAGCAAGUGGCCAAAUCCAAAAAGUUUGCAUUUCCUUAUUUUUCAUAUCUUAAAUUGAUUGCCUCUUUUCAUUGUAGGUUUUAGCAUGGAACUACCAUGCUCUCUACCGCUACUCUUGCUGUCACAAUAUUACACGAGUUGAUGAGUGUGCAGGUCUGGCAUUGCCAGGAUAUGAUAGCUUAACAAAUAUCAUCCCGAAUGUCAUUGACAAGGACCAUCAGAUAGAGUUCCCUGGCUAUCGACACUAUUCACCAAAGGCUAUGCAAAUCCUCCUAGAGUUGUUUUGUCCUCCUAAGGGAAUUGUGCUUGAUGCUAUAGUAGGUUUUAGUUCAAUGGUGCUAGUGGCUAAAGAGACUGGCCAUGCAAUUUUUGCACUAGAGAAGGAAAGUGCAUUUGAAGGUGUUCUUGGGACAUUUCAUAACAGGUGAUAAUAAAGUAUGAGUUUCUCAUUAUAGUAAUUCCAUCAUGGUUGUGUAUAUUAGGUGGAUCGAUGACAUAGGCUAUAAUUUGCCAUAUUAUGCAGAAACAAUGGCACAAGCUUAUAUAUAACAAGAGUCCACAGUUAAAGAGCAUAAUACUAUACAAACUCCUCUUUUUGUGGAUGUGGAUGCUGAGGAAGACUUAGGUUUUUCUUUAGUCAAAUUCUUUAGUGGUAAUAUAGAGUUUCUUCUUUGAGUUAUGAUAUUUAUUUUCUUAUUAGACUUAUAUUAUUUAACUUUUUCUUGGACUGAAAAUAUGUUUUACGUUUUGAAUAGAAUUGUUGGUUCAUCCCAAACCAAUCAUUUAAACAUCAACUUUUGUAUUUGGUGGAUUACAUUGAUUUUCAUUGACUUUCAUUGACUUGAGCUCAGCUCAAAAACUACCCAGCCCCCCUAUAUUCAGAUCAAUUUUAUAUAUGAGAGCAUGUGAUUGCUGCUCCAUUAUGAAUUUUCCCUCUUGGCAAUAGAAGAACAGUAGAGUACUUAGUUCUUGCUCCGUCUUGUUUCACGGGAGACUGUGGAGGGAAGUGAUGAAGCCCUACCAAAGGGUAGUCAUCCCUAGGCAGACUCAUAUCUAAAUUUAAAAUUAUAAUUAUAAAUUUAGAAAUUCAAGAAAUUAGAUUUUGUUGCCGAUGCAAAAAAAAAGGACAUUGUUUUCUAAAUCAACUUUGCCAAUGUUAGGAUCCUAUCCCUUACACCCUAAGCCAACUACCUAAAAGGGUGAUCACUUGAUUGCAGGGCCCUUUCUUUAUCCUGACUUGGUGCCUUUCUUUAUCUGACUUGGUGCUUUUCUUUAUCCUGACUUGGUGCCUAACAAUCCUCCAAAAAAGACAUUGUUUUCUAAAUCAACUUUGCCAAUGUCUUUUUCUUAGGGUCUACCAAACCUUGGUUCUCCCCCUAGAUUCACCAUGUUGAAUAUUCUUUUAGAAUAUCCCUGCCCCACUCGUCAGCCACGAGAAUCGAACUGGGCUCUGAUACCAAUAUUAGGAUCCUAUCCCUUACACCCUAAGCCAACUACCUAAAAGGGUGAUCACUUGAUUGCAGGGCCCUUUCUUUAUCCUAUAAUAUUUCCAGACGAGAUUCCAAGGAAUCUCCUCACAGAUUCUUCCAGGACCCUGAUGCACAUAACCCCUUGGCAUUCUGUCACCACGGACUCUCAGAUCCUCUUCUUCUUGAGCUGCUUGUACCAUGCACGUCACAACGCAUGCUUGAGAGCAUCAAAUUGGACCAGCAUCUUCAACAGGUUCUUGAUGCCGACUCUCUGGCUGCGUUGAAGGCAAUCUAACCGCUUUUGAAGCCACAGCGAGUCAUGAAGCUGAAUUAUUGCAGGUGGAGAUGCACGAUGAAAUUGAUGCCAUUCACAAGAAUGGUACCUAUUCUCUUGUUCCUCUUCCUGCCAGGCACCGCGCACCAGAUCCACCAGCUACAAGGCUCAGUUGGUUGCUAAGGGUUUCACGCAGGUGGCUGGCAUCCACUACAUAGACUUUUUCCCUGGUUCCUCACAUGGCAAGUCUUUGCAGCCUCUUAGCCCUUGCAACACAGCAUGACUGGGACAUCCAUCAGAUGGAUGUCGGCAGGGCCUUCUUGAAUGGUAAGCUCGAGUAUGAGAUAUACAUGCGUCAGGCUGGAGGAUUUUUGGAGCCAGGCAAGGAGCAACUGGUUUGCAAAGCCUUGUACGGCUUGAAACAUUUGGUAGCAAACGUUCAACAAUUUGCUGUGGCAGCAUUCCUUUGGAAACACAGCUGCAGAUGUCAACGUGUACAUCUCAGACUGGCGUCAACAAGCCAUCACCAUCAUUAUCUUUAUGUUGAUGACCUUCUCCUCAUUCCACUGAUUACAUUUUGCAGAUGAAGUGGCGGUUAUCUAGCACCUUUGCAAGACUUACCAGUUGGCCGGUUUUUGGGACCACCAACACCUACCUCCGCAUUAGCCUGACUACAUUCACAAACUUUUCUCACAAGCACAAUAUGCAAGAUUUCAACUCUUCAGCGACCCCCAUGGAGGUUGGUGCUGCAAGGAUUACAACGACCAACCUUUCGAUGCAACCUUGUUCUGAAGUUUGGUAGCCGGGUUAAUAUACUCAGUCCACACUUUUCAAGAUAUUCUUUUGAGGGCUUUGAAUGCAAAAAAGGGAAGGGGACAAUAUGGUUGUUCUUUUCAACUUUGCCUGAAGUCCAUCUAGGGAAGCUAGCACGACUCCAGACCUUUGAAAGUGGCACUGAUUCCACAGGGUGUUGAGGGUGAUGCAUCGUCAGAAAGCUCCACAUCAGGUUAUGGAAACCAUUCUGAAGAUUCAAGAGCGGCAGUGAAAGACAUUGAGAAGAGCUGCAUCCCUUGGUUGGAGUAUCGUAAGACAAAGUACCGUUUGUAAGACCCACUUUCUAGUAUUCAAAGUGUUUUUUUCGCCAGAGUUACUUCUACUCGUCGUCAUAGGCUUCCUGGUCAAACAGCUCAUCUUCUUCUCCCUCCAACAGUUCCAUGUCGUACUCCGAGUCAGACUCCGCUGGCAUCGAAGCCGUGCUAAGAAAAAUGACCACCACUAGUCAGCAGAGUAUCAAGCAGUGUGAACUACAGCUUACAUAUCAGACGAUGAAGCACCAUCGCGCUUGCGCUUCCGAACAUGCUCCUCAGGCACAUCCCUCAUAGAUUCCUAGCAGGAACAGUGCAGUUAGAGCGAAAGAAACCAGGCUUCUUACCAUGAUUGCCUUGUCGUUGCCGUCUAUGUUGUCCACGUAGUCCCUCAGCAUAUGGAUCUUCUGUAAAUCAUCGCCAAGUAGCUCAAACUUCACCUUGUACUGACACAAGUUCGGGGAUGUCUUGAGGUCCACGAAUGCACCUCUGACUUUACGUUUUCUCUUCCACGCCUGAGGCUUGAACGUUGUAUAAUUGGUCCCCGAGACGAUGAAGAAAAGUCCCACAAUGAAGAUCCCGUUGCUGCUCAAAUGCUUCAACAGUAGCUCCACGGGAUGCCACACGACUGGAUAUUUCUCUGAAACAGUCGCCUGGAGGAGGUACGCCCGUUUGGUCUUGAAGUUUAUGUAGAGGCUGUCGAUGGCAGCCUCCGUCUUCGUCCUGGGCCAAAAAUAAGCAGCUGCAUAGCCUUUUUUGAGGCACUUCUGAAUCUUCUUCUGCAGGUCCGCAAAGUCGUGAUAAAAGAUGACAUGCAGGUCAUCCACUCCAUCUGCCAGCAACAGGUCGUUCGCAGCGUUGUUCGACACAUGUCUGUGCUUCUGGCCACGCUUCGGUAGAUCGCAUAUUCGUUCACAGCUGACGAGGUACUUCGGAAAGGUCAUGUGCAUGAGUAGUUCCAUCAAAGUACCCCGGAAAUCUGCCAGGCCGCCGACUCCCCUUAGACUGCUGUACUGCUUGAUCAUCUCUGACCAGUGUUCCUUCUCAAGCCGGAGCAGCAACUGCUCCUUCACGAAGUUUGAAGCAAUCUUCGUGCAGCCUUCAGAUGAGUCGCCUCCCCUGUCUAAAUGAAGGAGCUGGUGCGAAAACGUACUCUCCAGAUCAUGGUUUCCUAUCAGGGAGAAGAGCGACAGUAAGUUUUCUGUCUUCAGGAGAUUACCCUUCAUGGCCUGCUGGACGCACUUGAACUUCUUUGGUGUCUGGAACACGAGCCUCGGAAUAGGACCGGCAACGUCAAUGUGCUUUUGAACUGUUCUCCAUUCCAGCUUACUACUGUAUGCAACACUCCAGCACUCCAUGAGCUCUUCUUUGCUCCAUAGCCGAGCAUAAAAAGCGUCAGAGCCUCCAGAAACCUUGCUGAACUCUUUGUAUACCUUCACGUCAGGACUUGAGAUCAGCAGGGUCUGGGCAUCGAUGGAGUCCGAGUUUGGAAUCCUACUCCCGUCGUGGAUGUACAUUGUAGAGGAGUCCAUAAAGUACUCGCUCGCCCCAUGGAGAUCGAGAACAGAGUCGAACUUGCCGUCACGAAACAGGAAGUACACUCCCGCAGCUAGCUUCUCCUUGUAGUAGACUGCUGUGCGCUUGCCCACCACAGCAAAAAGGAACAGAAGCUGGAGACCCGUCACCGAUUUGCCGACGCCUGGAUUCCCGACGUACAGCCUCUGAGUCUUGUCUCCUUCCUCUUCAUCGUCCAGCACGCUCUCGUAAAGCUCCAGACACUCCUCGCGAACAUAGAGGCAGCGGCUCUUGGGCACGUCCCUGAUGUUGCGGCCGAGUUUGAUCAUGAAGAAGGAGCCCACAAUGUCGUCUUUCUUCGGGUCGAGCGUCACAAACCCAUCGUCGCCCAAGGUCUGAAAUUCGGAGAGGUGGAAAUUGACGAAGUAGUUGUGGCGGCCUGCGAAAUCUAAAUCAAGCACACACAUUUCGAAGAUCAAGACUUACCGCGCUCCAUAUUGCUUCAACUAAAACCCUAGGCUAGGGCAGAACUCUUAAGAAUAUUCUACCUUCGAUUACAAAAACUCAUUACACUUAUACCUCAAGAAGGAAAUCUGUUGCCAUCUUUUACACACUCGCCAAAUAGACACAAGAGGGUGGUGCGCUGGGCAUUUGUAUAAUCACAUGACUUGCAAGAGCGUGGAUUAACUGUUAUUUAGAUUUUGUAGUUUGGGCAUUUUUGUAAUUUGUAGAAAAUAGAGGGGUGUUUUUGUAAUUAACUCUUGCUGGAUAAGCCAACCUGAAUAAUUAAGAAUAUAGGGGUAAACUUUUGUAACUUUCCCAAACAGAAAUUCAAAUCCACUUUCUCAUAAAUUUCUUGGACUGAAGAAAAAUGGAAUUAAACGAAAGAGAAGAUGCUUGUUGUCAUUAUGAUCUGGAAGAAGCAAAAAACUAAGGAGAAUUCAAUGAAAUCAGUCAUUUCCUGAUUUGCAAAAAAUAAGAAUAAAACCAUAUAUUUAGGGUUUAGGGUUUAGGGUUUCAGGCUAAUUAAAAUAUAUGUGAGGGCUAAAAUAGAAGAUGCUAUGCGCUUGCAAUUGAAUAACCAAACUUAGUUGAUGGUGGUGUUCACGGCACGUAGUACAACUCCUCCUACUCUUGGUGCUAAUCCUUGUGUUCGGCCGGAGUUCUUUUGCGGGGAUCUUGGGGAUGAUGUGUACCAUUGGUUCGAUCACUUUAUGGUGAUUGCCAUAUAUCAUUCUUGGGAUGAUGCUCGACAUUUGCGUGAGUUUCCCACGUGUCUCCAAAGGACGGCAUUGCAGUGGUACAAUGGUUUGAGCGCAGCCACUCGUGGGGAUUUAAGUGUUCUCCCGGACGUCUUCAAAUGCGCCUUCAGACAUGUUGAUGAUUGUGAUGAUGCUUUCCAACAAUUGCAUCGUCUUCGCCAAGGGCCAUCUGAGUCGGUGAUGCAAUUUGGCGUUUGUUUCCAAAGUCUUUUGCUUCGUGCAGAGCCAAAUAUGUUGAAGAGGAUCAAGCUAGGAAUGUUGUAGCCAACACUUUGUCAAGAUCUUGUUGGACUUGUGCAUGCACUUGCUCCUGCCACCCUUGACGAUGCUCUUCGCUUGGCACAACGUUAUGAGACAUCGCCUCUUCCUCUUCUCACUGCACGUCUUUCCGCUCCACUUCCUAUAGGUGAUGGUCCUGUUCCAAUGAAGGUUGAUGCUGCUGCUGCUCGAGUCCAAGGACAAGCACGAGGACGUGGUCGUAGCCGUGAUGUUCACUGCUGGGCAUGUGAUGAAGUUGGUCAUACUUAUCGGCGUUGUCGUCGUUUUCUAGAUUGGCAACCUCCAUUUCUUGGGUGGAGACCUUGGCGUCAGCAACGUCCCAUGGGUGCUACUGCAGUGGAAGCUCUAGACACCGAGAUGCAUCUGGGAAACGAGGAGACACGCGAGUAAUGGAGGGACCUUGCGCGAAUAAAUCAGUGUUUCGGGAGUAUCAUCAAGGGGUUCACUUGGCACCGGUUCAUCCAGUGUUUACUUUCCAAGCUCGUUUUUAUAACAAGAGGUCUUCUAUUAUUCUCUCCGUGUUGGUUGAUACAGUUUCGAGUUUAUCUUCUAUUGCUCGACCUGUUGCCACAUGUUGUCGUCUACACUUGCAUCAUACGGUUGAACCAAUUUUCAUUCUUUAUGGCAACGGCCAUACACAUGCAUGUGCACGGGAUGAGGCGGACCUAGUUGUGCGUGUGGGUGAUCUCGAGCUUGAGUUGCAGUCGUUGCGGGUGGUGCCGAGUCAAGCUUUUGACCUCAUUCUUGGUAUAGAUUGGUUGCAGAGUAAUCAUGCCAAGUGUGACUUUGAGGCUUCUCCCCCUUGUCUCAUACUUAUGUUUCAUCCAUUCCUCUCAUUUCCGUACCUCUUCAUCCCUUUACUUUUACCUUUGCUUCCAUUACUUUUGUCCCCCCACUAUUUCCUCUUAUGUUUCCGUCUUGUUUUGCUCUUUUCUUUUACGAUCCUUCUGACAAUCUUUGUGUUGCUGCGGUUGACCGGCUCAUGAAGGAGUAUUCUGAUCUCUUUGAAUUUGACCUAUUGUCUAGGGCCAAGAUUGCCACAUGUCAUCCGAUUCCAACUAGGGAUGCUCGUCCAAUCAAGGUUCCUAUUCACGUCGGUCACCCAAGGAAAUUAAGAUUUUACAUGCAAACGUCAAGGAGAUGCUGGAGAAGGGUGUUAUUCGGAAGUCGCGGAGUCCUUGGGCAUGUGAACCUCAUCUUGUGACGAAGCCUGAUGGGAGUAUUCAUUUUUAUAUCGACUAUCGUUCGUUAAACGAAGUGACGAUCCUAGAUGUGUACCCUCUUCCUCACACUACUUUUCUCUUGGAUCGUCUUGGGCGAAGUCAUUGGUUCACCAAGCUAGAUCUUGCUUCUGGGUAUUAGCAAGUACCGAUGGCCGAAGAAGAUAUUCCUAAGACUGCUUUUCGUAUGCCAUUUGGUUUAUACGAGUUUUUGGUGAUGCCGUUUGGUUUGAACAAUGCUCUAGCAACUUUCCAACAGAUGAUGGACGAGGUUCUUUGCGAUAUGCCGGAGGUGACUGCUAACUUCAUUGAUGAUGUUUUGAUCCACUCAGAAGGGACGUGGGAGGAGCACGUUCAUGAUGUUUGUAAAGUGUUGGAUCGGCUACGUGACCUUAGUUUAAAACUGAAGCAGUCGAAGUGCGUGUUUGGGUCCAAGGACACAAUUUAUCUUGGGUAUCGUAUUUCAUAUAAGGGUUUGCAAGUUGAUCAUAACAAACUUGUGGCUGUUCUAAAAUUCCCUACUUCGAAGUGUGUAAAUGAUGUGCAGCGCUUUUUGGGCAAGGUGUAGUAUCUCAGUCGUUUUGUGGAUGAUCUUUCUAAUUGCACUACACCAUUGCGAGUGUUGCUGAAGUCAUCAAUGUCAUCUUUCAUCUGGUCUCCAGAUUGUGAGCAGGUGUCUAUGGAUCUCAAAGAGCUAUUGAUGACUCCUUCAGUUUUGGCAUAUCCUAACUACACUCGACGCAAUGGCUAUUGACUUCAUUGAUGAUGUCUUGAUCCACUCAGAGGGGACGUGGGAGGAGCAUGUUCAUGAUGUUUGUAAAGUGUUGGAUCGGUUACGCGAUGUUGGUUGAAAACUGAAGCGGUCGAUGUGUGUGUUUGGGUCCAAGGACACAACUUAUCUUGGGUAUCGUAUUUCACGUGAGGGUUUGCAAGUUGAUCAUGACAAACUUGUGGCUGUUCUAAAGUUCCCUACUCCGAAGUGUGUGAAUGAUGAGGUUCGCGAUGCUCAAAAGAUUGAACCGUGGAUUCGAAGGCUUCGAGAUGGGUUUGAGAAUCCUGCAUCACUUACUGAUGACUUGCCUUUCUAGCAUUUACAUUCUCAAUAUCACCUUGAAGACGGCCUUCUUUAUUUUGUGGGGACGGAUCUUGAUGAUCAUUUACGGCUGGUGGUGCCUUCUGUCUUUAUUCCGCGGUUUCUCCAUGUCUACCAUGAUUCUCCUGUUCUAGGUGGGAAUAUGGGACAUCGUCGUGUAACCAAAAAGCUGCACAAGUCUUUUUAUUGGCCGGAGAUGCAACAUGAUAUUAUCCGAUAUGUGCGUAGCUGCAUUUGGUGCCAUGCUCGUAAUACUCCCCCUCAUGCUGCCGAAGGAUGGUUGGAGUCAAUUGCGGUUUCCCGUCCGUUUGAGUUGGUGGCAUUUGAUAUUAUGGGACCUUUUCCACGGUCAAUUGCUGACAAUGAGUAUGUUAUUAUUGCUUCUGACUACUUGAGUCGUUGGGUGGAAGUUGGUGCUCUUGUUAGUGCCUCUGCAACUGCUGUUGGAUACUUCCUCCUCAAUCGAGUGGUGUUCCAACAUUCUUGUCCAGAGUAGAUUCUUUCGGAUAAUGGUCCCGCAUUUAUGGCUGAGGCAUUUCAUGUUUUGAUGUCUCGGUUGGGGAUACGCCACACUUUCACAAGUGCUUAUCAUCCACAAUCAGACGGUCUAGUGGAAUGGCUCGUUCAGACAUUCAAAGGGAUGAUUGUGAAGUAUGUGAACUUUCAACAUUUGGAUUGGGAUGGUUAUUUGCCGUCUCUUCGGUAUGCAUAUAUCACAGGGGUGUAGAGUUCUAUUAGUGCUUCAGCAUAUAAACUCCUAUAUGGUCAUGAUCCAAUAUUACCAAUGGAGCUGGGUUUACCUUCGCGAUUGCCACGAGCUGCCGAUGCUAGGUCAUGGGAUUAGUAUUUGACGAGCAUUCUUCCAUUUGUCCGAGCAGAGUCUACCCAACACUUAGGCUGUGUACAAGUGGGACAACAAUGGCACUACAACUCCCAUUAUCGUCCACCUGCAAAGUACAAAGUGGAUGAUUUGGUAUUAGUCCGUUUUCCCCAUCUCACGGUACAUGGUUUAUCUAAGGGGUUUUUUGCGCAAUGGAAAGGACCGUAUCGAGUGUUGCGGCAAGUUGGACCACAAGUUUAUGAGGUUCGGCAUGACGUUCAGUAGGCCGAUCCUCUAGAGAUUGUGCAUGUGCAGCAGCUGAAACGCUUCAUACAAAGGGAUCAUGAGGAGUUAAUACCACCUACAAAUCCACUAAUGCCUCCUCCUGACGUUCCUCCAGAUCCCGGCCCAUCUACAAGAGAACGCUGAUGGUCUUCCAUUAUUCCGAGAGGAGGGGAUGAUGUGAGGGCCAAGUGUAUGGCUACGAUGCCGUAUACUAAUAUUAGCAUAGUGGGAUUUUGGUAGCCGUUGGAUUGAUUUCAAUUUGGACCACUCGCUCCUGUAUAUAAGCUAGGGUUUUUGGGCUAAUUAAUAUGCACAUUUUCUAUAUUCCCUUUUCAUAUUCCAAGCACUCACACACACACACACACACCACACACACCCCUCCAUCUCGGUCCAUCUCGGUCCAUCACGAACUCCAUCUCGGACUCCAUCUCAGUCCAUCUCGAACUCCAUCUUGGUCCAUCUCGGACUCCAUCUCGGACUCCAUCUCGGACUCCAUCUCGGAUUCCAUCUUGGGUCCAUCUCGGACUCCAUCUCGAACUCCUUCUCGGACUCCAUCUCGGAUUCCAUCUCGGGUCCAUCUCGGACUCCAUUUCGGACUCCAUCUCAAGUCCAUCUCGAAGUCCAUCUCGUGUCAUGUGUUGGUCCUCUUGCAUCCCUUUUCUAGAGACUCACUUAUUGCUCACUUUGUGCUUGUUCCUCGAGCACUUCGUUGGGAGUUCCUCUCCUGCUCUCGACCCUUCAAGUCAGAGCUUUUAGUCCAAACGUGUUACGCUCAUUUGGUUUUUUGCUUCGGCCACCACCACAUGGCACCCUUCCGGCUCCACUUUGGGGCCUAGGGAUUUUGUGUCUCACAACUCCACCACCCAUAGACAAAGUUCGAUGUCCUCAUCGAACGAUAGACUAUUUCAUAAAGUAAUACCAACAUGUAUUACCCUUUCCAUCCUUGGCACCUCGCCAACAUUCGUUAAUGGUUUGACACCAAAGGCUCACCAUGCUUUGUUCAUCCUCUAAGGAGCAUAGUCUCUCCAACUUAGAAACUCAUUCGACCAUUUGUGGUGGUUCUCUCCUUUUAUUGGUUUAGUUCUCGCUAAACCUGUUAGAGACACCUUAUCUAACUCAAUCUCACUAUAAGCCACAAAAUUUUCCUUUCCAAUUUGCCAGCUUACCUCGUCUAUCUGUCCAAUACUGUCUUGGCUUUUGCUAAGUUCCUUCGCCAAAGUUCCCGCCUAUGGUACCAGCUCCUACUUGGUUCUACUUGAUUUCAGUUACUCACUGCACAAGCAACGGAGUGUUAGCCAUCCAUCCACGGAUUCCCAAAUCUCUCCCAAUCCCCCUCCCUGGGUUAAACUGGACUGAAGGUUCGGCUACAUUCCCCACAAGCACAAGCAGCCAAACACACCAAGCUUCCAGGUUCCUAACAUCCCUUGGUACCACAAGACUUGAUCAUGGGACCCUCUAAAUCCCAAGUCUUGGGUGCAACACUUGCUUCGGGACGCCGGGGCGAAACACCGUGGCCUAACGGCCCGGUAUGGGUAGCUCUACCCCCCACUUCCAUCCCGAAGGGGAGGUCCAAGCCUCUAGGAAGGGCGAGGACCAAUGAGCCAUAUGGUACUCAAGUGGGGCACCAUUCCACAUGAGCUAGGAGCACUGUAGUCGGUUUCCCUUUCGAGAGUGGGAGCUACUCUUGAGCAGUUCCUUGGAUAACCCCUCUGGCACCAACCAAGUCCAUGCUCACUCCCACCUAAGGCCCCUCGGUCUCAAUCUCAACCUCAAGUCAGUUUGGAAGCCCCACUGAAGAGUUCCUUCAAAACUGGUUCCUAGACCUCCCUAUCCCUACUAUACUUUUGGAACCCCCUGCAGCCCCCCCCCCCCCCCCCCCGGGAGAUGCACGCUUUGGGCUUUCACCCCUUGACCUGUAUUAGUACUCGGACUCAGUCUCGGGCUUGAUCUCGGACUCGAUCUCGGACCCGACUUCAGAUUCGGUCUCGGACUCAAUCUUGGACUCGAUCUCGGACCCGAUCUUGGACCUGAUCUCGGACUCGACCUCGGACUCAACCUCGGACUUGGUCUCGGACCCGAUUCUUGGAUCUCGGAGUCCGUCUCGAACUCGGUUUCCGAGUCGGCCUUGGACUUGAUUCCGGACUCUAUCUCGGCCUCGAACUCGGUUUCCGAGUCGGCCUUGGACUUGAUUCCGGACUCUAUCUCGAACUCGGUCUCAGAGUUGGUCUUGGACUCGAUCUAAGACUCGGUCCCAUCCGAUGAACUCUUUGUCAUUUUGGUCAUGCUUUUGGGGGUCCUUUAGCCUAUGACACCUCGGCGAGUUAGUUCCUUACAACUCCACCACCCAUAGAAGAAGUUCGAUGCCCACAUCGAACGUCUCUCUUUUCUAUCCUACGACUUGUUGACCAUGUCUCCGGGGGCAUCCCCCCACUUAGCGGUGUGCCUAAGUUAGCCUCCCCGGCCAAGAGCCCAUGACAACGGAAUAUAGGUGUCCCUAUACUCCUCACCUCACCACGCCCUAGUAUGGGGUUGGGAUUUGAACCCAGCCUUGCUUUAUUAGGGGGUUAGGACUCGAACCCAACCUCCGUAGAAUAUGUCUACGGAUUUAACAUCCCCGCAGGGAGUCGGGUGUAGUUCCCUACGCUUGCUCAACUUAGCUAACCCAUGCUAAUUAGCUUACCUUCGGCGCACCUUUGGGUCCCAACAUAUGCCAUUGCUCAACAUCACAAAUUGAUACUUUAAUUGAACUUUGCAUAAGUACAUAGAGUUCUGCCUUGUAGAAAUUCCUCCACUAGAUCUUGCGCAUUCGCUAGGUUCUCUUCCGGUUCCCAUGUUGCCUUGUAGUGUGGAAAUCCUUUCCACUUCACAUGGAACUCUCUCACCUCGCGUCCUUGUCACUUGCUCUUGCGCGCAUUGAGGAUGGCCUCGACUUUGUAUUCCUCUUCCCUUUGGAUAACCUCAGGUAAAGGCCUUACUUGGUCCUUGCGAAGCGGAUCCUCAAAGUAUAGCUUGAGUAAGUUCACGUGGAACACUAGGUGCAUCUUCCCCAUCUCUCGAGGAAGUCGGAGACGGUAAGCCACUUUACCGAUUUGUGCCUCAAUCUCAUAAGGCCCCGCAAACCUGCUUAAGGAACUCAAGAUCAAUUCAUUUACGGAAUACAUGCAUUUUUACCUUUGGGUCAAUUUCCAACUGAUCCCGCUUGGUAGCCUGAGAUUCUUGGUGUUUAGCCACACCUUCUCCCCAGCUUGGAAAUCUACAUCCUAACACUUCUGGUUCACGUACUUGGUUUGCCUUUGUUAAGCUCAUUCCAAGGAAUCCCUCACAAGAUUCCAAAUGUUGAGUCUUUUCGCCGUGAAUGCCUCCACUGCGGGUAACUCUCCAUGAUACUCGGCCACACCGAGCUCCACAGGACCUUCAAUAGCUCGCCCAUUGAUGACUUCCCAUGGACUCACCCCGAUACUCGAAUGUGGUAAAUUGUUAUAACACAUUUCCGCAAGUCCCAAAUGACUUUCCCAAUCGGUCUGGUUUCCCGAGACAUAGCAUCGCAAAUAAUCCUCUAGCUGCCUAUUCACCCUUUCCGUUUGUUCGUCUGUCAAGAAGUGUUAGUGCCAUCAAACUUGACUUAAUACCCCAUACCUAUCUGUGGGUGAUAGGCUGUGAAGCUCUAUUUCGUUAAAGUGGGAAUUGUCAUUAUCCCACUUGUAAAAUAAGGUUUCCAAACCUUUAUAUAGUAUAUAAAUAUAACAAAAUUCAACUGUAUUAAGGCAUAUGCCAUUUUAUUUUAAACAAGGAAAUGUCUACUCAAUCACUUCUCCUCCCCCUGCCACUGCUUCACCUUUCUCUUCUCCUUGUCAUCGUCGUCCAAUUUCUUUCCAUCCUUUUAAUAUUGGCUUAGUUGCUCCGAGUCUAGGUGGAGCCCAAGUCCCCAUUCAAUUUUUACUUUCCCCUUAUUAAUAAAACAACUUCGUAGACUUCCAAUAACAUGCUGUAACACUUUUAGUAUAAUGCAAAUCCUCUCAAAGAAUUGUCUUUUAAUAUUAAUACAAUGGUAUGGAACCCCAUGCCAUAAUAAGUUACAUUUUUAAAUAAAUACAUGCCAACUCAGACUGUUAUUUUUUGCCUCCAACGCCUAUACAAUAAUCUUGGAAUUUCAUCACUCUCCACACUAUCAGGAUUUAAACCCAAUAGUAAUGCCAUCUCUUCUCUAAUACGUUCACGCUCAUGUUCAGUGGUCGAAGAACCCAUCCGGUUGAGCAGAUUAUGGAGAUGCGGAUAGUGCUUGGCUAGACAAUAUACAUGCCAUAAAUGAUGACUGGUGUUUGUCCGAUCAAAUGGCUUCUGAUAUACCGUUCCAUCUGCCAUUUGGUUGAUUUCUGCAGCCACCUCCUGGACUGGCCGGUUCUCUAUCACCAUCGCUCCAAGCCGUUUUGCAAAGUCCCCCAGAACAUACGGUUUCUUCUCCCUAGUUUCCAUACUGCAAAAGAUGGGGUGCACUGCAUAUGUGUGCGUGUUCGCUGCAGUUUUAAUCGGCGAGUCAUCGAUGAUGAGGAUUUCACUUGACCUAGCAGUCCGGUUCAUCACUACAGCCUCUGGCUUGAUGAAGAUGGGCUUGCUACCCCUCACAUGGACCAUAGUCAAGCAAUCCUCCUGCGUUAGGAGAAAGUCAAAUGGUAAUAUUACUCGCAUCUGAUCGUGCAUCAUCUGUAGCAACGUUAAUGCAUUGUGGCGCAUCAUGGAUGUCCAAACUCCCAAUUGCAAAUUGAACCUGGCCCUCUUUUUUAAGUGUCACAUGGUCAUUAUUAGAUCCCACAGUUUCUCCCGUGUGAUUAAUGUGAAUCUGUCUCUUUUGACCAACUUGCGACCGUAGGCUUUGGAGGGUGCAGUGACAUUUGAGGACGAGCCACGCUCAUGGGAGAAAAGGACACCGUUCAGAUCAAAAACGAUACAGCACCUUCGCCGUGACUCUGAAAUGAAAUGCGUCAGCAUAAAAAAUGGUACAAGUCAAUUUUACCAUCUACAAUAUUAGCGAAUGGUGCUCCCGAUGGUCGUUGAAAGGGUUUUGGUCGAGGAAACGUGAAGGGCGGAAAUACUCUCCUCUGCAAUAUGGGUCAAUCGCAUCCGAUGGCGUGUGGGCACAUGCCAUUUCAGCUGUAGACUCUGGUACAACUGGCUCAACAGUGGCAUGGGGUGGUUCCGAUGGCGUGUGAUCACACGCCAUUUCAGCUGGUGCCUCCGUUGGCAAAGUGGACAUGACCGAACAGGCAGCAGGGGCGGUGUAGGGAGGUUCCAACGGCGCGUAGUCAGACGAUUGGGCACACGUUGAGUCCGUUGGAAAUGAGGAUACGACCGGCUCGGCGGCUAGGGCAGCCUCAUGCGAGUCCAAUGGCGCCUGGUCACCGUCAGUUGGAUACGUGGACAAGAUUGACUCAGUGGUAUGGGCAGCAUCAAGUGGAGCGUGGUCAGCUUGCUUGGCGUUGAUAUGGAUAGUAGCCUCCACCAGCUCUGAUGACUCUUGCAGGCAAGUAGAGUCCACUGGCGGAUCCAUAUGCAUGUCCAAAUAUCUCCCUUCGAUUGAGAUGGUAUCCUCCCUACUGGCUACUAAAAACAAACUCAUUAACACAUUGAAUCGACUAUACUGUAUUUACCAUCAACUGCUAUUGAGGAACUAGGACCGAUAUCACUUGGGCGCAUUGCUGAUUCUGAAGGAUUGGACAUACAUUUCGACCCUUGUUUGGCACUAUCCUUCCUCGACACUAAAGGCUAGAGUUUGUAUCUUAAUUCAACUGAAUAAUCUCUACUUACCAUUUGCUUUGCAACCUACAUGGACAAUGUUAGAAAUGGUAAAAGGUUAGGAAUGGAUGUACUAUUAUUUACCUGAUGGUUUGUCUUGUAUGACCUUCCUCCGUUGCUCUUUGGCCACCUCAGGCUGGCCAUCGUCGUCAUCAUCGUCGUCGUCGUUAUUGUGAUCGUCACCAUUGUGAGGACCAUCCAAGUCCUCUUCGUCCUCCUCUUCUUCGUCCUCCUCUUCUUUGUCCUCCUCUUCGUCCUUCUGCUCUUCCUGCUCAUUAUCUUUCUCUGGCUCCUCAUCCCCCUCCUGCAUUUCUUCCAUAGGCUGCUCAGGCUGGAUGGCUUGUUCUUCCAGGACCAUCUUGGGAAAAUCAUCUGGCCGAGUCUCCAUCUCAAAAUACAAGACAUCCAUAGCUUGUUUUAGUGCGUGACCUAGGACCGUAUCCUCACCCGACUGUCUUAACAUGGUUUUUGCACAUUCUUACACCCUUCGAAGACGACGAGAUGAGAAAAACGUGGCCCUGACUUGAAAAGCAUCCCUCAUCCAUUGUACCUCUCCAUUGAGAUUGGGGAAGGGGAGUCCGCCAUAGGAAUCUGAGUCAGGAGGUGGUGACUGGCUACCUUCACUCAGCCCUUGAUCUGCAAUGAAUGGCAUGAGCACACACGCCAUAACCGCGAGGCAUUACCUAUCAUCUUUUCAUUGCCCUUCUUCCUUUUCGAAUCAAACGCCUCUGAUCCCGACGACUGUCCAACGUGCUUUCGCUUUUUAUGACCACUGCCAGUUUGAGCUUGGCUGGUGCUUGCCUGUUUUGCCUUUGAAGAAGUGUCUCUUGCAAGGAAUGGCAUGAGACCACACGCCAUUGCAAAUAUAAUUUGUACCUCCUUUUUCCUAUUGCUUGUCUGUUUGUCCUUCUUCGACGCGCCACCAGUGUGCUUUUCAGUCCUCAUGUCUGAAUAUUCACAACGAUCUAUAAUCAAAAUGGCAUGAGGCCUCACGUGACCUUACCUUGUGCAGGUUGUGAGCUCGGCCCAACAUGGGUAUCUUCAACAGUAGCUGUUAACGCCGUUUCAGCAUCUGGGGGUGGCCACGCUCCUGCAUACAGAGCUUGUGAGAUAACAUUUAAACUUAAAGUGCGUACUCACCAGGUUCGCAGAGAAGAUACUAUUUUUCUUUGGCAACUGUAAUUAUAUGCUCCAUUGAAGUCACCUCUUCAAUGGAGUUUGUCACCGCAACACACGGGACACCCUUGAGUAGUGCGGCUCGAAAGAAUAGUCCGCCGCAGUUGUACUCGACAACGCAUUUGCCCUUGGAGUCGGAAGCAGGUGACCCACCCGCUAUUGCGUUGAAGACCCAGCUGAGCAUUUCCCAUGCUGCACCUGGAGCUUUCUCUGGAUUCGAAAGCUCCAUAGCCGUCUUCAGUUCCUCAGGCACAGGUAAAUUGACCUCCCUCAGAUCAAUUCGAUCGGCCUUGUCGAACGAAGCUGGGAAGUCACUCUAGUCCCACUCUGCUGCAGGACCAAUAACAAGGGCGAGUGUGAAGAUGCAGACAUUCGUCGGUAUCUUCUUCUUAGCCAUUAUCCCAUGGAUCUCCUACAUCUCUUUGCCUUUCAACCGAGCCUUCACCUCGUUCAAGGCCUUCCAGAACUUGUGAUAGGAUUCGGAGUCGUAGAUCAUAUAGUGGACUGAAGAUUCCACCUCCGCAAGUCCCACCAUUAAGUUAAUGAUGGAGCUAACUUCGUCUGCAUGAGUGAUCUCCUCGUUUGUGAAGUCCAUCACACAAAAGAUGUUCUUGACCUGCUCAUCUCCGCGGGAAACGAUGCUCCUCCACCUUUGAUCCUCAUCGGAAUUCACGUAUACCCGGUAAAGUUCUCGAUAGGCCUCUGCUAUGGGGUCGAGCUGUUUCUGAAGCCGGCGGUCGACAUCCCUCUUAAUGAAAUUUGGAUACUGAUCCAACUUCUCAGCUUUACUUUUCGUGGCAUCCCGUAGCAGAUCGAUGAACUUGGGGGCCCCCUUCACGUACUUGUCGAUGUCUUCAUUUGACAACUCCAGCUCUUCCAUCAUCUCUUGCGUGGUGUCGAUGCUCACCCUCUCCACGGCCACUUGCUCGAAGAUCCAAUCCUUCAAUAGCGCACGAGCUCUCAGAGUCGUGCACAAGUCCUCGUAUGUCACAAUAUGGCUGGGAGUCAUUUUGGUCUUGUUGAAGACUACCUCACCACGUAGAAGAGCAUUAGCCACUAUCAGAAGGUCGUCGUCGUCUAGAGACCGCAAGAAACGCAAGGCGUUGAGCUUCAAAUCAUUGGGCUUCCGGCCGUCCUCCACACCCAUUGAGUUUAGCAACUCCCCGUCAUGGUACCUCCUCAGCACAUCUACCCAUUUGUCAAAAACAACUUUUGUCGCGAGUAGAAUGUUAUGGAUGCUGAGUGUGUCAUGGACCCCCAGUGUUUUCGAGAGAAGACUCGAGAAUUCCUGCAAUGGAAAUGGCGUGAGGCCACAUGCUAUGCCACAUGCAACGAGGCUUACCUGCCAGGCGCUAGUUGCUAGUGCAUGUCCUUGUCCUGGUUUUUGUGGCUUCUUCAGUUGAACCCAGAGCUUCCGUAUUCGUGCCAAUGUCUCGUGCAGACCCGAUUUGUAGUACGUUUCUUGCUUGACAUUCUGCGCGUGGGAGAUGUAUAUGAUAGAUCGGAGGGGCGAGUUGCCUUUUAUCAGGCGGACAACUCUUGUCUUGAAGACUUUCUUCACCUCCUCGCCCACCAUAAUAUCCACAACUAUCUCUUGCAUCGCCAAGCUAGAAUGCUGCCCGAAGACGGCAUAGAACCGGAUGUUCUGAUCGUCCAACACUUUCCUAUUGAUCAAGUCUGGAAACCUCGUCUCGCCCUUCAUUGUUCGGUAGUAGGGGAUCACGUCUGCAAUGUCGGGUGUUACUGGACUUGCCAGCAUCUUCUGCUUCAGUUUCUCCACCCACUCAUCAGAUACUAGCCUGUGGUUGUAUUUGCUUUGGAUGUCGAUACGGCUCACGUCGAUUGUAUAUACUUUGUUGGAAUAGUAACAAGUACUAUUAUCUGCGACGAUUUUUGCUGCCUCUUCUUGCUCUUUCUGCUCUUUGCGGCUCUUCUUUUUGGUGGGUGUAGUGUUCGAACCCGAGGCAAUGGCAUCAUCGAGUAGCUUCUUUUUUGGAGCAGGAGAGUCGGACGUCGGCUUGAGCUUGAACACCCUUUUCUGCUUCGGGGUAGUUUCUAGAUCGACCCCCUUCCCCUUCGCUUCGUGAACUGGAGGCACUCUCAACGGCUCAAUGUUGGAAUAUAGUUUUUGAACAUCGCCGUAGGUGAGGUCCGUGGAUUCCAUGUGAUCUUCAUAGACCCGCAGCGUCUUUGAAAUUGUGGGCCUCCUGGACAACCUCUCCCUAGCUCCCUCUAGGAAUUCCUUAUAGCCGCUGCCCCCCUCCGGGAAGCCGCUAGGAUGUGCAAGGUGGAUCUUGAAGGCGGAUGCUGUCUCUACCACAAGUGCCAGUCCAUAUUCUUGCAUGGAACUGCAUGGAGUGUCUGUCACUUGGAUGAGGAUCCCCAUGCAUUCUUUUCUCCCACCAUCUGUGUUGUACAGCCUCAGAUCCUCGCCUUCCAUCCCGAAAGUCCAACUGGUGAGCUCCUCCCCCUUCUCUGCAUCCACAUUGACAGUGGCUGGAAGAAGAACGCAAUUCCUCGCCUGUUCAGAAAUGCACAACAAUUAGAGCUGACAGAUGAAAAGCUAGCAGCUGGAAAUAACGUGAGGCCACACGCCAUUCACCACUGCAUCAGAUGUCUUGAGGCUGCAUCCUAAGAUGGCGUGAGGCUACACGCCAUCUGUAACCGAACUGCACUCGAGAGCCCAAUCGGUGCAUGCCAAUGUUGCUAUUGAAUGGCAUGUGGCCUCAUGCCAUUUUCUACUUGGCCUAAAAGACUUACCAUUUGAAGCCGAAUGGAGGCAUGACAAUCGAGGCCGGACUCGCUGGCGAAUGUGCAUUGUGUGUGCAGUGGAUCAUAACAGCAAGGCUACUCUGCCACUUACAGUUGGAGAGUGGCGCUGAAAUCUCCCGGGACGCCAAGUGGGCUGCGUGUGGGUGGCGGAGUGGGCGGGGGAGUUGGCGGCGAAGUUACAAACUGGGUGUGUCUUGAAGUGGACGCCGAUGCACACGAGCGCGAUGCGAGCGCGAGUGUGAUGCAAGCGCGAGUGGACGCCGAUGCACACGAGAAACCUGUAGAGAAAGUAGAUGAGCGCGAAUGUGAGUGUGAUCGCGAUGUGAGCGCGAGUGUGCGAGCGCGAGUACGAUGUAAAACCUAACCUCACACGCGCGAAAUGUCAUGACGGUUGGUAAUCCCGCCACGUCAUCAUUCCUCGGACUUGGGCGCCACCAUUAAUUUCUGGAUUGCCGCCCGCAUGCAUGCACGUGAAAUCCAAAAGAAAUCCGCAAUGUCAUCAUUCCUCGGACUGCAUGCACGCGAAAUCCAAAAGAAAGAUCAUGAUUGGGAUAUCAUUUAAUACCCUCGCUAUAUUUAUACCAUGCAUGAUUGGAUAUUCCAAAGCAUCUUGUAUUUCCAAAAAUGCCAGAUGUUCAACUAAAUAAAGAAUGGUACACAAUGUCCUUCUUGAUGACCCUGCAAAGAAGCAUCUCGAUCGGACACCACAUGAGACCACACGAGCCUUACAAUGUUUCAGGGGCAUUUGCCAUAGAUCCGACCGUUAUUUUGCUCCAAGAUUCUAUAGUUUGGUGUGCAUUGACCUUUCCAUCGAUACUGCAAAGGGACAUCACAAUCAGAUGUGGGAUCACAAGAAACCAACUUCACUAACUCUGGUUUCACCAAGAUCUACGUAAGGAGUUAUGAAAUGAAAGGACCCUCUCUAUUGAAAUGUGUUUAUGGUCCUGACAUAUCAAAGGAUUUUGCAUCAAGUUCUGUAUUUGCAUGUUUAUCAAGCUACUGAAUUGCUAAACCCUAAACCCUAAACAUGUGGCAAAUGCUGCGUGAAGAAAGAUGCCCUUUCUGGGCAAAUGCUGUAAGAGGCAGAUGCCGAGCAGAUGUAUCUCAGGCUAGCGAAGGGGACAAACGAAAGAUAGCUAUAAACAUGACGGGAUGCAAAUAGAUUACUAGGCUGGUCCUGCGAAAAUCAAAAACCAUAAUUGAAAACAUUGAAAAUGCAAAAAGAAAGGUUUAUAAUAUUUUUGAAUUUUAAGCAACCAAAGGAAUGUAAGUAGGGCAUGUGUUUGUAAGUUUAAAAAUGCCUCAACCACUUAAAUUCCCAAGUAAAUAAAGCUGUUUUUAUUUUUCGUACAGGUAAACUUUAUAGCGUGUGGGCUCAUGCAAUUUUGAACCCAAAAAUGCACCAAAAAAUGCUCGACUAGCAUUAUUCUUUGAAUGGCGUGUGGCCUUAUAUUGCCAUAAAUGGACGUACACACACAACAUAAUUAUUCCUUUACACGGCGUAUAAUCUUGGCGCGGAUCGCUGACAUGGCAUGGCAAAGUUCGAAUCACUGACAUGGCACAGCUGAAUCGAGGCAAGGACAUGAUGUGACAAAGUUCAACCUCCGACAGCAAAGUCUAGAAGCUACUCAGUUUGAAAUUUGUCAAAGGAAUCAUAAGAUCUGGUUUGUCAGAGGAUUUGAUGUGACGUUCAAGCGUGUGUUAUUUUUGAAUUCUCGAACUCAUUCCUAGGUCUAUCAUUUUUGUGCGCCGUGUUCUUGGUUCCGCUGAGCGCAGUGAGCACUGCUUGUGUAAGCGGCAUUGUGAGCUGUGGUUUAUGCGUCUACGAGCGGUUGCGGCAUUGCGAGCGCCAUUGCGAGCGGCAGUUUAUGCGAGUGGCAGUUUGUGCGAGCCGCGCUACGAGCAGUUGCGGUGUUGCGAGCGGCGCUACGAGUAGUUGCGGUGUUGCGAGCGGCACUGUCUUUGGUGUGGCUACCGCUUCCUCUUGAUAUUCGGCACUUGUGCUUCCUGGUAUGUUCACCAUGGAAUGGCUUAGGACCACAUUUAGAAAUGGCAUGAGGCCACAUGCCAUCUUGGGCCCUUGCAAUUUCAUGGCUAGCAUAUUGUCAUGUAUGUUUUUACUUGCCUGCAGCUGUGUGUAUAUCAAGAUGGCAUGAGGCCUCAUGCCAUCUUUGGCGCCUACUAGCCUAUUGCCAUAUUCCUUUUGCCUUGCUGCAACUGUAUAUAUUUUUGUAUGGGUGAGUAGUCACGCACACAAAGAUAUAUACAGUUGCAGCAAGGUAAAAGGAAUAUAGCAACAGGCUAGCAUAUUGUCAUGUAUGUUUUUACUUGCCUGCAGCUGUGUGUAUAUCAAGAUGGCAUGAGGGCUCAUGCCAAUUUUGUGAAUGCGAAAUUUCACGUGGGUGUCAAUAGCAUGUUUGAAUAAUGGCAUGUGGCCUCAUGCUAUUGAGGUUGUUUGGUAUGUUAUGAUUUAGGCCAUUCUCCAAUCAUUUUUUGUAUGGUCUUAACUUCUUUUCUGCACUUUCAGAAUAGCCUUCGCAAGUGCGACGCAUGUUCCCUCCGUGGAUCUUAAGAACCAUGCUACAUGGAUUCAGACAAAGGUGUUUCUAAACAACCCCGAGGGGGAGGUGGUAGCUGAGGGCUUAGCCACAGUUGUCGAUCCAAGAGAUGCGGUUGCUAAUCAAGAAUUGGGCUUGGAUGAUAUUGGAGUUGCGAUUUUAGAGGUUGUUGACACAGAAGAAAAUAGUCUGACUAUUGAAAGCAUUGUGCAGUGGAAAUUGAGGCACUUAGUGUUUGAGAAUGUGAAGGAUUCACAAUGCUGAUUGGGAUGCUAUUGAAGAGGAGAGAGCAAGAUACAAGACAUUGUCCUGGAAGGUAGCUCGCAAUUUUGUGUAUGAGGCAUUACGGUCAUCUGUUGAUGCUUCAAAACAUCAGGUGGGGGGCAUGGUCUUCCAGAGGGGUUUGGUCUGCAUGAAGGCAUGGAGAAUCAUUUAUGGAGUCCCUCUAACCACAUUCUACAGAAUCAAAACUGAGUUCGAGGAACAAAGGGUUCAACAGGCAGUCCAUGGGAACGAUGGUACUCACAAAACCAGGGGUCAUGUUGUAUAUGGAGAGGCAAUCUUCAAGAGGUUUGUCGAGACAUGUAGCGAGCAGCAACCACAUAAAACCCACCUCUUGGAAGAUGGAACUCGAGACACCCAACGAGUUCUCCCUUCCAUGUAUACCAAGGAGGCCAUAUUGGAAGAUGUGAAUCGGGAACUCCAGAGUAAUGGCUACAGGAAGCUGAGCCAAUCUAGAUUUAGUAGAUUGUGGAGCAACAGGUUCAGGGAUGUGAGUAUAGGAAAGUACUCUAGCUUUUCAAAGUGUGACGAGUGCACUGCUAUCAAAAUGGCUUUGUCGAAGAAUUCUUGCAUCGCUCAAGAGCGAGAGACGUUGGUUAGAAGGCGGCUCGACCACAACAUCGAGCAGAGAAGCUGCAGGACUGCAUAUUAUCAUAACAGGAUUCUCUCCAUGGAGAGACCUGACUCUUACCUCUGCAUCAUCCACGACAAAAUGGACCAGAAAAAGACGUGCUUACCUCGACUCAAUCCUGCCCCCAAGGCAAUCUCUUCAUCCAUGCAACUGCCUGUGUCUCUGUUUGGCAUAAUUGCUCAUGGGCAUGGUGCCCAGAACUAUGGGAACUUCUUUGUACCUCUAUGGGGUGGCGGGGGUGCAAACAUGAUGAUUGCAUCCCUAGCAAAACACUUAAGGUCUCUGCAAAGUGUGCAGACUAAGCUGAACGGCCAACCCUUGCAUAAGGCCCUUGUCGAUCGAACCCCAUACAGGGUUCAGCUGGAGGAGGAGCAAAGGCUUGCAGUAUCGCGUGGGGCCCCAUGCCAUCCCAGUGAAUAUGUUGGCCGUCAGAUUGUAGGGUUAUCACGUGAGGCCUUAUGCCAUUCCGACGAGGCUAGUCGCCCGGUGAAUGCACAUCCUCAUCCAAACGAAGCAGAAUCUCAAGGAAGUUCUUGCGGCCGAUGUGGCCUUCCACCCCAUCUUCUGCUCCAAACAGACAAUGCUGGCAGUGAGAACAAAAACAUGUACGUCUUCGCAUACUUGGCGAUGCUUGUUGCCAAAGGCAUAUUUGAAAUGGUUACACUUGGCUUUCUCAUGGUUGGGCACACUCAUGAAGACGUCGAUGCCAUGUUCAGUCACCUGGCAGAGUCCCUCUGGCGAUCCAAUGUCCUCACCCUCCCACAACUCUACGAUGAAUUCCAAAAUUGCAUCAAAGGCACUAUUGAAGUUGCACUUAUGACAGAGGUUCCAGACUUUAAGGGGUUUGUAAGAGGCUACAUCAGGGACAGAUCCGAAACGCUGAUUGGCCACUCCAAGCCUCUUUAGUUUCAUUUCAGCAUGCGUGACAGUGCUCCAGUGAUGAGGUACAAGAUGAGAGAAUGGGACACAGUGUGGUUGCUAGUGGACGGCAUUGAACUCUUCAAGAGAGAUCCCAUAACUGGGGAACCUAUGAUUCCUCAGGGUUCCCCACGGCCGAUGCACCCGGAUGGACUCAAAGACCAGGAAAGUAUAGUGGUCGGGAUUAGACAGCAUAUUGCCUUCUGGAAGACGGGGUUGGUGUUUGGUGGAGAAUCCUAUUUUCAGAGGUGCAAACCUUUGAUCGAAUACUAGGAGAAGAUUAUAUUUGCUAUCCAAAAUGGGCCGGUUGUAUAUGAAGAAUUGGAAGAGUCCUUUUGGCCAGAACCCAGAGCACCAGAUAGUAGCGGAACAAUGUCCUCUGGAAAUGCAAUGACAGAUAACGAUGUUGAGGAUCACUAUUGUGGGCCGAGGAACAAGAAGCCGGAUUCAGCAUUCAAUCCAGUACAGGUCUGCAAAGGAAUGGUCGUGCUUGUCAGACCCAGUAAUAAAAAACAAAUGAUAUGGGUGGGGCGCUGCAUCACUGAUGUAGAGGAGGACGCGGAAACUAACUCCUUCAAUGUAACUGUGGAGUGGUUCAAGCCAAGUUCCAGAUAUACGAAGGAUUGCCUAGAAAAGAAAUGGGUGCUGAAUCCAAGGGAUCCCAGCAUGAGCAUAUCGGUGGAUAAUGUUGUGCAUGGUUGGAUGCGAAAGCAGAGUGCCACCAUCACCUUGCCAGACCAUGCAAGAGAUGCAGCAAGAGCAUUCAUAACCCGGGUUCAAGGUGAGAUUCAUUAAUAUUCCUUUACUAAGUUUCUAAUGUAUUUUAUUUCAAGGUGAACAAUCCGAAUCUGAAUCAGAGGAGGCAUGAUGGCAUGUGGCCUUACGCUAUUCCUAGGUGAGAUGAUACAAAUAACAAGUAUAAAUUCUUAGUUUUUCUAGCAAAUCUUACUUAAAGUUCAAGGUGAACAAGCCGAAUAUGAAUUCAUCGGAUUGUUAUAACAAAUUGCGAGGUGAUGGCAUGAGGCGAUACGCCAUUUGAGAGUGGUAGCCAUUCCUAUAUGAGGUGAGUGAAAUAUUUAUUAGAAAUACCUCAUUCAAUUGUGCACUUCUAAGUCUUGGUCCACUCAGUACUGUUUGCAUGUUUUUAUUUUAAUUCUUUCUCUAAAAUGUUAUUUAGCAUGUGGCUUCAUGCCAUUGCUCUCCACAAUCAUGCAUUGAAUUUUUCUAUCCUUGCAUAAUACUUCUCCAUAUAUAUAGCAUGUGCGCACAUGUGAUAUGGUUCAUUAGGCCUGAUAUAGUGUGUGAGGUAAAACAAAGAUGAUGUGACAUAUGCAUUUACCAAUCACACAUGCAUAAAUCUAAUAAUAUGGCGUGUGGCCUAUAUUAAUGGCACAUAAACCUAUAUUGUGGGCUUACGUGCUUUAUGUACCAUCAUUCCCUUGCAGCGUGUGUGUUGGUUUCCUUUUAUAACACAACGAACUCCAUAUUUUAGGGUGAAGAGCGUUCUUAUAGCAAGCACAAAAUCUGUAAGUGAGGCAAAAAAGGAGACGGAGAAGGAGAUAGGUGAAGAUGUAGAAUAUAUAAGUCUUCCAAACUCCCCGUACUAUACUCCAGGUGAUCAUUUUUCUGAACAAACGGCAACAUUAACAACUAUCGAGAACGCCCCAGUAACGUUAGAGACAACAAUCCAAAGCAAAACAAUUGACCUGGAGAAGGAUGAUAGUACCGCUGAGAGUACCAAAAAGGAGGUGUCCACUAGCGCUUAGGCUUAUAAUGGUGUGUGCCCUCAUGCCAUUUACUUGAUCACCAAAUACCUUUUUCCCUUUGCACUAGUAUAUCUUAAUACCGGUCUGAGAAAUAGAAUGGCAUGUGCCCUCAGGCCUUUUACUAAAUCACCUUUGAAAGAAAUGCAAGCCUCUAUGUCGUAAAAAAAAGGUACUAGAGAAAUUCCUUAAUAAUAUGAAUGUUAUUUAGUUUCAUGAAAAUACACUAAGGGUCAAAUGAGUUAAAUGACUUCUCCAGACUAGCAAUGCCUCUUGCUACACCUUCACAAUUAGAUUCAUUAGAAAAAGAUAACAUUGAAUAAUAUCUAAAUGUUCUCACCAUUAAGUUAUAUGUCUGGCUAAUAGGAAUGACGUUCAUCUUGGAAAGCUCACCACACGCUCAAUGAACAAACAAAUAGUGUGUGCGCGCAUGCCAUCGCUCUUCUUUAGCUUCAGAUUCGGCUUGUUCACCUUGACAAUGAGAUUUAUUAUACAACCAGAUGGACUCAGUCUGGACACAAAGUCACUGCGCUAGUCACCAUGCCCUAGAUAUGUCUAGCCCCUAGACAAAAAAUAUAUAAUUUCACGUCAUUUUCAAAUACUUGAAAAUUUGUACCUAGUCCCAUUUUACUGAAUAAAUCCCACUUUAACGAAAUAGAGCAUUGUGCUGAAUUUCAACUUGGUGCGAUACUGUUCUAGGAGAGUUCUCCAGAACCUACUGGUGAAGAUCUUAUCUCAAUCUGAGAUAAUCUCUUCUGGCCUUCCCCUCACUCGAACCACUUGUUUGAAGAACAGUUUCGCCACACUUUCCGCAUCCACCUCUGUUGUGGUGGGUAUGAAAUGUGCCAUGUUCGAAAAUCGGUCCACCAUCACGAAUAUCACAUUGAACCCCCCGCUUGGGGGGAGUCCCGUGAUGAAGUCCAUCGUAAGACAUUUCCACGGGCGAUCUGGAAUUGGGAUGCUUUGCAACAAGCCCCCACUAGCCUUAGUCACGGCUUUGACUUGCUGACAUGUUGGACAUGUCUUUAUAUAGUCUUGGACGUCCUUAGCCAUAUCUGGUUAGUGAUACUUCCUCUUGAGUAAGCCCAUUAUUUUGGGCACUCCGCCGUGUUUUGCAAGAGGUCCGUCAUGACACUCCUCUAAGGCUACCUUCCUUAGUUCCCCUUCUGAGACAUACACCCUCGUUUGCUUGUAAUAGACGAGUCCAUUGCAUUCCGCAUAGCCCAUUUUCUCUUCCGUUGGCAGCUCACCUCUUUGGUGAGCUUCCCGCACUUCCAGAUUCCGCAGCAACACUUCUUGUGCUAGACCAUCGUUCUUAUAUGCUGUCCGCACAUCAUCCCAAAAGGUUGUUGUUGCGCUGGAUAUCGCCAACUUCAAGCUCGCUUUUCGACUUAGCGCAUCUGCCACGAUGUUGCUCUUCCCAGGCUUGUACAGAAUCUCGCAAUCAAACUUGGCCAAAGCAUUGGCCCACCGACCUUGUUUCCCCCUUAGGUCGGGUUGUGACAAAAAGUGUUUCGUUGCCACAUUGUCCGUGUAAACCUUGAAGUGUCUCCCAAGGUAGUGUCGCCACUCCUUGAGCGCCUUGACCACCUCAAACAGUUCCUUCUCGUGGGCAGGCCACUUCCGUUGAGCCUUGUCCAACUUCUUCAAGAAGAAUGCUACUGUGAGACACAAAAUCCCUAGGCCCCAAAGUGGAGCCGGAAGGGUGCCAUGUGAUGGUGGCCAAAGUGAAAACCAAACGAGCGUAACACGUUUGGACUAAAAGCCCCGACUUGAAAGGUCGAGAGCGGGAGUGGAACUCCCAACAAAGUGCUCGAGGAACGAGCACGAAGCGAGCAAUAAGCGAGGCUCCAAAAAGGGACCCAAAAGGACCAACACAUAACACGUGGAAGUGUCUGAGAUGGACUCGAGUUGGAGGCCGAGGUGAAGUCCGAGAAGGACUCCGAGAUGGAGUCCGAAGUGGAGUCCGAGGUGGACCCGAGAUGGAGUUUGAGAUGGAUCCGAGAUUGAGUCCGAGACGGACCAGAGAUGGAGUCUGAGAUGGAGUCCGAGGUGGAGUCCGAGGUGGACCCGAGAUGGACCCGAAAUGGAGUCCGAGAUGGACCCAAGAUGGACCCGAAAUGGAGUCUGAGAUGGAGUCUGAGAUGGACCCGAGAUGGAGUCCGAGAUGGACCCGAGAUGGAGUCCGAAGUCGAGACCAAGACCGAGACCGAGACCGGGACCGAGACCAAGACCGAGAUCGGGACUGAGACCGAGACCGAGGGCGAGGCCGAGACUGAGCCCGAGCCCGAGUCCGAGUUUGAGUCUGAGAGGGUGAAAGCCUAAAGCGUUCGUCUCCCAGACCCUGGGGGGUUUGGUGAGCUCCAAAAGUAUAGUAAGGGGGAGGACUGCAGUGGAGCCAGUUUGGCUAGGAAAGGCCAGUUUGGCCCAGGAAGGCCGGACCCAGUGUUGGGUGAUGAGCUGCCCACUGGGAAGUCCAAGACUAGAGUGAACACAAGUCGACAAGUGGGGCAGCUUGGUGAAGUGUUCAAGAGCUGGCUCUAGUUCCCCCGGGAGAUCAAAUGGCCAAUGCUCCCAGUCCAAGUGUGGGUGGCACUACCAACUUGGAUACCUGGUGUGGCUCAACGGAACCUCGCUCUAAGCCCAUGGUUAGAGCACUUAAAGGCGAAAGGCGGGGAGAGUACCCAAGAGGCUUGCGUAAGGCCACGAUGUUUCAAAAUGUUGUCCCAAAGUCCCAAACGGUGAAAGGGAAGAGGAGUAGGCCUCUAAUGCAAUGACCAAGGAUAUGGUCACAUGGUGAGGAAGUCCCAAAAGAUAGUGGGAUUUAGCGGUCAGGCCUGCAGGCCUUGAUCCAGUGGCAGUGUUGGCGAACACGGCCAUAGACUGAAAGGGACUUGGUGGGGACUGGAAAAGAGUUGUCGGGGAAGGCUAUUCCCCAUGUCUGUGGGCAUCCUAAGGAUGCUAAGGAGUAGAUCAAGGAUGAUCGCUCAUGGACGGAUGGCCCAGUCUUUGAGAGACGGGAUUAUGAUGCAGGUGGCGGUAGCCCACCGAUGUGACCAAGGUGAAUGAGCAUGGCGUAGCGUAACGGGCUGGUAUGUCGGUGGUACCUUGGGGUGUCGGUCACAGGAUCGGACAAGUGGAGCACUUGGACCAAGUGCAAAGAUUGAGUGGCAUGGAUGCCAUUCUCGGGGCUAGCAAGCCCCAAGUCCUAAUUGGGACUUAUGGAGGUUAUGAAUGAGACUCCUCCAAGUGGUUGGAGGUGUGGUUAAGUGACUAAAGUAAAAUGGAAAAUUUAGUCGCUUACAGCUAUGGGGUGAAUAUCUUGCUUCAAAACUGCGCCCAACGCAAAGUCUGAAGCAUUCGUUUCUACGUCAAAGUCCUUACCAAAGUCUGGUAAUGCCAACACCGGAGUUUUCCUCAAUUUCCCUUUGAGGUGGACAAAUGCCGCCUCGCAUUCCGCUGUCCAUACCAUUUUCCCUUUUCCCAUUUGGUCUAUUAAGGGCAAGGUUACUCUCGAAUAGUGUCUGAUAAACUUUCGAUAGUAGUUGCAUAGCCCCAAGAAUGCCCUUAACUCGUGUACAUUCGAUGGUCGCUCCCAAUCCUGGAUCGCUUGGACCUUCUCAGGGUCCACUUUGAGCCCAUCCUUGCCCACCAUAUGCUUGAGAAACUUUACCUUUUGUUGAGCAAAGUCACAUUUGCUCUCUUUAGCAUACAACUUGUGUUCCCUUAGUUUCUCAAACACAUUCGUCAAGUGUUUGGUAUGCUCCUCUAGCGUUUUGCUAUAGAUCAGGAUGUUGUCAAUAUAGACAACCACAAAGUGAUCCAAAUAGGGUACAAAGAUAUGGUUCAUCAACGCCAAAAACGUUGCCGACGCAUUGCAUAGCCUGAAGGGCAUCACCAGAAACUUGAAGCUCCCAUACCUCGUUCGACAGGUUGUCUUAUCGACAUCUUCCUCUGCUACCCUGAUUUGGUAGUAUCCUGACCUUAGGUCAAUCCUCGAGAAGUAUUUUGCCUUUCCCAACCUAUCGAACAGGUCCUCAAUGCUUGGCAAAGGGUACUUGUUCUUCUUUGUAUACUUAUUGAGCAACUAGUAGUCUAUGCACAUGCUCAUAGCUCCAUCUUUCUUUUUCACAAAUAACACCGGUGCCCCAUACGGUGACUUGCUCAACCUAACAUACCCUUUGUCCACCAACUCCUCUAGUUGGCGUUUGAGCUCCGCAAGUUCUUUUUCGUUCAAACGAUAGGGGGGACGAACCACCACCUCAGCACCCUCAGCCAGCUCAAUCUUAUGUUCUAUCGGUCGUGCGGGGGGCAACCCCACCGGUAGCUCUUCUAGCAUGGUAUCCCGGAAUUGGUCCAACACCUGCUAGAUCACUAAAGGUACUUCUUCCGUUCCUGUCUUUUUGUCACUCCCCACCGAGAGUAAGCACAAAAAUGCAGCCUUAGUCCCUUUAGUGAGUUGUCCUCUCGUGGACACCAGGUUUAAGCACAAAUCUUUGGCCUUGCAUUGCCCUACCUUUAGAUCCUGGGCCUCUACCCUAGAUCUUCUUCCUUGGGCAUUCGCUAGUACCACAAGGUUCCUACCUUGUCCAUGCAGGGCUACCACGAGCCAAUUGAACUAAUCCAUCCCGAAGAUCACGUUAAAUCCUGCCAUGUCCAACACGGUGAAAUCCAUGUCUACUUUCCAAGUCCGUACUUCGACUCUCGCUUGUCGAAAUACCUCAUUGGUGCUUUGGCUACCUUGAACAAACUCUAUAGUCCUUGGGUCGCCCAGCCGCUGCACCAUUAGUCUGGCUUGCUGGGCUAUGUCUGUAGCCACAAAAUUAUCCGAAGCACCCAUGUCAAUAAGGAUCUUAACAAAGCUACCUCCAAGCUUCCCUCGGAGGUCUAGUAGAUGUCACAAACGACUCUCUACCAAAAUUGCUCGUGUAAUGAGUAAUUUUGAGCUAGGGACUGGAUCACAUACCUCAGUUUAGACUUCACCUGAUUUAAUGGCCAUAUUGGCUCUGGCCUUCUUCGGGUAGGGACAUUCCCUCGAAAAGUGUCCCGCUUCACCAUAGUUGUAGCAUACGUUUUUUCCCACACUGCUAAAUUACUUGACCUUCUUAUCCGUGGGUUUGUCUCUUUUUGCUUGACUCCCUCACGUACUUGCUCACUGGCCACUGGAUUUGCCUUUUCGGAACCCCAAGGACUCAUUCUUAGAGAAACUCUUCUUGAAUUUCCCUUUGCUAUAUGUUCCCCUUGGUUUGGCCCUUUUGCUAAACGUGGACCCCGAUCCCGUCGUGUUCCCCUUUCGCAGAUUAUCGUUGAAAUGCACCUUGAUAGCCGCAUCCAACGCUUCUUUGUAAUUUGUUGGGUUCCAACGCAUCACCUCACCACGAGCCCAGGUUUGCAAGCCCGAUAUGAAGGCAUGGAAUGCAUCCAUAUCCCCCAUGUCUGUGACAAGUAUCCUUUUUGCCAUGAACCCAUUCACAUACUCCUGAAUGGUUCCGGUCUGCUUCAGCCUACUUAGCUCGUCUCUUAGAUGCAGAGUAGCAUUUGGAGGAACGUAAGUCGCGCGGAUCCUCGCCUUAUGUCCCAAGUGGCCACUGGUCCUUUGUUGGCCUCCAUUGUUCUCCACCAAGACUUGGCAUUAUCUACCAAGUAUGGUUUUGCACAUGGGACCUUCUCCGAGCUCGGUAACUGCAACGCUCGGAAGUAGUCCUCCAUAUCGUAAAACCAAUCCUCCACCACCUUAUAGUCGUUCACUCCCUUGAAGACUGGUAGGGGCUUUAGUUUGUACUUGGGAACAGCUUGAGGGACUGAUUCCACUUUGGUCUGUUCGACCUUGUUUGGUUCUGCCUCAGUCCCUAUCGAAGGGUCCGUACCUUCUGCGCUGCCAGCAUCCGCAGUCUUUCGCUUUUUCUUCCGCUUCUCGUCACGCUUUAGUUUGCGUACGAGAGUCUCCAGCAGGGCAUUGGUCUUCGGCACCAACCAAGUCGAUGCUCACUCCCACCCAAGGCCCCUCGGUCCCAGUCUCAACCUCAAGUCAGUUUGGAAGCCCCACUGAAGAGUUCUUUCAAAAUUGGUUCCUAGACCUCACUAUCCCUACUAUACUUUUGGAACCCCCUACAGCCCCCCCCCUGGGAGACGCACGCUUUGGGCUUUCACCCCUUGACCUGUAUUAGUACUCGGACUCGGUCUCGGGCUCGAUCUCGAACUCGAUCUCGGACCCGACUUCGGAUUCAGUCUCGAACUCGAUCUCGGACUCGAUCUCGGACUUGAUCUCGGACCCAAUCUCGGACUUGACCUCGGGCCCGAUUCUUGGAUCUCGGACUCCGUCUUGAACUUGGUCUCGAACUCGGUCUCGAACUCGGUCUCCAAGUCGGCCUCGGACUCAAUUCCGGACUCUAUCUCGAACUCGGUCUCAGAGUCGGUCUUGGACUCGAUCUUAGACUCGGUCCCAUCUGAUGAACUCUUUGUCAUUUUGGUCAUGCUUUUGGGGGUCCUUUAGCCUACGACACCUCGGCGAGCUGGUUCCUUACACUCAUUACUCACUCUCGAGUAGUUUCAAUUUCCAUUUAUGUAACCCUUGCACUUUGGAACUUUUAAUUUUGACUUCUCGAAGUCAAUUUCCUGGGUGUCUCUGACACCUUGCAUUGCAAAUAUGGUGCAACUCCACUUCCCCAUCAUAAAAAGUUCUCUACUUGAGCGCACCAUCAUCCUCUCUUCAAUUUCGUGCCACAUUUGGCACUAAGUUCCAGUUACCAUAAUUUGUGCUAAGGCUGUCCACAACCCUAUCAUUUGGCUACCUUACCGCUUCCACAAUUGGAGUUUCCACUUUCACCAAAUCAGAGCAAUUAGGAAUCCAUCUUUGGGAACACAUUGCCUUUCUCACAAUCCGUUAGCACCCAACACAUUAGUGUUUUUGGCCUAACUUUGCCAUUUGGAUUCUUUCCCAUGAUUCCCAUGGCUCUUUACUUAGCCACUAGUCUUUUGCUCCUAUCCGUGAUUGUUGCAUUUAGCAACAUAGGAUCGUUACUUUCAUUCUCGAGGUAUCCUUUCAGUUCCAUAGCCAAGACUUUGCUUUGCCAAGUCCGGAGGGUGUUCACCCUUAAUACGUCUCUUUAGCAUCUUCUGCUAUAGGCUUUAUCCAUGAUCCAACUUUGUAACCCUCUUAUGGGUAUCUUAUACAGACUACUUUCCUCGGACUCUCUAUGCCAUCACAUUGACAUAGCUCAUUUCCCUUAGGUGUCCUUCUCACUUGGUCACCUUGACCAAGCCUUACUAUCAUCAAUAGUUCAAACCAACACUUUGAACUAGGAACUUUAUCCCUUAACCUCACAAGGACAUUAUCCUUGUUUUAAUCAUAAGAUCACCUCGUGAUCUAACCUUGGCACCUUAAUAGACUUGCCAAUAGGUAUUAAGUCUUCCGGACCUUUAAGUUGUUGACCAUGACCCUGGGGGCAUCCCCCACACUUGGUGGUGCACCCAAGCUAGCCCAUCCGGCCAAGGGUCCAUAGCAACUGAGACUGAGUGUCCCCAUCUCAUUCACCACGUCCUUGGUGCCACUUGCAUCAAAGUGUUCAAGUUAGAUAUGCCGAGCUUUCACACUAAGCAAUCUAACUAUGCAUCACGACUCCGGGGCAUCCCCCACUUGGUGAUGUGCCCAAGUUAGUCUCCUUACUAAGAGUCCAUGACCACCAAAAAAUGAGUGUCCUCAUAUUAAAAACCAUCACCGCGCCCUAGUGAGUUGGGACUUGAACCCAACCUCCGUAUAUGCAUCUACGGACGGCAUCGCAGAGGAUGCCUGGCAUGACUCCCCACGCCGGUGCACCAAUUUAUACUUAAAGCGUGCUACAGAUCACAGCUUAGGAACCUAGUUCCUCCACACAACCAAGUCCUCCCACUUGACAUGUUUGUGAUCAUGCAUGGACUCCUCCAUGCUCGGCCCCAUGGGCCACCCCUUUGAAGUUGGCUCCUUCAACUAAGGUAUUCGUUCCCCCGACUUGCCAAUCUCACUUAGCAAGUCAUCCGACCUCACUUAGUAACAUAGUUUAUGCAUAAGCGUGAAAAUCCCUAACCAUUGACUUUCGUUCAAAGCCCUCUCUUUGAACUUCCCCAACCUCGAUAGCUUCGCCUCAUGGCAAGUUUCAAGACCACGCUUCUGCUGCGCCACUCAGAUUUUGUGCGUUCUAUGAACCAUUUACCCUUGGCUGACUAAGUACUUAUCUACCUAGGAGAACGUUCAAGGAACUCUGUUCCUUAGCUUGCUAAGGUUUCUCCUUUCGCAACCUUUCCAAUUACUAUAUAGUCCUACAUGGACAAUCUUAUGCUUUAGACUUUCCAUGGCAUCCCGAUCGCUAGUAACAAUAUGCUUGAGCACCCACUUGAUUCUCCACUCCCAACUUGUAUAACUACCUUUGGUCAUGCCUACUAAUUCCUAUGGUUUGGUUCUAUUCCUUUACUACUUGCCUUUUGGGCUCAUAUAUUCCCUUUGGUCAUUCUCCUCCAUACUAGGAAAAUAGCUUUGCACUUUCUACCAUAACUUAGCAAGUAUUCAUAGAGAACCUACCUGACAGCCUAGGGAGUGGUUCCUCAAUCCGGGUUUGCUCACCUUGUAAUCCCAUACAUUGGGGUUACUGUUGCUACUUAUGGGCCUUUAUAUGCCCAUCACUAGCUUUGCCAAAUUCCCUUUUUGGCUUUGUCCAAUUUGGGUAGACAGACUUCUCCCGUCUCUGCAACCUUGAACAUUUGGAUAACACUUCCUAUCCAUCAUUCACUAGGGACUUUGUCCCUUGGGUUUUAUUCGUGCCCUCAAGACCCCAAACACCACCUCUUGGUGUUCUAGAGUGCUUGGGUGUCCCAAUGAUGGCCUCUUUGGCAAUGAGCAUUCCCUUUACGAUAUUAACUUACUAUCUCGCAACAUAAGUAAUUUCUCCCCCAUAAGGGUAUAUCUAACUUCUUUAUCCCAAUAAAAAGUCUUAGGUAGUUGCCUUCUACCAGUUUAACAAAUUAUUUUGCACCUUUUGUUUAGUUGUCUCAUAGUUGUCAAGUUCUACAACUCAUUGCUGGUGUUUCCGCACCUCCAUCAUUAUUUGGGUCACCACACUCUAACCGCAUGCCUUCCAGCUUAAACUAUGCCAUUCCAAUUUCCAUUGGGAUUCCUUUGGAAGGGGUUCUCAUAAACCUGCCAAUUUGACGUUAAGGUAGCACGCCUUGGCAUAUUCGUUGUCUCCACACCAUCGGCUCCACGAGUCUAUCUUUUUGACACUUUUUACUUGUGUCUAGGUCUUUUUGCCAAGACCAAUAUGGCUGUCUUUUAUGCCAAUUAUCCAUUAGCACUACACCAUAGAGUUCACGCACAACUUUGUGUUAAAGUUGUUUUCUUCCAGAAAACUCUUUCCCACGACUUUAGCAUAGCACCUUCUGCCAUCAAUGAGAUACACACUAUUCUCAUGCUUGGAUCUCAAGAUCCUCCCCAUCCUUCAUGGGGCACUACACACCUCAGUCCAAAUGCUUCCAUCAAUCCCUUAGGAUUAUUCCUUGACUCUAUUUGAGUCAUUAAACUUUUUGGACUUUGCCAAUCCAACAACCCAUGAGGUCCUACUUUUGAGUUGCCAACUCACUGGAAUACAACUUCUUGUAUUCAUGUCCUACUCACAAGGACCAUCUUUGCAAGUGUUACUCUGACACUUGAUUAUGUUCUCUAGGGCCAACCUUUGCCCCUCAGGACUACUUGUCCAUGCGAUGAGAAUACCAACUUAUUCUCUAAGUACACCCCCAACUCCUUGGGUUGUUCCAGCAUUUAUUAAAGGUAGCCCCGGUUACCAUUUCAAGGACUUGUGUCCUCUUCUGUAUUUGACCUCCCACGGUCAUUAAUUCUGGUCUCAAAUUCAUGAGCACUAACCUCAAUUAUAUGAGGAUAAUUUUGUGACUCCUUUAUUGUUUUGGAGUCUGCAUCUUUCCCGUGAUCCCAACUAUAGUUGUUUACCACAACUACAUUAGCCAGUUUGCUAAGUCAAACGCUCAUUUGGAUCACAUCCUCAACUCUUUAAGGAAACCCUUAUACUAUUCCCAAGAUCCCAAAGUCGUUCCCUUACUAGCCCUUUUCUAUCCACCAUAUUGCGCACAAGUUCACGUAUGAACUUGAGUGGAGAGCCAUGUCCUCUCGACAUGCUCUUCCUCAAGGAUAGGUCCAUACCUAGGACCUUCCAAUUCUAAUACAAGUGGUGAUAUACUUAGCCACCAAUAAGAGUCGGACUAAGGAACAGCUUCAAUACCAAAUUGUCAGCGACUAAUUUUUCCAUUUUACUUUAGUCAUUUAACCACACCUCUGACCACUUGGAGGAGUCUCAUUCACAACCUCCAUAAGUCCCAUUCAGGACUUGGGGCUUGCUGUUGGGGGAAGGAGGGGCACCUCCCCCAACGCUCUCUCAAACAUGAGAAAUGCUUCACUGCUCUUUGCAAAAAUGCCCCCCCCCCCCCCCCCCCCCUUGCCCUUGUGAGGCAAGGGUUUUAUACAAGGAAGAUGGGGAAUAUUCAGAGGACUAGAAUAUUCCCUCUCUCUCUCUCUCACUCUCUCGGUGGCCACACCCUAACAUGCGACCACAGUGGAUCGCGCUGGCUCUAGACGCGUGAGAACCCUCCGAAGAGUGUAGAGUGUACCUCUACUACUGAUGCCAAGUGCUGGUAGCUGUGUGAAAUAGUAGAAACUCUAGAAAGCAAAGUGGAAAAGAAAGAAAAGAGGUAGGUGUGAAGUUUGGAGACAGGGAGGAAAACCUGAUGGGAAACCCUGUAGUCAAGCUGGACCCUGAAGGUGAAGAAAAGUGUAGAAAAAGUGUGAAAAGUGGAGGAAAAUAGAGGAAAAAAAAGUGUAAGUACCCAAAGAACUUAACCCGUACCUGGAUUUCAGCUCAAGAAAGUGUAAUAUGCAAAUGCAGCCUCUUGAUGACUUUUGGUAUGCUCCAAGGAUUGGCCGACUUUGAGAAAGAAAGAGAGGUAGAAGAGGGGAUGCGUUGCCCAAGGGUGGUAAGUGUGGAAAUGAUGAAAGAUGGAGUAAUAUGGUGGAGUGCCGAGAUGGUGGUGGCACUCUGAAGUGGUAGCCAUUGAUAACCGUUGGCCCGUAGAGUAAGUGCUGACCACUCGGAGUAGUCGGUAACCGGUAACCAGUAACUAGUAACCAGUAACUGGGGACUUGUAACCUGUAAUCGGUGACCCCUACUCUCGCUCCUACCUGGGCGCCAGCUCUAGCACCAAUAUGGUGGAGUGAUAUGGUGGAGCGCCGAGAUGGUGGUCAGUCUAAUGUGUCGGACUAAAGAAGACAGUAGCUGAAAAGGACGGCGUAGUCGCUGAGUUGCCGGUAAAGGGAGGUGGCACGUGUCCACUAAGUGCUGGAGCAGAAGAAAGUGGCUUCGGCCUCUGUGGCCUCGCCUAAAGAUCCACCUAGGUGCCUUGAGUGAACAGGUUCACCUGGUUGGAAGAAAGUCGCUCCAAAAAAGCUAGUGCAUUGUUGGCAAAUGGUUGUACGAAUAUCUCAGAAAUGGCACGUCCAAAUGAGGUGGUGUCAUUUGCUGCUGGUGCACGUAUGUGUGUCCGCGGUAUGAUGUAAAUGUGACCUCAAACGGAGAUGUGAAUGAUGGUGAAAGAAUGAAAGAUGCAAGACGAGCAUCUAGAGAUAAGUGCGAGCAACGCUGCUGGAAGUGAUUGGUGAUGGAACUGUGAAUGUAGAUGAUAUGGAAUGAGUGUGGGAAAUGUGCGGGGUAUAGUAAUGAUAAAGGAAGGGCCAAAGAACCUGGAACAUAGACCGAGCCAAGCGAGGAACCUCCAUACAAACAACAAUGCAGCCUGAGCAUGAAAUCCAAGGCAUGGGCCAUAGUCCAAUGGAGAAACACCCGCUAAAAGUAAGAAAAGUAGCCAUGAAAGUAAAGUGAAAGAAAGGAAGAAAAAGAAAAAGAAAAAGAAAAGAAAAGGAAUGCCUCACUAGAUGAAGCGUUUGAGAUAAGAGUGGUUGUGAGCAUGUGGGAGCUCACGUCCAUCAGUAUCGACUAGCACAUAUGCUCCACCUCCAAUGUGUCGCUGGACAAAGUAGGGGCCAGUCCAGCAAGGGGAGAACUUCGAAAGUGGCGUAAACUCUUUGAGUAGAACGAGAUCACCAUCCUCGAAUGGUUCGGCAAACUGCUAGUGAUCGAUGACUGACUUGAUCUUCUACUUGCCUCGAAAGAGAUGUUCAGUCGUGAAUCGUCGCUGUUCCUCCAAGGCAAGAACCUCCAAGUCGCAUGAAGCUUGUCCUCAUUGCUAAGCUGCAUCACUACUGCGUAUCAAAGUGAAAGUGAGAGUGAUGGCACUUGGAUCUCCACUGGAAGCAUGGCCUCUGUCCCAUAGACAAGGGAGAAUGGGGUUGCAGAGAUGGAUGUUUUGAAGGACGUCCGAAAGGCCCACAACGUUGUAACCAAGUGCUCGUGCCAACGCCUUGGGUGAUCCUCCACAAGCUUUGAGAUGACUGUCUUCAAUAUCUUGUUACUGGACUCUGCCUGACCAUUGCACUCAGGAUAAUAGCUGCUACUCUUCACGUGCUUGAUCUGCAGCUACUGGAGAAGAUGCAUCACACACUUCCGCGGCAUAUGAAAAGUUGGCUGGAACUCUUGGAUGGUCACAAUCCAAGAUAAAGUAUGAGGACUGUGAACCAAUCGCUGUAAAAGAAAGGUUAGCACAGUAAAACAGACAAGGGAAUGGAUACGGGCUCCAGCAAGAAAGUGACGAAAUCGUUCUGGUGGUUGGAAUAUCGGGUGCUCUAUGGUAGGAAGUUCUGAACUCCAAGAGCUAUAACUCGUAUGCAGCACGUUCGAUUGGCUUGAUUCUUUCUGCCAGUUGUGGGUCUGGAUGUCAUCCUUCGUCUCCAAAAAACAGCAUGACAAAAUACGCUUGGAGUCGUCAGCUACCGCAAUUUCAGUAGGAAGAUGCUGGCUGUGCGAUACCUUAGAUAGUUGUUGAGGAGAAUGGAGUUUAGUUCUGUCCUGUGAAAGAUGGGUCUGGUCUGGAGUGAUUGUGUCAUCUAGCUCCAUAAGAGAAAGUCGGUCCCAUGCAAGAAACGAGUCGAGAAGCCCUUCCUCUAUCAAGAAACACUCCGGAAAGCUAGAUGUAGCAGCCCGUACUCUAUAAGCCCCACCAUCAAAUAAAGAGGGCAUGGCUAAAGGCUCGGCCUUACUCUCAAAUAAAGAGAGUGAAGCUGAGAGAUGUCUCUGGCUACUCCAACCAUGUCAAUCGCAUUGCAUGAGAAAACAUCCGUCAUAUAGAUGGUCGACUCCACCGCCAACUCAGGAAAAACCUUUGUGAGUUCAAGAGGAAAGUGUGGUGUGGAGGCCAUCUUAGUCUGAGCUUGCUGGGUUUGCUGAGAAAGAGCUCUACCGUGGUUGUUGAGAAAGGUGGCACUGUGGGUUCCAUUGCUAAUUUCCAUCUUGCCUUUUGCACUGUCAAUGGUGCAAUGGGUUGUGACUUGCCAUGAGCAGCCGAGGAUGAUAGACUCCUUCAAAGAGGACGUUUCAAGACGUUGGUAGUCAACCACGAGGAAAUCCACCUCAGAAAUAACACCCUGCACAGAGACCUUGACACCACAGCAAAUUCCCACUAGAGGAACAGUAUGGUUGGCGAAGGUUUUGAGCACGAUGGAGGAGCUCUCAGUGAUCUGUAGCUGUGCUGAAAGGGCAGCUUCGAGAGAGAUAAUGUUGCUUCCAGAAUCGGAGUCAACCAAAGCAUCCAUCCUACAAGAGGAAGUACCAAUCUGCACUGGGACGAAGAACGAACUAGGAUCUCCUCCAUAUCUUGUCAUAUCGACAAUGUGCACCUCUUGAGGAGUCCUCUUGAGAGUGCUCUUUGGUGUUCCUGACUAUGCAAACUCCUCCAAACGCUAGCCGAAUCCCGGGACAAGACACAACAUAUCUCGAAGCGAAAAGGUGACAGGAGUGUCAACCAACUGUUGAAGAACCAGCUCCAGAACAAGAGUAGCUGUUGGUGAGAUCUCAGGAGGAGAAGAGAGAAGUGACUUGAAGUGGAGUUUACAAGCCACCCUCUGUGUCAUUGGGCCUGAUGCCAAUGGAGAUUCGCUCUCAACUGGCGCUGGGGGAUUUGUGGCAGGCUGAGCGGCUACCUUCUUCUUCACUUGGGCUUGAGUGACUGCGGUUUGCUGUUGUUGCCUAUAGAGUUCCUUGGCUACCAAAAUCGUGUUGACCGAUGAGGCUGGUGCCUUGCCUUUGCUUGACGAAGGGGCUGCCUCAAUUGCUUGUCGCUCCAACUGCUCCUGAUACGUCUCUGGACCCCGAGACGAUGUGGAAUUAUCAGCGAAAGGAUGUUGUUGGACACGUUGAGAAGAUGGAGGCCGAAGCUCUGGGUGAAGCUUGAAGCAGCACUGUGUGUUGUGCGUGUUCGUCUCGUAGUGAGUGCACCAACGGGACUUAAAUCUGUGUUCCCGAGCUGUAGCGGCCUCUUUCCUGGACUCCACCAGCUCUUGGAGCAAUUUGUCAUGGUGUGAUUGCUGUUGAAGAAUGAUCUCCUUCAGGUGCUGCAUCUCAUUGGCAAAGUUCUCAAGAGCCGGAGGUGUAUGUUCAAUAGCGACAGGCUUUGAUGUGGACAGGUGAAUAGAUGCACAAGGUGACUCUGACGGGAUGAUGGCUUGGUUGAAAUCAACUCUAGCAAUCCCCAGGUCGAUCAGAAGCUCUCUUUCCAGCUUUGUGGCAAACGAAAAUGCCUCGCGGCAAGAGCUGAAUGUCUUCUUAAGAAGUUUUCGCUGCAAGUUUCCACGGAGACCUGCUGUGAAUGAUGUGAUCCCAUGUUGCUCAUCUUGGACCACUCUGCGAUCCCAACACUGCUUCCAGUAAGCUCGAAACCGUGUGGUGUAGUCAAGAACAGACUCAUGAGCACCCUGCCGGAAUGAAAAGAGGUCGACAAGUAGCCGAUUUGUGGGUUUUUCCUCAACGAAGCAUUCUCUGAAAGAAACAAGUAGUGUCUGGAAGUCUGUCCAGUCCUCUGGGAGGAGAGAAUCUGCCCAAGUUGCUGCUUUGCCUUCAAGAGACUGCAAGAAGUCGCGGCACAUACGAUCAUCAUCGACGAUCAUAUUUGUGGUGCAGUAGUAAUCAAAGCGACUGAUAUGCGAUGUUGGAGAGACUGUUCCAACACCUGAGAAGGUCGGCAAAUCACUUCCCUUCUGAAAAACAUGGAGCUGAGGUCGAGCUAAAGGUGGUUGCGCCAUAGCUCGUAGAUCGAAGUCACUAGAAUCUGCCGAGGAUGAAGAAGACUUGGCCCGGGAAGGUGCAGUGUCGUACCUAAGCUGCCUUUGGAUGUUAGAAAGUUUACUCCAUACCUUAGGGCCUUGAGGUAUGGUAAAAGGGCGCCAAUUUGUCGUAUGUCUAGUUUGUACCGGCAUCAAAUACCCUGAACACUGCAAAUGCCCGGUCAAGGCAACUGAGUUGACAGGAGCAAGAAGACUGUAGGCUAGUGCUCAAGUUGCUCAAAAUGCUUGUGACGAAGAGAAAUAAGGGUCAAAAUGGAAGGAGAUGUAGGCCUCAAACACAUGUAACCUUUGACCCGUAGGGUAACUGCUGGAGUAGCCAUUGGAGUAGCCGUUGGAGCAGCCGCUAGCUUGUAACUGGGGUAGCCGCUGGAGCAACCACUGGAGUAGCCGCUGGAGCAGCCGGUAGCCAGUAACUGGGGUAGCUGUUGUAGCAGCCACUGGUAACCAGUAAUUGGGGACCUAUGACCUGUAACCAGUAACCACUGCUCUCACUCCUACCCCUGCGCUUGCUCCAACACCAACUCCUAUCCCUGUGCUUAUUCCUACUAUCCCUGUUCCUAUACCAACUCUUGUUCCUGCUCCUCCUGUUCCUAUUCCUACAGUUACCUGUUCCUUGAAGAUUGCUUCGUUCCUAAGGAACCCCUAACAAAGUUUAACCCAAAAGAGAAAAAUGAGUCCUCUAGUCUCGAUCCUUCUCCAUUUUGACUGUUGGUGGGCUCCUUGGAAAGGGCUCAGCCCCAUCUACCCUCUAUUGUAGGAAUGUGGAAAGAAGCCACCUCAAUAUUCCCUGAAAUCCACAAAGAGGUAGCCCAAAACGCCAACAUUGUGGAAAAACAUGUGCAUGUCCGUGAUGUAGAUUGAUACUGAGGCACUGUUGGUAUUUCUGGAAAGCCUAGGACCAGGAGCACCUCUAGAAACAAACGGCAUCCAAAACAAAGCCCGAAGGAGCACGAAUUCCUACCACAAAGAUGACCCAAUCUAGCCGAAGAAGAAAAUCCUUUUGCAUGCCACCAAUUUGCCCAAAUCUAGUGUUAAGAAUCACCACUACUCAUGGAUCUAGGCCAAAUCUACAAGCCCAAAUGCACUACCUUGAGAAAUUGGACCGAGGAUCCAGGCAAGAAAGUGAAAACCCCAAAAUGUUCAUCCGACCGAACCAAGAAACGUUGUAUCUCUUCAAAUACUGCACGGCUUGAUGAGCGCCAUAACUUUCUGGAAAGAGGAGCUCUAGAUCUAUCCAACACGCCCAAGAUCAAAGAAAACCACCGCAAGACGAACAAGGAAUUCCUUCCCAAAGUCUGUGGCCAAAAGAAAAGAGAGAAAUGACACUUCAAAAAGUAUUGUGUGUCAUGCUGGGUUCACUAUUUAUUGGGGGAAGGAGGGGCACCUCCCCCAAUGCUCGCUCAAACACGAGAAAUGCUUCACCGCUCUUUGCAAAAAUGCCCCCCCUCCCCCCUUGCCCUUGUGAGGCAAGGGUUUUAUACAAGGAAGAUGAGGAAUAUUCUAAGGACUAGAAUAUUCCCUCUCUCUCUCUCACUCUCUCGGUGGCCACGCCCUAAUAUUGCUAGCCUCGAGAAUGGCAUCCAUGCCACUCCACCUUUGCACUUGGUCCAAGUGCUUCACGUGUCCAACCCUAUGACCGACACCCAAGGUACCACCAACCUCUCAGCCUGUUACGCUAAGGCCAUGCCCAUUUACCUUAGUCACACUGGUGGUCCGACACCAUCUACAUCACAGUCUUGUCUCUUAAAGACUAGGCCAUCCAUCCAUGAGUGAUCAUCCCAAAUCCACUCCUUAGCAUCCUUAGGAUGCCCAUAGACAUGGGGAAUAGCCUUCCCCAAUAUCUUUUUUCCAAUCCCCACCAAAUCCCUUUCUAUCCAUGGCUGUGUUCACCAACACUGCCACUAGAUCAAGGCCCUCAAGCCCGACCUCUAAAUCCCACUGUCUUUUGAGACUUCCUCACCAUGUGACCAUAUCCUUGGUCACUACACUAGAGGAUUGCUCCUCUUCCUUUUCACCUUCAGGGACAACAUUUCGGAACACCGUGGCCUUACGUGAGCCUCAUGGGUACUUUCCCCACCUUCUACCUUUUGGUGCUCUAGCCAUGGGCUUACAGUGGGCCACGCUAAGUAUCCAAGUAGGUAGUGCCACCCACACUUGGAUCGGGAGCAUCGGCUACUCGAUCUCCUGGGGGAACUAGAGUCGGCGCUUGAACACUUUACCAAGUUACCCCGCUUGUCGGUCCGUGUUCACUCUAGUCUUGGACUUCCUAGUGGGUGGGUAUAGCCUUCUUGGGCUAAACUGGCCUUUCCUGGCCAAACUAGCUCCACUGAUGGGCAUUGGAAAAGAGGUAUUGGGGAAGGUUAUUCCCUAUGUCUAUGGGCAUCCUAAGGAUGCUAAGGAGUGGAUCUGGGAUGAUCACUCAUGGAUGGAUGGCCUAGUCUUUGAAAGACAGGACUGCAAUGCAGGUGGUGUCGAACCACUAGUGUGACCAAGGUAAAUGGGCAUGGCCUUAGCGUAACGGGCUGAGAGGUUAGUCGUACCUUGGGGUGUCGGUCAUGGGAUUGGACAUGUGGAGCACUUGGACCAAGUGCAAAGGUGGAGUGGCAUGGAUACCAUUUUCGGGGCUAACAAGCCCUAGGUCCUGAAUAGGACUUAUGGAGGUUGUGAAUGAGACUCCUUCAAGUGGUUGGAGGUGUGGUUAAGUGACUAAAGUAGAAUGGAAAAAUUUAGUCGCUUACAUCUAGUGCUUGGGUUUAAGUCCCAACUCACUAGAGCGUAGUGAUAGUUUGGAAUAUAAAGACAUUCAAUUUUUGGUAGUCAUGAACUCUCAAUGAGAUUGGCUUGGGCACACUUCCAAGUAGGGGAUGCCCUGGAGUUGUGAUACACUAUUAGAUUGCUUUAUUUAACAUAAACACUUUAAUGCAAGUGGAAUGAGUGAACAUGGACUAGAGUGACUAGGUUCACUUUAGUCUUAAGUGACUAAGUUCACUCUAGUCUUAAGUGACUAGGUUCAAGACCGUAAGCAAGUAGAAUGGAAAAAUUAGUCGCUUACAGAGGAUUAGCACCAAGAGUAGGAGGAGGUGUACCAUGUGCCAUGAACGCCGCCAUCAACUGAGUUUGGUUGUUCAAUUGCAAGUGCAUAGCAUCAAGCAAUUGUACCAAGUGCUACUCCAGAGUCAAAGGAGGGGAUUGUUAAUUUGCCAUGAAGAUGAAUGAAAAAAAAAAAGCAAAAGAAAUAACAAAAAGCUAGAAGGAAAUGGUAGAUUAGAUCUAAACCAAAAUCCUAAAAGAAAAGAAAAAAAUGAAGGAAAUGAAAAAAGCUAGAUCUAGACGAUACAAAAGUUAGAUCUAAACUAAAAUCCUAAAUCCAAGCACUCCUUAGGGACAAUCAAAAGUGCCCCUCACCUCCACCAAUGUGAGUGCUCAGAAUAUGAAAAGGGAAUAUAGAAAAUAUACAUAUUAAUUAGCUCAAAAACCUUAUGUUAUAUAUAGGAGCAAGUGGUCCGGAUUAAAACCAAUCCCACAGCUACCAAAAUCCCACUAUUUCAAAUAUUAAUAAAUGGUAAAAUUAAAUACAAACUUUGCUUCAUUGGAUUGCCCAUACUAAGUAUAUGCCAAAACCAUGAUUCCCCAUGAGAAAAUGUAGGAGUUCUAAAUCCCAAGCUUUCCAAGCUCCCGCAUUUAGCAUAAAAAUCCAUAGCCAAAAACUGAUCAGAGCAUGAAGUCUUUUUGCUUCCUUGACCCUGCUACAACUGCUCAGGAGCAGUGAGAAGUGCUUCAUCUGCUUAAGAGAAAUCCAUUCAUUUUGAAUUUUAUUAAAAUUUUGAAAUGAAUGAAAUGUUGAAUAAAGUGCUCUUGCAAUCUUUAAGAUGAUAUAUACAAGACCCUAAAUCAUGCAGAAGUAAGAAUCAUUACAGUCACCAGAGCCAAAGGCCAACAACAAGUCUACCAACUCUUUAGGAGGCAAUUUGCAUUUUGAGGUUCAUGCCCUCGUAAUCAGCUUGUUCUCCCUCAGCGAACAAUGAAUGUGUGGAUGCUUGAAAGAGUGCUCAUGAAAGAUAAAAGAAAAAAUGACGAUUCAUUAUAGUAGCUGCCACCUUUCUGGAUAUUCGUUAUCCAUGAAGAAAUAAGGUCUCCAAAAUAGAAAAUGAAUCUGCAACAGGAUUGAAAAUCCUCCGCCAUUUUGCCAGCCAUAGAAUCACAUAGAUCAGGUUUAAGGAAUGUUCAAAUCAUGAUCAAAUGCUCAAUGAAAUUGCAGCAGGAGGACAAUCCGCUUUCAUGGGUGGGGACACGUUUGAUCAAGCAAGAGUACUUGCUGAGGCUGUUGAUCUGCUCUUGCCUAGAUUGUUCAUUGAUUGCAAUAGUAGUAGAGCGAUGAUGAGCUUCCAUGUCAAAACCCCUGCCUUGAAAUGAAAAUCGGAAAAAUAUGGAAGAAAACCCUAGCUCCCUAGCUCCUAGCUGUUGCCAGCUUGAGGGAAUUUCAGUGCUGCAUUUCGUUUUAGAGAAAGCUUAUUUGCCAAAUUUCGGGUUCAUGUGGUGACUUAAAGCAACACGGAGCAAGAAGGAGCGGCUAAUGGACCAUCAGAUUUGAGCUCAAUCGCUCACACAUCAUUCUUGCCCGUGAAUUGCCUUUCUCGUUCAAGCUUGCCCUUUCAAUUUGAAGAUCUGCAACUCAAGAAUCCUCCUUGCGACCUCCCAAUGUGUUCAUCAGGCCGCAGUAUGCAACACAAUUGCCUCAGGGAAUAGUUCCUACAGGCAAUAGUUCCUCCUCCACAGACGGAUGAGGAACUCAGCAAAACAUCUGGCUUGACCAAGGUCACAGGAUUUGAAAUCAACAGUGGUCGAGAUGAAAUCCGGAUUAAAGAGCGAUAUGGUAAAGCAAAGCAAGCAGAAGCAGAGUCUGUGUCUGUUGAUCUUCAGUCUCCAAGGAACCGGAGAGGUAGAAUGCAAACUCGGCCGUGUGGCUUUGAGAUUCCCUUGUUGAGCUCGGGAAGAAGUCAAACAAAGCUGGAAAGCAGGACUCUGAUGAAUCAAAACCUGGAAGCUCAAAACCGAAGCAGACAUGCAAGGGACGAGACACCAAAGCUCAAAGACUUGUGAACCAGCUUAAGGUGGAAAGUGACAAACAGAGUUUAAAGAGCAAGAUGGUUCGGGGGGGGGGGGGGGGGGGGGGCGCACCGCCCACAUAACACACAUAAGGUAAAAGUAACACAUAACUUAUGUAUGUGGAGGAACCAAUGCACCAACCACAUAAUUAAGAAUUAUGUAUGUGGUAAGGGGGACACACCGGCCACAUAACAUACAUAAAAACUAUAUGGUUUUUUUAUGUAUGUAGUGUGAGGACGUACCAAAACAACAUAAGUUUUAUGUAUGUGAAGUAUGGGACGUACCAACCACGUAAUUAAAUAUCAAAUUUUUUAAAUUUAAAAAUUAAUCUACAACAAAUACACACGUCUAAUUUUGAUUUAAACCAUAGAGUCAAAGUUCUCCUCAAGAGUUGGUUCUGGAUCACGGUAGUCAACAUGCGUACGCUUUGCCUUUCAUUGUGCAAUUUCUUGCUCUAGCUCCCGUAGUUCACCUUCCAGAUCUGCAUCCUUGACAUCAAUGAGCAGAUUGUGCAAGAUACAAUAGCACUUUCAAACAUUUGGCAAGUCAUCCAAAUGCAUCCUUUGCUUUUGAUCCAAACACUUGAACUUCUGCUUCAGCAACCCAAACAUCUGUUCCACGAUGACUCGUGCCUUAUGAUGUUACUUGUUGAACUCGGCUUGCAAAACAUUCAAGCAUGAAUCUGAAAGUAAGUACAAUGUUAAUGGGUGAAGACAUAUUUGAAUCAAGAAAUCAAAUACCUGUAUAAAAGCCCUAACUAAACACAAAAGCCAUAACCACAUUUCCCUCCCAAUUCCCUCCAUUUUUCAUAAACUGUCAUUUCUCCUCGUAAACUGUGUUAUGUGAAAACACAUAAGUUAAGGGCAAUAGCUGUGCACAACUUCUCUAAAAGACAUCUAUUUAAUUGUAGUAUGAUGACGUGGCAAGAGUCCUACUAUGUCAGACCUGUUCAGCUAGCUAGGCAGAAUUAGCAUGGAAGAUACUACCCUGGUAGUACUAGAGAUUAUAAGUAUAGCUCCUGCUGAUGUGUCAACCACUCACUCCCAGAAAAAAAUAUGGGAGCCCAUACCAGAUGGCCAAAAACCCCGGGGGGGGGGGGGGGGGGGGGGGGGGGGAGUUUCAUUUUUUUAAAAGGGGUUUCAAAGGGGUUUAAGGGGGGAACCUUUUUUUUAAAAAGGAGGAGGAAGACCAAUUCCUCUGAAAAUCAGAGGAGGGGGAAUUCUCCUCCUUGAGAGAGACUAAGGGAAUGGAGAGUGGGAAAUGGGAGUUAACCGAGGGUGAUGCCUGGGAUUCCUGCUCGUACUCUCCUUGCCCAUAGGAGCAAUAGACACAAGGCCAGGCAAGUUAGUGGAGAUGACUGGCCGGAAUAGAAGCAAAAGACAAGAAGCCAAGCAAUCCACAAGAGCGGCUCUGGCAGGCAAAUACUUGGGUGCCUGACAAGCAACCAAGGAGUCGGUGUGGCUGGUGGCAAGGCCACACCGUGAAUCUUGGCAAGCUGUGUGGGAACACUUGGAUGCCUGGAGAUGGCUCUAGCCAUCAAUCAGGGAAACAUCCGGGCAAUCAAACACGCUGAGGCUGAAGGCCCGAUACGGACUUUGUCGAGUAAGGUUCCCACUUCGAACUCGCUCGGUGGGGAGUUAGCUCUGGCUACUCAUGGUUGGGAGGCACUGGGUCUUGAAGCCUCGGGUGGGGUGAUUCCUCUGAGGUAGGUGGGUGAUUCCACCAAGGGCCAGUGCUGCAAUUAAUACCGAGGUCAUAAGGUGGAUCGUCCAAGGCUCAAUUGUUAAGAAGUGCAUAUCUUCGGCGGUCCCAAAGAUGGCACCCAUGGGGGUGGCUCCCCGGGACUUAGCCUCGAGAUGGCUCGGGUGGGUCUGAGUACAGGGACCUGACUUAGUGAACUGUCGAGAGAUGGCCUUGGGAGUCACCAGGGCUGAAAUGACCGGACUUAGUGGCUGGUUAUUACACAUGGUAUCAGAGAGACAAUUACGGGCAAGAUGCAAAUUCUGUGGGGAAAAUUUAUUUUUUCAAAAUGGAGGUUGUGUCAAGACUGAAAUUAAAAGACUUGUGCCUCGAGGUUUGUAUUGACAGUAGGUUACACUUGUGGGACAAGGUGCCCCCACAAGCGGCUGGCUGGUUUAGGGGUCGUCCCUUGCUUGCAUUGUUACAUGUUUGGGAUUGAGCCUAUGAAAAACCGGCACCUUAUGCAUGUCUAGAGCCAAAAUGAAGUUUCUUGAUUUUUCUUGAAAUUUCUGAACACUUCUAACUAUCCUUGCUCCUUGCUCCUAGGAAUAGCAAGCAAGGAGGAAGUAGAAGUUAACCACUAUGUGAAGAAAAAGGAAAUAGUUAAGAAUUGAAGAACUCAUUAACAGGAGGAGAUGAUCAGAGAAGCCAUGGUGGGACUGGAGCAGUGAAUGGAGGCCCGGUUUAACCAGUUCAUAACGGAGCUCCAACUUGGAAACAAGGAGAAGUCUUUGAGUAACUCCGAAGGCAACUCCCAGGCCCCAGUAAUGACAUGGCGUCUGGGGACACUCGAGAGACAUGCCCAGCCUCGAGUUUGACAACAAGUUGGAGGUGCCCACCGAAAGGACAGAGGCAUCUGCACCCGGAAACCUUCGAGUGAUACAUUUGUGAGCAUUGUGUUUGUCGGUUAAUGAUACUUUGUGUUCUUUGAGUUAUCUUUGGUAAGUUAUUUGGCAUACUGUUUACGAUUUUUAGUAGUUAAGUUUUCUCAUUAAGUUUACUUGAUGAUAUACUUGCUAUUGAAUUUUAUUGGAUGGUGCAUCCUAUGUUUUCCAAUAAUAGGGAUCUUGGUGGUUCUAUACUAUAAUACUAGUUUAUCGAAUGAUAACUUACUUAGAAUACUUUUGUGUUCUAAUCUAAAAUAUAUUGAUAAUUAAAGUCUCCAAGAUAUCCUUGUCUAUGACUUUGAUAUUGUCCAUCUAUUGAUAUUGUGUUUGGGCCAAUAUAGGCAGACUAGCUUUGGCACUUCAUGUGCAUGGUGAAAUCUUUAUUCAUGGGGUAGCUACUGUUGACUGGUCACAUAACCUGCCUCUUUGUCGAUGUUCCUUAUUCCAUUGAAAGGGCGUGACCACAUAAACAACUCUAACUACCUAUUUAUAAUAGUCUAUCAAAAUCUUACCGACGGGUUUGGUUUCUUUACUCAUGAGGGUUGGGGCCUUUAGCUUCUCUCUCUAUAUCCCUGUGGGCAGGGGCGUAUCACACUUUUGUAAGUUGGGUGACACCCAGAGCAACAAGGGUGGCUAACUCCAUUAGUCAUUUCCUUGUUGGCGACGGCCAGAAGGUGUCUGAGUUGGUAACACAUCCGCGUUAGACAAAGAGGUUGCCUCCUAACUCAUUUAAGUUGAUGCAUUUCUCACAUAGUGUGAUCACCGUGAACUUUUUCUAGAGUUGUUUCCUUGGCGGUGGUCUAGACUUGAGUAUGCAUCGACGAGGAUGUCGAUCUUCCCUAGGGGGGGAGAGUGUUGCGAAUGUGACUUCAGGUAUCGAAAGUUACCUGUCAGCUAGUCCUUUUAGAUAUUCUUUCCUUACUGCCACGAUGGUAAGAGGUCGGUAUUGCUGGGCCCGUUAUCAGUUUCCACUUGAGCUAGUUGAGAAACUAGUCAAUAACCGUGCACUUAAAUUGGAUAAACAUAAGGUAGGAACCCUAUGUGUUUCUUGCUGAGCAUACUCGGCUUGGUUUAAGAAACUCUUAUCAUUGGCUUCCACUUGCUAGUAUCAAGAACCCCUAUGAUAUUGAGAUUGGUCCCUCAAUAUUCACUAGAUGAUAGUUUAUUGUGUUUGCUAAACACCCUCGCUAUUAUACCCUUUGUGUUAGUCUCAUUUUGGUCCCAAAUGCUAUUUAUGAAAAGUGUCUAGAUUCGCUCAUUUGACAUAUCUGUGGAAUGUAGAGAUUGGCUUGAACACAAUGGUGUUCAUCUCGUGUCCAAAUUCGUAAUCUAAGGACAUUCCAUAUUUAGUAAGUUUCGAGCUUGUCCAAGAGACUAACUCCUGGUACUAAAGAAGGCUUGGGUGAAAGCCUAAAGUGUGUGUUCCUCAAGGGAAGGGGGCGGGGGGGCGGGGGGAGGGAGGGGCUGUGGGAGGUUCCAAAUGUAUAGUAGGGAUAGUGGGUAGGUCGGGUAUGGCUGACUAACUUGAAGCAUAGUCUGGCUCCCGCUUGCGUGUCUGUCCUUGUUCUGCGUCCAACUUGGGUCUAAGCCCAAGUUCCAUUCCAUGCUAGCUGAUGGAGUACCCAUGUCCUUGCGUUAGGCCACCGGUAUGCCAAAAUAAUGCUAGACUCCGUUUGGCUCCGUUUUGCGUGCUGGUCCUAGCAUUGGGAUGCUGGUUACUCUAGGACUGUUCCAAGUUGCUCUAGCUCUUGUCUUUUCGCUCCUUGGGCUAUAUGCUCAGGAGUUGCUCUAUGGUCCAAUUUCAUUACUCCUUGGCUCCAUGCUUGGGAGUUUGGCACCGUUCCUUCGUUUAGUGGCUCAAGGCUUUGAACUUUGAGUUCCACACCACUGUCCUAUGGAUAUGUGGCAUAUGACAUGUGGCAUAUAACACAUGGCAUAUGGAGGGUUUAGGUUCCGCUUCGUGGUGUUAUCCUAUGGUAAAUGCCAUAGGAUUAAAGGUUAAACCACGUGGCACAAGUUUGUUGGCUGGAACAUCAGAUAUCUACAUGUUCUGAUGUUACUUGAAGUGAUAUUUCAGUACUUCAUAUGAAGNNNNNNNNNNNNNNNNNNNNNNNNNNNNNNNNNNNNNNNNNNNNNNNNNNNNNNNNNNNNNNNNNNNNNNNNNNNNNNNNNNNNNNNNNNNNNNNNNNNNUGUCUCGAUAGGAGAUACCCCACACUCUCGCGAGUGUGUAUCUUCCACACACUCAACAGUUUGGUGGAACGGCUCAUUUGGACAUUCAAAGGGAUGAUUACGAAGUAUGUGAACUUUCAGCAUUCAGAUUGGGAUAGUUAUUUGCCGUCUCUUCGGUAUGCAUAUGUCACAGGGGUGUAGAGUAAUAUUGGUGCUUCACCAUAUAAACUCUUAUAUGAUCAUGAUCCAAUAUUACCAACAGAUCUGGGUUUACCUUUGUGAUUGCCACGUCUAUAUUCCAAACACUCAUACACACACACACACACACACACAGAUAUAUAUAUAUAUAUAUAUAUAUAUAUAUAUAUAUAUAUAUAUAUAUAUAUAUAUAUAUAUAUAUAUAUAUAGAUACAUACAUACAUACAUACAUACAUAUAUACAUACACAUUAUAUGUAUAUACACACACACACAUAUAUACUGCAUUUUCUUCUCUCUUACAUUUUCAGAUUUACAUCACACCCACAGAAUCAAACCUCAUUAAACUUUAUGCUUAGGCUAAGCUAACAUCAUCCAAGAAAGCCACAUAAAUUCACACCACUUUACUUUUGUCCAACUAAACUAUUUGCCAUGAACAAGUUCAUUUCAUAGUCAGCCUUUUCAAUCACUCUUUUUGGGGCUUGUAGCUUCAUUUAUAAUAUACACCAUGCCAAGAUACCAAGCCACAAGAAGCAAAGUGUUGAGCCCAGCAUAAUCAAGUCCUACAUCCCUGGGGGUUUUUCUCCUUCACUCCUCACUACACCCCCAGCUACACUUUGACUCACUACUAGCCAUUCACAAGGAAGAAAAUACUAGCCUACUAUAGCACCAACUAAAGUUUUCUCUCACACACAGUGUGUUCAAAUAGAAAAGUAAGCAGCUCACUCACUAUGCCUCACACUUUUAAGAGAAUUAUAUUUUAAGGGAAUCAUGUGGAUUUUUGAGUUGAAACCACAUAUUCAUAAUUGGAAGGAAGAGCUAAAUCCAAAAGUAUAUGUCAUUUUGACUCAGUCAACGUUUUGACAGUCAUAAAAUACUCAGGAAAAAUUUAUUUGACCGUUGACUUUGUGCUGCCCUUAUGUUGACUGGGGUGGUGAAAGACCUGGUAUGUACUUGGAGUCUAUUGGUCAUAUAGGAAGACAUUGCCCCGCAAGGUGUCAGCAUAUGUGUUGCUGGCAUCAGGAGUCCAACACCAUUUUUACAAAUCAUGUGCUUUCAAGAGAAUUGUGUAUAGAUUUUUGAGUUGAAAAGCACAUAUUCAUGAUCAGAAGAAAGAGUGGAAUCCAAUGAUAAAUAUCAUUUGGACUCAGUCAACAUUUUGAUAGUCAUGAAAUAAUCAGGAAAAAUCUAUUUUCAUUGUUAACUUCACAUUCACCAUACAUUGAUUGAGAUGGUGGAAGACCUGGAGUCACUUGUACAUACUUGGAGUCCAUCAGUUGCGCAGGAUGAAGUUAUCCCAUGAAUUGUCGAGUGCGUCACUAGCAUUGGCAGUGUGACACCAUUAAUGCUGAUUUUUGAGUCAAAAACCACAUAUUCAAGAUCAGAAGAAAGACCAGAAUCCAAUAGCAUAUGCCAAUUUGACUGGUCAAUGCUCUGACAAUUAUUUUUCAAUUUUAUAGUUGACUUAUUGUUGACCACACGUUGACUGAGGUGGUGAAAGACCUGGAGUCAUUGGUACAAACCCCUAAGUCCAUCUAUUGUGUGGGAAGAUGUUGUUCCAUGGGGUGUCACUAUAUGUGUUGUUAUGUGGCAUUAUUAUUAUGAUUUGUAUGAUUUCUAAGGCAUCUUGUGUGAAUUUUUUAUUUAAAAAUCACAUACACAACUAAAAGGAGAAGUGAAAUCUAAUGGUAUAUGCCAUGUCUGACAGUCAAGAAAUAUUUAAGGAUAUUUAAUUGUUGAACGUUGACUAAGGGUUGACUUUAUGUUUACCAAAGUAAGAGGACCUGGAGUCACUGGUACAUAACUUGAGUUGAUCAACCACUAACUAAAAUCCAUUGGUCAAGCAAGAAAGUGUAGAAUUAUACAUAAAAAUUUACAAACCACAAUACAGAAGGUGGCUAAAUUUGUGAAGAGACUUUAAGCACUAAUCAAGGUUCAAGGAGCAUCUCUAGCAUGUGAUCACUUAGGGGAGCACAUCUGCAAUAAACUUCAUCUAUCACCUACCAACUUAAUUCCAUCUUCAAGUCAGGGGAAGUUGCUACAGAUCAAACAUAUUAAAACUAUGUGAGGAAAUAAGGAAUUUUAGGGUUUUUUUCAUUUAGGGCUUGUUCUUCUCUCUCUUCUUGUUUCUCACUGUGUGGCUAGAGGUGAUGAUCGAAUAAGAUAUUGUUGCAUGAUGGGAAUAAUAAAAAUUUAAAUAACACUAAGAUAAAAAUAUGGUUAACAUGGAAUGUCAAAUAAUUUGCUAUGCUAUUGCACAACAACAUUUGGUUUGCUUUAGUUUAUUAUAUUUAUUUUAUAAAUAAAUAUAGCAAUUUGAUUUAUAUUCUGUGUCUGUAAAGGUAUCCAUAGGUCUUACUUUUGAAUAAUUAAAGGACAGGUCAAAAGGAAAUCAUAAAAGUAAAUAUUUAUAAGUUAUAGUAUAAAUUUUUUUGUUUUUUACUUUCUUUUAAUUUUAAUCUCAGAAUCAGCUAUGAAAAUAUGAGAUACAGUCCUGAGGAGUAUUAUGAAACAAGCUUAAUGAAAUUUAAAAGACUCAAUCUUGGUUUUAGUCUCAGUCUUGGUUCCAUCUUGGACUCUAUCUCGGACUUCUCAAACUCCAUCUCAGGUCCAUCUCAAACUCUAUCUCGGACUCCAUCUCAGACUCUAUCUCAGACUCCAUCUCGGACUCUAUUUUGGACUCCAUCUCGGGUCCAUCUUGGACUCUAUUUUGGACUCCAUCUCGGGUCCAUCUUGGACUCUAUUUUGGACUCCAUCUCGGAUCCAUCUCGGACUCCAUCUCGGAUCUGUAAGGAACCAACUCGCCGAGGUGUCGUAGGCUAAGGGAACCCCGAAAGCAUGACCAAAAUGACAAAGAGUUCAUCGGAUGGGACCAAGUCAAAGAUCGAGUCCAAGACCGACUCUAGGACCGAGUUCGAGAUCGAGUCCGGAAUCGAGUCCGAGACCGACUCGGGGACCGAGUUCGAGUCCGAGUUCGAGACCGAGUUCGAGACGGAGUCCGAGAUCCGAAAUCGGGUCCGAGACCGAGUCCGAAGUCGAGUCCGAGGUCGGGCCCGAGAUCGGGUCCGAGAUCGAGUCCGCGAUCGAGUCCGAGACCGAAUCCGAAGUCGGAUCCGAAAUCGGAUCCAAGAUCGAGCCAGAGACUAAGUCCAAAUACUAAUACGGGUCAAGGGGUGAAAGCCCAAAGCGUGCGUCCCCCAGGGGGGGGGGGCUGCAGGGGGUUCCAAAAGUAUAGUAGGGAUAGUGAGGUCCAGGAACCAGUUUUGAAGGGACUCUCCAGUUGGGCUUCCAAACCGACUUGAGGUUGGGACUGGGACUAAGGGGCCUUGGGUGGGAGUGAGCAUGGACUUGGCUGGUGCCGGAGGGGCCAUCCAAGGAAGUGCUCAAGAGCAGCUCCCACUCCCGAAAGGGAAACCGAUUGCGGUGCUCCCGGCUCAUGUGGAGUGGUGCCCCACUUGAGUACCAUGCGGCUCAUUGGUCCUCGCCCUUCCAAGGGGCUUGGGCCUUCCUUCGGGAUGGAAGUGGGGAGCGAGAGGUACCCAUACCGGGCCGCUAGGCCACGGUGUUUCGCCCCGGCGUCCCGAAGCAAGUGUUGCACUCAAGACUUGGGAUUUAGAGGGUCCCAUGAUCAAGUCUUGUGGUACCAGAGGAUGUUAGGAACCUGGAAGCUUGGUGUGCUUGGCUGCUUGUGCUUGCGGGGAGUGUAGCCGAACCUUAAGUCCAGUCUAACCCGGGGAGGGGGAUUGGGAGUGAUUUGGGAAUCCGUGGAUGGAUGGCUAACACUCCGUUGCUCGUGCAGUGAGUAGCUGAGACCAAGUAGGAGCUGGUACCAUAGGCGAGAACCUUGGCAAGGGAACUUAGCAAAAGCCAAGGCGGUGUUGGACGGAUAGGCGAGGUAAGCUGGCAAAUUGGAAAGGAAAAAUUUGUGGCUUACAAUUUGGUAUCGGAGCCUUUUCCUCAGUUCUAGCGAAGGAUAGAGGCGGAUUGCUGGGAGAUGGCAAGGGCAGGGCGUAAGCGAACCCAGGCGGAGACGGAACCUCCGCCAGAGCUGGAGCCUCCGGUCGAACAAGAGGCUAUGGAUGAGGAAUCCUUGCAUGAGGAGGACUCCAGUGAGGAAACCUCCAAACAGGAGUCCGGUGGCGAGGUUCGGUCGUCCAAGGCUCGAUUGGACGUGCUAGAAGGACAGUUGGCACAGACCAAUGCCCUGCUGGAAACUCUCGUACGCAAGCUAAAGCGUGACGAGAGGCGGAAGAAAAAGAAAAAGACUGCGGAUGCUGGCAGCGCAGAAGGUGCGGAUCUUUCGGCCGGGACUGAGGCAAAACCAGACAAGGUCGAACAGACCGAAGUGGAAUCAGUCCCUCAGGCAGUUCCCAAGUACAAACCAAAGCCCCCACCGGUCUUCAAGGGAGUGAAUGACUAUAAGGUGGUGGAGGAUUGGUUUUACGAUAUGGAGGACUACUUCCGAGCGUUGCGGUUACCAAGCUCGGAGAAGGUCCCAUGUGCAAAACCAUACUUGGCAGAUAAUGCCAAGUCUUGGUGGAGAACAACGGAGGCCAACGAAGGACCGGUGGUCACUUGGGACAUGAUGAAGGCGAGGAUCCGCGCAACAUAUGUUCCUCCGAAUGCCACUCUGCAUCUGAGGGCUGAACUGAGUAGGCUGAAACAGACAGGAACCAUCCAGGAAUAUGUGAAUGGGUUCAUGGCAAAGAGGAUACUUGUCACGGACAUGGGGGAUAUGGAUGCGUUCCAUGCCUUCAUAUCAGGUUUGCAAACCUGGGCUCGCGGCGAAGUGAUGAGGUGGAACCCGACCAACUACAAGGAAGCGUUGGAUGCGGCCAUCAAGGUGCAUUUCAACGAUAACCUGCGAAAGGGGAACACGACGGGGUCGGGAUCCACAUUUAGCAAAGGGGCCAAACCAAGGGGAACGUAUAGCAAGGGGAAAUUCAAAAGGAGUUUCUCUAAGAAUGAGUCCUCGGGGUUCCGGAAAGGCAAAUCCGGUGGCCAGCGAGCGAGUACGUGGGGGAGUCAAGCGAAAAAGGACAAACCCACGGAUAAGAAGGUCAAGUCGUAUAGCAGCGUGGGAAACAACGUAUGCUACAACUGCGGCGAAGCGGGACACUUCUCGAGGGAAUGUCCCUACCCGAAGAAGGCCAGAGCCAAUAUGGCCAUCAAGUCGGGUGAAGUCCAAACUGAGGUAUGUGAUCCAGUCCCUAACUCAAAGUUACUCAUUACACGAGCAACUUUGGUAGAGAGUCGUUCGCGACAUCUACUAGCCCUCCGAGGGAAGCUCGGAGGUAGCUUUGUUAAGAUCCUUAUUGACACGGGUGCUUCGGAUAAUUUUGUGGCUGCAGACAUAGUCCGGCAAGCCGGACUAACGGUGCAGCGGCUAGGCGAACCAAGGACUAUAGAGUUUGUUCAAGGUAGCCAAAGCACCGAUGAGGUACUUCGACAAGCGAGAGUCGAAGUGGGGACAUGGAAAGUGGACAUGGAUUUCACCGUCUUGGACAUGGCGGGAUUUGACGUGAUCUUCGGAAUGGAUUGGUUUAAUCGGUUCGUGGUAGCCCUGCAUGGACAAGGUAGGAACCUUGUGGUAUUGGCGAAUGCCCAAGGAAGAAGAUCUAGGGUGGAGGCCCAGGAUCUAAAGGUAGGGCAAAGCAAGGCCAAAGAGUCAUGCUUAAACCUGGUGUCCACGAGAGGACAACUCACUAAAGGAACUAAGGCAGCCUUUUUGUGCUUACUCUCGGUGAAGAGUGACAAAAAGACAAGAACGGAAGAAGUACCUUUAGUGAUCCAGCAGGUGCUGGACCAAUUCCAGGAUACGAUGCCGGAGGAGCUACCGGCGGGAUUGCCCCCCGCACGACCGAUAGAACAUAAGAUUGAGCUGGUCGAGGGUGCUGAGGCGGUGGUUCGUCCACCCUAUCGAUUGAACGAAAAAGAACUCAAGGAGCUCAAGAGCCAACUAGAGGAGUUGGUGGACAAAGGGUAUGUUAGGUUGAGCAAGUCGCCGUAUGGGGCGCCGGUGCUAUUUGUGAAAAAGAAAGAUGGAUCUAUGCGCAUGUGCAUAGACUACCGGUUGCUCAACAAGUAUACCAAGAAGAACAAGUACCCUUUGCCAAGGAUCGAGGACCUGUUCGAUAGGUUGGGAAAGGCAAAAUACUUCUCGAGGAUUGACCUAAGGUCAGGAUACUACCAGAUCAGGGUAGCUGAGGAAGAUGUCGAGAAGACAACCUGUCGAACGAGGUAUGGGAGCUUUGAGUUUUUGGUGAUGCCCUUUGGGCUGUGCAAUGCGCCGGCAACGUUUUCGGCGUUGAUGAACCACAUCUUUGUACCCUAUCUGGAUCGCUUCGUGGUCGUCUAUAUUGACGACAUCCUGAUCUAUAGCGAGACGCUAGAGGAGCAUGCCGAACACUUGGCGAAGGUGUUUGAGAAACUAAGGGAACACAAACUGUAUGCUAAAGAGAGCAAAUGUGACUUUGCUCAACAAGAGGUAAAGUUUCUCGGGCAUGUGGUGGGCCAGGACGGGCUCAAGGUAGACCCGGAGAAGGUCCAAGCGAUCCAGGAAUGGGAACGACCAUCGAAUGUACAUGAGUUGAGGGCGUUCCUGGGGCUAUGCAACUACUAUCGAAAGUUUAUCAGACACUAUUCGAGAGUAGCCCUGCCCUUAACGGACCAAACAGGAAAAGGGAAGAUGGUAUGGACAGCGGAAUGCGAGGCGGCAUUCGUCCACCUCAAAGGGAAGUUGAGGAAGGCUCCGGUGUUGGCAUUACCAGACUUUGGUAAGGACUUUGAGGUAGACACGGACGCUUCGGACUUUGCGUUGGGCGCAGUUUUGAAGCAAGACAACCAUCCAGUAGCGUUCUUCUCGAAGAAACUGGACAAGGCUCAACGGAAGUGGCCUGCCCACGAGAAGGAAUUGUUUGCGGUGGUCAAGGCGCUCAAGGAGUGGCGACACUACCUUGGGAGACACUUCAAGGUUUACACGGACAAUGUGGCAACGAAACACUUCUUGUCACAGCCCGACCUAAGGGGAAAACAAGGUCGGUGGGCCAAUGCUUUGGCCGAGUUUGAUUGCGAGAUCCUGUACAAGCCUGGGAAGAGCAACAUCGUGGCAGAUGCGCUCAGUCGAAAAGCGAGCUUGAAGUUGGCGAUAUCUAGCGCGACAGCAACCUUUUGGGACGAUGUGCGGACCGCAUACGAGAGUGAUGGUCUAGCACAAGAAGUGUUGCUGAGGAAUCUGGAGGCGCGGGAAGCUCACCAGAGAGGUGAGCUGCCAACGGAAGAAAAAACGGGCUAUGCGGAACGCAACGGACUCAUUUAUUACAAGCAAACGAGGGUAUAUGUUCCAGAAGGGGGACUAAGGAAGGUAGCCUUAGAAGAGUGUCAUGACGGACCUCUUGCGGGACACGGCGGAGUGCCCAAGACAAUGGGCUUACUCAAGAGGAAGUACCAUUGGCCAGAUAUGGCUAAGGACGUCCAGGACUAUGUAAAGACAUGUCCAACAUGUCAGCAAGUCAAAGCCGUGACUAAGGCUAGUGGGGGCUUGUUGCAAAGCAUCCCAAUUCCAGAUCGUCCGUGGAAAUGUCUUACGAUGGACUUCAUCACGGGACUACCCCCAAGCGAGGGGUUCGAUGCGAUAUUCGUGGUGGUGGAUCGAUUUUCGAAGAUGGCACAUUUCAUACCCACCACAACGGAAGUGGAUGCGGAAGGUGUGGCGAAACUGUUCUUCGAACAAGUGGUUCGAGUGCGGGGAAGGCCAGAGGAGAUUAUCUCAGACCGAGAUAAGAUCUUCGCUAGUAGGUUCUGGAGGACCCUCCUGGAACAGUAUCGCACCAAGUUGAAAUUCAGCACAGCCUAUCACCCACAGACAGGUAUGGGGUAUUAAGUCAAGUUUGGUGGUCCUAACACUUCUUGACAGACGGACAAACGGAAAGGGUGAAUAGGCAGCUGGAGGAUUAUUUGCGAUGCUAUGUCUCGGGAGACCAGACCGAUUGGGUAAGUCAUUUGGGACUUGCGGAAAUGUGUUAUAACAACUCACCACAUUCGAGUAUCGGGGUGAGUCCAUGGGAAGUCAUCAAUGGGCGAGCUAUUGAAGGUCCUGUGGAACUCGGCGUGGCCGAGUAUCAUGGAGAGUUACCCGCAGUGGAGGCAUUCACGGCGGAAAGACUCAACAUUUGGAAUCUAGUGAGGGAUUCCUUGGAACGGGCUCAACAAAGGCAAACCAAGUACGCGAACCUAAAGCGCCGGGACGUAGAGUUCCAAGCUGGGGAAAAGGUGUGGCUGAACACCAAGAACCUUAGGCUACCAAGUGGGAUCAGCCGAAAGUUGACCCAAAGGUAAAAAUGCAUGUAUUCCUGUAAAUGAAUUGAUCUUGAGUUCCUUAAGCAGGUUCGCGGGGCCUUACGAGAUUGAGGCACGAAUCGGUAAAGUGGCUUACCGACUCCGACUUCCUCGAGAGAUGGGGAAGAUGCACCCAGUGUUCCAUGUGAACUUACUCAAGCCGUACUUUGAGGAUCCGCUUCGCAAAGACCAAGUAAGACCUUUACCUGAGGUUAUCCAAGGGGAAGAGGAAUACGAAGUCGAGGCCAUCCUCAAUGCGCGCAAGAGCAAGCGACAAGGACGCGAGGUGAGAGAGUUCCAUGUGAAGUGGAAAGGAUUUCCACACUGCGAAGCAACAUGGGAACCGGAGGAGAACCUAGCGAACGCGCGAGAUCUAGUGGAGGAAUUUCUGCAUGGCAGAACUCUAUGUACUUAUGCAAAGUUCAAUUAAAAAUAUCAAUUUGCAAAGUUGAGCAAGUGGCAUAUGUUGGGACCCGAAGGCGCGCCAAAGGUGAGCUAAUUAGCAUGGGUUAGCUAGGUCGACCAGGCGUAGGGAGCUACGCCCGACUCCCUGCGGGGAUGUCGAAACCGUAGACGUAUUCUACGGAGGUUGGGUUCGAGUCCCAACCCCCUAGUAAAGCAAGGCUGGGUUCAAGUCCCGACCCCAUACUAGGGCGUGGUGAGGGGUGGAGUAUAGGGACACCUAUAUUCCGUUGUCAUGAGCUCUUGGCCGGGGAGGCUAACUUAGGCACACCGCUAAGUGGGGGGAUGCCCCCGGAGACAUGGUCAACAAGUCGUAGGAUAAAAAAAGAGACGUUCGAUGUGGGCAUCGAACUUCUUCUAUGGGUGGUGGAGUUGUAAGGAACCAACUCGCCGAGGUGUCGUAGGCUAAGGGAACCCCGAAAGCAUGACCAAAAUGACAAAGAGUUCAUCGGAUGGGACCAAGUCAAAGAUCGAGUCCAAGACCGACUCUAGGACCGAGUUCGAGAUCGAGUCCGGAAUCGAGUCCGAGACCGACUCGGGGACCGAGUUCGAGUCCGAGUUCGAGACCGAGUUCGAGACGGAGUCCGAGAUCCGAAAUCGGGUCCGAGACCGAGUCCGAAGUCGAGUCCGAGGUCGGGCCCGAGAUCGGGUCCGAGAUCGAGUCCGCGAUCGAGUCCGAGACCGAAUCCGAAGUCGGAUCCGAAAUCGGAUCCAAGAUCGAGCCAGAGACUAAGUCCAAAUACUAAUACGGGUCAAGGGGUGAAAGCCCAAAGCGUGCGUCCCCCAGGGGGGGGGGGCUGCAGGGGGUUCCAAAAGUAUAGUAGGGAUAGUGAGGUCCAGGAAUCAGUUUUGAAGGGACUCUCCAGUUGGGCUUCCAAACCGACUUGAGGUUGGGACUGGGACUAAGGGGCCUUGGGUGGGAGUGAGCAUGGACUUGGCUGGUGCCGGAGGGGCCAUCCAAGGAAGUGCUCAAGAGCAGCUCCCACUCCCGAAAGGGAAACCGAUUGCGGUGCUCCCGGCUCAUGUGGAGUGGUGCCCCACUUGAGUACCAUGCGGCUCAUUGGUCCUCGCCCUGCCUAGGGGCUUGGGCCUUCCUUCGGGAUGGAAGUGGGGAGCGAGAGGUACCCAUACCGGGCCGCUAGGCCACGGUGUUUCGCCCCGGCGUCCCGAAGCAAGUGUUGCACUCAAGACUUGGGAUUUAGAGGGUCCCAUGAUCAAGUCUUGUGGUACCAAAAGAUGUUAGGAACCUGGAAGCUUGGUGUGCUUGGCUGCUUGUGCUUGCGGGGAGUGUAGCCGAACCUUAAGUCCAGUCUAACCCGGGGAGGGGGAUUGGGAGUGAUUUGGGAAUCCGUGGAUGGAUGGCUAACACUCCGUUGCUCGUGCAGUGAGUAGCUGAGACCAAGUAGGAGCUGGUACCAUAGGCGAGAACCUUGGCAAGGGAACUUAGCAAAAGCCAAGGCGGUGUUGGACGGAUAGGCGAGGUAAGCUGGCAAAUUGGAAAGGAAAAAUUUGUGGCUUACAGGAUCCAUCUCAGACUCCAUCUCGGUGUAAGCAACUAAUUUUUCCAUUCUACUUUAGUCACUUAACCUCACCUCCGACCACUUGGAGGAGUCUCAUUCACAACCUCCAUAAGUCCCAUUCCGGACUUGGGGCUUACUAGCCCUAAAAAUGGCAUCCAUGCCCAUUUACCUUGGUCACACUGGUGGUUCAACACCACUUGCAUCGCAAUCCCGUCUCUCAAAGACUAGGCCAUCCAUCUAUGAGUGAUCAUCCCAGAUCCACUCUUUAGCAUCUUUAGGAUGCCCAUAGACAUAGGGGUUAGCCUUCCCCAAUAUCUCUUUUUCCAAUCCCCACCAUGUCCCUUUCUGUCCAUGGCCACGUUCACCAACACUGCCAUUGGAUCAAGGUCCGCAGGCCCGACCUCUAAGUCCCAUUGUCCUUUGGGACUUCCUCACCAUGUGACUGUAUCCUCGGUCACUGCACUAGAGGAUUGUUCCUCUUCCUUAUCACUGUCUGGGACUUUAGGACAACAUUUUGGAACAUUGUGGCCCUACAUAGGCCUCAUGGGUACUCUCCCCGCCUUCCGCCUUUAGGUGAUUUAGCCAUGGGCUUAGAGCGAGGUUCCAUUGAGCCACACUAGGUAUCCAAGUAGGUAGUGCCACCCACACUUGGACUGGGAGCAUCGGCUAGUCAAUCUCCCGGGGGAACUAGAGCCGGCUCUUGAACACUUCACUAAGCUACCCUGCUUGUUGGUCCGUGUUCACUCUAGUCUUGGACUUCCCAGUGGGCAGCUCAUCACCCAACACUGGGUACAGCCUUCCUAGGCCAAAUUGGCCUUUCCUAGCCAAACUGGCUCCACUUUAGUCCUCCCCCUCACUAUACUUUUGGAGCUCACCAAACCCCCCAGGGUCUGGGAGACGAACACUUUGGGUUUUCACCCUUUCAGACUCGAACUCGGACUCGGACUUGGACUCGGACUUGGACUUGGACUCAGGCUCGAGCUCAGACUCGGCCUCGGCCUCGGCCUCGGUCUCGGUCCCAAUCUCGGUCUCGGUCCCGGUCUCGGUCUCGACCUUGGACUCCAUCUCGGAUCCUUCUCGGACUCCAUCUCGAAUUCCAUCUCGGGUCCAUCUCGGACUCCAUCUCGGGUCCAUCUCGGACUCCAUCUCGGGUCCAUCUCGGACUUCAUCUCGGGUCCAACUCGGACUCCAUCUCGGUCCAUCUCAGACUCCAUCUCGGGUCCAUCUCGGACUCCAUCUCGGACUCCAUCUUGGGUCCAUCUCGGACUUCAUCUCGGGUCCAACUCGGACUCCAUCUCGGUCCAUCUCGGACUCCAUCUCGGAGUCCAUCUUGGUCCAUCUCAGACUCCAUCUUGGACUCCAUCUCGGGUCCCUCUCGAGUCCAUCUCGGACUCCAUCUCAGACUCCAUCUCGGUCCAUCUCAGACUCCAUCUCGGGUCCUUCUCGGGUCCAUCUCGGACUCCUCCACGUGUCAUGUGUUGGUCCUCUUGUGUCCCUUUUCUAGAGACUCACUUAUUGCAUGCUCCGUGCUUGUUCCUUGAGCACUUCGUUGGGAGUUCCACUCCCGCUCUCGACCUUUCAAGUUGAAGCUUUUAGUCCAAAUGUGUUACACUCGUUUGGCUUUCACUUCCGCUACUACCAUGUGGCACCCUUCCGGCUCCACUUUGGGGCCUAGGGAUUUUGUGUCUCACAACUCCACCACCUAUAGACGAAGUUCGAUGUCCUCAUCAAACGAUAAACUAUUUCAUAAAGUAAUACCAACAUGUAUUACCCUUUCCAUUCAUGGCACCUCGCCAAUAUUCAUUAAUUGUUUCACACCGAAGGCUCACCAUGCCUUGUUCACCCUCUAAGGAGCAUAAUCUCUCCAACUUAAAAACUCAUUUGACCACUUGUGGUGGUUCUUUCCUUUUAUUUGUUUAGUUCUUGCUAAACCUGUUAGAGAAACCUUCUCUAACUCAAUCCCACUACUCAUUCUCAAGUAGUCUCACUUUCCAUCGAUAUAACCCUUGCACUUUGGAACUUUUAAUUCUGACUUCUUGAAAUCAAUUUCUUGGGUGUCUCCGACAUCUUGCAUUGCACAUAUUGUGCAACUCCACUUCCCCAUCCUAGGAAGUUCUCUACUUGAGGGCACUAUCAUCCUCUCUUCGAUUUCGUGCCACAUUUGGCACUAAGUUCCAGUUACCAUAAUUUGUGCUAGGGCUGUCCACGGCUCUAUCAUUUGGCUACCUUACUGCUCGCACCCUUGGAGCUUCCACUUUCGCCAAAUCGGAGCAAUUGGGAACCCAUCUUUGGAAACAUAUUGUCUUUCCCACAAUUCGUUAGCACCCAACACAUUAGUGUUCUUGGCCUAACUUUGCCAUUUAGAUUUUUUUCCAUGAUUCCCAUGGUUAUUUACUUAGCCACUAGUCUUUUGCUCCUAUCCUUGAUUGCUGCACCUAGCAACAUAAGAUCGUUACCUCCAUUCUCGAGGUAUCCUUUUGGUUCCAUAGCAAAGAUUUUGCUUUGCCAAGUUCAGAGGGUGUUCACCCUUAGUACGUCUCUUUAACAUUUUCUGCUAUGGGCUCUAUCCAGGGCCAAACUUUAUGACCCUCCCAUGGGUAUCUUAUACAAACUACUUCCUUUGGACUCACUAUGCCAUCACUUUGACACCACUCAUUUCCCUUAGGUGUUCUUCCCACUUGGUCACCUUGACCAAGCCACACCAUCCUCAUUAGUUCAAACCAACACUUUGAACUAGGAACUUUAUUCCUUAACCUCACAAGGACCUUGUCCUUGUUUUAGCCAUAAGAUCACCUAGUGAUCUAACCUUUGCACCUUAACAAAUUUGCCAAUAGGUACCAAGUCUUCUAAACCUUUAAGUUUUUCACUAUGACCCCGGGGGCAUCCCCCACAUUUGGCAGUGCACCCAAGCCAGCCCAUCCGGCCAAGGGUCCAUAGCAACUGAGACUAGGUGUCCCCAUCUCAUUCACCACGUCCUUGGUCCCCUUUGCACCAAAGUGUUCAAGUUAGAUAUGCCGAGCUUUCACACUAAGCAAUCUAACCGUGUAUCACGACUCUGGGGCAUCCCCCGCUUGGUGGUGUGCCCAAGCUAGUCUCCUUACUAAGAGUCCAUGACCAUCGAAAAAUGAGUGUCCUCAUAUUCCAAACCAUCACCUCGCUCUAGUGAGUUGGGACUCAAACCCAAGCACUAAAGGGUCAGGACUCGAACCCAACCUCCGUAUAUGCAUCUACGGAUGGCAUCACACAGGAUGUCUAGCGUGACUCUCCACGCCAAUGCACGAAUUUAUACUUAAAGCGCGCUACAAAUCACUACUUAGGAACCUAAUUCCUCCACACUGCCAAGACCUCUUACUUGACAAAUUUGUGAUCCUGCAUGGACUCCUCCAUGCUUGGCCCCAUGGGCCACCCCUUUGAAGUUGGCUCCUUCAACUAAGGUAUUCGUUCCCUCGACUUGCCAAUCUCACUUAACAAGUCAUCUGGCCACCGUAACAUGGUUCAUGCAUAAGCGUGAAAGUCCUUAACCAUUGACUUUCAUUCAAAGCUCUUUCUUUGAACACUCGGGAACUACUUCCCCAACCUCGAUAGCCUCGCCUCAUGGCAAAUUUCAAGACCACGCUUCUGAUGCGCCACUCUGAUUUUGCACGUUCUAUGAACCAUUUACACUUGGCUAACUAGGUACUUAUUUACCUAGGGGAAUGUUCAAAUAACUCUGUUCCUUAGCUUGCUAAGGUCUCUCCUUUCGCAACCUUUUCAAUUACUAUAUAGUCCUACAUGGACAAUCUUAUGCUUUAGACUUUCCAUGGCAUCCUGGUCGUUAGUAACAACAUGCUUAAGGACCCACUUGAUUCUCCACUCCCAACUUGUAUAACCACCCUUGGUCAUGUCUGUCAAUUCCUAUAAUUCGGUUUUAUCCUUUUACUACUUGCCUUUUGGCUUCAUACAUUUCUUUUGGUUAUUCUUCUCCAGACUAGGAAGAUAGCUUUACACUUUCUACCAUGCCUUAGCAAGUAUUCAUAGGGAUGAACUUACCCGACAGCCUAGGGAGUGGUUCCUCGAUUUGAUUUUUCUCACCUUGUAAUCUCACACACUGGAAUUAUCGUUGCUACUUUUGGGCCUUCAUAUGCCCAUCACUAGCCUCGCCAAAAUCCCCUUUUUGGCUUUAUCCAAUUUGGGUAGACGGACUUUUCCCGUCUCCGUAACCUUGGACAUUUGGAUAGCACCUUCUAUCUAUCAUUCACUAACGACUUUGUCCUUUGGGCAUUAUCCAUUGCCUUCAUGACACCAAACACUACCUUCUGGUGUUCUAGAGUGUUUGGGUGUCCCAAUGAUGGCCUCUCUGACAAUGAACAAUCCCCUUUCGACAUUGACUUACUAUAUCGUAACAUAAGCAAUUUAUCCCCCAUAAGGGUAUAUCUAACUUCUUUAUCCCAAUAAGAAGUCUUAGGUAGUUGCCUUCUACCAGUUUAACGAAUUAUUUUGCACCUUUUGCUUAGUUGCCUCAUAGUUGUCAAGUCCUACAACUCAUUGCUAGUGCUUCCACACCUCCAUCAUUAUCUGGGUCACCGCACUCUAACCGCAUGUCUUCUAGUUUAGGCUAUGCCAUUCCCAUUUCCAUUAGGAUUCCUUUGGAAGGGAUUCUCAUAAACCUGCUAACUUGACCUCAAGGUAGCACGCCUUGGCACCAUUGGUAUCUCCACACCAUCAGCUCCACGAGCCUACCUUUAUGACAUUUCUUACUUGUGUCUAGGUCUUUUUGCCAUGACCAAUACGGUUGUCUCUUAUGCCAAUUAUCCAUUAGCACUGCACCAUAGAGUGCAUGCACAACUUUGUGUUAAAGUUGUUUUUCUUCUGGGAAACUUUUUCCCACGACUUUAGCAUAGCACCUUCUGCCAUCAAUGAGAUACACACUGUUUUCAUGCUUGGAUCUUAAGAUCCUCCCCAUCCUUUGUGGGGCACCACACGCCUCAGUUUAAAUGCUUCCAUCAAUCCCUUAGAAUUAUUCCUUGACUUUAUUUGAGUCAUCUAGCUUUUUGGACUUUGUUAAUUCGACGACCCAUGAGGUCCUACUUUUGAGGUGCCAGCUCAUUGGAAUACAACUCCUUAUAUUCAUGUCCUACUCACAAGGACCAUCUUUGCAAGUGUUACUCCGACACUUGAUUUUAUUAUCUAGAGGCAACCUUUUGCCCCUUAUGACCACCUGUCCAUGUGAUGAAAAUACCAACUCAUCCUCUAAGUAUACCCCCAACUCCUUGGGUUAUUCUAGCAUUUAUUAGAGGUAGCCUCGGCUACCAUUUCAAGGACUUGUGUCCUCUUUCGUAUUUGACCUCCCACGGUCAUCAAUUCCGAUCUCAAAUUUAUGAGCACCAGCCUCAACUAUAUGAGGGUAAUCUUGUGACUCCUUUAUUUUUUUGGAAUCUGCAUCUUUCCCGUGAUCUCAACUAUAGUUGUUUACCACAACUACAUUAGCCCAUUCGCUGUGUCAAACGCUCAUCUGGAUCACAUCCUCAACUUUAUGAGGAAACCCUUAUACUGUUCCCAAGAUCCCAAAGUUGUUCCCUUACCAGCCCUUUUCCAUCCACCACAUUGCGCACAAGUUCACACAUGGACUUGAGUGGGGAGCCAUGUCCUCUUGCCAUGCUACUCCUCAAGGAUAGGUCCAUACCCAGGACCUUCCUAUUCAAAUACAAGUGGUGAUAUACUUGGCCACCAAUAAAAGUCGGACUAAGGAAUAGUUCCGAUACCAAGUUGUAAGCGACUAAUCUUUCCAUUCUACUUUAGUCAAUUAACCUCACCUUCAACCACUUGGAGGAAUCUCAUUCACAACCUCCAUAAAUCUCAUUCAGGACUUGGGGCUUGCUAGCCCCGAGAAUGGCAUCCAUGCCACUCAACCGUUACACUUGAUCCAAGUGCUCCAUGUGUUUGAUCCCAUAACCGACACCCCAAGGUACCAUCGACCUCUCAGCCCAUUACGCUAAGGCCAUGCCCAUUUAACUUAGUCACACUAGUGGUCCAACACCACUUGCAUCGCAGUCCCGUCUCUCAAAGACUAGGCCAUCCAUCCAUGAGUGAUCAUCCCAAAUCCACUCCUUAGCAUCCUUAAGAUGCCCAUAGACAUGGGGGUUACCCUUCCCCAAUAUUUCUUUUCCAAUCCCUACCAAGUCCCUUUCUGUCCAUGGCCGCAUUUACCAACACUGCCACUGGAUCAAGGCCCACAGGCCCGACCUCUAAGUCCCACUGUCCUUUGGGACUUCCUCACCAUGUGACUGUAUCCUCGGUCACUGCACUAGAGGAUUGCUCCUUUUCCUUUUCACUGUCUGGGACUUUGGGACAACAUUUCGGAACACCGUGGCCUUAUGCAAGCCUCAUGGGUACUCUCCCCGCCUCCCCCCUUUAGGUGCUCUAGCCAUGGGCUUAGAGCGAGGUUCCAUUGAGCCACGCCAGGUAUCCAAGUAGGUAGUGCCACCCACACUUGGAUUGGGAGCAUCGGCCAGUUGAUCUCCCGGAGGAACUAAAGUUGGCUCUUGAACACUUCACCAAGCUACCCCGUUUGUCGGUCCGUGUUCACUGUAGUCUUGGACUUCCCAGUGGGCAGCUCAUCACUCGACACUGGGUACAGCCUUCUUGGGCCAAACUGGCGUUAGACCACCGGUGUGACCAAGGUGAAUGGGCAUGGCCCUAGCGUAACAGGCCAAUAUGUCAAGGGUACCUUGGGGUGUCAGUCAUGGGAUCGAACAUGUGGAGCACUUGGACCAAAUGCAAAUGUGGAGUGGCAUGGAUGCUAUUCUUGGGGCUAGCAAGCCCCAAGUCCUAACUGGGACUUAUGGAGGUUGUGAAUGAGACUCCUCGAAGUGGUCCGAGGUUCAGUUAAAUGACUAAAGUAAAAUGGAAAAAUUAGUCACUUACAACUUGGUAUUGGAGCUGUUUCUUAGUCUAACUCUUAUUAGUGGCCAAGUAUAUAACCACUUGUAUUGGAAUUGGAAGAUCCUAGGUAUGGACCUACCCUUAAGGAGUAGCAUGUUGAGAGGACAUGGCUCUCCACUCAAGUUCAUGUGUGAACUUGUGCGCAAUGUGGUGGAUGGAAAAGGGUCAGUAAGGGAAUGACUUUGGGAUUUUGGGAACAGUAUAAAGGUUUCCUCAGAGAGUUGAGGAUGUGAUUUAGAUGAGCGUUUGACGCAGCAAACGGGCUAAUGUAGUUGUGGUAAACAACUAUAGUUGGGAUCACGAGAAAAAUGCAGACUCCAAAACAAUAAAGGAGUCACAAGAUUAUCCUCAUAUAGUUGAGGCUGGUGCUCAUAAAUUUGAGACCGGAAUUUAUGACCGUGGGAGGUCAAAUACGGAAGAGGACACAAGUCCUUGAAAUAGUAGUCGGGGCUACCUCUAAUAAAUGCUGGAACAACCCAAGGAGUUGGGGGUGUACUUAGAGGAUGAGUUGGUAUUCUGAUCACAUGGACAAGUAGUUCUAAGGGGCAAAAGGUUGCCCCCAGAGAACAAAAUCAAGUGUUGGAAUAACACUCAUGAUGGUGGUCUUGGUAAGUAGGACAUGAAUAGAAGAAAUUGUAUUUCAAUGAGCUAGCACCUCAAAAGUAAGACCUUAUAGGUCAGGGGAUUAGAAAAAAUCCAAAAGGCUGAAUGACUUAAGUGGAGUCAAAGAAUGGUCCUAAAGGACUGAUGGAAGCAUUUGAACUGAGGUGUGUUGUGCCCCAUGAAGGAUGGGGAGGAUCAUAAGAUCCAAGUAUGAGAAUGGUGGGUAUCUCAUGGGUGGCAGAAUGUGCCAUACUAAAGUCGUGGGAAAGGUGUUCCCAGAAGAAGCAACUUUGGUGCAGAGUUGUGUGCAAACACUAUGGUGUAGUGCUAAUGGAUAGUUGGCAUGAGAAACGACUGGGUUGGUCUUGGCAAAAACCUAUACACAAGUGCAAAGUGUCAUAAAGGCAAACUCAUGGAGCCGAUAGUAUGGGGACACCAAAUGGGCUAAGGUGUGAUACCUUGGGAUUAUGUUGAUGGGUUCAUGAGAACCCUUUACCAAAGGAAUCCCAAUGGAAAUGGGAAUGGCAUAGCCUAAGCUAGAAGGCAUGUGGUAGAGUGUGGUGACCCGGUGUGAGACACAAAAUCCCUAGGCCCUAAAGUGGAGCUGGAAGGGCACCACGUGGUAGUGGCUGAAGCGAAAGCCAAACGAGCGUAACACAUUUGGACUAAAAGCUCCGACUUGGAAGGUCGAGAGUGGGAGUGGAACUCUCAACAAAGUGCUCGAGGAGUGAGCACGAGGAAACCAAUAAGCAAGGCUCCAAAAAGGGACCCAAAAAGGACCAACACAUGACAUGUGGAAGUGUCCGAGAUGAACUCCGAGAUGGAGUCCGAGAUGGACUGAGACAGAGUCCGAUAUGGAGUCCAAAAUGGAGUCCGAGGUGGACCGAGACGGAGUCCGAUAUGGAGUCCGAUAUGGAGUCCGAGAUGGAGUUCGAGGUGGAGUCCGAGGUGGACCGAGAUGGAGUCCGAGAUGGAGUCCGAGAUGGACCGAGAUGGAGUCCGAGAUGGAGUCCAAGACGAAGUCCGAGGUGGACCGAGACGGAGUCCGAGAUGGAGUCCGAGAUGGACCGAGAUGGAGUCCGAGAUGGAGUCCGAGAGGGACCCGAGAUGGAAUCCGAGAUGGAGUCCGAGAAGGACCCGUGAUGGAGUCCGAGGUCGAGACCGAGACCGGGACCGAGACCGAGACCGAGACCGAAACCGGGACCAAGACCGAGACCGAGACCGAGAUCGGGACCGAGACCGAGGCCGAGUCCGAGUCCGAGUCCGAGUCCGAGUCUGAGUCCGAGUUCGAGUCUGAGAGGGUGAAAGCCCAAAACGUUCGUCUCCCAGACCCUAGGGGGUUUGGUGAGCUCCAAAAGUAUAGUAAGGGGGAGGACUGCAGUGGAGCCAAUUUGGCCAGGAAAGGCCAGUUUGGCCCAAGAAGGCCGGACCCAGUGUUGGGUGAUGAGCUGCCCACUGGGAAGUCCAAGACUAGAGUGAACACAAGCCAACAAGCGGGGUAGCUUGGUGAAGUGUUCAAGAGCCGGCUCUAGUUCCCCCGGGAGAUCGACUGGCCGAUGCUCCCAGUCCAAGUGUGGGUGGCACUACCUACUUGGAUACCUGGUGUGGCUCAACGGAACCCGCUCUAAGCCCAUGGCUAGAGCACCCAAAGGCAGAAGGCGAGGAGAGUACCCAUGAGGCCCGCAUAGGGCCAUGGUGUUCCGAAAUGUUGUCCCAAAGUCCCAGACUGUGGAAAGGAAAAGGAGUAGCCCUCUGGUGUGGUGACAAAGGACAUGGUCACCUAGUGAGGAAGUCCCAGAGGACAGUUGGACUUAGAGGUCGGGCCUGCGGGCCUUGAUCCAGUGGCAGUGUUGGUGAACAUGGCCAUCGAUAGAGAGGGACUUGGUGGGGACCGGAAAAAAGAUAUUGGGGAAGGUUAUUCCCCAAGUCUGCGAGCAUCCUAAGGAUGCUAAGGAGUGGAUUUGGGAUGAUCACUCAUGGAUGGACGGCCUAGUCUAUGAGAGACAGGAUUGCAAUGUAAGUGGUGUUGGACCACCGGUGUGACCAAGGUGAAUAGGGAUGGCCUUAGCGUAACGGGCCGAUAUGUCGGUGGUACCUUGGGGUGUCGAUCAUGGGAUCAGACACGGGGAGCACUUGGACCAAGUGCGAAGGUUGAGUGGCAUGAAUGCCAUUCUCGGGGCCAGCAAGCCCCAAGUCCUGAGUUGGACUUAUGGAGGUUGUGAAUGAGACUCCUCCAAGUGGUCGGAGGUGUGGUUAAGUGACUAAAGUAGAAUGGAAAAAUUAGUCGCUUACACCCGGAUAAUGAUGGAGGUGUGCAAACACCAGCAAUGAGUUGUAGGACUUAACAACUAUGAGGCAACUAAGCAAGAGGUGCAGGUAAUUGGUUAAACAGGCAGAAGGUAGCUAUCCAAGACUUCUUAAUGGCAUAAAGAAGUUAAAUAUACCCUUAUCGGGGAUAAGUUGCUUAUGUUGCAAUAUAGUAAGUCAAUGUCGUAAAAGGAAAUGCUCAUUGUCAAGGAAGCCAUCAUUGAGACACCUAAACACUCUAAAACACCAAGAGGUGGUAUUUAGUGUUGCUAGGGCAAUAGAUAAGGCAUAAGGGAUAAAGUCCCUAACGAAUGAUGGAUAAAAGGUGCAUCCAAGGUUGCAGAGAUGGGAGAAAUCUCUCUACCAAAAUUGGACAAGGCUAAUGAUGGGCAUAGAAAGGGCCAUAAGUAGCAAUGGUAAUCCUAGUGUGUGGGAUUACAAAGUGAGCAAACCCGGAUUGAGGAACCACUCCCUAGGCUGUCAGGUAGGUUCAUCCCUAUGAAUACUUGCCAAGGCAGGGUAGAAAGUGCAAAGCUAUCUUCCUAAUUUGGAGGAGAAUAACUGAAAGAAAUAUAUGAGGCCAAAAGACAAGUAGUAAAGGGAUAGAACCAAACCAUAAGAAUUAACAGGCAUGACCAAAGGUGGUUAUGCAAGUUGGGAGUGGAGAAUUCAAUAGGUGCUCAAGCGUGUUAUUACUAGCGAUCGGGAUGCCAUGGAGAGUCAAAAACAUGGGAUUGUCCAUGUUAGACUAUAUGGCAAUUGGAAAGCUUGCAAAAGGAGAGGCCUUAACAAGCUAAAGGGACAAAGUUCCUUCGAAAGGUUCCCAAAAACAAUUUUAGGUAGCUGGAUACCUAGAAAGCCAAGUGUAAAUGGUUCAUAGAAUGCGCGAAAUCAGAAUGGCACAGCAAAAGCGUGGUCUUGAAGUUUGUCAUAAGGCAAGGCUAUCAAAAUUGGGGAAGUAGUUCCCGAGUGUUCAAAAAGAGGGCUUUGAACGAAAGUUGAUGGUUACGGACUUUCACGCUUAUGCACGAACUAUGUUACGGUGGCCUGAUGACUUGCUAAAUGAGAUUGGCAAGUCGGGGGGAACAAAUACCCUAGUUGAAGGUGCUAACUUCAAAAGGGUGGCCCAUGGGGCCAAGCAUGGAGGAGUCCACAAACAUGUAAAGUGAGAGGACUUAGCAGUGUGGAAGAAUUAGGUUCCUAAGCUGUGAUCUGUAGCGCGCUUUAAAUAUAAGUUGGUGCACCGGCGUGGGGAGUCACGCCAGGCAUCUUGUGUGAUGCUGUCCGUAGAUGCAUAUACGGAGGUUGGGUUCGAGUCCCAAUUCACUAGGGUGUGGUGAUGGUUUGGAAUAUGACACUUAUUUUUCAGUGGUCAUGGACUCUUAGUAAAGAGACUAGCUUGGGCACACCGCCAAGCGGGGGAUGCCCCGGAGUUAUGAUGCACAGUUAGAUUGCUUAGUGUGAAAGCUCGGCAUAUCUAACUUGAACGCUUUGGUGCAAGUGGCACCAAGGACGUGGUGAGUGAGAUGGGGACACUUAAUCUCAGUUGCUAUGGACCCUUGGCCGUAAGGGCUGGCUUAGGUGCACCGCCAAGUGUGGGGGAUGCCCCUGGGGUUAUGGUCAACAACUUGAAGGUCUAGAAGACCAAAUACCUCUUGGCAACUCUAUUAAGGUGCCAAGGUGAGAUCACUAAGUGAUCUUAUGGCCAAAUAAGGACAAGUGACUAGAGUAAAAUAAAAAAAUUAGUGACUUACACUUGGAGCUCAUUCCUCGAACCCUUCGUUGGGAUUUCUACUCCUGCUCUUGACUUUUCAAGUUAGAGCUUUUAGUCCAAAUAUAUUACGCUCAUUUGGCUUUCACUUCGGCCAUUACCACGUGGCACCCUUUCGGCUUCACUUUAAGGCUGUGUCUCACAACUCCAUAGACAAAGUUCGAUGUCCUCAUUGAAUGAUAAACCAUUUUAUAAAGUAACCUUAUAAUGGAUUACCACUUUCCAUCUUUGACACCUAGCUAAUAUUUGUCAAUGGUUUGACACCAAAGGCUUACCAUGCCUUGUCCAUCCUCUAAGGAGCAUAGUUUCUCCAAUUUAAAGACUUAUUAGACCACUUAUGGUGGUCUUUCCCCUUUUGCUCAUUUAGUUCAUGCUAAACUCGUUAAAAACACCUUCUCUAUUUCAAUUUGACUCUUCAUUCAGGAGUAGCUUUGGCCUCUACCAGCAUAAUCAUUGCACUUUGUAACUUUUAAUUUUGAUUUCUCAAAGUCAAUUUCUUAGGUGUUUCCGACACCUUGUAUUGUACAUCUUGUGCCCCCAUCCUAGGAAGUCCUUUACUUGAGGGCACUAUCAUCCUCUCUUUUAUUUCAUGCUACUCUAGACACUAAAUUCUAUUUUUCCAUAAUUUGUGCUAGGGCUGUCCAUGACCUUAUAAUUUAGCUACCUUGCAACUCCCUCCCUUAGAGCUUUCACCUUUGCCAAAUUGAAGCAUUUGGGAAUUCAUCCUUGCUCAACUUUGUUGUUUUGAUUUCUUCUAAUAAUUUUCAUUGCCCAAACUUGGCCACUAAUCUUUUGUUCAUAUCCUUUAAUUGUUGUACCAAGCAAUACACAAUCACUACCUCCAUCCUUGAGGUAUCCUUUUCGUUCCAUAGCAAAGGCUUUACUUUACCAAGUUUAAGGUGUUCACCCCUAGUAAAUUUCCCCAAUAUUUUCUACUUUGGGCUCUAUUCAUGGCCUAACCUUGCGACCCACCUAAGGGUCCUUUUUUGGAGAUUAUUUUUUUGAACUCACAAUACUAUUGUAUUAUCACUAUUCAUUUCUCUUAAGUGUUCUUCCCACUUGGUCACCUUGACUAAGCCACACUAUUAUCAAUAGUUCAAAUCACUAGGAAUUUUAUUCCUUAACCUCAUAAAGACCUCAUCUUUGCUUAGCUAUAAGAUCACAUAGUGAUCUAACCUUGACACCUUUGUCAAUAAGUACUAAGUCUUCUAGACUUUUAAGUUGUUAACCAUGACCCCAGAGGCAUCCCCCACACUUCACGGUGCACCCAAGCCAACCCUUCUGGCCAAGGGUUCAUAACAACUAAGAUUGAGUGUCCCCAUCUCAUUCACCACAUCUUUGGUACCAUUUGCACCAAAGUGUUCAUGUUAGAUAAAGCAAUCUAAUAAUGCAUCACAAUGUGAGCGACUAAAUUUUCCAUUCUACUUUAUUCACUUAACCACACCUCUGACCACUUGGAGGAGUCUCAUUCACAACCUCCAUAAGUCCAAUCCAGGACUUGGGACUUGCUAGCCCCGAGAAUGGCAUCCAUGCCACUCAACAUUUGCACUUGGUCCAAGUGCUCCACGUGUCCGAUCCCAUGACCGACACUCAAAGGUACCACCGACAUAGCAGCCUGUUACGCUAAGGCCAUGCCCAAUCACCUUUGCCACACUGGUAGUCCAAUACCACUUGCAUCACCGUCUUGGCUCUCCAAGACUAGACAAACCAUCCGUGAGUGGUCAUCUCAGAUCCACUCCUUAGCAUCCUUAGGAUGCCCACCGACAAGGGGAAUAGCUUUCCCCAACAUCCCUCUGUCAGUCCCCACUAAGUCCCUUUCUGCCCCUGGCCGUGUUUGCCAACACUGCCACUGGAUCGAGACCCACAGGCCCGACCACUAAGUCCCACGGUCCUCUGGGACUUCCUCACCACACGACUGUGUCCUUGGUCACUACCCCAGAGGACUGCUCCUCUUCCUUUCCACAGUCUGGGCCUUUGGGACAACAUUUCGGAACACCGUGGCCUUACGCGAGCCACCUAGGUACUCUCCUCGCCUUCUGCCCUUGGGUGCUCUAGCCAUGGGCUUAGAGCGGGUUCCGUUGAGCCACACCAGGUAUCCAAGUAGGUAGUGCCACCCACACUUGGACUGGGAGCAUCGGCCAGUCGAUCUCCCGGGGGAACUAGAGUCGGCUCUUGAACACUUCACGAAGCUACCCCGCUUGUCGGUCUGUGUUCACUCUAGUCUUGGACUUCCCAGUGGGCAGCUCAUCACCCAACACUGGGUCCAGCCUUCCUGGGCCAAACUGGCCUUUCCUGGCCAAAUUGGCUCCACUCCAGUCCUCCCCCUACUAUACUUUUGGAGCUCACCAAACCCCCCAGGGUCUGGGAGACGAACGCUUUGGGCUUUCACCCUCUCAAACUCGAACUCGGACUCGGACUCGAACUCGAACUUGGACUCGGACUCGGACUCGGACUCGGACUCGGACUCGGACUCGGACUCGGCCUCGGCCUCGGUCUCGGUCUCGGUCCCGAUCUCGGUCUCGGUCUCGGUCUCGGUCCCGGUCUCGGUCUCGACUUCGGACUCCAUCUCGGGUCCAUCUCGGACUCCAUCUCGGACUCCAUUUCGGGUCCAUCUCGGGUCCAUCUCGGGUCCACCUCGGACUCCAUCUCGGACUCCAUCUCGGACUCCAUCUCGGACUCCAACUCAGGUCCAUUUUGGACUCCACUUCGGACUCCAACUCGGGUCCAUCUCGGACUCCACUUCGGACUCCAACUCGGGUCCAUCUCGGACUCCACUUCGGACUCCAACUCGAGUCCAUCUCGGACUCCACUUCGGACUCCAACUCGGGUCCAUCUCGGACUCCACUUCGGACUCCAUCUCGGACUCCAUCUCGGACUCCAUCUCGGACUCCAACUCGGGUCCAUUUUGGACUCCUUUUUGGAGCCUUGCUUUUUGCUCGCUUCGUGCUCGUUCCUCGAGCACUUCGUUGGGAGUUCCACUCCCGCUCUUGACUUUUCAAGUCGGAGCUUUUGGUCCAAACGUGUUACGCUCGUUUGGCUCUCGCUUCAGCCACUACCACGUGGCGCCCUUUCCGGCUCUACUUUGGGUCCUAGGGAUUUUGUGUCUCACAACUCCACCACCCAUAGACGAAGUUCGAUGUCCUCAUCGAACGGUAAACCAUCUUAUAAAGUAACACCCGCAUGUGUUACCAUUUCCAUCCUUGGCACCUAGCCAAUAUUUGUCAAUGGUUUGACAUUGAAGGCUCACCAUGCCUUCUCCAUAUUCGUCAAUGGUUUGACAUUGAAGGCUCACCAUGCCUUUUGCAUAUUCCUCAAUGGUUUGACACCAAAGGCUCACCAUGUUUUGCCUAUCCUCUAAGGAGGGUAGUCUCCCCAACUUAGAGACUGAUUGGACCACAUGUAGUGGUUCUCUCCUUUUAUUGGUUUAGUUCUCGCUAAACCCCUUAGAGACCUUUCUCUAAGUCAAUCCCACUACUCCUUCUCGAGUAGUCUCAAUUUCCAUCUAUUGAAUGUUUGCACCUUGGAACUUUUACUCUUUUGACUUUUGGAAGUCAAUUUCCUAGGUGUCUCCAACACCUUGCAUUGCAUAGAUUGUGCAACUCCACUUCCCCAUCCUAGGAAGCUCAUUACUUGAGGGCACCAUCAUCCUCUCUUCUAUUUCGUGCCAUCUUGGGCACUAAGUUCCAUUUAUCAUACUUUGUGUUAGGGCUGUCCAUGGCUCUAUCAUUUGGCUACCUUACCGCUCCCUCCCUUGGAGCUUCCACUUUCGCCAAAUCAGAGCAAUUCGGAAUUCAUCCUUGGAAACACACUUUCUUUUCCGGAAUUUGUUAGCGUCCAACACAUUAGUGUUCCUCGCCUAACUUUGUCACUUGGAUUCCUUCCAAGGGAUUCCACGGCCCUAUCUUGGCCACUCAUCUUUUGCUCCUAUCCGUUGAUUGUUGCACCAAGCAACAUCGAAUCUCUACCUCCCUCCUUGAGGUAUUCUUUUGAUUCCAUAGCAAAGGCUCUGCUUUGCCAAGACUAGGGUGUUCACCCCUAGUAAGUCUCUUUUAACAUCUUCUACUGUGGGCUCUAUCCACGGCCCAACUUUGUGACCCUCCCAUGGGUCUCUUUAGAGACUACUUUCCUUGGACACACUAUGCCAUCGCAAUGACAUAACUCAUUUCCCUAAGGUGCUUUUCCCACUUGGUCACCUUGACCAAGCCACACCAUCAUCAAUAGUUCAAAUCAACACUUUGAACUAGGAACCUUAUUCCUUAUCCCAAACAAGGACCUUGUCCUUAUUUAACCACAAGAUCACCUAGUGAUCUCACCUCGGCACCUUAACAGGUUUGCCAAUAGGUACUAGGUCUUCCAGACCUUUAACUUGUUAACUACGACCCCGGGGGCAUCCCCCACACUUGGCGGUGCGCCCAAGCCAGCCCUUCCGGCCAAGGGUCCAUAGCAACUGAGAUUAGGUGUCCCCAUCUCACUCACCACGUCCUUGGUGCCACUUGCACCAAAGCGUUCAAGUUAGAUAUGCCGAGCUUUCAAACUAAGCAAUCUAACCGUGCGUCACGACUCCGAGGCAUCCCUCGCUUGGUGGUGUGCCCAAACCAGUCUCCCCACUGAGAGUCCAUGACCACCGAAAUAUGAGUGUCCUCAUAUUCCAAACCAUCACCACGCCCUAGUGAUUUGGGACUCGAACCCAAGCACUAGAGGGUCGGGACUCGAACCCAACCUCCGUAUAUGCAUCUACGGACGGCAUCACACAAGAUGCCUGGCGUGACUCCCCACGCCGGUGCACCAACUUAUUUUUAAAGCGCGCUACAGAUCACAGCUUAGGAACCUAAUUCCUCCACACUGCCAAGUCCUCUCACUUGACAUGUCUGUGAUCAAGCAUGGACUCCUCCAUGCUCGGCCCCAUGGCCCACCCUUUUUGAAGUUAUCACCUUCAACUAGGGUCUUUGUUCCCCCGACGUGCCAAUUUCACUUGGCAAGUCCUCCGACCAUUGUAACAUGGUUCCUGCAUAAGCAUGAAAGUCCUUGACCAUCGACUUUCGUUCAAAGCCCUCUCUUUGAACACUCGGGAACUACUUCCCUAACCUUGAUAGCCUUGCCUCAUGGCAAGCUUCAAGACCACGCUUCUGUUGCGCCACUCUGAUUUCGUGCGUUCCAUGAACCAUUUACACUUGGCCUUUCUAGGUACUAAGCUACCUAGAAUCAUCUUUGGGAACCUUGAAGGAACUCUGUCCCUCAGCUUGCUAAGGCCUCCCUUUUUGCAAGCCUUCCAAAUGCCACAUAGUCUAACAUGGACAAUUCCAUAUUUUAGACUCUCCAUGGCAUCACGGUUGCUAGCGGCAACACCCUCGAGCCCCCACUUGAUUCUCCACUCCCAGCUGGCAUAACCAACCUUGGUUAUGCCCUUUGAUUCCUACGGUUCGGUUCUAUCCCUUUACUUCUUGCUUUUUGGCUUCACACCUUUCCUUUGGUCAUUCUCCUCCAGACCAGGAGGAUAGCUUUGCACUUUCUAUCAUGCUUUAGCAAAUAUUCUUGGGGAUGAACCUACCCAAUAGCCUAGGGAGUGGUUCCUCAAUCCGGGUAUGCUCACCUUAUAAUCCCACACACUGGGAUUACAUUGUUGCUUAUGGGCCUUUACAUGCCCAUCACUAGCUUUGCCAAAAUUCCAUUUUUGGCUUUGUCCAACUCGGGUAGACAGUCCUCUCCUGUCUCCGCAACCUUGGACAUUUGGAUAGCACCUUCUAUCCAUCAUUCGCUAGGGACUUAGUCCCUUGGGCUUUAUCUAUUGCCCUCGCGACAUCAAACACCACCUUCUGGUGUUCUAGAGUGUUCGGGUGUCCCCAUGAUGGCUUUCUUGACAAUGAGUAUUUCCUUUUAUGACAUUGACUUACUAUAUCGCAACAUAAGCAACUUAUCCCCCGCAAGGGUAUAUCCGACUUCCCUAUGCUUUUAAGAAGUCUUGGGUAGCUACCUUCUACCCGUUUAACCAAUUAUUUUGCACCUCUUGCUUAGUUGCCUCAUAGUUGUCAAGUCUUACAACUCAUUGUUUGGUGCUUUCACACCUCCAUCAUUAUCUGGGUCACCACACUCCAACUGCAUGCUCUGCAGCUUAGGCUAUGCCAUUCCCAUUUCCACUGGGAUUCCUUUGGCAAGGGGUUCUCAUGAACCCACCAACAUAGCCUCAAGGUAUCACACCUUGGCACAUUUGGUGUCUCCACACCAUCGGCUCCACGAGCCUACCUCUAUGACAUUUCCCCUUCGUGUCUAAGUCUUUGCCAAGACCAACACCGCUCUUUCUCAUGCUAACCAUCCGUUAGCACUGCACCAUAGAGGUCACACACAACUUCAUGUCAAAGUUGUUUUCUUCUGGAAACACCUUUCCCAUAACUUUAGCAUGGCACAUUUUGCCAUCGAUAAGAUACCCUCUGUUCUCAUCCUUGGAUCCUAUGAUCCCCCCCCCCCAUCCUUUGUGGGGUACAACACACCUUAGUCCAAAUGCUUUCAUCAGUCCUUUUAGGACCAUCCCUUGACUCUACUUGAGUCAUCCAGCAGUUUUGGACUUGGUUAAUCCACAGACCCGUAAGGUCCUAUUUGUGAGGCACUAGCUCACUGGAAUACAUUUCUUGCAUUCCUGUCCUACUCAAAAGGACUAUUUUCACAAGUGUUACUCCGACACUUGAUUUUGUUCUCUGGGGCAACCUCUGCCCCUUAGGACUACUUGUCCAUGUGAUGAGAAUACCAACUCAUCUCUAAGUACACCCCCCAACUCCUUGGGUUGUUCCAACAUUUAUUAAAGGUAGCCCUGGCUACCAUUUCAAGGACUUGAGUCCUCUUCCGUACUUGACCUCUCACGGUCAUCCAUUCCGGUCUCACAUUCAUGAGCACCAACCUCAACUAUAUGAGGAUAAUCUUGUGACUCCUUUAUUGUUUUGGAGUCUCUAUCUUUCCCGUGAUCCCAACUUUAGUUGUUUACCACAACAACCUUAGCCAAUUUGCUGAGACAAAUGCUCAUCCGGAUCACAUCCUCAACUCAAUGAGGAAAACCUUGCACUGUUCCCAAGAUCCCAAAGUCAUUCCAUUAUUGGCCCUUUUCUAUCCACCACCUUGUCUACAAGUUCGCACAUGAACUGUAAUGGAGAGCCAUGUCUUCCUGACUUGCUACUCCUCAAGGAUAGGCCCACUCCUCGGACCUUCCGAUGCCAACACUAGUGGUGAUAUACUUGAGCACCAAUAAAAGUCGGACUAAGGAACAGCUCCAAUACCAAAUUGUAAACGACUAAAUUUUCCAUUCUACUUUAUUCACUUAACCACACCUGUGACCACUUGGAGGAGUCUCAUUCACAACCUCCAUAAGUCCAAUCCAGGACUUGGGACUUGCUAGCCCCGAGAAUGGCAUCCAUGCCACUCAACAUUUGCACUUGGUCCAAGUGCUCCACGUGUCCGAUCCCAUGACCGACACUCAAAGGUACCACCGACAUAGCAGCCCGUUACGCUAAGGCCAUGCCCAAUCACCUUUGCCACACUGGUAGUCCAAUACCACUUGCAUCACCGUCUUGGCUCUCCAAGACUAGGCAAACCAUCCGUGAGUGGUCAUCUCAGAUCCACUCCUUAGCAUCCUUAGGAUGCCCACCGACAAGGGGAAUAGCCUUCCCCAACAUCCCUCUGUCAGUCCCCACUAAGUCCCUUUCUGCCCCUGGCCGUGUUUGCCAACACUGCCACUGGAUCGAGACCCACAGGCCCGACCACUAAGUCCCACGGUCCUCUGGGACUUCCUCACCACACGACUGUGUCCUUGGUCACUACCCCAGAGGACUGCUCCUCUUCCUUUCCACAGUCUGGGCCUUUGGGACAACAUUUCGGAACACCGUGGCCUUACGCGAGCCACCUAGGUACUCUCCUUGCCUUCUGCCCUUGGGUGCUCUAGCCAUGGGCUUAGAGCGGGUUCCGUUGAGCCACACCAGGUAUCCAAGUAGGUAGUGCCACCCACACUUGGACUGGGAGCAUCGGCCAGUCGAUCUCCCGGGGGAACUAGAGCCGGCUCUUGAACACUUCACCAAGCUACCCCGCUUGUCGGUCUGUGUUCACUCUAGUCUUGGACUUCCCAGUGGGCAGCUCAUCACCCAACACUGGGUCUAGCCUUCCUGGGCCAAACUGGCCUUUCCUGGCCAAACUGGCUCCACUCCAGUCCUCCCCCUACUAUACUUUUGGAGCUCACCAAACCCCCCAGGGUCUGGGAGACGAACGCUUUGGGCUUUCACCCUCUCAGACCCGAACUCGGACUCGGACUCGAACUCGGACUUGGACUCGGACUCGGACUCGGACUCGGCCUCGGUCUCGGUCUCGGUCCCGAUCUCGGUCUCGGUCUCGGUCUCGGUCCCGGUCUCGGUCUCGACUUCGGACUCCAUCUCGGGUCCAUCUCGGACUCCAUCUCGGACUCCAUUUCGGACUCCAUCUCGGGUCCAUCUCGGACUCCAUCUCGGGUCUAUCUCGGACUCCAUCUCGGGUCUAUCUCGGACUCCAUCUCGGACUCCAUUUCGGGUCCAUCUCGGGUCCACCUCGGACUCCAUCUCGGACUCCAUCUCGGGUCCAUCUCGGACUCCAUCUCAGACUCCAUUUCGGGUCCAUCUCGGGUCCAUCUCGGGUCCACCUCGGACUCCAUCUCGGACUCCAUCUCGGACUCCAUCUCGGACUCCAACUCGGGUCCAUUUUGGACUCCACUUCGGACUCCAACUCGGGUCCAUCUCGGACUCCACUUCGGACUCCAACUCGGGUCCAUCUCGAACUCCACUUCGGACUCCAACUCGAGUCCAUCUUGGACUCCACUUCGGACUCCAACUCGGGUCCAUCUCGGACUCCACUUCGGACUCCAUCUCGGACUCCAUCUCGGACUCCAACUCGGGUCCAUUUUGGACUCCUUUUUGGAGCCUCGCUUUUUGCUCGCUUCGUGCUCGUUCCUUGAGCACUUCGUUGGGAGUUCCACUCCCGCUCUUGACUUUUCAAGUCGGAGCUUUUGGUCCAAACGUGUUACGCUCGUUUGGCUCUCGCUUCAGCCACUACCACGUGGCGCCCUUUCCGGCUCUACUUUGGGUCCUAGGGAUUUUGUGUCUCACACACAACUCCAAGGCAUCCCCUACUUGGAAGUGUGCCCAAGCCAAUCUCAUUGAGAGUUCAAGACUACCAAAAAUUGAAUGUCUUUAUAUUCCAAACUAUCACUACGCUCUAGUGAGUUGGGACUUAAACCCAAGCACUACAUGUAAGGGACUAAAUUUUUCCAUUCUACUUUAGUCACUUAACCACACCUCCGACCACUUGAAAAAAUCUCAUUCACAACCUCCAUAAGUCCAAUUCAGGACUUGGGGCUUGCUAGCCCCGAGAAUAGCAUCCAUGCCACUCAACCUUAGCACCUGGUCCAAGUGCUCCAUGUGUCCGAUCCCAUGAUCAACACCCCAAGGUACCAUCGACGUAUUGGCCCGUUACGCUAAGGCCAUGCCCAUUUACCUUGGUCACACCAAUGGUCCAACACCACUUGCUUUGCAAUCCCGUCUCUCAAAGACUAGGCCAUCCGUCCAUGAGUGGUCAUCCCAGAUCCACUCCUUAGCAUCCUUAGGAUGCCCACAGACAUGGGAAAUAACCUUCCCCAAUAUCUCUUUUCCAGACCCAGUCCCUUUCCGUCCAUGGCCGUGUUUGCCCACACUGCCACUAGAUCAAGGCCCACAGGCCAGACCUCUAAGUCCGCUGGCCUCUAGGGCUACCUCACCGUGCGACUGUGUCCUUGGUCACCACACCAGAGGGCUAUUCCUCUUCCUUUCCACAGUCUGGGACCUUGGGACAACAUUUCGGAACACCGUGGCCCUACGCGGGCCUCAUGGGUACUCUCCCCGCCUUCUGCCUUUAGGUGCUCUAGCCAUGGGCUUAGAGCGAGGUUCCAUUGAGCCAUGCCAGGUAUCCAAGUAGGUAGUGCCACCCACACUUGGAUUGGGAGCAUCGGCCAGUUGAUCUCCCGAGGGAACUAGAGCCGGCUCUUGAACACUUCACCCAACUACCCUGCUUGUCAGUCCAUAUUCACUCUACCCUUGGACUUCCCAGUGGUUUUCCCAUCACCCAACCCUUGAGAACAGCCUUCCUGGGCCAAAUUAGCCUUUCCUAGCCAAACUGACUCUACUGUAGUCCUCCCCCUCACUAUACUUUUGGAGCUCACCAAACCCCUCAGGGUCUGGGAGAUGAAUGCUUUGGGCUUUCACCCUCUCAGACUCGAACUCGGACUCGGACUCGGACUCGGACUCGGCCUCGGCCUCGGUCUCGGCCUCGAGCUCGGUCUCGGUCUCGGUCUCGGUCCCGAUCUCGGUCUCAGUCUUGGUCCCGAUCUCAGUCUCAGUCUCGGUCCUAGUCUCGACUUCGGACUCCAUCUCAGGUCCAUCUCAGACUCCAUUUCGGGUCCAUCUCGGACUCCAUCUUGGACUCCAUCUCGGGUCCAUCUCGGACUCCAUCUCGGGUCCAUCUCAGACUCUAUCUCGGACUCCAUCUCGGACUCCAUCUUGGACUCCAUCUCGGAUUUCAUCUUGGGUCCAUCUCGUGUCCCUUUUCUAGAGACUCACUUAUCUUUCACUUCGUGCUUGUUCCUCGAGUGCUUCGUUGGGAGUUCCACUCCCACUCUCAACUUUUUCAAGUCAGAGCUUUUAGUCCAAACGUGUUAUGCUUGUUUGGCUUUCGAUUCGGCCACUACCACGUGGCGCCUUUUCGGUGUAAGCAACCAAAGGGAACGACUCGAGAGACGAUCCAUGGGGUUCAAAUAUAGAAGAAAAGGGCCCAUGAAAAAGAGUGCACCCCCUUUUCCAAUCGGUUAAGGGUCUUGGGAUAGUUGGGGUUAAGCGUCCUUGGGUUUGAAUAGUACUGGGUUAAAUGACCUCCCGGGAAGUCCAAACUCAGGAGCUUACAUUCAGCUCGACUUUGGGGCCUAGGGAUUUUGUGUCUCACACUAGAGAGUUGGGACUCAAACCCAACCUCCAUAUAUGCAUUUACGAAUGGCAUCACCUAGGAUGUUUAGUGUGACUCCCCAUGCCAGUGCACCAACUUAUAUUUAAAGUGCACUAUAGAUCAUAGCUUAGGAACCUAGUUCCUCUGCACUACUAAGUCUUCUCACUUAAUAAGUCUAUAAUCAUGCAUGGACUCCUCCAUGUUUGGCCUUAUGGGCCACCCCUUUUUGAAGUCAACACCUUCAACUAGUGUCUUUGUUCCCUCAAACUUGCUAAUCUCACUUAGCAAGACACCCAACUAGUGUAAUAUGGUUUCAUGCAUAAAAGCAAAAGUCCUUAACCAUCAACUUUCGUUCAAAGCCAUCUUUUUAAACACUUAGGGAUUAUUUCCCCAACUUUGAUAGCUUUGCCUCAUGGCAAGCUUCAAGACCACACUUUUAUUGCACCACUUUAAUUUCAUGGGUUUUAUAAACCAUUUACACUUGUCUUUUUAAAUACUAAUCUACCUAGAAACUUUGAAGGGACUCUAUCCUUUAGCUUGUUAAGGCCUCUCCUUUUGCAAGAUUUCUAAUUAUCAUAUGGUCUAAUAUGGAUAAUUUCAUACUAUAAAAUCUUCAUGGCAUCACGGUUGCUAAUAGCAAUAUAUUCAAACAUCUACUUGAUUCUUCAUUCCCAACUUGCAUGAUUUUUAUGAUUCAAUUCUAUCCCUUUACUAUUUGCUUUUUGGCUUUAUAUUUUCCCUUUAGGUAUUCUCAUCCCAUUUAGAAGGGUAGUUUUGCAUUUUCUACCAUGCUUUAGUAAGUGUUCUUAGGGAUGAACCUACUUAGUACUUUAGAGAGUGGUUUUUCAAUUUGGAUAUGUUUACCGUGUAAUCCCAUACACCGGGAUUAACAUCAUUACGCAUAAGCCUCUUUAUGCCUAUUGCGAGCCAUGCCAAAAUCCUUUUUUGGCUUUUUCUAAUUCAGAUAGAUAGACUUCUUCUAUCUCCACAACCUUGGACAUUAGAUAACACUUCCUAUCUAUUAUUUACAAAGGACUUAGUUCUUUCAACCUUAUUUAAUACCCUCAUAAUACCAAACACCACUCCUUGAUGUUUUAAAGUGUUUAAGUGUCAUAACAAUAACUUUCUUUGACAAUGAGCAUUUCCCUUGAUAUUAACUUACUAUAUCUCAACAUAAGCAAUUUAUCCCUAUAUUUAACCUCUUUAUCCCAAUACAAAAUCUUGGGUAGUUAACUUCUACCAAUCCAACCAAUCAUUUUACACCUUUUGCUUAGUUACUUCAUAGUUGUCAAGUUUUACAACUCAUUGCUGGUGCUUCCACACCUCCAUCAUUAUUUGGGUCAUCACACUCUAAUUAUAUACCUUCCAACUUACACUAAGCCAUUUUCAUUUCCAUUAGGAUUAUUUUGGUAAGAGGUUCUCAUGAACCCGCUAAGUUGACUUCAAAGCAUCACACCUUGGCACAUUUGGUGUCUUUGCACCAUCGGCUUUACAAUUCUACCUUUAUGACAAUUUUGACUUAUGUCUGGGUUUUUGCCAAGACUAAAGUAGUCAUUUCUUAUACCAACUAUCAAUUAACACUGCACCAUAGUAUUCAUACACAACUUUGUGCCAAAGUUGUUUUUUCUAGGAACAUCUUUCCCAUGACUUUAGUAUGGCACAUUCUGCCAUCAAUGAAAUACCCACUGUCUUUAUACUUGGAUCUUAUGAUCUUCCCCAUCCUUUAUGGGGCAUAACACAUCUCAGUCCACUAAAAACAUUCCUUUAUUGACCCUUUUCUAUCCACCAUGUUGCCUACAAGUUCACACAUGAACUGUAGUGGAGAGCCAUGUCCUCCCAACUUGCUACUCCUCAAGGAUAGACCCACUUCUAGGACCUUCUGAUGCCAACAUAAGUGGUAAUAUACUUUAGCAUCAAUAAAAGUCAAACUAAGGAACAACUCCAAUACCAAAUUGUAAGCGAUUAAAUUUUCCAUUCUACCACACAUUCGACCACCUAGAAGAGUCUCACUCACAACCUCUAUAAGUCCUAUUCUGGAUUUGGGGUUUGUUAGCCCCGGGAAUGGCAUUCAACUGCUCAGCCUUUGCACUUGGUCCAAGUGCUCCACGUGUUCGAUCCCAUGACUGACACCAAAAGGUACCAUUUGACAUAUCAGCCCGUUACAUUAAGGCCAUCCCCAUUCACCUUUGUGACAUUAGUGAUCCAACACCCAUCAUAGUCCUGUCUCUCAAAGAUUAGGCAAUCUGUCUAUGAAUGAUCAUUUCAGAUCCACUCCUUAGCAUCCUUAGAAUGCCCAUAGAUAUGGGGGAUGGCCUUCCCAAAUACCCCUUUUUCAGUCCCCACCAAAUCCCUUUUUGUCCAUGGUUGUGUUCGCGAACACUACCAUUGGAUCAAGGCCCACAGGCCUGACCAUUAAAUCCCACUAUCUUCUAGGAUUUCUUGACCAUGUGAAUAUAUCCUCAGUCAUUACACCAAAGGAUUGUUUUUCUUCCUUUCCACAGUCUAGAACUUUGGGACAAUAUUUUGAAACACCAUGGCCCUACGCGAGCCUCAUGAAUACUCUUCCCACAUUCCGCCUUUGGGUGCUUUAGCUAUGGGGCUAGAACGAGGUUUCAUUGAAUAUCAAAGUAAGUAAUACCACCCAUGCUUGAAUUGGGAGUAUCGACCAUUCGAUUUCUCGGGGGAGUUAAAGUCGACUCUUGAACACUUCAUUAAGUUACCCUUUUUGUCUAUCUGUAUUCACUCUAGUUUUAAACUCCUCAGUGGAUAUAUCAUCACCCAACACAUGGGCAUAGGCUUCCUGGGUUACACUAGCCUUUCCUAGCCAAACUGGCUCCAUUGGGGUCUAACUCCCACACUCUCCUUAUUAUACUUUUGGAACCCCUCUGCAGCCCCAUCUCGACAUCUUAAGUCCAUCUUGACACUUCCACGUGUCAUGUGUUGGUCCUUUUGUGUCCUUUUUCUAAAGACUCACUUAUUCCUCACUUCGAACUCAUUCUUUGAGCCCUUCAUUAGGAGUUUUACUCCCGCUCUCGACUUUUCAAGUUAGAACUUUUAGUCCAAACAUAUUACACUCAUUUGGCUUUUGCUUCGAACUUUACCACGUGGCACUCCUUCAGCUCUAUUUUGGGGCUUAGGGAUUUGUGUUUCACAAUGCUCUUCUAGAACUGAGUGCCAGGAAACCAAAUGGCACCAGCAGUAAGAAUCACUAUCCUAAUUCAAGCGAACCAUAUGUCAUGUUAUUCUCAUCCAAGCUAUGCUGGAUUUUUGCUGUUUCUAAUAUUUAUUUUGUAAAAAAAUAUUAAAAGAAUUUUUGUUUUUAUAUUUUACUCCAUGUGUUUAAACUCUAAUAUACUAUCUUUAUAAAUAUCCUUAGUUUUGUGUUUUACUUUUAUAAUAAGUAUUUCUUAUAGCUUUUAUCAUAAUAUGUAUUUCUUACAACUUCAUUAUAAUCUACUAAUAUUGUGUUUAUGUUUUAAUUUAGGAUUAUCUGGACGAAAACUAACCAUUGGAAACACUAAUGUUUUAACUCCAGAAGAUAUGGGUAAAAUCAUUGGAGCUAUGUAUAAGUUAAUGGGGGACAUUUAUGGAAAACAAAGUUAUUCAACAGAUUAUUCAAAUAAUAUUCCAGUAGAAACAACUAAAGGUAUUUUUGAUGUAAUAUUUGAAUGUAAAGAGGAUUGUUUCAAAUCUACUACUAUUGCGGGAAAUAAUAUAAUUACUGCUUUAAGAGUAAUUAUUGAUAAUUAUUUAGAUUUUAUGAAUGAGAAACUUUCAGACUUUUUUCAAAAGGAAACUAAUAAAUUUGUAUUAACAUAUAAACAAAAAGAUAACUCAGAAACUCUAUCUAUGCAUCUAAAUAAAAAAAUUAGUAUAAAUGAUUUAGAUUUUUGUAUAUUAAGAGCUACCAGAUUAUAUUAUGAUUCAGUUAUGUAUACAGGUGAUUUUAUUUACUCCAAAGGUUUUAAAUUUGUUUUAAUUUUAGAAGUAAAUUGCAAACUCUCUCUAUAUAAGGGAAAAAUAAAAAUCUGGGAAAUAACAUCUAGGAAGAAAAAUAUUUUUAAUUGCUAUUUAAAACUGAAAAAUAAUGGUAAGUUAGUUUUGUAUCAUUAUAAUGAAGAUGUAUGGGAUAGUUAUAAAUAUUGUGAAAAUUGUUUGUUAUCAACAUAUUUAAAUGUUUCAAAUGAUUGUGCUUUAAAUAUUCAUCUAUUAAAAUAUCCUAAUAGAAUUUAUUGGACAAAUAAUAUGAAGUGUGAAUAAUUUGAUUUCUAAUUUGCAAAAUAUGUUUUUACUUUAAAUAACAUCGCUAAUCAAUACUUUUCGAAAUAACUUUUUCGUAUGAUUUAGCCCUAACCCUUUUAGCUCUUCCUGAAAGGAUCGAAUCAAGGUACGAUGAAAUUCUUCUCGGAUUCAUGAUUCAUGAUGGAUGUUUGCACCAGGCGACGAUGCCCAAGAGCUUCGCCUUCGCUCUCUACUUCGACGCCGCGCUAGAGAACCAAAUCCUCGAGCUCUGGAACGUCUUAGCCCGGAGGAAGAUAACCUCCCUGCUCAUUGACAGCGGCAGCCGACCUCACAUGCGUCUCAGCGUCACGACCGCCGACGACUUGGAGCUCCCAAAACUCCGGACCACUGUCGAGAGCUUCGCCGCGCAGGAGGGCCCUGUGGCCAUCAGUUUCUCCGCCGCUGGGGGCUUCUUCACGGACGAGACCUCCCUCUUCCUCACCCCGGCCCCCACAAUCCAGCUCCUGGCUUUCCACGACCGCUUCCACGAGCUUCUCCAGGUGAUGGGAGUCGAGAGCUUGGAUGUCUAUCAGCCCGGGAACUGGUUCCCUCAUUGCAGUGUCGCCCAAGAGCUUCCCCGGAACCGGCUGGCGGAUGCCUUCGCUGUGUUUCAAGAGUUGAAGCUGCCUCUAACGGGCCACAUUUGCGACGUUGGCAUGGUGGAGCUCACUCCCUUCCAGGAGUACUGUGCUUUCUCUUUGGACGGCGAUAUGUGCUAGAGGUUUCUUUCCCUCCGCGAAACUCUUUUUGUCGGUCCGUCCGAGAGCCACAGAGCGGCUGCAAUGUGUCAUUAGUACACAACAAAUCAAUCAAACCGCGACUUCUCUAUAUGUUUCCUUCCUCGUCCUCGUCCUCUUCCUGUGCGAGCUCUAUCAGCUUCUCUGUUGGCACGGAAAUGAUCUCUUCUUUGAACUGGGCGUCGACAUCAACAUCGUCUUCUUCUUCAUCAUCCUCCUCCUGAACGAACGAACAAACUGUUCAUCAAAACAGACCCAUCCAACAUGCGUGUAAAGUUCUUACCUCUGUAUCUUUGUCGCCAAUGUCAAUAGCUGCGGCCAUUUCUUCCACAACUGCUUCAUCCUCCUGGAAUUCAAGAGCCAUCAAUCAAGAGCUGCUUGAAAACGGAAAAGAAGCUCACCUCGGCCCUUGCGGCUGCAGCUUCAAGUCGUUGCUGCUGCAAAGCCAUUAUGCGGUUGUGUUCAGCUCGUGUUUUCAUCCGACCACCCUGCAUGAAUGUUUCAAAAGGAGGAUAAGCCAAAAUGCAAGUCAAAAGUAUAUCUUACUGUACCCGUACCCGUAUCAAGUGUUCUAUGAGAUUUGGCCUUGGCUGAUGGAAAUUUGGCCCUCGGUAAUCUGGAAUUUCAUCUGGUUUUUUUCUGUAAUUUAUAGUUGGAUAGACAGGAUCGCCACCAAAAACUGAAACAAACCAGCCAACGACCGAAUCAGGUGGAUCCAAGAAACGAUUUUGUAACUCACCGGAUCUUUUCAUCUCUCGCGUCGCACGCAUCACAAGUGGAUCUCUUCUGAUUCGAACAUCAGUACCCAUCAUUUGUCGAUAUUCUCUCUGAGUCUGGCAAGCCAACAUAUUCAUCAACUGCAAAGCCACGUCUUCUCCCGUUUCCUCGUAGUGCUUCUGAACAGCUUCUUUCGACGUAUCCUUGUCCCACGCUUUCACCCAUUCAUGAUAAUAUGCCAUUGCCCCUAUUUCGUCCCUCCGUUUCGCUUCCGCCGCCAACCUGAAAGUUUUGUGUUAAGUUUACAGCCAGCACAAAGAGAAAUUUUUGGCAAGGUAGCUCACCUUUCCUCUUUGAACACGAAUUUUCGAGCACGAUAAAUGUGCGUCUCUGUCACAGUUGGCGUGUCUCCGAACAACUUAAUCUGUCCUGUCAGUGCCGCCAUAGCUGCCAUUGUCUACAUACAAACGUACAAACGCAAGCUCGAGUGUUAGAGAAAGUUUGCAAGUGGAGAACUUACGAUAUCAGGAAGCCCAGGACGUUUCUGGAAUUCACUCCAGACGUGCUCAUCAGGCCGUCGGUUCUUCCAGUUCCACCAUAGCUCGUCGUUUGUCAGCGGAGGACGCUCGUCCUUGGCGACCUUCCUGGGCUUGUAUGACGAAAUAAGCGCGUAGCAUUCUUUGUCCGGGAAGUUCAUGUCGACGACAUCAAGGUCUCCUUCCUGUUUUUCUUCGUCUUCCAACUCGUCUUCAGCUUGAUCAUCGUCUUCCUCCUCCUCUUCACUCUCGUACACAACUUCCACGUCGGCCAUGUUCUUACCUUCAAUCACCUUAAGCUUCUCCCCCUCCAUGAUUUUCCAUCUAUCACUUUCUUUCUUGCUCUUUCUUUUGGUCCGCGCAACAACCGCCUCGGCUUUUGCCCCAUCUCUGUCAUCAACAACUUUAACUUCCACCGCUGUAGCUUCUACAACUUUCCGCUUAGGUGCUGCCCUUUUCUUCUUCGGUUUUUCAAGGGGCUGUUCAUCCGAGUCCCUGGGAGAAGCUGCUGCCGAUGCUCGAGAUUGUCGCUUCGUAACUUUCGGAGUCACAGCUUCUUCUUCUUGCUUGGGUUGAGCCGAAGGAUCAUCAGCCUUCUUCCGACGUCUCGGCUUGGGCUUGGGUGUCUCAGAAGCGUCAGCACCGCUACAUCGUAUAACCAGCGGUCUUCGAAAUCCACCUCGGAGAAGGCUCUACAAAUGAAAAACGCCACAAAACCAAAACUGAAAUAGAAAGGAAAAUGUAGUGUACCGUGGAGAAGCUUAGUCUCAAACGUGGAAGAGAGUAGUGGCCAAUGAGCUCUGGAAUCUCCAGAAUUAGACGAAAUCUCGUUCUUCAAUGCUGCCUACCACCACUCACCUGAGCGCCAAGUGCCUGUGCUCACAAUGCCAGCUACUGCCGCCAUGCUCCCUCGCUAAAACCAUCCAUAAACCCUAGCGCACGACCCGUCCUUAGAUUAUAGAGCAACUUAAUUCUUCUUACCUCAUGUUCGUGCAUGCAUAAUCUCCGCAUUGUCCAGGAACUUGGAUCUCAGAUCCAGCAAUGCGCCAAAACGCGAUCGCUGCUCCAGGGCAAGGAGCUCCACCGCGAAGUCCACAAGAAUGGCUAUGGCGCUCACACAUUCGUCGCGAAUUCUCUGAUCCAGAUGUAUGGCAGCUGCCAGUGCCUGCAAGAAGCCCGAUCAAUCUUCCACAGCACCCGCAAUCGAAAUAUUUACUCGUGGACAAUCUUUCUUGUCGCCAGUGCCGAGAAUGGGGAUCUCGAUCACGCCAAGAUUGUCUUCAACAGGAUGCCGGCUCGAAAUCUUGCAUCCUGGAACGCUCUCAUCGCUGCCUGCGCGCGAAACGAUCAGUGCCAAGACGCAUUGGAGAUUUUCUACCGGAUGAGCCUGCAGGGAGAGCGUCCAGACGAUCUUACCUUCGUCAGCGCGAUCGAUUCUUGCGGGAUCUUGCGAUCAUUGCGAGAUGGGAAGCUGCUCCACGAGCAAACCCUCGAGGCCGGCCUUGUCCACAACACCGCGGUAGCGAACACGCUGAUCACAAUGUACGGGAAAUGCCAGCGUCUGGACAGCGCUUGGAGCGUCUUCGCGGACAUCCCCAAUCCAGACGUUGUCUCUUGGACAAGCAUCGCCACAGCAUUUGCCAGGAACGGAUAUUUCGAUCGAUCGCUGGAGCUCUUCCAAGAAAUGCCCGUGGCGAAGAAUGUCGUCUGCUGGAGCGCGAUCAUCACCGCCGCGGCGCGAUGCGAUCGACACAGCGCAGCAUUCCAGCUCUUCCAGGCGAUGGAUCAGGAAGGCGCAAGACCUAAUACUCUGAUCUAUUUGACGCUCCUCCAGGGAAGCCAUUCCACCUCUACGAUUAGGGCGAUACACUGUACGGCCGAAGAGGACGAAGAACUGGCCAGGGAUUCGAACCCCGCCGUGAUGAACGCCGUACUCUCUGCGUACGGCAGGUACGGAGACCUGGCCAGAUCUUGGGCCGUGUUCUCGCGGAUGGAAAGAAGAGAUCCAAUCACCUGGAAUUCAAUCGCGACUGCUUGUGCGCAAUCUGGAGAUUUCGAUGGAGCGAUGCGUGCGCUCGAGAGAAUGCCGCAGUGGGAGAUUUCGUCGUGGAACAUAGGCAUCGCGGCAAUUGCCAAGGGUGGCGCGACGGCGUCGGCGAUCUCUUUCUCUUUCCGGAUAAAUCUCGAGGGAAUCAAGCCCGACGGCGCCACAUUCAUCGCGCUGAUCGAUUCAUGCGCAUCGCCCAAUUCGCUGCCGGAUGCCAAGAGGAUCGCGUCGUGGAUCGGCGACAGCGAAUUCUGGUCGGAUCCGCGGCUCCGGGACGCCACGAUCGACAUGUUUGGCCGAUGCGACGACCUCGACACCGCCAGGGCGAUUUUCCUUGAGAAUCCAACCAGCGCCACGGGGUGGGCGAAGAUGGUCGCGAAUUGCGCCCGAAAUGGGGACUCCCGGACAGCGAUCAAUCUCUUCAAGCAAAUGGAUCUCGAGGGAGUCAAGCCGAUCGCUCUCGCAUUCGUGGGCGCGAUUGCGGCGUGCUCCAAUUCCGCGGCGCUGGGCGAGGGCGAGGCAAUCCACGCGUGUUUCGAGGAGGAAGAACACGCAGACCGCGAAACAGAGCAUGGCCCAAGUACGGGCAUGGUCCACAACGCGGCCAUCCACAUGUACGGCCGCUGUGGAUCCUUGGGCCGGGCAGAUUCCCUCUUUCGAUCGCUGCGCCGCCAGAGCGUCGUGUCGUGGACUUCCAUCAUCAGGGCUUUCGCGAGCAACGGGCGCGUGGAUCUAGGGUUUCGCCUCUUCCGCGAGAUGCAGCUCCAGGGGACGCCACCCAGCGCGGUCACCAUGGCGGAGCUCCAAUCCGCCUGUGCCCAUCUCGGCCUCCUGCGCGAUGGAUUGGACUCGCUCGCGUCUAUGCUGCUCGAUCACGGCAUCGCGCCCACCGCCGAGAACUACGCCUGCAUUGCCGAUCUGCUCCGCCGAUCGAAGGCCCAGGAAGACGAGGACGGGGAACUCUAGCGCCAGGGCCAGGAUCGAACCCUGGCAGGGGAGUUAUCAUGAUUGAAUACACAUCACAUCAGCUUGAAAUGGACUCGAGAAUGAGAACCACAGAUCGGUAUGACGCUAUGACACGAUUGACGUGAGCAAUUGGCUUUAUAUCUUAUUCCCGGGGCACAUGAACAAAACACAUUGGAAACCAUUUUUUCUUUCAAAAAAAAAAACAAAAAAAAGAGAGGAGAAUAUCCGGCCUUUGGGCGGGAGAAUAUCCAACGAGAAGAAGUGUACGGGACACCUACCGUACACGCCAAUAAAUGCCUCGUCAACUGACGGGGCGUCGAAUGACGGGCGCCUCUCCCUAGGGCAUAUUUCACUGACACGACAACGGCCCUUGGAUUUACCGGUCCAGAGAUACACCGGCGAGGUUUCCCUUCGGUAAAAAGUAAAUUACCUCCAUUGCCAUGGAUCAAUCAAUGAUAAUCGAAGAGCGUUCAUGGAGGUAAAAAGGCCGUUGGAAAGGUUUCCAACAAAAUAUAAGGUGGCAAAAGGCUGGCAGUUGCAACCCUUCCGUACGGUUCUUCAAACCCGCCAUGCAAAAGAAAAGAGAGAAAAGGUGACGCAGAACAUUCAUAUAUCAUAAAGGGAAGCGAAGAAUUAGGGUUCCCUGCGCAAUCCAGUGUCGCUUUUGUACUUUUCUAGAAGGGCCAAUGCGUUGGAAUGGGUUGGAUUCUUCGAAGUAAAAGGAGCGAUUAAAAUUGGAAAUUUCACCGCCAAGGGAGCGUGAGAGUGAGGCCCUUCUUCUACAUCGCCCGCAAAGAUACCUUCCAAGCUCGUGUUUUUGUCAUUGAUACAACUAGAUUCCACGGGCAUAUGCCGCACCGGGAAACAUUCCCCCCACUACCGUACGGAUGUACCCGGCGACGGGCGGUGACGGGUGGUAACGGGCGUCGGCGGCGGGAAAACCCUAACCGGCCACCGGGAAAUGCCACCGGUAACAUUAACUUGCUCUGUUCUUUUGCUUUGGCCCUUGGAAUUUUUUUUUUUCUUCUCUCGUGGCAUUUUGGAGGACACGAAAACACAGUGGCGAGCUCCAAAUCUCUGCUUCUCCGGAGGAUCGCGUCUAUUUUCUCGCAAACAAGAGAGAGAGCGAGAGAGAGAGAAGGAAGAGCUCUCGCGAAAGGGAGAGAGAGUUUUUCUUCCUUCCUUGUCUCGCCCUUUUUCCCCCUUGUGAUCCCCCCAUUCCAUUCCAUUCUCUCUCUCUCUCGGAGCCUCGGAUCCGCGGUUGAAUCUCCGGCGGGCACUGGGAUUCGCGCGAGAGAGCAGUGAGAUUCGCGGGCGGGCGAGGCAUUGGGCAUCUGGGUCGCGCGAGGAAUUGGAGGAGCAAGCUAGAGGGCUUCCCUCUCAUGGGUUGCUUGUGCCAGGCGCUCACUCCCAGGUAAGCCAUAGCAGCAAGGCAAGGAGGAGCCGCGCGAGCGAGGCAAGCGAUGCGAGAGAGGGAGCCAGGUAUGGCGGCAUUGGAGCCGCCGCGGCAUCGUCUCUCCUCCUCCGCCACCGUGAUCACACCAUGACGACGCCGCCGCUGGAAUGCCAAUGCUGAUGAAUCCCAGCUCGCCGCCAAUGUGAGCGGAAUCGCCCCGCAGCUCCUCCGCCAGCCCCCAAUCUCGUCGAUGCCUCCGCCGCCGGGAUUCCCCGUGGGAUAGGGAUUUGUCCUAGGCUCCUCCUCGCCGCCGCCGCGCGCCUCCUCUCCUGGCUCUACUGGGUUCCUUCUCCUCUCUAUCCAGGCGGCCUGGCUCUAGACCAGUACCUAGAGAACCGCCGGCUGGCGGUACCGCCGCCCGCCGCCAGCGGCAUAAGGCCCUCGCCUGGCGGUAUACCGCGCGGUACGCCGUCCUCACAGUUUGGGAUCCUAGCCAACUUAUCAAACUUGUCCUCUUCGGGUGGAGCUUUCCAUAGCGGCAGCAAUCCUUCUCCCAGCUCGCUAAAUUAUGCGCUGCUUGGAUCCAGCGUAGAUGUUCUCAGCCCAACUUCUUCCUCCGGGAACCUUGGAAAUAAUCCAUCCGCCGCCGCCGCCACCACCACCUCGAGCGCGAGUUUGCUGAGGAGUUCCUCGUCGAGGCUCGAGCAUGAUCCGGGGCUGGCCAACUUCCAGCCUCCAAUGCAGCUGGUUUCCAGCGCUGCGCAGGAGCAAGCCAGCGGCGGGGCGGUGGUGGGAGGUGGCGGCGGGGGUGGCGGAAGCGGUGGUGGUGGUGGUGGCGGUAAUAAUGGUACGUCGACGAUCACCACCAUGCAAGACCAUCACCAGGCGGCGAUGGCGGCUGGGGGAGUGAAGUUGGAACCGGUGGAGCCGCAGACUCAUCAUCUCCACCAGCAAAUGCUACAGUCGCAGCAUCACCACCAACAGCAAAACAGCGUUUUGAUCCCGAAAGUGGAGGUGAAGCUCGAGGAGGAGCUCCACCAGCAGAUGCUCCAGCAGCAGCAAGCCCGGCAGCAGCAGCAGCAGCUCCAGGCUCAUCUCAGCCUCCUCAACCAGCAGAGAUUGCUCAAGCACCACCAGCAGCAGCUGCUGCAAUCGCUGCCUCAGAACCAGUCUCAUCUCCACCAGCGCCAGCAGCACCUCCAGCACUUGCAACAGCAGCAGCAACAGCAGCAGCUCCAGCAUUUGCAGCAGCAGCAACAGCAGCAGCAGCAGCAGCAGCUCCACCAGCAGAACCAAAGCUUCGUCGCGAGUUCUUCCUCAUCGAGCAACGCCCCUCCGCCGCAGCACCUCCUGGCUCUUCAGCUUAAGCAAGUCUACGAGCCUGGCUCUUGCUCGCGCCGUGUCAUGCAGUAUAUCUAUCACCAAAGGCAUCGGCCUCAGGUACUCCACUCUCUUUCUCGCGGAGUUCCACAAACUCGGCAAGCUUUUGCAGGACAAUAGCAUAACGUUUUGGAGGAGAUUCAUCGCGGAGUACUUUGCCCCCCGUGCGAAGAAGCGCUGGUGUGUUUCUUUGUACGGGAAUGGGAACAAUGGCCGCCAGCCAACUGGUGUCUUCCCUCAGGUGAAAACUCUCAGGAGAAUACUUCUUGACGUGACAAAACUCUGUUGGUUUCUCUCAGGACGUUUGGCAAUGUGAAAUCUGUGGAACAAAACCGGGUCGAGGCUUUGGUGAGUUCUUUCCUUGCUUAUGUGUUUUGGAGUGUUUGUGAUUUUCGUUCUUGUUCUAGAGACGACUGUGGAGGUUUUGCCACGGCUUUGCAAAAUCAAGUAUGACAGUGGCAUCCUCGAGGAGCUCCUGUUCGUGGACAUGCCUCACGAGUACCGCUUGGCGUCGGGGGUCAUCGUUUUAGAGUAUGGGAAAGCCAUUCAAGAGAGCAUCUUUGAUCAAUUGCGUGUUGUGCGGGAUGGUCAGCUCCGGAUAAUCUUCUCUCCUGAUCUCAAGGUAAGACAGAAGAACAAAUGAAAACAAACAUUGAGAGGUGUAGUUAUACUUGAAUUGUUUUUCUUCUUGACAGAUACACUCUUGGGAAUUUUGUGCAAGGAGUCAUGAAGAACUGCUUCCUCGAAGAAUGAUAGUUCCACAGGUUGACUUCUUCUUUCUUUGUAAUCCGGGGUUCAAAGUUUUCGACUUGCAGGUGACCCAGCUGGCCACCGUCGCACAAAAGUACCAACAAAGUGUCGCGCAAACGGGAACUGCUGGACUAUCGUCACAGGACCUACAAACAAAUUGUAGCAUGUGAGAAAUUUUUUUCUCUUCCUUAUGUUUGUGGUUUUUCAUCCUUUAUUCUUUCAGGUUUGUAACAAGCUCGCGAAAUCUUGCAAGAAACUUGGAAGUUCCGACGGUAAAUGACCUUGGCUAUACGAAGAGAUACGUUAGGUGUCUUCAGGUAAACUUUUGUAUUUUCAAUGUACGAAACUAUAUGAGAACUCGGGUUUUUUUGUUCAGAUAUCAGAGGUAGUAAACAGUAUGAAAGAUUUGAUUGACUUCAGUCGAGAAAACUCUAUGGGACCCAAGGGUACUUCCUACUUUCAUAGAUUGAUUUUUACCUGUGACGAUUGAUUUUGGUUAUCGCAGCGAGCUUGGAGAUUUUUCCUCGUCGGACAAGCCUUGGGGGUGCCUCGACUACUAUGGCUAAUGGAAAUCACCAGCAGCAGCAGCAGCAAACUUUGCUCCUCCAGCAACAUCAACAGCAGCAGCAUCAGCAGCAGCAUCAGCAACAGCAACAGCAACAAUUGCAGCCGCAGGAGUUGCAAAUCUCGUCAACUUCUCAAGAACACGAUCACCAACAUCAACUCAUGAGCUCCUCCACCAUUGCUCCGCCGAGACAACAACAUAAUCAUCAACAACAACAACAACAUCACGCACACCAACACCAACACCAAUAUCAAUUCCAACACCAACAGCAGCAACUAGGAACUUCUUUACAGGGCCUUCUCGGCUCAUUCCCUUCUCUACUCCACCAGCAUCAGCAGCAGCAGCAGCAGCAGCAGCAAAGUAACAGCGCUACGAUAUCUCCAGCUUCAUCGCUCAUCAUCCCCAAGAACACCACCACCACCGCCAACAACAACAGCUUCCAGGCCGCGCAGAUCCUCACGAGCAGCAGCAAUCUCCAGAGCCCAACGAGCUCCGGAAACUUGAUGAGCUCUCCUCCGGCAAUAAUGGGCAGUAACAGCGCCUCGAUGCUCCAGCAGCAACCUAGCAGCCAGCAGCACCAGCAGCAGGAUAGCGUCGUCCAUCAGCUCUUGCAAGAGAUGAUGAUGAACGCUGGGAGCAGCGGGAUGAUCUCGCCAGGGAAUAGUUUGAGCCACGGCGUUGGGAACGUAAACGGUUUUGGAGCCUCGGUGCUGGAGAGCACGUCCAACUUGGGGAUGGGCAUGAGAAGUACACAGCAGCAAAAGAGUUUGUAUAUGAGUUCUUCGCAAGAUCACGGUGGAGGAGUCCAUGACCUAGCCGAGAACGGGAUAUUGAGCAGUUUGGGAGCGGCAAAUGGUUUUGCAAGCUUGCCGUUCGACUGGAAAUCGCCGUGAGAUAGCUGUAAUACAAAGAGGUAAAAGGUAAUAGCAGCGAAAAGCUGAGGGAGCCAGAGAGAGAAAGGAUCUUCCCCUGUGAAAGAGAGACAGAUUGAUCGUAAUUGUCAAAGUGUUCCAACAUAGAUAGUAUUCCAACUCUACUACUAACAUAAUCAUUGUUUCAAAUGAAACAGAGUCCAAAAAAUUUGUUAUCUUUAUUAUCAAGAAAUCAAAAAGUAAAAUGAUAGGAAAGAGGGAUCAAUUUUUAAUGUUAUACUUUAUUUAAUACAUAAAAUUUAAAAUUUAAAAUAAUAGUCUCUUUCAAAUGUAUGUGAUAAUGUUUAAUUGGGAGUAGUUCAUUUUGGAAAAUUUAAAUAUUUAUCAUAUUAACAUAAAACCCAUUAAAUUUUUACAUUAUAAAUAUUUACAUUAUUAAUUAUUAUAUCAAAACUAAUGUUAUAUUCUUUUAUUGAUAAGAUAUUAUACAUUAAUUAAAAUCAUUUUAAAAUAUUUUUGCCUUUUGGUUCAUUCCAAGUCAUCAUUCUUUUAUUCACCAUAGUAUUCAAUUGUACCUUCAUUCUUAAAAUUUAGACAAAAUAAAUUUAUUUUAUUUAAUAAUUAUUAUUUUAAAAAUAUAUAAAUUUAGAAAUAUAAAUGUUUAUUAUAUUUUUAUAUAAGUAUUUUCGUUAUUAACUCAAUCUAAAGUGUUAUAACCUUGAAUAAUGUUUAAAAAUUGUGUUAAUUUGUAAUUGUGGAGUUGAAAAAUAAAUAAAGUAUUACAGCAUAAUAAUACAUUAACAGUAUUAAUGAUAUUGGUUUUUGUUUUGUACUUUUCCACUUAAAAAAACUACUAUAUAUUUAUUGUGUCUUUCUUAUAAAUAUUUAUUGUAAAUUUAUUUUUAAUAUUUUUAAUACAAUUUGAUGUAGACUUUUAAAAGUAUAAAAGUAUUCAUAAAACAAUUUAUAGAUACUAAAAUUUUAAUGUAUAUAUACUUAAUAUUUAAAUUUUGGUAAGGUCUCAAAACUUACUAAAUAUGGAAUGGCACUAGAUUGCAUAUUUGGGCAUGGGACGAACACCAUUGUGUUCAAGACAAUUUCUAUAUUUCGUAAACAUGCCAAAAUAGUAAAUCUAAAUCUAUGGUCAUAAAAGUUGACUAAAGGGAAGAUACAAAAGUAAGUUAUAUUGAUGGUCAUGAGUCUAAAUUAACAAUAAUAUCAGAGAAGACUUAGAAAUAAAAUGUAUUAUUUACUAGAAUGGUGCUUUAUAAGUUGUUGUGGCCUUUAAUGUUCUUUGUUUAGGUUUAAAAUUAUGAAUUUAAAAUUGGUUUAAGCAUUUAGAAGUUGCACACAUAGUUACAAUUAAUUCAUCAAAAUUUCAUAAUUAACUGAUGUUAGUGCCAUAGUUUUUGAUUUUGGUUUUAUCAUGGUUAUCACGAAUUAUGUUGGUUGUGUUAUAGGGGUUUUUAAUUCUUGUGACAAUUUAUAAUUCCCCAGUAAAAUAUUUAAAUGUUCUACUUGACUUUUUGUCAUCACUUUUUCAUCUUCCCAAAGGAAGGAUAAUGUAUAUAUAUAUAUAUAUAUAUAUAUAUAUAUAUAUAUAUAUAUAUAUAUAUAUAUAUAUAUAUAUAUAUAUAUAUAUAUAUAUAUAUAUAUAUAUAUAUAUAUAUAUAUAUAUAUAUAUAUAUACAUAUAUACAUACAUAUAUAUAUACAUAUAUAUAUAUAUAUAUAUACACAUAUAUAUAUAUACACACACACACAUAUACAUAUAUAUAUAUAUAUAUAUAUAUAUAUAUAUAUAUAUAUAUAUAUAUAUAUAUAUAUAUAUAUAUAUAUAUAUAUAUAUAUAUAUAUAUAUAUAUAUAUAUAUAUGUAUGUAUUACUCUAAUUAUAAUACUAUAGCAUAUAUAUGGGAAUGAAUGUGAUCCAUCCAUUUUUGUAUAUAAGUAGGGAUUUAAACCCAUAUCCUGAGCACUCACAUUCUGAAAUUAAAUUGAAAAUAUGAUAUACAAUAAAAAUUCUUGUAUUAAAUUUAAACCACAUAUGAUAAGAAUCUUUAUAAAUGAAGUGGUCUAAAAGUAAAUGAUCCUAAUUUAAUAUUUAUAUUUCACAUGCUCCAUAUUGUUUUAUAUUCUAAGAAUUAGAAGAAAAUUUAAAAGAAUCUAUCUUGAGAUUUUAUGUUUGGUAAGAAUUACAUUAAGUGCUAAUCUUCACUUAGAACUUCAGGAUGCACUAAUAUUAAUGCCGAAAUUAUGAGCAAAGUUUUAUGAAAGAAAAAAAAGCAAAAGGUUAAAGAAAUGCUAUUAACUAAUGCUGUGGGACUGCAUUCAUUCGUGGAGAUGGUGGAGUGAGAUCUUUGUUUGGAACUAGACUAAUAGUCAGAACUUGAAGAGCAACAAACAACUGCAAGAACCACUUUACCUAUAAUUAGUUGCCUUGGAUCUUCACAUAAAGCACACUUUGUGUAUACAAAAUUCUAUAUUGUUCUAUCCUUGAGGAAGGGUCUGCCCAAGUUAAACUAUUCUUUGAGGAUAUUCCAGCACCAUAGGGUUAGGGCUUUUUAUUUCCACGAAGGAACACUUGGAUGAUGGCGAUGGCGGUGGCGGUGGGAGGAGCGGCGAGCUGAGAAGCUGAUCCUCGGAAUGUAGUGAGCUGCGGGGGGUCGAUUCUAGCUCGAUGGGCGGUAAUGAGCAGGAUAGGACUGAUGCCGUGUACAAGACGAAGAUUGUGAAUUUCUUGGGCCGCCCCGUGCCUAUCAUCCUCCAAAACGAUAACGGUCCUUGCCCUCUCAUCGCUAUCUGUGAGUAAACUUUUACUGGUUUGCAUUAGGAGCUUUUCUCUUACUUUGUUUUCCCUUGUUUUCUCAGGUAACGUUCUUCUCUUGAGAAACAACGUGACACUUCACAAGGAUUCUCCCGACAUCUCACUACAAAGUCUACUGAUUUUGGUAGCCGAGAGACUGCUCGAUUCGAAUAGCAACAACCAGGUAAAGUUACUCAAGCUUUAAUGCCAUUUUUCCACGGAUUUGCUCCUCUUUUUUUCUUCCUCUGGUUCAGGACAAGGACGAGAACUAUAUCCAGAACCAGCAGCAGAACAUUUCGGAUGCCAUCUCGUUGCUUCCUCGGCUUGCCACUGGAAUUGAUGUUAAUGUUCGGUUUAGAAAGUAAGCCGGACUGUGCCGUUUCUUUGGCUCGGGCGCUUAUACUUUCGCACUAUUUUCGCAGUAUUCAUGAUUUUGAGUUCACCCCAGAGUGCGCGAUAUUUGAUCUUCUAGACAUUGGCCUUGUCCAUGGCUGGCUUUGUGAUCCUCAGGUAACCAUGCCAUUAAGGGUCGAUUCUCUUACUCUUUUGCUGGUGUAGGAUGAGACCACAAGCAGAGCAGUGGGAUCAAACUCUUACAACGUCCUCGUUGAAAAGCUUGUCGCAUUGCACGCUGGAAAGCCUGCUGUGGAGGAGGAGCCGACUGUCGAUUUUGCCGCUGCAACCACUGCUAGCUUAGGAGUGCCUUCUCCAGGUCUCUGCUCGAGAACGUCCUUUGAGGGCUUGCAGUUUCUGGAUUUCACGGAUCAAAAGCAGGAAGCCCCGGAGACGCUUGAUACGUCAUUGGAGACAGAAACAGAGGGUUCAAAUGAAGCGGAGGAAACCCGAAAGAGGAAAGGUGAUGAAGAGGAAGCCGCUCAGUUGCUCGACGCUCUCAACCUGUCCAGAGUGGACGUCCCAAGCACGCAGCUUGUGGAUACGGAAAAUGGAGCUUCGAGUCCAAAGAAGAACCCGGUGGAAACGGAAGCAGGCCUCAAGGAGUGGCCCAGUAUGACAGUAUGGGUGCCUGAAAAAGAUGGUGGCAGUGGUACAGAGUCACUGGUAACGGUGGCGGAGGACAGUGAGUGGCAGACCAAAAUCGAUCGCGACACAACGGAGAGCUCGCAGCUCAGUAGCUCGUCAGAUUUCGAGUGUGUAGAAGUAGACGAUUGUAGGACUGCUGAUUCUUCGAACCUCAGCGGAGAAGCAGAAAAGAUGGAAUCCGCGACAGCUGACAGCAUCGCUGAGGAUGCUGGUCGUGAGAAUGAAGGACGGAUUGGAAUCGAUGAGCCGCUUUACGAGGGUGAAACAACAUAUCAGUCAUUUGAAGGUGACUUCGAGAACCGGGAGCUUUUAUACGAAGGGGAAGCGGUUAUAGCUGAUUCGGAGCCGGGAUCCAGUGGAUCUGAUUUGAGAACUUCAGAAGGUAUGAUUUCCAUUUGUUUGUUUCUUAGUUCAAGCAAACUUUUGGGGCUAAUAUGUGUAACUGGAUGCUUUGAAACUUUCCAGCGCUGGCUAUUGAGAAUUUUUUGAGCAGCCACGCAAGUCAACUCACAUACUACGGGUGCGUUGCAAGCGUUUGUUUAUUCUUUGCUGAAUAUUUGUCUUUUCCCGAUUUGUUUUUCCAGUCUCUUUAGUUUGCAGGAAGGGCUGAAAGAAAGAGAGCUGUGUGUUUUUUUCCGCAAUAAUCACUUCAGUGCGAUGUUUAAGGUCUGGUUGGUUGUGUUAUUCGGUAAUUGCUACAAGUGCUUAUCGUCGUGUUGCAGUACGAGGGAGAUCUCUUUCUGCUUGUGACAGAUCAAGGCUACCUCAACGAACCCGAUGUCGUGUGGGAAAAACUUACUGAGGUGAUUUAAUUUGAAGGGUGACGUUCGUUGCUUGACGGUUGCGUGCUGUAGGUGGACGGUGACUCUGUCUUUUUCACCGGCAACUUCACGUUGUUUAAGGCGGACGAUCGGAACACGAGUUCCUGGAAUGAGCGUGACGCAGUCGCUGCCACAGCUGUGAGUUGUUACAAACUAUCUCAGUGGAGGAUCUCUGUAUUUAUCUUUACUUUUGCUGCAGGAUUACAUCUCUCAAAUGGGAAAGCCAGUCCCGGCACCGCAAACUUCCAUUGAUCCAAGCUACAAGUAUGACUGGGUUUUAUAGUGUCUCGGUUCUUAUCAUCACGUCUUUGGUGCAGCUCGGAUUUGGAGCUAGCCAUGGCACUGCAGCAACAAGAAUUCGACCAGCAGCAAAACCAGCAAAACCAGCAACCGCAGCAACAGCAGCAACAGCAGCAGCAGCAGUCCCCUCGAAAGCCAUCCAAUUCUCCGCGAAAGGGACACAGACAAUCCAGUGGGAUCACUCCUGGAAGGCUAGUCACGGUAAGAAGAUAGCACUUCCUUCGCCGAACUAAAAGAUUAUCUGGCAGGGACCGAGCAGUGCCAGUCCGCCACCCAAGUCAUCGGACUCGAAACCCAAGGAUAAAUGCAAAUUGAUGUGAAAUACAAAGGAUGGUAAUAAUAUACAUAAUUUUUUUCUUCCCAUCUUAUUCUCUAGUUUGAUUUAUUACUUCAUAGCUUGGAUUGAUUUUUUUUAUCGAUCAUGUUAAGAUGGACACACUGCCAGUGGAAGUAAAAUCCUGCGCAAAGCUUCUAAAAUCUCUCGACAAGCUAGAGGAUUGCCACAAGGUCCACGCGAAGAUCCUCGAGCACAGCCUCUUUUCUCGCAACACCUUUCUCUCCAACACCACCCUCGAGGCCUACGCUCGAUGCGGGGGCUUGGCCGAGGCGCUCCACCUCUUCCACUCGAUCCAUCGCCCCAAUCUCUUCUCCUGGGGCCUCGUGAUCCGGGCUUGCAUCGGCCACGAUCGCCUCCCUCUCGCUCGCGAGUUCUUCGAUGGAUCGCCCCAGCGCGGCCUGGUGCUGUGGACGACGAUGGUGGCGGCGUAUGCCCAGGCUGGGGAUCCCGCGGCAGCGCAGGAGCUCUUCGAUUCCAUGCCCGAGUGGGACGUGAUCUCCUCCACGGUGAUGAUCACGGCCUGCGAGCUGCCAAGAGCGCGAGAGAUCUUCGCCGCCAUGCCCGAGAGAAACUUGGUCUCCUGGACAGCGAUGGCGGCAGCGUAUGCCCGGAGAGGGCAUCUGGAAGAAGCCGUGGAGCUCUUGGAUCGAACGCCGGAGCUGGAUCUGGUGUUGUGCACGUCUAUCGCGGCCACGCACGCGAGGAACGGCGAUUUCGAUCGAGCGAGAGAGUUCUUCAACCGGAUCAAAGAGCCCGACGCGUUCUCGUACGCCACCAUGAUUGCUGCGUAUGCCCAGGCCGGGAAGAUGGAGGAAGCCCAAGAGCUCUUCGAUCGAAUGCCCGAGUUUGGAGUGGUGGCGGCCACUGCCCUCGUCCAUGGCUACGCCGAGAGUGGCGAUCUCGAGGCCGCGAAGCUCGCCUUCGAUCGAAUGCCGGAGAAGAACAUCGUUUCCUGGACGACGAUCGUCUCCGCCUAUGCCCGAGCCGGUCUCAUCGAAGCCGCCGAGGAGUUCUUCGCGAGCUCGAUGAGCAAGCACGACACCACAUCGAGCAACGCGAUGCUGGCCGCGCUGACGCUCAACUCCUGCGUCGAUCGAGCCAAGGCGGUGUUUGAUGCGAUGCCGCUGCGCGACCUGGUGUCGUGGAACUCGAUCUGCGAGGCCUUCGCCGGGAGCAACCGAGUGGACGUCGCGGCGGAGAUCUUUCGCUCGAUGCCCGAGACCGAUGUGGUGUCCUGGACGACUCUCGUUGUGGCGUAUGCUCAGGCUGGUCAUAGCGCCGCUGCCUCGCUCGAGCUCUUCCACGCCAUGAAUCUCCACGGCCAGCUUCCAAACGCCGUCACCUUUGUGGGAAUCCUCACUGCUUGCAGCCGCAUUGGGAGCUUGCGUAUCGGUCUAGCCUGCUUUGCUUCGAUGGUCCACGACUUUGCACUCGAGGUUUCUCCGGAGCAUUGGUCUUGCCUUGUGGACAUGCUGGGAAGGUCGGGUCAGACGAGUGAUGCGCAAGAGGUGAUCAAAGACCUGCCUGCUGCUCGCGAGGAUCCCGUGGCGUGGACGGCGUUUCUGAGCUCUUGUAAAGACCAGGCGGAUUUCCAGCGGGGAGCUUUCGUUGCCCGAGAUGUGGUUGCUUCCGGUGUUGCGGAUGGCGGGGCUUUCACGCUUGUUUCUAGCAUCUGCUUCACUUAGCGAGAAAACAAGAGAAGGCGAAGUGCAGAAACACCUUCUCACUCACAGACGAUGAUAGCCUUUCUUUAUUGUAACUUUACUGGUGUACCUUUGCUUUCACACACGAAGCUCACAGAAGCUUCAGGAUAUCCUUCUGCAAGAAAAGAAGUUAGUGCACCGAAAGAGAGUAGCGCGGCAAGAAAUUGACCUCGAUUUUGGAUGGGUUUGUAGUUGGAGCAUAGCGCUCAACAACUUCACCAGUCUUGCUCACCAGAAACUUGCUGAAGUUCCACUUGAUAAAGUCGCCGAAAAUGCCCCCACCCUUGGCAGACUUGAGGUACUUAAAAACAGGAGCUGUGUCUGCUCCAUUCACGUUCACCUGACACAACACCACGAUGGAAAAAUUAGGAGAGAACUGAAAAGAUAAUCACCACUUACUUUCCCAAAAACCGGGAACUCGGCCUUGAAUCGAGUACACACGGUUUGCUGGAUUUCUUCGUUAGAGCCAGGCUCUUGCCCGGCAAACUGGUUACACGGAAAGGCCAGGAUCUCAAAGCCUGGAGUCAGAGAGAGCUCAUAAGUUUCACAGCCAGAAAAAAGAAAUUCAUACCCUUGUCCUUGUACUUCUCGUAGAGCUCGUUGAGUUCUUUGUAAUUGGUUGUAGUGAAGCCACUGCCGAAGAAGAAAAACCGGUUAGAGCACACCUCGAUUGACAACAAACAUACCAUUGCGAUGCAACGUUUACAAUCAGGAGAACUUUGUCCUUGUAGCUGCCGAGAGAAACAUCGUUUCCUGUAGCAUCCUGUAAAACAAUGGGAAGAACUUCUAGACAAUUGGAGAGAUGUAUAAACGAGCGAACCUUGACAGUAAUGUCGUAGAUGCUAGAGGGCUUAUCCGAAGAGCUCAUGUUCCGAUAAUUCGGCGAGAAGAUUCUUGCAGAGUCGUGAAAAAGCGAAGGGUUCCUCCAAUACAAAGAUACCAAGAGCACAAGAACCAACGAUAUAUAUGAGGAAUAUGCACUAAGUAUCAUUCGCUGGUACGUUAAAAACUAGCUGUGGAUUCUUGUGUCUGGAAGAACAAGCCAGAAGCGAGAUAGAUGAUCGACCUCGAUCGAUCUCGACGCGCAAGAGCGACAAUCGCCAUACCUGGAUUGCGACAAGCGAGUGACUGCUCACAGAUCGAGCCAAGCGAUUCUCACACCGCGUUCUUGGCGCAGCGCAUUCCGGGAAGAAGAGAAAGAACAAAGAAACCCUAGCACUGGAGAGGCAAUGAGCUUCUUGUCUAUGAGAAAUUUUGGGGGGAAUGGAUCGAAGCGACCAUCGAUCCAAUCCAGGAAAUAUUACAGUGAGCAAUCGCACCGAUCGGUGGAUGGCAGGAAGAAUGGAAAUAUUUCGAGAGAGCUCUUACUCCUCCGCGGUCACGGGGUCACGCUGUCGCUGGAUGUAGGCCGGAAUCCCACAGUCGGAUACAUCUGGCGCUUGCGAUGCAUGCUCACUGGCGCCGCCGUGAAAUGCAUGAGCAGCUGGUUGCUCGCGAAGAGAUCCGUGAGAUAGCUGCCGCCAUUGCCGAGAACCUUGCUGCACGCGCCUUUGAUCUUCCUCGCGACCACGCCGGGCGCCCUGGCCAUGGCCUGGUGGAUCUUGGACACCGGGCACGGAGAUUUCCUGCAAGCCGACUUGGAUUUCGCCGAUCGGUCGCCUGGCCGAUCGGCCGGGCGGAGGCGAAUCACCGGCGGGAGCUCCACAUUGCUGCUACACUCCGCGGCAUCGAUGGAGCUCACGAAUCUCUGGUAGCUGCGGAUGCCAUGGCCGGAUUUCUUCUUGUCCCUGGACAAUCCCAAUGCCGCCGGCAAAGACCGCCCCAUAAUCCCUAUACGGAUGGAUCCACUGCUGCGUGGCCGCCGUCGCGUGGAUCGAUGGAAUCGAUCGAUCGCCUGCCUGCCUGGGAAGGAUGGAAUCGCAGCAACUACCUUAUUAACGACUGCCGAUUCGGGAUCAGAGGAGGAGGAGAGAGAGAGGGACGCGUUCUUCGCCAGGACUGCGACGCCAUGCCAUUGAAGGAAAAGAUGGAUGGACGGAUCCAAUCAAGGAUGGAACAGAGUAAUGCCAGAUCUCCAUUCCACGGUUUGGUAGAGCGCAUUGAAGGAAGUGACUCUAGGGCUUGCGUGUCCGCCGCGGUGUCAACAUUUUAGGGCUUUCCUUUUAGUUUAGGGUUCUAACUUUUAGGGCGUAAAUUAAAGGGGGGGUCAACAAAUUUGCCAGACAAGAUCAAGUUGGCCACCAGUUUGUGGUACUUUUGCGUGAAAUGGUUUCCAUCCCAAGAGACGAAUUUGGAGGGAUCAACACAGACUGGAACUCCGGGCGAUCCACAUUUUCUCCGGGGUGAGAAGUUGUACGGACUCCCGGAUCCACAGCACGCGUUGUCUGUGUCUGCGAAACCUGUAUGAAAAUCCUGAUCAUCAGCUAGGAAACUUCAAGAGAAUAGCCACACCGUAACGCUCUGCGUUCUUCUUGAUGUGGAGGAACGAGUUGUAGAGAUCCGCAAAGAAGAAUCUCGAGUCGCGGUGUUGUUUCCUCAGCCGAUCGGUGGCGGCCUUUAGCCCGAGCUGCAGCGUGAGCGUGAGGUUGUUGUACGGAAUUAGACACCCGCCGGCGUCAUAGUCCCCCGGGUUCUUGCCUCCGUACAGCGUCUUGAAGAGCGGCGUGCAACCCUGUGGAGGGCGGCCGAAAACCAAGAAAUUCCUCGCUCCAUGCCGGUGCAAGGUCUGCUCGGAAAGUUCUAAGAUUUGCCAUCGAGACUCGGGUUACUCACUCUUAUUGCGGAUUCAACAGCGGCCACCGCCCGAGGGAUGAUCGAAUCGCGAAUCUCCUCGAGCGAUUUGUUCCCGAACUCCGGCUUUAAGUUGUGAUUGAUAUCGUUCCCGCCGACGAGAAUGAAGUACAGAGAUUUCUUGAAGAAAGACGGGGCUGGCAACAAGUUGUUGCAUCCUUUUACUGAGGAUAAAAAUGCCAUCGUCAAAGUUCUGUCAAGCCACAACAAAAGUACCUGUCCCUUGAUCGAUUUCUCGAGCCCGGCUGAUCACCCUUCUUCGAAACUGCAAGAACUGCUUCACUUGGAGCAUGAGGUGGAAGGGAUUUUGGAAGCUUGCAGCGGCGGCAGUAGCUCCAGUCUGCGCGAAAUUCACACUUUUCCUAUGAUCCGGGCGCAAAUCCUCCAAAUAAGCCACCGCGCCCUCUCCAAGACCGAGAGCUUUCACUGGAAACCACGGAUUGCUCGAUUAUGAUUGCCCAUGAAAACAACUAUUUGACCCCGUACCAAAGUAGUCCACCAUGAGCUUUCCAUCGCUGGAUCUUCCCGUGCUACUGGAUCCGGGCCAGGUGAUCCCGUACGGCAGUCCGGAAGGGAAUCCCCCGGGCACACCGUCGGGAAACAAGGCUUGCGCGUUACCUGUGUCGGACAGGGAAUCGCCAAACGCGAUGAGACCCCGGACUGGAAGCGCUCGCAAAUGUGGGGCACGAUGUGGGGCUUGUCCUCCAAAUGUUGAAAGAAUCUGGGCAUUGGCAUCGAUGAGCAGCGAGAGCGAGUAGCACAUCCAUUGGAGGAGCAGUGUCAUGGUGUGUGAGAUUGAUAUUGAAGAACGUUUUGUGCAAGCAUUCCUCUAGAAGUGAAGUAUAUUUGAAUCUCAAAAUCCAUCCAAGCACGUUUUAAGAUGCCGAUAGUGUAUUUUGGAUUCAAAAUGGUCAAAGGGGCAUAACGUUAAAAGAUAUUUAAUCUUAAGAGGAGGUCGUUAAGCCUUUUUAUCUUUGUUGUUAAAAGAUUGGUAAACCCUAAAAAGGAACCUCCGUCGAUUCCAAUCGGCUUAGCAGUUGGAUCGCAAAAGCUCCGAAUUAAGGAUUAGCCUAUAACUAAAGGUGAAGCAAAUGAAGUGAGGAGGCCUUCGCCCAUGAUCUUGGUAUUGCCUGGAUAUUGCUCAAUUACUCAGUCGUGAGACUCAUGAAAAGCAGAUUUUUUCACACUACCACUAGGUGAGCCCAGCAUUUCGAGUCAUCAAGAUCCCUUUCAGGAUCUUGCCAUCCAUGCAACUUCGUCGCUACAAGACCCUUACAUUCACUUCACUCAUUAGCUCUGACGAGGGUUGAAAUUGAUGAUUCGGACGAACAAGGAUUGACCCAGGCCUUCAUUCUGGAGUCUGAAAUCUCAAAAUGAAUUACUGAUACACCUUGAUACUUUGAACAAAAUGAUUUAUGCAUCUCUAAGUGCCAGAACAUGAUCAUGAUCUUGAGAGAGAAUUUACAAAACCCAACAUAGAUGCGAUGAACAAACAACAUCCAUAAUAACUACAUCAAAGGGCUGGAUUGACUCCAAUGGAGCAUUGAUGGAUCACCUUUCAUGGGCGACGAUUCCUCCAAAGGUGAUCCCUAAAGAGGUCCAAAGCUACUUGAAGCUGCAAGGCUAGAAAAUGCUAAAGAGAUUUAUUAAUUGUUCCAUUCAAAUCCAUAAUCAUAUGAAGGAUUUAGAUUGGUUUUCUAUGCUCGAAUAUGAGCUUCAGGUAUGUUGGUUUGUUGUUUAAUUCUUCACAUUUGUCCUGUGAGCAGGCAAAGAUGUCCUUGGAGGAGUUCUGCAACGCAGUGCAAGUCCUCACCACCAUCAGUGAGAGCUGUCCGAUACAAACUCACAAACGACAAUUCACGAAGAGCUAUAACAUGCUGGCUGAGAAGUACUUAGCAGAUGAAGUGCAAAAUUUUGGAAAGCAUGACGUGGUGUUCCUGGUCACAGAGAUGUGAAAGAAACUUAUUUUAAAGUUUGGUUUGAGCUUUUUGGUUUUUGGUUGUAAUUUUGUAUUUACAAUUUAUAAACUUCCUUAAACACUUAAUAUAUUCUAGUUUAUUCUUUAAACAUGUUUCAAUGGAUUAACAAAUAAUACUAAAGUUGCUGCAUGCAACACACAGAAAAUUAAAGAAUUGACAAACAUGCGAGCUCAAAACAUCCAUUUUUUGCUUUCACUCUUCUUUGAAAUAAGUCGAAAUGCAGACGCACAAUCAAGCGUUCAGCUCUGGAAACUAGCUGCUCAAGGUAAGCACGUCGGUGUUGAAAGACCAGCCCUGCGGACUCGUGGCUCGAUCGCUGAGUAGUAGUUACAGGUCGAAGGGAAUGAGAUUAAUCGCCAGAGUUGGCUCUUCAGCAACCUUGGCAACGAAAAAAUCCCUGACCGGGGAUUAAAGCAACUCUUACCAGCUUCUGGAGGCCAUUCUAGCUUUGACCACCUCCGGAUUCCAGGGGCAGUCAAUCGGCACCGAAAGAGUCUCGACCGUCCUGUCCAUGAGGCAGCCGCUCCUGUACCCGGUGGCUUUCAUGGUCGCAAAGUUGACCAUCCAAUAGUCAGCGGCGACCUUCGAUGACGCGAGCGCUCGUGAAGACGAUUUUAAUUUUUGGAAAGCACGGGUGUUGUUGACCAGAAAGUCAUGAAAAGUCGUAAUCAAAGCAUAUCCUUUUUUCUUUCACUCUUUGCCUCUGGGAAGAACUUUUCUCCGAGAAAAAUGAAAGCACCACAAGAACCCCUUGUUGAGGUCUGAAGCCUCUGGCCAUGGUUUGACGUUAAUGCCUAUUUUUCACCGGGUUUGAGACGUCCAGAGCCUCUGACCAGAACUUUACACCGAAAGAAGCUAUGCCUAUCUUUUCUCACGGGGUGGAAGGAUUUGCUCUCGACUGGAGUCCGGUGCACCACGCUGGUAACUUGAACCGAUUGAUCCAUUUGCAUAUAGUGAUAUUGUUUAUAGGUGUUAACAAAUCCAUGUCUGGCAACCACAGCAUGUACCUUAAGAGCUUGCGUUCUUGUUAAACAAUUCGUCCAGCGUCGAAGAUCUGCGUGAAAGCGUUUCCUUUGCUUGAGUUUUAAUGAUAAUAUCUUUGAGCUUACAGCCUGCUCCUCCGAUGGAACGGUCAGUGAUGAAAGUUUGAUUCUCUUGGAACAGGUUUGUGGUUCUCAAGAACAAACAUUUUUACUGCACUGUCAGAUUCACACGCCCGGGAUUUCGACUCUCUACAGGUGCUUGAGCUUCAAUGCAAUGUCUAAGUUUUGCUCGUAAAAGCUUUUUUAGGAUGGUCCUCCCAAAACACCAUACUGCUUACCAAUCUAAGAGUGCGAGAUCACGGUUCUGAGUUCGACCAAGAAGUGGACAAAAUGAUUUACGACAUGGAUGACAUUCUGGAACUGCUAUGUCUGGUAUACAUCAACGGCUUGGUAGAAGAACGUACCAGGUUAGAUCCUACAAUGGAUCAGCUCUUGGCCAUGGUUGGUGGUAGUCAAUUUUCCUGGGCGCCUGUUCCUCCAGAGGAAAUUGCGAAGAUUCUACGCAGCUUGUUUUAAGAGACUCGAUGAGCUUCAGGUAUGUUAUUCUUUGUAUUCUUCUCUUUGUUUUGUGCUUCACAUUUGUUUUGUGACCGGGCAGAGACGUCCUUUGAAGAGUUUUGCAGUGCAGUGUCCUUUGCACCAUUUGCGAGAGUUCUUCUAAGCACCACCUGACCAACCAUGGCAACCGAUAAGUUAUGACAGGCUUUGCUGUGAAAAUCAUUGAGAAAAUCAUUGAGAAAGAUCUGCACGGGCUGUCCCAGUGUCCAGGAGAUGCCCAGGUUUUUUGACCAGGUAAACUCAUUUUGAAGUUUGAUUUCAUGGUUUUUUCAGGUAGAAAGUUUCACCAGACACCACCGAGGAAAAUUUGAGAAGGAACGAAUCACACCACUCGUGAACAAGCUGAAAGCAUCACUUUCACUUUUCUUUUGAAAGAAGUCGUGAGAUCAUGAUCCACGUAUACUUGUUUGAAGCGAUAGCUCUUGGAUAGCUCUUGUUUAUUGAGAAGCAAACUUACUUACUACUGACUCGAGGCCCCUCCUCCUCCCUCCUGCACGGACGAAAGCUUCUCUUUGGUCCCGGACAAGGCCUCGAGCUCCUUCUCCACAAACUUAUCAAUGUCGCUGGGCCGGGUCCCGAUUCCAGCGGCGGCGGCCCUCGCCCGCGGCAAAUCGUCCUUGAAAGACACCCUCUUCCUCCUCGCUGGCCGCCUCACCGCCUGUUCUUCCGCUGGUGAUUUCUCUGGAGAAGCUCCCGACGGUGAUACCAGCAAGACGUUCCGGCAGCAGCACACCAUGGCUGCCACCUCCAGCACGAAGAUGAGCACCGCCCCCCACACGUAGCACGUCCACUUCCACUUGUACAGGACCGACUUGAGCCACGGAAGCUGCGACUGGACGAGCACCUCCGCGUUGUAGAUCUCCGGCAGCCCGGCUCCAGGACCGAAUCCGGCCCUCGGUUCCAGCAAUAUCUUGGCACUGCCCGGGUAGCUGCUGCUCGAUCGCUCUUCGUACGCUUCCACCAGCUUUAGGACGAGAGUCUGCGACUCCACCUCCAGUCCUAGGAUAAGUGGCACCGCCAGCAUAGCUGUCUUUGCGUACCGGAUCGGACGACUUCGGUAGCGGAGCAUGCAGGGAUGAGUGAACCGAGACAGCACCACGCCGUUCACUGCCAGGAUCUCAGCCGUCACCUGUUUUAUUUCACAAAGUCUGUGAGCAAACCACGUCCAAAGCAAACAAAAACCAGAAAGCAAGAAAGAAAAGGAACUUCCAUACGUACCUGGAACAUCCCGAGGCGUAUGUUGUGGUCGGAUUCGGGUAGCUGCAAGGUUGCCGUGAUGUGGAAGCUGUGCGUCUUCGGGAUUGCCCAGGCUUUCAAGCUGCUGACGCUCUUGUCCGUUACAACCUGAGGGAAGAGAGGAACUCGUGCACUCGGACGAGCCUCGGUGUAGUCGAAGUUUAUGCUUUCCCGCAGCUGGACUGGUUCUUCCACGAGCCGGGACAUCAGCACCAUGUCCAUGAGAAUGGCAGGAACCAAGAGGAGGUUCAAGAGCAUAAACACGUAUGCCGCUGACAAAACACCAUAUCCCAUCCUCUUCACCAUCCUGCUCACCUUUGGACCAAUGUCUGCAGCAGCCUCCCAGAGCAUAAUCUGGAGCUGAGUUAUAACCGAGAUGCCAUCGCUGAUCUUCCCCGUCACCUUGUUCUUGGCCUCCACAGUCCUAUGGAUUGGUUCCGUCACCAUCGAGAAGCAGAUGCUAAACAGUAGCAUCGCAAUUGACAUGGUGUAGCCGAUCAUCUUGAACUGGAAGCCGAUCGCGUUGAUCAAAAAACCAACUGGCCAUAGCAGGAGAUGGCUCUCCGGCUGCUCCUUGUGCGUUGGCAUCUUGUACACUUCUCUUCUUCGAUGCGGGGCCGGUGCCGGGACUGGAGCAGUCUCAAAACAGGCAGACUUCUCGACUAACGGCGGCAUUGUCAGCCCCUCGUCCUGUUCAUCGGCCCCCUGACUUUCGUUGCUACUGCUACCGUUCUCGAACAACAACGGCUGCCUAUCCAUGUCCGGAUGCUUGCCACCAUCGUCCUCGUCCGAAUCAAAAGCCACCUCCCAUCCGUUGUCAACGUCGGGAACCUCAAAACGGCCAGACCCCGAGGCCGAGCACUCGCCAGAGUCCUCCUCAGCCCCUUUAUCGAUGCGUGCCUGGCGAAAACCCGAGCUCUCGGCCACCUCUUCAUCAUGGAGCACGCACGACGAUCCGGACGCGCUGUCGCCGACCCUUUCGGGGAAGCAACCGCUGUCAGGCUCUCGAGCAACCGAACCUGGAAGAAUCGAAGACGCCAUCCCCCGAAAAACCAAAUCUCCCUGCCUACAUUCCCCGCAUCACUUGUCGUGCUUCCCAACUCCGCCCAGCAUUUUUUUUCCCCAGCAAUCGUUGCUCGUCGCUAGAGCACCGCGACGACGAUAGUAAUGAAGCUCCCACCCCCCGAGCAAGUGCGCAGCUCGUUUUCUUCCUUCUUUUCCCUGCCCCUGUGCGUUUCCUCCAUGCGCCUCGAGACCCGAUAGACGGCGGCGAUGGCGUCGCUAAUUUUAGGAACAAACGCUCAUUGGCCACGUGAUAGGCCGCCACCUGUCCUUCACGAAGAUCCUAUCGUUUGCUCCAGAGAACCUCUUUCUGGUGGUGUUGUUUUCUCUUCGAGCUUUGCGAUUCUCUCCUGCCAUGGUUUGCCGGGAAUUAGCGUCAUCACAAGCUUUUGUAGAUUUAACCAUACCCUGUGAUAUUCUUCCAGCCAGGUGUUGAUCUUGGCCCAAGUUGCCGCUCGGCUUUCCUGUUUCUUCUUCUCAGACAGCUCGUCUGAAAUGGCAUACUUCCAAGCGUUCAUGCAGCGCACGCAGCGAGCUCUGAUACCACCAACCAAAAGAGACGUCUAAGUCUGAGCUGUACUUGUUAGAAUCCGCGUACCUCUUUGCGUGGCCGAUUGCGAUUUGCUCUUUUAGAAAGAGCUCAUUCCUGGAGGUCUUUGAUGCCACUUUCCACUUGUUCCAAAUCCAUUCGCACAGGCGAAUAUGGUUACAAAUGGCGCUGGUUUCCUCGUAGAAACUUCUAGUUUCAACAGCCUGUUGCAAUAGAAUGUUAGCUUUGGACGCGUGUUCAGGACUAGCAGUACCUCUUUCAAGCCAUAAAGACCUCUUUUCACCAGGUGGGAGCAGUAGAACUUUGUCAUUUUCAGUGUCUUAAGCCACAAGCGCAGGCACAGAACUUGGCACCAUCUCCCCCGAAACGUUCCGAUUGUUUCUGCAGCCUCGUUCAUCCUAUCCGAGACACAGCUCCACCAGGCAGCAAACAUCUUCCGCUCUAGAACCAAUGAACAGUGCGUCCACGCCUUGUCCAUCUUCGUUCUGUACAGACAGCGACCUUCUCAUGUAACGCCAACCUAUAGAACUUGUAGUUGCAAUCAUCCCACUUAGUUUUCCAGAGCGCCUACCUCUCGUUCCAAAUCAGUCUCUUCCAUGGCAGCAUUCCGUAGUACACAAGUUUCUUCCGCGAGCAAUGCAAUGCUGCAAGCUCGAACUGCUGGCACCACAGCUCACGCUGUUUCUUCUUCUCUUCCUCUUUCUACCAAUAAAGAAAACUCAUCGAUCAUCAGAUCCGAGCUUGCCAAAAACAAUUGACCAACCUCGAGCCUUUGUUUCUCGGCCAGCUUCUUUUGCUCGACAUAAGCUUUCCUCUGUAGCUUCUCCAGCUCCGCUUCUCUCAGCACCCUCGCUUUCAGCUCCAUCUGAAAAGAAAGCAAACUCUUUGGAAGAUGAGGAAAAACAAACGCAAUGCUGACGUACUUCCUUUUGCCUUUUAGUGUUCUCAUAUCUCGCUCGAAGUUCUUCCCUCCGCCGGCGUCGUAGCUCGUCACGAGCAGCCAUGGACUGUAGCGGCCCAAACGAGCACCUCGUUCCUGUCACACGAAACCACACGUUUACGACAGAGACACACUCCCCUUCCAUCUGGACUGCGAUGAAAUCGCCAGUGCCAGCAAUCCAGGCGAUAUCUCCAGAGGAAAAGCAAGAAAUCCAUCCAACACGGCUGGAUUAUCAGGAAGCAAGACCUCCGAGCUGCUAGAGGACAAUGCUGGACUCUAGAGAGGAUCAAGAUCGGAUCGCCGCUUACCGGAUGAUCUGGUGGAGCUGCUGCACAGCGAUGCCGCAUCGUCUCCUCCACGAUCCAUGGCGAUCGCGCCUCGCGCCCUCAAAUUACCCUAGCCCGCCAAUCCUAGUACCUAUAAAGGAAUAUAAACUUCCAUAACGGACAGAAAAUCCAGGAAUGUUUUCUCUAACUGAAAAGGAAUGGCCGAUCGAUCAAUCGAUGGAUGGGAGCUUCCCAAAAUUUCUCUGUGAUCGAUGGAGACGAAGAACAGCGUGAAACGAAAGAAGCCCUUUAUUGGAGUGGAUCAAACAACCAAAAGAGAGAGAAUGUAGGUUCUAUGAGAAGAAGAAGAAGAAAGAAGAAUCAUCUAAAAAUCUUUGGGUGUGGAGGAGCUACUGCGAGGCCAUUUGAUCCUCGCAAUCGAUCAUCCGCUGUAAGGAUCCUGCUGCAAGAGGCGCCGAUUGGCGGAAUCCAUGCUGCGCGCCAGAUUAUCCAUGACCUUCUCCUGCUGCUCCAGGGAGAGAUCGUCGAUCUCCUGGCCAAAGAAGGAGCUGCCGCCCGCCCCAUCCAAGAGAGGCCGAUGCGAUUCAACCGGGGCGAUCGCCGCGGACAAGAUCAUCCCCAAGAGGCAAGCCACGAGCAGGAGCUUGGAGAUUCCAGCUGGAGAAGCCAUCAAAUCGUCGUGCUCUCCCUGCCAGGCGCACAAGAAAGACGAAGAUUAGGUCAACUUGAUCCAAGCCCUACCUGGUGUCCGGUCGAGAGGAAGAAGAAAAGGACAAAGAAGGGAGGGGAAGAACACGAGGAAAGAAUGUAGGAUCCACACAAGAACAGCGAGAUUGUCACAAACCUGCGCGCCUUCGAGCCGCGCGCCUGGAUUAUGGCGCGGCGGUGGAUUGAGCUCCCGCGAGGAAGAUGAAGAUCGAGAAGAUCAAAAGAAUGGAUCGAUCGAAAGAAUCGAGAAGAGAGCUGGAGGAAGCCCUAGAGCAAAUCUCUUGUUCUCUUUUUUCCCCCUCUUUUUUGUCGCUGAGGGCGCAAGCGAGAAACCUGAGAGGCGAAGUGUGGCCAAACAAAACAAACCAGAAGACAAAACGAGAAAAGAGCAGUUGCCAACGGCAGUUGCCAUGCGCAAGUGAGAGCGCAUCGCGGCCGUCGGGGUGCUGCCAUCCACGGCCGCGCUCGCUCCACGCCACGCGGCGCGCGACGGUCGAGAUCCCGCGUUACAUCAACGUUUGGAAUGUGAUAAUCUUGGUCGCCAGUAAGAACGCCACCGUAAAUUCGAACCGGGGACCGCCCAGAGAGACGUAAAUAACCACAAUGCUGCCAAUCUGGUUAAGUAAAAGUCAAAACGUAAUUCUACUAGCUCCUUGCACCUAGCACGCCAUAGCUAGGGUUUCUAGGGUUUGCUGGGAAGAGGGAGGUGGGUGGGGCGGUGUGGCGGCUGUAAAUGUGAUCCUCUUGAGGGGAGAUUCGCGGCGAAGAUAGCAGCGGCUGUCGGCGCCGGAGGAUCGUGAAAUUUCAGGGGAUCGAUCGAUCGUCGGCGCCGGCGAGCGGAUGGGCGUCGGUGCUUCCAGAACUGGCGCUACAUUUCGCGCAGGAGGUAUUGGAAUCAUCGGUAGUGGGAUAUCUAGGCGCUGCAGUUCAUGAAAUCUUUGUGAGCCUUACUGCAUUGGGGCUUGCAUGGGCGAUCCUGAAGGCUGGCCACAGCCAAGCGGCCUUUUGCCUGACGGAUCAUCCUCCUUCGCGGCUCUAUUCUCGUCUCUGGACGAUGAGCGCUGGCUCCAGGCAGAGAACAGGACUGGCGAGCUCAUCACACGCAUUCAGCCCACCAAAUUCUCCGAGGAUCGGCGGCGGGCCGUCGCGGACUACGUGGAGCGUCUCAUUCGCAAGUGCUUCGACUGUGAGGUGAGAAUUCUCUUUGUUUUCCUUUUUUUCUUGUUUGUUUGCGGUACGUGGACACCAAGUUUCUAGCUCAGUGUGUGGGUCACUGUGUAGGUGUUUACAUUCGGCUCGGUGCCAUUGAGAACAUACCUUCCGGAUGGGGAUAUCGACUUGACUGCUUUCAGUGGGCAUCAGCACUUACAGGAAUCAUGGGCGAAUGACGUCCGCGCUGUGCUUGAAGCGGAGGAACGCAGUAAGGAUGCUGAAUUUCGGGUGAAAGAGGUUCAGUACAUCCAGGCCGAGGUAGUUUUCGUUUCUCUUCCUUUCUGUAGCGUGACGAAUAGAUGAUAGCUUGCUACCUGGCUUUGCAGGUGAAGAUCAUCAAGUGUCUGGUGGAGAACAUUGUUGUCGACAUUUCUUUUAAUCAGUUGGGUGGUUUAUGCACACUAUGUUUUCUGGAGGAGGUAUUAGUUCUAAACAUGUUGCUCGUUUUCUAAUCCUUCGUAACUUAUCAGGUCGAUCGGUUGAUAGGCCGAGACCAUUUGUUUAAACGCAGCAUUAUACUUGUGAAGGCUUGGUGUUAUUACGAAAGCCGCAUUCUCGGAGCACAUCAUGGUUUGAUAUCCACAUACGCAUUAGAGACACUCGUGCUCUAUAUAUUUCACGUAUUCCAUGCAAGUCUUCGCGGUCCCUUGGGGGUAAGUUAUAACCAUUCUAUUGCCCGUUUAGUUUGAAGGGUGGCUGAUGCAGGUACUGUAUCGUUUCUUGGAAUUCUUUAGCAACUUCGACUGGGAUAAAUAUUGUCUGAGUUUAUGGGGACCUAUUCCACUCUCGGCUCUUCCCGAUAUGCAAGGUAACCUCUCUUUUCUGUUUUCUGGACGAGGUUUUAACCUUGUGCUGUUACAGCUGAACCACCGCGGAAAGAUGGAGGACCUUUGCUACUUACUAAGCAUUUCUUGGACUCCUGCAGCCGUGCAUAUGCAGUUAUGCCCAACGGGAACAUAAACGGGAGUAUUGUCCAAAGCCGGGUCUUUGGUUCGAAGUACCUAAACGUGGUAGAUCCUUUAAAAACUACCAAUAAUCUUGGCCGCAGCGUGAACAAAGGUUUGUUGCUAAUGUAAGGUUUCUCUCCUGACAGUGUCUGUCAUUGGACGAAACAGGAAAUUUCUACCGGAUUCGCAAUGCAUUUGGUUUUGGCGCGCGUAAGCUAGCCCGUAUUUUGGAAUGCCCUCUAGAGGAUGUAGCCGACGAGGUGGAUAAGUUCUUUUUGAACACGUGGGACAGGCAUGGGAGCGGUAGGCGACCUGAUGCUCCCGAGUUCAUUGAGAGGAUGUCUUCGCCGGAUGAAAAGCUGUCCAGUGAAGGAUCUCCCAGGGUUGUGGAGAAGGGUGUGUUAGAGGCGGAGAACGACCAGCAGGUUGAUAAGAAUGCAACAGCUGGUGAACUUAUUCAGGAGCUGAAUAAUUACGCAGUACGCUCUCAACAAAAUGAUUAUAUUUCGGAGACAGGUGAUAAGACGGGCGAAGUGGAGUGUUCGGACGACAGAAGGCCGAUUUCGGAAGAUAAGCUGCCCUAUACAGAUACUGUUCCCGCACCACCACCACCACCACCGCCGCCGCCGCCGCCUGGAGGAUCAUGGGCAGCGCUAAACCAUGGGACUUUUUCGUAUCCGCAUAUAGCUCUACAAGGCGGCUCUCAGGUGUAUUCUGGCUUAAGUCCUCCAACAGACGUCACAGUACCACCAAGUCCGAGCUCCGAAGCAUCUAGUCCUGUGUAUUCUCCACAACGGCCAUCAACGUCUCUUGGUAUACCGGUUGGGCAUUUACUUUCUUCGACAUACGAUGCGGCCGUUUCAAGUAACAUGCAGUCUCGGAAGCAAAGACCGGGGGACGGCCAAGUUCCUCCGUUUUACUAUUCUCCAUUCUCUUAUGUACCUCUCUACAACUCGUACUACGUGUUGCCGCGCGAGGGUGGAGAGGGAGAAACACUGAACGAGAUGCCACCAAAUGCACUACACGAAGACGGCCAGGCGGGGCAGCACAUGGUAUUCGGUGUUGGGGAAAGGCUCAGUGCUGCUGGAAUUCCUGUUAGUUCUGGUGAUCCAGACGCAGACAGGUUGACAGAUGGACAUGGUGCUCAAGUUUGUCAGUCUGAUCUCUUGAGCAGUGACUUCGCUAAUCAUCUUCGGAACUUGGACUACGGGCGAGCCUGCCAGACUGGUCCUAUGUUCCUUCCGCAGCACGCAUUUUUCCCCUUCGCUAAGGAGUUACAAGGUCAUUACAUCUGGGAAGGUCCUGGGAGACCUCAUUCGAACGUCAACUUGAAGCAUGGGCCGGGGUCUCCACGAAUUCCUAGAAGAUCUUUUCCUGGACCUGUUGGCUUUAAUGGAGACGCUCGCGCGGGCACCGGAACCUAUCUUCCUGGGACGGUAAUUGUCAUAAACUACUUUUCAAACCUUGGUUCUGAUUAAGUUGUGUCUUGCAGCGGCAGACUUACCGGGAAAGGCAGUACAGAGGCCAACAUGAUGGCUAUCAAGAACGGGAGUGUGAAAGAGAUGCACCUCCUCGUUAUCAGCGUAGUGUGGGCCGUGGUCAGAAUAGUCGCAUAGGACAUGGGAAAGCAGGUGACAAAGGAGGAUGGCAUGACAGCUUUAACAGGAACGCAGUUCAUGCAGCUCCAGUAACAUUAUCUUCUGGCAAUCCGCCGGGGACACCGGAAGCUUAUUCUCAGGUGUAUAUGAACGGCAAUGGGAACACGUCGAUUGUUGUAUACCCGUCCAACGAACCGCUUGAGUUUGGGACGCUUGGGGCAGUGCAGGGCUCUGAGCUUGGGGCCGUUCGUGUGAGCUCUAAGGGGCAGCAGGCUGCGGGUCAAGAUAGACAACAGCCGUCCUCCCCGAAUGACCAGCAAAGGUACCAAAACGUUUUAUCGAUUAUUGUGGCCACUGAAACUCGUUUUGCUACUUCAGGCAAAACCAGAGGGCUUACCAAAUGAAAGAAGAGGACUUCCCACCUCUUUCUUUCAGAGCGCAGGGAGGGAAUAGUUCCACGAGUGGUAACGGGGCUGGCACUCGCAGUUCCCCGUAUCAGACGUACGUUGCAUCUCAGUCGUGAGUUGGAGCGCACCAGAGCUAAGACUUGCUGUUUGUAUAUUUUACUAUAAUUGUAGCUGCUUUUCUAAUUGUAAACUGGGCUGUAUUUGUUGAAGCUUUAGGCCCGACUUUUUUUUUCUCACUCGGACAACAAGUCGUAUGUUUUUAAUACUACUGCGUGUCGUGUAUGAGCUAAUGACAUGGCAGGGGAAGUUCGGGGGAGACUUUUGGAGAUGAAAACAGCCUUUCGGAUCCGAUCAGGUUCUGUACACUUUCGAAAUUUUCUUUGCGAGACUAAGUUCUCUGUUCAGAUAUGAAGACGCUUACGGCGAUAGAUUGGGCUCUGAACCUGCUACAUCUUUUCAUUCUGGUACACGGAUUUGUUUUCUUUUGUUGGGGGCUCGUUUAUUGAUUUCUUCAGCUACCUAGGUGUGCGGAGGCUUGAUUGUUAUAAUGGUUCCGGUCAUACAAGGAGGGAGUCCCAACUUUUCGCCUGGGUGGUCAGUUGCAGUGAUGUAAUUAUUUGUUCUGGGAAUCUAACUUCUUGUUUUGUUUGCGUAGGCUUCUUAUAAUUCUUGGAGGGGUAACGAUUGUGGCUGGUGCUUCAGGCAUAGGAAGGACAGUCGGUCCUUGCUUCUGGAUAAAUAUCGUUUUCAAUUGUUUUGCUGCUCUUGGAUCCAUCGUCUACUCGUUGGCCUCAUUUUCGAACGUACGCAUCACCUUGUCACUUUGGGCUCAGCUUCACUCGCUUGUCGCAGAGAGAGAAAGUGGCGAGAAGUUUUCGAUCUAAGCGCUUUAGUGCGAAUGAGGUACAUGUUAUUCACGAGCUUGGGCUUAUCGUAUCUUUUUAUUGUAGGUGAUUGUGAAUGUAGGUGGAGUCGUUUAUUGGACGUGUUUCAUGGGCGUUUUACUUCCUGGUCGUUGCCGAGGUUUGCAAACUAUGUGGUAUAGCCAAAGUUUGGCUAACUAAAUUGUCGCCCUGUGAAGGUGUUGGGGGUCUUCUUCGGGAGCCUGGCUCGCCAGCUUAAAAAUUCGGAAGGACCGCAGGAGAGUUUUCAACGGCGAUCUAUUGCUCUUCAAAGAUUGAGUGUCGACUUGUAUGGGUUCCUUUGAGUUUUCUUUGGCUAUUGAUUCAUGGGGUGUUGCUAUUUCAGGGCCGCGAAGGACGUCCGAAGAGCAAGCAAGAAUGCGGAUCGCAUCGCCGAGAAAAUGAAGGAUAAAUAUGGGCAGUAAGCUUUAUUUUUCUAUCGGACAUUUUCCCAGCCUUACAAUCUUGCUACAGAUGGAGCCAUGAGUAACCAGUGUUUUCUGUAUAACUUGUGAUGUGAUCCAGCAUCGUUUUAUUCUAUUUCUUAUUACCACCGAGGUAGGCUUCCUUUUGUCUAUUUCGUACCCUUUAGCUUCAUGGGAACAGGGAAUGAUUUAUCUGUCCUGAAAGCCAACACACCAUCAAAGACACCGUCGAUGCGAUCCAUGGAACGGGAUCAAUGCUGAUCACCACCUACACAGUUCCCUGGAUACCGACGGAUGUGAGCUAAUCAGUCGACCAGAGGCGCACAGCCUCAUUCUUUUACGUACCGUUUUCCCCGUUUUCCCUGGAGCGAAUCGUGACUGUGUAAGACGUCUGGUGCGUGACUUCAGAGAUGCAGCAAGACCACACCAGUGAGCAUCCUUCCACAACUCGUACACCUUCUCCCAGAGCAUCACGCAGACUUUGACGAACGGUGUGCCGUUCUUUGCCGAUGAGAGCACCGAGAUCCAGAUCGGAGCCGAGGAGGAGCUCGGAAACCAGACACUGUAUCCGAGGAGGCGCGCUUCCUUUGUUCGUGGCAGGUCCAUAGGCGACUCCGAUUCGCUCGCACUCGCCAGAUCUAGCAGGUACGUCACGUUGAAGAUUUGCCUGCUCCUCACAGCUUCUUCGACCACCAAAACCAAGGCCAGAGUGUUGCUUCCACGUACAGGAGAGGCCAUUGGUCCCUUGAGAGCGAUUGUGGUGACUGGAUCGAACUGGUCUUCUUUCGAAAGUUUUAGUUUUAGAUCGCCGUUCAAGGCAAAGAUAUAUGCUCUAAAUAUUUUGUUUUAAUAAAUAAGUGUAAGGAUAAAAUCAUAGGGUGGAUGCAAAGUUGAGGGUAUCCGAUUUCGCGAACACCCUAUAGUAAAUCCAUACAUGCAAAAUGCCAGAUUCACCAACUUUUGUAUGAAUUCUAGGGGGAUAUUUUUCAGUGUUAGUACAGAUUUAUUUAUGCGAUUGUACGGAUCUUUUAUUUCUUAUUAUCACCAAGGUAGAGUGUUCUAUUUUGUAACGUUCAGCUUCAUGGGAACAGGGAUGCGGUAUGUCUUGGUACCGUCAUAUAUCUCCGCAUCAGUCCUGAAAGCCAGCACACCAUCAAAGACACCGUCGAUGCGAUCCACAGGCUCACGCUCCACACCAUUGAGCGACGUGUCCCUCGUCUUGUAGUGGAACGGGACGGCCAGUUUCGCAGUGCUGAUCACAACCUGCACAGUUCCCUGGAUGGAUAGCAGAGGAUGUCAGUUAAUCAAUCGAGCAAAGGCGCACAGGCAGAUUCUCAUACGUACCGUUUUCCCUGGAGGAAUCGUUACUUUGUAAGUCGUCUGAUAAGCGACUUCCUCGGACAAAGUGUCGUCCCACUGGUUUCCAAACUCUUGCUCGGCUCCGAUCUGGAUCUCGGUGCUCUCGUCGGCAAAGAAUGGCACACCGAGCGUCAAAGUCUGCGUGAUGCUCUGGGAGAAGGUGAACGAGUUGUGGAAGGACCUGGUGUUGCUCACUGUGGUGGUCUUGCUCACGCUGAUCUCCAUCUCUGCAGGCUCACUGCCCUUGUUCGUGGCAGAUCCAUAGGCGACACCGAUUGGCUCCUCCUCGCUUGCACUCGCCAGAUCUAGCAGGUAAGUCACGUUAAAGAUUUGCCUGCUCAUCACAGCUUCUUCGACCACGAGGUGGCUUGACGUUUCCUCGUAGUCGGAUGCCUCAGCAAAGAUCGCGUUCGGAGCGUUGGUGAAGGACGGGCUUCCACGCUUGCAGUAGAGGCCAUUGGCACUCUUGAGAGCAACUGUGGUGCUGUUCACUCGGACUGGAUCGAACUGGCAUUCAGGGUGGUCGGGAGUGUCACCGUCCGGUGUAAUCCACUGGUCCGCCUUCCAGUAAUUGUUUGAAGUCCAGGAGGCGGCUUGGUUGGAUCGAAGAGCUAUCUUGCCGUUCAGGAGAUACUCCACCUGGUAAGGGGGCUGCGAAUGGAAGCAAGCAGAUGAAAGACGAAAACAGCAGUACCUGGUGGGUGGUAAGACGAACGUCAGCAGAUUCUUCUGUGAGCACGAACGGAUCCAGUAUGACAGGGUAAUCGACCAAGCACGUGAGGUAUUUGGCAUUGCUACCUUUGAAACCCACGUACUCGGGCAUGUUGACAACGUAGUAGGACGACUCCACCACUUCUACCAUGGCAAAGAUCUCAUUGGGCUCCUCGAGCAACGCGUGGUACUGGGUGUUGAAGCGCUUGAGGAAGAGACCGUCUUGGACGGAGGAGAGUGCCACCUUUCCUGGGGCGACCUCGGGUUGGAGCUUGAACCGGUUUGAGGCAUCGGUGUCGCUGGGCGGGUUCUUGAGGUCGGCUACCACGGCAGAGGUGGAGGAGUGGCGGCGCCAGAAGUGCUUGUUGGCGGAGCA
rnacentral:lncRNA from 1 species